rnacentral:lncRNA from 1 species
AGCUACAACAAGAGGUAGGCUUCUAACCCUAGUUGUGAAAUUUAGGGUUUUUGGAUUUUAGCUCUUUAGAUGGGAUCAAAUGGAUCCCUAGCACCAUGAAUGGUGGGAUUGAAGCUAGAAUCUAGGGUUUUGAGAUGGGUUUAGCUUGAUGCUAACCCUAGGGCACCAAAAUAGGGUUUUUGGUAAAGUAUGAGAUUGAUCUCAUUUGAGGCCUUGUAAACCUAAUUGGUAGGUGCCUAAACGCGGGGCGAAGUCGGAUUUAGCAUUCGUCGAGCGGGCGAAAAACUAUUGGCAAAACAGAACCGAUCGAGUUUCAUUUGGACCAAGAGGUGGGGGGUGUCAUCCCGAAGCAUCCGAGUUUCUCCUUAUGUCUAAGUUAAUUUUAUUCAUCAUAUGUUGAUUGUGCAUUAUAGGAUUAGUAGAAGCAUAUUUUCAUUCCUUGCAUGCUUACUUAGUAGUGUAGCGGUAUGGGCUUGACACUUGGACUAGGGAGGCAUGAGGAUUGGGUCUUGAGACAAAGAAUCCUAUAGUAGCAAAAGUGAUGAACUUCGACAUAGCCUAGUAGAGUGGCAUUGACUAGUGUAGUAGAAACACUAAACUUGAACGAGUGGCAUGUCGACUAGUUAGAAGAUAUUACUACAAUGACUGAACGAGUGGCAUUGAGUCUAGUGUAGUAAACAUGACAUGGUUCUUGGGAUAGUAGAGGUCCCGGCAUCUAGGAUGCAUUAUAUAUUGUGCAGCAGAGGCACAUUGACCCUUGUAGAUAGGGUAUCCUCUUGAGAGGAUUGGAUCAUACUCACUAGUCUGUUUUCGCUGUCGGUGGUCGCUCCACCGUGGCACGAGUCUCCGGAGUACUUCACUAGGGGUAGACGUAGUUGUCCCGCAGACGGUCUCGGUGUGCGAGUGCAGCUUCUCCUCACCUAUGAGAUUGAGAGUGAGUCGAGGGUUUAACCUACGGGUUAACCAAGUAGAUUGGGUAAUAAACAUGGAAUGCAUAGUAGAUUUGCAUUAUUACCUUAAGUAGACAUAGUGUAUGUUGUAGUUUGCAUUACUAUGCACCUUUAUAUACUCAUGACAUGAUACUAGCAUGAUAGUAGUUGUUGCAUGCAUUAUUAUCAUUAAUGGCAUGAUAGAGUAGUUGCAGUUCAUUUCUCUAUAUAUCUAUCUAUUUCUUUAUCUGUGCCAGCUUAGACCUAGUGGGAAAACCGACGGCGUCGGCGGCCGAACCCAUAAUGCAUGUUUCACAAGUUCAAUGCAUGCAACUCUCUACUUUAUAGAGAUAUAACUUUGUCUCAUGAUGUACAUCUAAAUUAUCCAACAUCUCAUUUAUAAUGCUCCUGGCAUAAUUAUGUAUGAUUCCUAGAAUCAUAACCACAACAAAAACAUAGGGAGAAACUCGUCGACUCGUUUUGAUCCUUUGAGCGAAAGUGCCUAGCCUUCCAGCACCCUAUUAACCAUUUUAGAUUAAUUAGGAGUUUCAACAAAGACUCCAAUCCAAAACUCUCACAAUAGAACUCAACAUAGGUAAAACAUACCUAAUACAAAGCAACCUCUGAACCCCAAUUGAUCUCAGGUUGGACUCUUCAAGAACAACCUGGAAAAGGGUGAAAUGCUUAGCCCAAAGAAUUCUACAACUCAGCCAAGAGAUAACUCAAAGAUUAAACUCGAACUCAACCACAACAUAUAUAUAGGAUAGCAAUUAAAAGCUAACUUUUCCAAAGCUCCAAGCCAAGCUCACUCUUGAACUGAGGUUGGAGACUCUCCUGAGUAAGACCUCCUUCUUCCCUUCUAUAGUUCCCCCAAAGCCCUCAACAUCCGCUAGCAUAAGGAGGAAAAGAAGAAAAAAGCUUAAAUUCACCAAUUUUCACUCAAAAUGGAAAUAAAAUCUAGAGAGAGGAAAAAGGGAGCUUACCUUAUUUUUCCUCAAGCUCCCGGACAGGAAAGACCAGCUAGGUCGAUUUGGGGGCUUUAAGAGGAUAAACAUCACUGCAAAAUGACCAAAAACCCCUUUACCAACUCACUCUGCCGCAUUGAGUACCGGUACUCGGGUUGAGGUACCGGUACCCGGCAGUUAAACAGCUAAAACCUGAGCUCUGCGCAGCUGGGUUUAAUAUAGGGUACCGGUACCCGCGCAAUGUAGUACCAGUACUCAGCUCCAGCUUCUCAAACCCGAGAGCUACAUAUCUGGCAAACCCUCUGAGGUUUCGGUACCACACUCAGGUACCGCCGGUACUCAACACUGAAACCUGAGAUUUCCAGGUUUUAGUGUCAGUAGCUCAUCCUGGCACUUAAAACAUUUAAGUUAAAUGCCGAUACACUCUCAAAGCAUCUAGAGUAGCUUCAAUUACUAUUCUAACACUAGAACAUUGCAAUUUGCUAAAGUUCAGUGUACUACAGUGAGGUGGGUUGUGUUGCACCGAAGUGACUUGGUCACCUCUCAUGUCUAGAGAGUGUUUUAUAAGAAUGAUUGAUGCAUGUUAAUUGGUAGUUCAAUUAGCAAUUGUGAAUUAUAGAGCAUGUGACUCUAAAUAAGGGACUACCAUUGUACAAGAUUAGUUAGGUGUGUGAACCUACAUACAUAUAUGUCUAUAUUGUGCAUGUUGGGAUUCAAGUAUUCAAGUAUAUUUAUUGCUAUGUAAAUUGCAUGCUACUUGAUCUUGUAUUAGAUAAUUAUUGAUGCAAGUUACUAACUUAACCUAUAUGAGUAUAGUGCCAUGUGAAUCCUAGAGAUGCAAUGAACUAGUAGAGUAAACUAUGUCACACCCCGAGCCCGAUCUUAUUUGGCCGGUUCGAGCACAUCGAACAGACACGGAACGGACAGUACCUCACCUGUCCACCCAAGGCUUAACAACAAGUACAGAGCAAGUAUAUAAAUUUGCACAGCGGAAAUAUAAAUAUACUUGGCUUGCACGAGGGCAAGCAAUAGCGAAAGUGAAAGUACUAAACUAAACAUCAUACAAGUAAUAUGAUUAACUUUUAACCACAUACAUGCAUUCAAUCACAAGUUACAUUUAUAUUCUUUUCAUCAUUUCUUCUCUUGGUAUAUCACAUGAUAUCCAAAAUAUAACUCUUUGCAUUUAAACAUAAACUCUUUUACAUCAUUCAUAUUCUUUCAUAAACAUCUAUAAUCAUCAAGUACAAAAGAUGAUAUACAAAAGGGUAUGCAACUACAAACUAUAAAACCCAACUCGGGUGGUCUCUGUUUAUGACGCGAUACCCUUACCGCGAUCGUCGGCCGGCUCACUCGGUCCCAGCUCUGUGAAAAAAGGGGGGUGAGAACUAUAACAAAGUUCCCAGUGGGUUCAGCCGCCGACCUCGCUGACUUUCCCACUAGGUCUAAAUCAGGCAUAAUAAAAAGAUAGAUAGAUAGUGUCACGCCCCGAGCCCGAUCCUUUUGGCCGGUUCGAGAGCGUCGAACAGACGCCGAACGGACAGAGCCUCCCCUGUCCGCCCAAGGCUCAACAACAAGUAUGAACAGCGUAAAAAUUUGCAUAAGCGGAAGCGUACACAAUGGCUUGUACGAGGACAAGCAAUAGCCAAUAGUGAAAGUAAUAAACUACACCUAGGAAUUCAUUUAUAUUUUUGCAUCAUUUCUUCUCUUUACAUCACAUGAUCUCAUAUAAGUUCUUGCAUUGAAAUAUAAAGUAUCUUUUACAUCAUUCAUGUUCUUUUCAUUUAACAUCUAUAGUCAUGAAAACACAAAAAGGUGAUGUAUAAAGAUAUGUAACUACAAAAUGGAAACCCACUCGGGAGGUCUCUAUCUAGGGCGCGAUGCCCUUACCGCGAUCAUCCUCCGGCUCGCUCGGUCCGGGCUCUGUGGAAAAUGGGGUGUGAGAACUACAACAAAGUUCCCAGUGGGUUCGGCAACCAACCACGCCGACUUUCCCACUAGGUCUAAAUCAGGUAUAAUAGAAGGAAAGAGAUAUAGAAAGUAACCAAACUAUACAAAUGCAGCUAAUAUGCCUGAACAACAAUAAAUGCAAUGCUCAAUAGUAUGCUCAUGUUGAAUGUAAGGUCACAAUCUCAUUACCCAAUCUCUUGGCUAAUCCGUAGGUUUCGCCCUCAACGACCCACCAACCAAAUCUCUACUAUCGGGGAGAUACACGCUACAAGCCGACGGGACCAUCAUCUGGGGAGAUACUCGCUACGACCCAGUGAUGACAACUCCGGAGCACAUCGCCCGAGGGGGAGCUACCACCCUCGAGCAAGGACUUACAGGUGAGUAUGAUCCUAUCCUUAACUAUAAGGAUGUCAAGUCCAAUCCAUUCCUUAACUAUAAGGAAACAAUGCACAUAUGACCCUUAACUCUAAGGUUGUUAUGUUAUAAUGUCACUACCUUUGUAUACUUGCAUUCGUUAACCUUUACUAGUGUCAUAUACACUACUUUGUUCUUGUACUCAUUCACUAAUGCCACACUUAUUUUCUAAGUGUUCAACUCUAGCACUCUUGAUUCAUCAAUGCCAUUUUCUACAUUCAUGUCCACAUGUCACAUUUGUUCCCUAAUCCACUAAGUUCUUGUCAUUUAUCAUGCAUACGUAGGGUUAUUAAAAUUCUCACAUGCAUUUGAACGCACAACAUACAAAAAGAAGCUUACAAUUACCCUACUAUGCAAUAUGUUCGAAUACAUACAUAUGCUCAAAUAUGACAUUUUAGACAUAAAAGAAAUUCCGAGGUCCUUGGAAUGCACCACCCACCUUAGAUGGUUGUAGGGAUGCUACGAUGAAUUUCUUUGGAUUUUUGAAGCCCUACUUUUUCGCCUGGGGCAAAACGAAGCCAAAUUAGGCUUUUUUCUCAAUAACUUCAUCUAAACCUUUUCGUAACGUCAAACAGAGUUGUCCCACGCGUCGGGAAUACCCCUAAUUAGAUUUCUAUAAGGUCAAUGUCUUAGAAACAUUCGGAGGCAAAAGCCCCAAAUUGGGUGCCCUAAUGUUGCCAUUUGCAAAAUCCUAGGUUUUUAAUCUCUAAAAUAAGGAAAAGAGAGCUUGUCCAAUAUCUAGAAGCUCAUUUAGAACUAUCUAAACCAUUUCUAGGGUUUAGAAUGCAAACCCUAAAAAUUCACCAUUAGAGCACUUGAAGAAACUAGGAUUUCAUGUGUUCUAUAGCUCCAACUAGGUUUCUAUACUCAUUAGAAGAUCAAAACCUAGUUUUCUAGGACAUAAACCCAAACCUUAGCUUAGGUUUCUCAUCAAACCUUACCUUGGUCCAAAGCUCUUGAAGAUCCUUCUUGUUGGAGAGGUCCCAAGCUUCCAAAGCCUCUAAAUCCACCUUCAAUCCCCUCUCAAACUCCUUCUCCUAGCUCUUUAGGAGAAGUUCUAGAGAGAGAAAGAGAGAAAUGAGAGAGGAGGUGUGUAGUGGCUGUGGGAGAGGGAGAGAGGAGUGUUGGGGUUAUAUAUAAGGUGCUACAAUUACCAAAAACCCCUUCACUUAUUCAUAUUUGCAGCAGUUUUCAACCUGCUGUCGGGCCCAAAGUGUACCGGUACACUUUAAGGUGUCACCGGUAACACAAUUGCGUUUGGCCAAACCCGAGAGCAGCUCCCUCGGAUUUGGGGCAUUUGUACAGGUACACUUUCAUUUUGUACCGGUACACUUGUCUGUACCGGUGACAACUCGAUGGUUGUACUGGUACACAUUGCCCAGACUUGAUUUUUGGCUCCAUUUCGAUUCUAUUUCGCGCCGAUCGAUGCAAAAACCUUUCUAACACCUCUUAAACUCAUUUUUUGCCCUUCCAACCUUGUUGGAAUGCUAAAUGGAACUUGUCCAACUAUUUCUUUCGCAUUUCUUUCACUUUUAAAUCUCCGAGGAAUGCUAAAACUUGUUUAACACUCUUGGUACUCGAUUUUGAUCCUUCCAACGCUGUUAGAAGGUCAACUGGAGUUUGUCCAUCCAUUUUCCUCGGCACUUUAAUCAAUUUGGCUAACGUUCGAUAAUCGCUGUCAGGGUUUCGAUACGUUACAGAUAGUAACCAACUAACAAAUGCGGCUAAUAUGGCUAAACAAUAUAAUCAAUGAUUAUGCUUAAUAGAAUGCUCAUGAUGAAUACAAGGUCACUUUCCAAUUCCCAGUUUCAUGGCUAACCCGUAGGUUUCGCCCUCAAUAGAUUCACCAACUCAUAAUCUCAAAUAUCGGGGAAACUACUACGACCCGAUGGGACCGUCCUCUGGGAAGACUACUACGACCCAGUGAUGACAACUCCGGAGCUCAUCGCUCGAGGGGGAGCUACCACCCUCCGAGCAAGGACUUAUAGGCGAGUAUGAUCCAAUCCUUAACUAUAAGGAUUUCAAGUUCAAUCCAUUCCUUAACUAUAAGGAAGCAAUGCUCAUAUGACCCUUAACUAUAAGGUUGCUAUGUCAUUAUGUCAUCAAUCUCACUUACUUGCAUUUCUUUAACAUUCAUGAUGCCACAAACACUAAGUAUUCUUUAACUUUUUUCAUGCAUUCAUUUUACUCAUUAGUGUCGCAUGCACUACAUGUUCUUUAUACUCAAUCACUAAUGCCACACAUUAGUUGUUCCUCUCUAGCAUUCAAUAUGUUUACUAAUGCCACACAACUCAUAUGUCAUAAUGUCAUUUUGUUUUAAACUAUGUUCUUUGCCUUUCUAGGUUCUUGUCAUCAUUCAUGCAUACAUAGGGUUUACUAGCUCUCAUUAGUUUACAAUCAUCUCAUAUGCAUUUGUACUCACAACAUGCAAUCACAAGCACUCAAAUAAUCCCUACUAUGCACAAUGCUCAAUAUACACAUAUGCUCAAAUAUGACACUUUAGACAUAAGAGGAAAUCCAAUGAUUUCGGAAAGCACCACACACCUUGUAUGGUUGUAAAGGUGCUACGGUUCAAUUCUCACGAUUUUUGGGCGCCUAUUUCGCGUGCUGCGGCAAUCUGUACCAAAAUCGACAUUUUCGUCAAUUUCUUCGCGUACACUCGUCGAAUCACCGAAUCGAGUUCAUAUUCUAGUUAGAAAUACCCCCAAUUAGGUUUCUAUAAGGUCAAUUUGCCUUUAAACCACUCUAGGGCAAAAGCUCUAAUUUUGGUGCCCUAACAAAGUCAUUUGCCCAAUACCUUGGUUUCAUCUCUAAAAUAAGCAAAUGCAAGUUUGUUGAACCUCUAGGAACUCAUCUAGAACCAUUUCUAGGUCAUUCAAAAUAUUUCUAGGGCAUACAAACCGAACCCUAGAAAUCCACCAUGAGAGCUCAUGAAGGAAAUAUGGAUUUUCAUGUGUUCAUAGCCUCUACAACGUUUCUACACUUGUAAGAAGAUCAAAACCAAAGAUCUAGGGCAUAAAAUCUAAGCCCUAACCUCAAUGUUACAAGAAAACCUCACCUUAGUCCAAAGCCCUCCAAGGUCCACCUUGUAGGAGAGCUCCCAAGCCUUCAAAACCCCAAAAAUCUCCUUCUAAUCCUUCUCCAACUCCUUCCUCCUCUUUGCUCCUCAGAGAGAUCUCUAGAGAGAGAAAGAGAGAAAUGAGAGAGGGAGGGGUGCUUACUGUUGUGAACAGGUGGAAGGGAUGUUGGGGGGUUUUUAUAAGAUGCUACAAUUGCAUUUAAGCCCUUCCUCUUUUCAUAUUUGCAGCAGACCUCAACCUGCUACGAAGUGCAUUGCGUACCGGUACUGUCACGCCCCGGGACCGGCGGAGGCCCUCCCGGUAGCGCGUCUAGACCCGCCAUAUGUCUACACAUAUAAGGCGUCUACAAAAAAAAAAGAAAAGCGGAAGUAGAAGCAAGAAACAUAAUAAAAGGAUAGAACUACAACUAAUGAUAUCAGAGCAGUAUAAUUCUAUCGACUCUAACAAUAGCAAAAGGAAACAUGACUACACAAAAAAAAUAACUAUGAAGUAGUACAAAAUCUGUCUCAAAGGUACAUAAAGGGUGGUCUCUAGUACACUGGUACAGCUCUCAACCUCUCCAAAAUAAAAUACAUCGAGAGGUAGACCACCUAGCAACUCGUCACUCGCUGAAGAGCUAGCCCGAAGCCACGCCCUUCCCACGGUCCCUAGCUUCUCCCGGCGUGGAAGACUCUGAAAGAAAACAUAAAACAGAGGGCGUGAGAACUAUAAUUUAUAGUUUCCACUGGGCAAUUACUGACCUCAGCUCAAUGCACCACUAGGCCCCAAAGAAAAGGGUAAAUACCAUAAGCAAUAAUAAUAAAGAUAACUGCAAUAAGGAAGCAUAAAGGAAUGCUAAGCUACUAAAUCUCAAGUAAACAUGAUGUAAGUAUGAUGUACAUCUACUCUACCAUAAGCAAGUAGGUCCAAUGGCAACAAGUAAGUGCUACUGUCCAAGAUGUCAUACAUAAAGACUAAGCUCUAUCAAGCUACCCAAUAUACUAUGAUGCAAUGAAUGAAACAGGCAAGUAUACUAUAUAUCCUAAUGCUACGUCAUGAGCAUGUCAAGUAAUCCAACUACUAAGCCUAUCUAGUAGUGAUUAUUCAUUCUAAACACUGUGUCGAUUUCUAUUUCCAAUUAAGGACCUACCGAAGGUAGUCCAGCUUGUGCCGCCUAAGUGCCUGUGGUAGCCCAACAUCCCUACUCUUGGAAUGUGUCUGUCCCACUCGACCCCGUAGGCUUCUCAAUACCGCACGAGCGAACAUAAGUCGCGUAGGCUAACUCCGGAGUGCCGGCUCGUAGGGAGCGACCCUCACAAGCAUGUGCGAAUGAGCACAAAUGGCAAGCAAGCAUAGUCAACGUCUCAAGUACCCAAUCAUCAUGUCUCUAACAUGGUAUAGUCACUAGCAUCUCGAAGAUCUAGUUCUAAAUCACAAGUGAAGUUCCAAUGUUCUCUAGGUCUAGUGCCCCUUUAUGACACUUAGACAUUCAAUAAACACGCAUGUUCCGCAUUCCUCGAUGGCCCUAUCCACUAGGUUCAACCAUGUCCCGAGCUCAAUGCCGCUUGAUGACAUUAGCCCUCUAAAUCACAUAAUAACCAAGUUCGGUGCCUCUAUAAGGCAAUUUUGUUAUCUUUCAUGUCGCAAUUAAACUUAAGUUUGAAUGCAUGUAACAAGGCUCAUUUACACAAUAGAAACAUGAGACCAAGUCUCAUAUAGAACGCUAAUGCAACCCUAUGUCUUUCAAGCAACUCUCUACUACAUAGAGGUCCAAAAUUUCAUUACAUGUAACAUAGGCAUUUUAAGCAUUUUGAAAAUCAUAAUAAAUGUAUCUAACAUGAUGAUGCAUGUUUUGUCAAUUAACGAUACUCAAAACAUCACAAAUGAGAUUUUCUCAUUGUGUGGCUAGGUCAAACCCACCGAACCGCUGCGUCGUGCUUCGUUUCGCUGAACGAAGUUGUCCACGAGUCUCAAAAUACCCUAAAAGUAUUGAGCGAAGAGAUACACAAGCGUUACGAUCAACUAUAAGAUCAAACAUUAACCAACAAGGCAAAAGGGCUAAAACUCACCUAAUGAGUGGAAAAUCUCUCUCAAGCUCCAAAAAAAGGCUAGGAUCCUUCCAAAGCAACCUAAACCAAGGUUCUAAUCUCAUUAGAUUAGCCCAAAAAGCCUCCAAUCAAAAAGCCCCAAAUAAACCCUAGAUUUCCCAAUCUAGGGUUUCAUCCCCUAAAAUCCAUCAAAGCUAGGUCUAGAGGGAAGGAACAAACAACCAACCUCAAGAGAACUCCAAUUCAAGCUCCAAGGGUGAAGAUCUUCUCUCUUGCAAGCUCCAAGUCCAAGCACCAAGCACCAAGGAAGAAGAGAGGGUGAGGAAGAUGCUCCAAGUCCACUAGUAGCUCUCAAUCUUCUUCUUCUUCCUUCCUUCUUCUCCUUCUCCUUCUUCUUCUUCUUCUCUACCAAGGGUGUGGAGAGAGUUGAGAGAAGAGCAAUGAGGAGAAGAGGGAGUAGAUGGGUCAUAUAGACCAUCUAUUGCAACAAAAUCCAGCUAGGUCCCUCAAAAAUUCAAAAUUGCAUCAGCCCGGUCUAGGCAAUUUUCGCCCAGAGGGACCGGUCUCUCUCCAGUAGGGACCGGUCUCUCGCUGCGAACCCGAAAAACCAACGUUCGGGAACCGGUCUCUCCCUGCGCGGGACUGGUCUCUCACUGCGAAGACGCGCCCGGGGACCAGUCUCGCCCUCCAGGGACCGGUUGCCUCAGGGCUGCCGCAACACUGCUCACUGGGGGACCGUUCUCUCCUUUCAGGGACCGGUCCCCGAGAGUGAAAACUCUCAGGACUCGUCCAGAAUUCAGGUUUUCGAACUUUUUGGAUCGAAAAACAUUCUACGACCCUCCACCAAGUGUAGAAAAGCUCGAAACACAUCCAAUCACUCGAACCUCACAAUUUGCAAAGGUCAAGUGUGUUACAGGUACAAGGUGAUUUUGUCACCGGUUACACGAUUACGCACAGCCCAAACCCGAGAGCAGACUUCUCGGGUAAUACACUUGGUACCGGUACAGCCCAACUUUGUCACCGGUUCAACAACCUUUUUCUCUCAAACCCGAGAGUUGCUUCUCUCUGUCUGAUGCCUCGUACCGGUACAAGGUCAAUGCAUUACCAGUGACAAAAGCUCCAUACUUGAGUUUUCGCACCGUUUCGACUCCAAUUCGCGCUGAGCAAUACUAAAACCCUUCUAACUCUUUUGGAACUCACUUUUAACCCUUCUAACAUUGUCGGAAUGUUAAAUGGAACUUGUCAAACUAUUUCUCUCGGACACUUCAGUCAAUUUGGCUAAAGUCCGAUAUACUCUACCGAGGUUUCGGUAUAUUACAAACUAGUUGUAUGAAUAUAGAUGUGGAUAACUAGGAUUAUGGCAUUCUCUAAGGUGAUAGAGAAUUGACAAUGUGUAGUUUAACUUGCAAACAAACAUGCAUGAAGUAUAUGCUAAGUAGAAUAAUUAACUACCAUUGGAUAAGAACAAUAGGCAGGCAUGUAUAUGUAUGCCUAGGUGCGGACAUUGAACAAAGUCGAUAUUCUGUAGGGGCAUUAGAGAACUCAACAAGAACUAGAUGCUAUGGGAAUUAUGAAUCCUAAGUGUGGAAAACUAGGAUAAAUAAAGAAUGUGAUUGGAAUGUCAUUAAACCUAGAGUCAAGCGAACUUAGGUGGGAAAUAUUUUUGAACCUAGUGUCAUUGAACAUAGGUUGGAAAACAUAGUGGUAGGAUGACCACUUGGAUUGGAAUAUUAUUGAACCCAGUGUCAUUGAACAUAGGUUGGAAAUAUAGUGGUAGGUUGAUCACAUGGACACGAAUGACUCAAACCUAGAAAGGUUGACAAUAUAGGGUAAAGACAAUGAACCCUUGUGAUUGUGAAAGAAGGAAUUCUGGAACUCCUAACAACCUAAGGUCGGGGGUGCGCAAAUUGCCACCUAAUGCCAAAGGGGUGAUUGAUACCUAUGAGCCUAUGGUCGGGGGUGUGCGAAAAGCCACCUAAUGCCAAGGUGCGAUGUAAGAUGAAUGAACUCGCUACUAAUAACUCCGGCGGUCGGUGGUGCUCGGAAUGACACCUAAUACCAAAGGAUGGAGUGACUUCACAAGUUAUAGACUUACGACUGGGGGUGGACGAUAAUCUCGCCACCUAAUGCCAAGAAGAGGAUGGCGGUGCUCCACUAAUGAUUGACUCAAGACUGAGUCGGGUGGUAUAGCUUGGCUAAGGUAAAAGAACCUUAGAAGCAGAUUGGAAAUGCGAUGGAUUGUGAAAUAGAAAGUAGAAGAGGAAUACCUACUUGCAUGAAUUUCAUUAUUGCAUUUAGUUGAGGCAUAAGCAUGGAUUUUAUUUGUUCGCACAUAGUACAGUUAUAUAUUUAUAUGUUGGACUAACAUGUCUAUGUUGCCUCCUUUGGAUUUGGUGGGUCAAGCUCUUCCCUUGGGUGGCCGUACCCAUUGGGAACUAUGUUCAUAGUUCUCACCCCCAUCUUUUUCAGGUCCACACGUGAGUAGCACGGAAGCGCGAGAAAAGGGCGUAGAUCAGUAGAUAGCGCCCUACCACUUGUGACUAAGAUAGAAGUACCCUCUACUACGUAGCUUAGGGGUAUUGAAAUCUAGAGCAAGAAAAUAUUGUAAUAAUAAUUGAUUGUAUUUGGAAAGAGUGAAAGAAAAAAAAUGUAAUGCGUAAUAUGUAAUGAGAUGAAUGCUUGUAAUGCUUGUAAUAGUGUAGAGGUCCUUGAAGAGCGUCUCAAUCGAAUCGACCCAUAUGUCUAUGACCCAUAGAUCGAUUGUCUCCGCGUCGAAGGUAGGCGGGUUGAUCUUAAAUGUCAUGAGGGCCGCGAGAGCACACUCCCUCUCCGCCUCCAUUACCGCAUGAUCGGGGACCGAAGUGCUCGAAUCAGUCGUGACCACCAAUGGCGCAGGUUGCGCUUGUCACGCCCCGGGACCCAGCGGAAGCCCCCUGGUGCGUGUCCAGAUCCACCAUAUGCCUACAACAUAUAAGGCGUCUACAACAAAGCGAUAAAUAAAACAAAAGUAAACAAGCAUCUAGGGAUAUCAGAGCAUGAAUACAACUAAAUUCUGACGACAAGUAGAAAUAUAAAAGAACUAAACAACUAGCAUAAAUCAUAAGGUAAAUACAUCCCAAGAUCCAAAUACAAGGUACUGGAUACAAAAGUGGUGGUCUCUACACAUAGGGUACAAAAGUCUUUCUCUCUACAACUAAAACCAAAAAGAGAGAUGACCACCUAGAGCAAUCACCAACUGUCUAGCUAGAGGCAACAACAUUGCCACGGUCCCUAACCUUUCCCGGCGUGGAAGGCUCUGUAACAAAAACAACAACACAGAGGGCGUGAGAACUAUUAAUCAAUAGUUCCCAGUGGGUAAACCGCCGACAUCAGCGAAAUACAUCACUAGGUUAUAGAGGCAAAAGUAGUAAAAGGAAACUGAAUUAGACAGCAAAUAAAUUUAACUAGUAUAAUGUUUUGCUAAGCUACUAUGCCUCAAUUUAGCAUGAUGUUCAUCAAGUGAUACUACUAUUCUAUCAUGAAUGAGUAUAUUCAAUGAGUAUACUAAUAUGUUCUAAACAUGUCCAACAAGUAUACUACUAUGUACCAAGCAUGUCUAUCAAGUAUACUAAUAUGAAACAAGCAUGUCUAUCAAGUAUACUAAUAUGCAACAAGCAUGUCUAACAAGUAUACUAAUGUGUAACGCACUGGACCUUCGUAAAUUGCGAGGUUCGAGUGACUGGAUGGGUUUCGAGCUUUUCCACACUUGGUGGAGGGUCGUAGAAUAUUUUCCGACCUAAAAAGUUCGAAAACCUAAAUUCUGGAUGAGUCCUGAGAAUUUUCACUCUCGGGGACCGGUCCCUGAAAGGAGAGACCGGUCCCCCAGUGAACAGUGUUGCGGCAGCCCUGAGGCAACCGGUCCCUGGCGGGCGAGACCGGUCCCCGAGCGCGUCUACGCAGUGAGAGACCGGUCCCGCGCAGGGAGAGACCGGUUCCCGAACGUUAGUUUCUCGGGUUCGCAGCGAGAGACCGGUCCCUGCUAGGGAGAGACCGGUCCCUUUGGGCGAAAACUGCCCAGACCGGGCUGUUGCAAUAUUGGAUUUUUGGGGGGCCUCACUGGAUUUUGUUACACUAGAUGGGCUUAUUAGCCAUUCCAUCCUCUUUCCUUCCUCAUUUUCUCACUCUCACCCUCUCCCUACACUUUCUAGAGAGAGAAGAAGAAGAAGGAGGAGGAGAAGAGGAGGAGGAGCUUGCUUGAGGAGGCUUGGAGCUUCACCCCUUUUCCCCUUUCCACCUUUGCAAGGCUUGGAGCUUGCUUGUAGAGCUUGGUGGUGGACCAAUCUUCAACCCUAGGAGAUUUAGAGCUUGUUUGGAGGCAUCUUGGGAGGUUAGUACUUGGAUUCUACCCUUUGAUCCUUGAUUUGGUAGGUUUUACCAUAUGGAACCCUAGAUUUGAUGCUUAGGGUUUGAUUUUGGGGCUUUUUGAUCUAGGGCUUUUGGAGCUAGAUUGUUUGGAUCAGAACCUUCCUUGAGCUUGGAUUGGAAGGGAUUUAGCUCUCUUUUGGAGUUUGAGAGAGAUUUUCCACUCCUUAGGUGAGUUUUAACCCUUUUGCUAUAAUUGUUAAUGUUUGAACCUAUAGUUGAUCGUAAUGCCCGUGUAUCUCUUCGCUCAAUACUUUUAGGGUAUUUUGAGACUCGUGGACAACUCCGUUCGGCGAAUCGAAGGAGCACGCGACGGUUCGGUGGGUUUGACCUAGCCACUCAAUGAGAAAAUCUCAUUGUUGACGAUUUAAGUGUUAUAAAAUGAAAAAGCAUGCAUAUUCUUGUUAUAUGUAUUUAUUGUGAAUUUUAGAAUGCUUAAAAUGCCUAUGUUGCAUAUAGUAAAAUUUUGGGCCUCUAUGUAGUAGAGAGCAUGCAUGUGUGAUAUAGCAUUCUGGUUGAGAUUUGAAACUAAGAUCCCUAUUAUGAAAAUGAACCUUGCUUUCAUGCAUUUAGCUUAUUUGCCAAUUGUGACAUUAGGGAUUUUUGGAAGCCUAGAGAGGCUUGAGGACUUAGACUAUUUGAGAGAUUGGGCCAAUGUCAUAAAGAGGCAUUGGGCCCGGGCUAAAGUGAACCUUGCUAGUAUUGUUUUAAUUGGAAUAUGGAACAUGAAUUGGGCAUGAUUAGUUGUGAUGCUUAAGUGUCAUAAAGAGGCACUAAGCAAGUGUGUGCGUUGGAGCGUCACUUUGAGACUUUGGACUAGAUCCUUGGGAUGCUAGUGACCUUGCCAUGUGAGAGGCAUGAGAGUAGAGUACUUGAGACUUUGACCUUGCUUGUUUGCCAUUUGUGCUCAUUCGCACAUGCUUGUGAGGGUCGCUCCCUACAAGCCGGCACUCCGGAGUUAGCCUACGCGACUUAUGUUCGCUCGUGCGGUAUUGAGAAGCCUACGGGGUCGAGUGGGACAGACACAUUCCAAGAGUAGGGAUGUCGGGCUACCACAGGCACUUAGGAGGCACUGUUAAGUCUUGUGUAUUGGCAAGUUUCGUGAAGUGAGUCGGAGUCUUGAAGAACCGGUGCGUUUCAUCGAAGAUCGAAGAAUUCAAGAUUUCGAAGAAGUCAGAAAAUAACUCACGACGUGAAUCACGAUGCUCUGGUAAAGUUUUAAUUCAUGACUAAGGUGAUUCAUACUUAAUUGUAGACAUUAAAAUUAUAAUAUCAUUGUCUAAUCGAUUAGAAAGUGCAUUGGAACUUUGCAAAACCCGAAACGGCAAAAAUUUGCAAAGUGUACCGGUACAGCAUCAGAAGUGUAAAGCUGGACUACCUUUGGUAGGUCCUUAAUUGGAAAUGGAAAUCAACACGGUGUUAAGAUUGAAUAAUCACUGCUAGAUAGGCUUAGUAGUUGGGUUACUUGACACGCUCAUGACAUAGCAUUGGGAUACAUAUAGUAUACUUGCCUGUUUCAUUCAUUGUGUCAUAGUAUACUGGGUCGCAUGAUAGAGCUCAUUCUUUAUACAUGACAUCUUGGACAGUAGCGUUUACUUGUUGCUAUCGGACGUACUUGUUUAUGCUAGAGUAGAUGUAUAUCAUACUUACAUCAUGCUUACUUGAGACAUAGUAAUAUAGCAUUUCAUAUAGGCUUUCUUUCAGCAGUUAUUGUAUACGCUCUUUAUUGCUUAUUAUUAUUGUCGUUACUUACCCUUUUCUUUUGGGGCCUAGUGGUGCAUUGAGCUAAGGUCAGUAAUUGCCCACUGGGAACUAUAAAUUAUAGUUCUCACGCCCUCUGUUUUGUAUUUUUUUUCAGAGCCUUCCACGCCGGGAGAGGCUAGGGACUGAGGGAAAGGCGUGGCUUCGAGCUAGCUCUUCAGCGAGUGACGAGUCGCUAGGUGGUCUACCUCUCGAGGUUUUUAUUUUGUGAGAGGUUGAGAGUUGUACCCGUAUAUGUAUAGAGACCACCUUUCUUUUGGAUCUUGGUAUUUCUUUUGAGGAGUUAGUAUUGUAUCACCUUAUGCUUUACUUUCUUUGUCUAGUUAUGUUUCUUUUACUCUGGUUUAGAUGAUAGAACUUUACUCGCUCUGAUAUCGUUAGUUGUUAUUAUUUUAUUUGUUCUAUCUCUUACUUUACUUCCGCUUUUUAUUGUAGACGCCUUAUAUGUGUAGAAAUAUGGCGGAUCUGGGCACGCUAUCGGGAGGGCCUCCGCCGGUCCUGGGGCGUGACACAGAGAGGACUCUCAGGAACCGGUCUCUCAUCUCAGGGGACCAGUCCCAGCACAUUGAAAACUUCAGUUUGUGUUUUCUAUAGCAAUCCAAGUCUUCUAAACUUAUAUUUCGGUAGUUUAAACACACCACAAAUGAUCUAACAUUCAUACCUGAGGUGUCGAGCUUUCUGAAUAGGUCUUUGAUUCUUCAAAGUGAAUCUUCUCUUCAAAAUUCCGCGAUCAACUCUUCAAGACUCCAUUCGACUUCAUGAAAUCCGCCAACCUAGAAAAUCCUUAACAACCGACCCAUUUUUUUUAGUUUGGGCCUAGUGGUGCAUUUCAUUGAAGCCAGUACUUGCCCACUGGGAACUAUUAUUCAAUAGUUCUCACGCCCCCUGUUUUAUUAUUUUAUUUCAGAGCCUUCGGCACCGGUGGAAGCACGGGAUCGUGGCAAGGGAGUCGCGUAGCUAGUUAGCGGGGAGCUACUUUUGAGCUUAGGUGGUUUACUCUUCCUUUUAUUGUAUUAGAGAGAGAGAGAGAUUUUGCACCAUGUAUAGAGAGACCACCUAUGUACCUUUCUAGCACUUAUUGUGGGACCUCAGUUGUACUACUUUAUGCUUUUAUCUAGUGGACUUUUGGCUUUAUGUUCAUUUCCUUAUUGUAGCUCAUAGAUACAUUUUGCUCUGAUACAGCUAGAUGUUUUUCUCUCUUCUUGCCUUGUUUAUCGUUUUGUUUAGACGCCUUAUAUGUUUUAGACAUAUGGCGGGUCUAGGCACGCGCCGGGCGGGCUUCCGCUAGGCCCCGAGGCGUGACAGUCCGUGAGCUGCCCGGACAGUCGCUAGCUGCCCGCAGGCGGCCUCGAGGGAUAGUUCAGCGAGACUUCUCCCCUAUGAGACUUAAAAAACGUGAGAUUGAGAACGAGUUUUCGGGUUAGCCGAACGAUUGGGUAAGUUGAUGAAUAAACCUCAUUGUUGAACAUAGUAGUAUGGUAGCUAACCUUUCUAUGAGUUGCAUGUAUUCAUUAUACUGGAUUAAGGCAUGGUAGAGUACUUGCACUUCUCUUUAUCGUUAUUUUCUUAUUGCUAUCGCUUCAAGUUUAUCUAUCUACCUAUCUAUCUGCUCAUGCCUGUUUAGACCUAGUGGGGAGAUCGGCGGAGUUGGCGGCCGAACCCACUGGGAACUAUGGACAAUAGUUCUCACCCCACUUUGUUGCAGGGCUAAGUUCGAGUACUUCAGUUGAGGAUCGUGGUAAGGGAUUAGCGUCCUAGUGUUGGUAGAAGCCUCCUUUUUGCAUUAGACUACCGUAUGUAUAUUCGAGAGUAGAUGAUGUAUAGUUGUGAGGCUAUUUUGGAAAAUGUAAGCUUUAUGUUCAUGUUUUGGAAGUUAAGUGUAAUCAAGUUGUAUUAAAAAGGUUGAAUGAAUGUAAUAGCUUAGCAUGUCUCUUUUAUUUCACUUGUAUGUAUUUUACUUGUGAUGCUUGCUCUCGAUUGUUUAGCACUUGUUGUGCUCUAGCUAUUGUUGUAUGAUCGUGUAUGUAUCCAAGUGUUUUCCUAGGAACUUGUUGUACAUGAUCUCGUUGUUUAGCCUUGGGCAGACAGGGGAGGUCCUGUCCGUUCGGCGUCUGUUCGACACGCUCGAACCGAACCAAAUUGGUAGCAGGUCUCGGGGCGUGACAUCGGCCCUUGCCAUUUGGCCGAUGGUUUUACUUUGACUUCAUGCCACUUGUCCACCGGCACAUUUGCCGGUACUUUCACCGUUCUCAAAUGAUUUUUCAAAAUCUCCUUUCUUUCCGAGGGUUUCGGCCAUGGCUGUAUGCCGAGCUCAUUGACCAAUCUUCGACCGAGGAAUUCUAUGUCUCCCGCGGUCAUCCCUUCAAACUCCGGUUCUAGUCUCGGCCUGGCUUGAUGCUGCCAGUGCGGCCGGUACCCAGGGAACCUUUGCUUGGAACCAAAAGAUUUCUCCGGAUAACUCCAUCGGCUAUGAUGUUCUUCUCUCCGAUUGUUGUAGUAGUCAUGCAGAACUUUCUGCAUUAAUAAAUUCUUUUUGCGUUGAAUCGAAUCAACUUCCUAUUCUGUCUCGUUGGAGGCUUCAUCUGAGCCAUCCUCUGACUGAUUAUCUCCUUCAGGAAUAUCGUCCCAUUCCUCAGGGAAUGCCAUCAAUUCAUUCCAUUCGUUGCCUCUCUUUUUGUUGUUGAUGAUGGCUUCCCAAUCUUUUUUCGUCAUUUCGGCUUUGCAUCUUAUGCAAAGCCGAAGGUUUCUUUUGGCAUGUGCAAUGUUUUCAGCAGCCGUCUUGUCCGCAAUCUCCUUUCGUUUAGCAUUCACCAUGUUAACCUGUAAAGGAAAUGAAUUUUUGUCAAUUUCUAUGUUUUUAUUUUCUUGGUCGGCUAAAAUGAGCCGACCCUCGUCUAUUUCUUCUUGGAUCUGCCUUUUUGCAGUCGCUUUUUCUUUUCCGUUCAUAUUCACUAUGUUGACCUGUGUUGACCUGUGAUGGAAAAGGAUUCUUAUCAAUUUUCAUAUUUUUAUUUUCUUGGUCAACAAAUAUGAGCCGACCCUCAUUUAUCUCUUUUUGAAUCUGCCUCUUAAAGGCAAUGCAUUCAUUUGUCUUAUGGCUCCAUGAGUGGUGCCAUUUGCAAUAUUGUCUACGUUUUAAUUCUUCCACAGGAGGUAUUGUUUGACCCUCCUGCAAUUGAAUUCGACCAUCUUUUAGCAACUGAUCAAAAAUUAGAUCGGUCUUUGACACAUCAAACGAAUAUCUGUAUGCCGACACCCGUGCUUUCGCCUCGCUUGAUUUAGCGGGCUUCAACAAAGCACAUUAAUAUGGCUGUCGGUUUUUCACAAUUUCGGCUGCAUAUACUUCGGCUUCAUGAGCCGAAUCCUCAGCCCCUUCAGGCGAAUUCGACGAAUUCGGCUCCUCAUGAGCCGAAGACUCUUUAAGGAACGAGAUAUUUUUCUCCUUCCCUUUGUUCCACUCUUUGUUUCGGCUCCAUCUGGGCCGAUUUUCAUUGUUUUCUUUUCAAAAUUGCUCAUACUGAGCAAUCCGAACUCCCAAAUCGUAAAGAUUUGAAAAAUACUUAUCUUCAAAAUGAUCUUUAAUUUUGAAAUGCAAGCCGUUAAAUGCCAUUUUGGCAAAUUCUGACUCUGGCAUUCCUACGAAACAACGGCUCCUAGCUGUCUUAAACCUAUUCAAAUACUCCUCAACCGAUUCGCCUGUUCUCUGUUUGAACUGGGCUAAAUCGGCAACCGAUAAUUUCGGUUCCGUUCUAUAGAAUUGUUCAUGAAAUUUUUCUUCUAAUUCGUCCCAAUCUCGGACGGAAUUAGCCGGCAAACUUGUAUACCAAGUGAAAGUUGUUUUGAUCAACGAAGUAUUGAAUAAUCUUAAUUUUAAAAAUGGAUCUGCCGCGGUUUCACGGCACUGAGUUGUAAACUGUGUGACAUGUUCGACCGUAUUUUCGGUCUCAUCGCCGGAGAACUUAUCAAAUUUCGGCAUUUUUCAAUUUGCCAGGUAUGGAUGCUCUGCAUGUAUAUUUGCAGAGUAUGGUGAUCGAAAUACGGGCCACAUUGCCGGCCUUGCGCCUACUCCGAAGGUGUUUCGGAUGGCUUCCUCGAUCUGUGCAUAUAUUUCAUUAUUAAUCCCCUGUAAGGGGACUUGCGCUUGUGCUGGAUUCGGCCCUUGUGGUGGUCCGAAAUUUUGCACAAUAGGAUUUGCUCCUUGAAUAUUUGGAGCCUGCCCCCUAUCCCCUACAUUUUGGGGCUGGUAUGUUGCCACUGGUGGAGGAGGCGGUAACCCCCAUGCUAUCUCUGGUUGUUGGCCGGCGUUGAUAACUGCUAGUCUAUAAACUCCCAGAAACGAUGCCCCUUGGUAUUGAGGUUGACCGUUUGCCGGUGUUACAGGAUUUUGUAACACUGGUGUCAUUACAGGCGCUUGUAAACCUGCUAUUGGCUGCUCAUUCCGAAUUAAUAAUUGCCCUAUUCGGGCAAUAUUCUCCUUAGAGGCCGUGAUUGCGGCCAACACUGCAUCUAGCCAUGCAGUGCUAGUAUGGCUAUUUUGGUCCAAAACUUGUAGGACUCGAGUCAUUUGCCCAAGCGCCUGAGCCAAACUAGGCUCUUGCUUGCCAAAUUGGCCGCUAGUCUCACCCUCAGCAGGCAAAAUCGCUUGGCGUUCGGCAACAUUUUUUGAAUUGCUGGGCUGUUCGCUCCCAGAGCUUCUAGGAACGGCCCUAUUACGUAAAUUCAUGGCAUUAUCAUCAGCCAUUAUCUUAAAACAAAAGUAAAUUUACCUCAAAAAGUCCCACCGGGCGUGCCAAAAAUUAUUCAUUGCCGAAAUCCUCGACCCUUGACCCGGUCAAAGAUCCUCCUCGAGGAGCGUGUCGGGACGGAAACGACUUAUGGUACUGACCCUCGAAGUUUGCGCCCUUCGAUCGAUCAAGCGAUUCGGCUGAUGAGGGAUCAGAUCAACCAGGUUCAAAAACUCUACAGUAAAUUCGGUUCGGCCAGAUGAGCCGAAUGUACGGACCAAGCAAGAACUAAAGUCGGCCGAUGAGCCGAAUGGCUAAAGAACACAGGGAUUAAUCGGCUUGAAGAGCCGAAUGUCUUUAUAUUCACUGAUGAGAAGUACAGGGGUCGAGUGUGCCAGAUGGCAUGCAAACUCGGUCAAUCUACUUAAACUACUCCUAGGAAGAAUAGUAAAUGCGGGAAAGAGAAAAUUACAAGUAGACUACUACUAGAAAAUGCUGAAAAUUGCGAGAAAAUAAGGGCGGUCUUUUGUUCACAGGGAAAAGACCCCAUUUUAGGGCGUUAUUGACCUAUUUAUAGAUCGCCCCUUGAUCAGUUAUUGCUUUUACACGAUCGGCCACCAUCUCCUAAUAUUUUGAACCACUUCCAGCCAAUCGGAAUCGCUUGCAACUGCUUGCGGUUACUGUAACUUCCCUCAAAUCGUGCGGUUUAAUAUUCUUCCGGUGCUCCCGGUGCAUUGCAAAUCAAUACAAUUGAAUGGAGUACCGGUGUACCAUAUGUCUGCGCCUUAUUGGCUCAACAACAGUUGUCUGGGGCUCUCCUCUAUCCUUCAAUUAGAGAAUUAGGAGAUCAAUUUGGUUCAAAACCUUAAAGCCCCCAAUUCUAACCCUAGAUUUUCAUUUCCCCAAAAGAUAUCCCAAAUCCAUGGAGAAAUCUUGAUUAAACAAGUUUAGAAUCAUCUAGGGAUCUCUAGAAUCUCAUUCCAAAGGAUUCAACCCAAACCCUAAACUCUUAACCCAAAAACGAACCUCGAGUCGGAAGCGCUUCGACCGUCCAAGCGUCCGAGAGCUCGAUACACCGCUCCACCGAGCUUCCGGAGUUCGAUCUCCACCAAGCUCUCCAAUUUGGAAAAGGAGAAGAAGAGAAUGAGAGGGAUUAGGUCCUCUCUCCCUCACUCUGUGUGUGUGUGUGUGUAUCAGCCGAGAAAGGGGGGUUGGGGCCCCUUUAUAUAAGCCCUCCAUUAAAAUUACGAUAUUGCCCCUCAAAAAUAGCACUCUGCCAGGCUGAGUACCGGUACUCGGGUUGGCGUACCGGUACUCGGGCGUCCAAUAUCGGUACCCGGCCUCAAGUAUCUCAGAACUCGAGCGCUGGAUUUUCCAUUUCUCUACUGCGUACUGGUACUCGAUCCCGCGUACCGGUACCUAAUACAAAAUCUACAGAUUUUGUACCGAUACUCGAGCUCAGUACCUUAAAACUCGAGAGCAUAAUUUCCACCCUUUGCAUUGCGUACCGAUACUCACUUCCCAGUACCAGUACUCAAUGCAAAAUCUGCAACUUGGCAGAUUUCAUCCUUUCGAGUCCGGUUUCGUGUCCAAUUUGCACCGAAAACACUCUAAUGCUCUCCAUACCUUGUCGGAACUUAUUUAAUUAGCUUUUUAAGUUAAUCCCCAUUGAAAUUUCAUAAUUACAAAAGUUUGGUAUAUUACAGUACUGGUACUCAAUACAAAACUUGCAGCUUUAAUAUUUCAGAGUCCGUUUUCGCACCCGAUUGCGCCGAAAACACUCAAAUACUCACAGAAGUCACUUCUAGCAGCUCCAAAGCCUUCGGGACAAUACAUGAACCUCUCCAAUCGUCCCCUCACCAAACUUUGGCGAAUUUGACCAAAGUUCGAUACAAUACAUUAGGGGGAUCAGUACAUUACAACUUAUUUUGGGUUGUGUAAUGAAAACAAAAGGAAAAUCUUGUAUGAAAUUGAAUGAAAAAGAUGUAAUUGAAAUAAUAUUUACUUUAUAUCGUGUGAUGCUCUCCUUAUGCAAUUCAUGUAUUCAAUUCCUGUUUGGAAUAUAUUGUGUAUGCAGGUUUGUGACGCCUUGGGCGGAUAGAAAAUAUUAUGUCUGUUCGGCAGGUUUGGUGCACGCGCCCGAGCGAGAUUUCUUCCACCUGUUGGGGGAAGGGACGGCGGGGCGUGAUAGGUGUUGGUUGAGUAAAAUGAGCCAUAAGAGCAAAAAAUUCUAACCUAUUACUGUGCAAAAAUUUCAAGUUUCGGGUGCGCUAAACCGCUUCUGGGCGCCCUAAACUGCCCACCCUCAAGGUUCCUGCAAUGCGGGUUCACCCGCACAGCAGUCUGGUGAGCCUAUCCUUCUCCAAUGGCUCUCACCUAUUACAUGCUCGUGUCAACACGUUCAAUAUUCACGAAGGUGAAUUUGGGCUCAACUUUCGGGUGAUUAAAUUGGUCCGAAAUGACUUCAGCAUCCUAUACAAAAUAGCACUUUAGAUCUAGAUGCCAUAAACCACUUCUGGGCGCCCUAAACUGUCAGAACUUCAGCUUUGGCUUAUUUAAGUGUGCCGAGUCAGUGUUCGCAUCCAUUUCGUGCCAAAAUGACUCCUACUCAUCCCAACACCCUACAGAUGUGUCAACUAGUUGCUGAUGCUGUAGUCAUUCCGACAGUUAAUCCCGAGAGACACUACAUACUCGUUCGUACCUUUCAUGAUAGCCACUUGCACUAGAACGAAAUAAGUCUCGGAUCAUAGAUAUUGAUUCAUUCACGUGUCCUUAGAUCGUUCACGUAGGUCUUCUAACACUCCAAACUCACGGUAGAUCGAGUUAUGAAUCAGCUAAAUCUAUAAUCUAUCGUUCAAGACCCUCUAGAAGCAAUAGGUUAAUAGAGGAUGCGAUUUUUCUCUCUCACAAAAUGGCGCACAAAUAUCUCACGAAAUUUUUAGGUAUUUCUCUACUUUUUUAUUGUUCAUCUUUUAUGUGAGAAUCACACACAUAUUUAUAAGAGAUCAAAAUAACCUAAUAUGCAAGUAAAUGAUUAGGUCGAAUCAGUUUAUAAUUGCUAUUCUAAUGUAACUAGAAUAUAUCUCAAAUUAGUUUUCCAAAUUAAAAGCGAGAUUAAAUCUAGUCCAAUUAAACAACAUAAUAACAAUCUAACCGAGCCCAAUCAUGGGCGCAUUCGAUUCAGUUUGGCAGAAUGCCAACACAAAAUAAUGAACCUAAUAGUUCAAAGAGUUUAAUGUUUAUAUUUGAUGGCAAUGUUGGAAAAUUUUUCUGAUCUUUUAUUACAAUAUUCUUUUAAAAACCAAUUCGAAAAUUUAAUUUCAGGUUUAGGAAAAUCCCGGAAUGAAAUUCAAUAACAAAUACUAUAAAGAAAAGGUUUAGAUAAGGCCUGUGGAUUUAGACGUACAGAGUACGUACUGUCCUAGAAGCGAAAUUGCCCCUCCAAGUGCGAGGCUUCCCAGCAAUUAUUUCUAGCGAUACAACAAUUACGUUUCAUCCCGUCGGCAUGUUUCCAAGGUGGCGCAAUAUGAAGCCAAUAAGCUUCAGAAUCAGCAAAAGAAAACUCGGUGAAAAUCGGCGGAAAAGAUUAAUGGCGAGAAAGGAGGAAAAGACGGGAGGGCUUAGGUAUGCUCGGGCUCUUUUUCAACUCGUGCAACCUUGCCCAAUAUUUAUAAUCAAGGCGAGAAUCUUGCUCCAAUGCAUCAAACCCGUGUAGAACAAGAUAAGCCUACGAUUAUACGGAUAAGGAUUAGGAUUAGGAUAAAGAUUAUAAUAAGGAUUAAAAUAAAGAUAAAAUCGAAAAAAAAUAAUAAUAAUAAUAAACCGGGUGUAUGGACCGCACGCGCGCCGUCGCCCGGGCGGCUCGUGCCGUGCGUGCGUGUGUUUAAACGAGAGCAUUACUCUCAUUUUCUUCCAAACAACUAGCUUGAGAAAAAAGGAAUAUAUAAAAACCACAAACGCCCGUUUGGUUUCCAGUAUGGGACUAAACAUCACAAUGAAAAUUAAUUUUAGUUGGGCUCCCAAGCGGCCCAUUAAUAAUUAUUGGGCUCUCAAGAGGCCUUAACAAGUUUUAAAUCACAAAAAAUCCAAUAAAACCCAAUAAAAUCCAAUAGGCAAAAGGCUUUAGCCCUUUGCAAAAGGUUCUUAAUUUGUUGGUUAUUAAUAUAUAUAUCGGCAAACCCAUUUGGUAUUUGUAUAAUAUGCAUGAACCAAUCAAAGUCUUUCAUAAAUAUUAUUUACACCAAUACAUUACAACUUUUAAAGGGAGCUUUCUACAGGGUUAGUUGUACUAAUUAGAGCACUACUAUUCAUACACCUCAAAAAGAGUAUAUAUCGUAGGCUUCAUCCAUCCAAUGACUAUUGUUCUUUCAGUCACAUUGGUGUAACCGGUUAAGAAAUCUCAAAUAUAGAAUGGGUAAGGUAUAUAAUUUACUCUCUAAGAGAAGUGUAGAGGUAGCUUUUUCCUACUCUUUUUUAUAAUUUUUUGUAGAAUUUUUGAGGUAGAGCACCACCGAAGUCUAGAGCUUUUUUAAGGAAACCUAAUUUUUUCAAGAGCAAAGGUAAGGCUCAGCGGAUUUGACGAAUGAAGAAAUUGGAUUUUGUUCUCGAUCUCACCAUAAGCAAUUCUCAAGGGCCAAUUAAUCAGUCGAAACAAGUUAUCAAUUUGUGAUCAACUUGUCGACAAAAAUUUUAUAAGGUGUAUAUUAUAGAAGAUGGGACGAGAAGAACUUGAACAUCGAUCUUCUUAAUUAAAGUUGCUACUUCACUCCACCCUAUCAAACCUACUUGUCCUUUUCAUCACUUACAUAAAAUUACGGAAAGAAGCCCUACAAUCAUCUAAUUUUUGCCAAAUUUAUAAUUUAAUUUCUGAAUCUUAAAUUACUAUAGUUUACACCCUACCUUAUAACUUUGUAGCAAUCUAACUCAGAAUUUAUUUUUGUCAUACUGACGAGAAAAAAAAAAAAAGGAAAGCAUUGGUGAAUCAACAUAUUAGGAUUAGUUGUUUCCCCCCCGUCACCGAUCGAUUCAACGAGAUUACCACCAAUACUGUACUGUUCUAAAAUUUUAGUAGUCGUCCAGAAAGCUUGUACAUAAAUAAAAUUUUGUACUCAAAGUGCAGUCCAUGAACAAACAAAUUAUUCAGUAACAAAAACUAUCUGUUCCUAACGCAACGUGCCAAAGAACUUGAUCGUUGCUACCGAUGUUUUAAAUUCAAAGCUUAAUUACUUUAUAUUUCUAGCAAAUUUUUUUAAAAAAUAAAUAAAAUAGAUGGCAUGCAAUAACUUUUCCUAAAGAAAUAAUAACAAUUUACUAGCAAAAAUAAAAAGUGAAAAAGCAAUCCUGCAGGUAACAAUUCUGUAAAUUUUAUGUUUUUUUUUUAACUAAAAUACAGAAAACUAUUUAUUUUUUAGGCUUCGGCCGCAAACCAUCAAACUUUUAGGCAAUUAUAUCUAGUAGAAUCAAUAUAAUUAUGCAAAUUCUAAUCAGCAAUAAUUCAUAUAUAUAGUAAUCUUCUCUCUCAAACUUUGUAGCUGGUCUGACAAUCUCAUUAAAUGCCACAAUUCAAAUUGAGAUCAAUUGUCCUCACUUACCUGGCUUAUCAGAUUUAGUACAUAUAUCUUAUUGAAAACUAAAAGGAGAAACAUAGAAUUUUAGCUUGUGCAACACACAGAUCGAAGCUCAGUUUUAUUCAGGUAUAGAAAAGAGUACAGGCCGCCACGCCGCCUUUACCAACCGGCUUCGAAGACCAGCCGACCCGAACCUGAACCUCCUGCCGCCACCGCCGUCGCAGCCACUAUGAUGGCCAACAGGCACCGCCCUCCGUUGCGGCAAUAACCGGUGCUCACUGCCUUCCAAUGGCAGCGGUGACAACACAAAUAGCUCCCGGAGAGAGUUGCGGGUGAUCAGCCUCUCCCUCUUCGUCUCCGUACCCAACGGUUUAUCCGCAGAGCGAUAGCGUCGGCCAAGCAGGCGAUGCCAUGAUAGAGAGAAGCAUAGCUUGCUUUGAACUUUCCGGCAUCGAUGGUGAGUGACAGGGGCGAAGUUCUUCGACAGAAUUUGUGGCGGUCCUACACAUUGCGUCGCGAGCUGCUUGAUCCUGUCAAGAAGAAUUCUCAUCUUCUAUUCUCGCUCCACUGCGAGUAACAUACGAUUCUGUCACGCCCCGAGCCCGCCUCUUUGGUCGGAUUCGGGCACGCCAACAGACCGCCGAACGGACAGGGUUUCCCCUGCACGCGGACAGAGUCUCCCCUGUACGUUCAAGGCGUCGCAAUCAAUACAAGUACAAGAGGUUCCAAACAGGAACAAUUUUCAACAACGAUUGCAUAAGGAAGGUAUCAAUCAACAUAACACAUCCUAUGUUAUUACAAUCAUUCAUCUCAUCAUUUUACAUCGCAUUUUUCAUUACAUUGAUUCUCAACUUCCAAAUAUACAAUCGAUUUCUAAACAUAAUAUUACAACAUCAAUUCUUUUCUUUUCUUUUCUUAUACCCCUAAGAAGCCGACUCAGGAUGCUGCUAUCUGGUCUCUGUGGUAGGGCGCUAACUACGGAGCUACGCCCUUUCCUCGCGCCGCCGCGCCGCUCGCGUGUGAACCUGUACCCCCAAAAAAACAACAACACGGGGGUGAGACUAUUGUCCAUAGUCGUCAGUGGGUACAGCCACCCAAGUGAAAAGCUCAACCCACCAGGUCCAAAGGAGGCACUGCAACAUGUUAGUCCAACAGAUAUAUAUAUAUAUAUAACAUCAUGCAAUACAUGUUCAUGCCUCACAAAUAUGCAAAUUAUGCAACUCUUAGUCAUUCUUUACCAUUAGCCUUUUUUUAGAAUAUGCAAUUCUUUAUCAUUAGCCAUUCUUUAUUCUUUAAUCUUUAUUCUUCAUUCUUUAUUCUUUAUGCUUUAUUCUUUGUUCUUUAUCCUUUACUAAGGGCACUCGCGCCUUAGGCUCAUCAUACACAUUUGCCAUUCUUUAUAACAUUAACAAGUCUUUCUCAAUUAUCACUCUUUCCUAAGGUUACAUUUACCUUAGCCAACUUUGCCACUCGACUCGGUCUUGAGUCAAUUCAUAAUGAAUACAAGAUCAACUUUCCAAUUCAUGAUCCCUUUUUGUUCUUUGUUCUUUAAUCUCACGGCUAACCCGGGGGUUUCGCCACAUUAACUUGCUUCACAUUAAGUCCAUCAUCGCAGGAACUCACCCGGUAGGACCGUCCUUACGGGUCUACUCCAACCUGGAUGCCAAACUCCGGAGCGCAUCGCCCGAGGGGGAGCGACCGCCCUCGAGCACGGAACUCAUAGCAAGUAUGAUCAUAUCCUUAACUCAAAGGAUUUGUAGUUGAAUCAUGGCUUUACACUAACUCUAGUGUUCUUUACAUCACAUUAGUUGCUAACUCUAGAAAUCAUUGUUCUUUACAUUUCCUUUACUUUUGCUAACUCUAGCAGUCACGUUUUUCACAUUCCUUUACUUUAAGCUAUCUUUAGCUUUCACAUUCUUUAACUUUACACGUUCUUUAUGCCACAUUACAUUACAUUAUCUUUAGCCAUUAUCAUUAUUCUUUACAUCACAUUGCUUUGCCUUGUCUCAAGCCAUUAUCAUUAGGUUCUCACAUUAUAUUUCAUGCAUACACAUAGAUUAUUUAGAUUCUUAAUCAUUCUAAUAAGCACGUGUACUCACAUCAUGCAACAUUACAUUAUUAUCAUCACAUUGUUUUACAUUAUCUUUAGCCAUUAUCAUUGUUCUUUACAUCACAUUUAUUCUUUGAUGUCCCACACUAACUCUAGUGUCCACUUUACCAUUUCGAAUGCCACUCGAUCUAUGUUCAACAUGCAUAUAUUUUGUCAUCCAUUGGUAGUCAUUACUUAGCAUUUUAUGCAUUCGUUAACAUUUACUACAUGCAUUCUCGGUUAGUACAAAUCUCAUACUUUCAUUUGACAUCUAUUUAGCAUUUCUAUAAUAUGCACAUAUAAAUUAACAUCAACUCAUGCAUUCAUUUGGCAUCUAUCUUUAUCAUGCAUUCUUAAUUAGCAUAGUUUAUCAUGCAUUCUCAAAUAGCAUACUUAAUCUUUAUCAUGCAUUCUUAAAUAGCAUACUUUAUCAUGCGUCAAUAGUAAACAUACUACACUUUAGCAUGGAAAGCGACCUAAUCGCUUCGGUGAGCACAACCCACCUCAUUUCGCAUUCCGAUUGCUUGUCGACACUUGCAAUCGGCCUCCCGCGGCACCCGUAACCCGGUUUGGCCCGAUCUUUUGCGCGACUACCGAACGGCCUCCAAUUCACGAUCCGAAAAUUAAAGGUCUUCGGUUAUGUGCCACGAUGCUUCAAAUCAAUUUUCAUGACUUUACGAUAUCGCCUCGGCCCUCCCGGCGGACCCGAAGCCUAAACGUCCAUUUCUUUAAUAACUUUGUAACGCUCGUCGGAUCGCCGAACCGUCUUCGCCAACGCGUUCGUUUACCUAGCAAUUAGGUUUACGGAGGGUCAAAUUAGAUCAAACCCUUAUAUUUUACAAAAUCCCAUUCGGAGCCCUAAUAUGUUAUUAACCUCAAAAUAAUCCAAAAUUAAAUGGAUCAACAUGCUAACAAAGCUCAUUAGAGGCUAUUAGAAUACUUAAAGCUAAGGAUUAAGCCAAAUCCUAAAAGCUUACCUCAAUGUGAACGCCGCGACGACAACACACCGCUCCAACGGGCGCACGAAAGCUCAAUCCGUCGCCUCCAACGCGUUCGCAAGCAUAUUCUCCACCAACCCCGCGAAUUUGAGCGAGAGAUAUAGAGAAAUGAGAGAGAAAUCUAGAGAGAGGAAUGAAGGUUUCUCUCACUAGCACCAUGCGUGCGUGUGUGUGGGUGCUCGGGCUGAAGGAGAGGAAGAAAGAAGCUUCAGCUUCUUUAUAAUACACCCGACACUAUUCACUCCAGGCAACUUAAAAUCUGAUAUCUUUCGCCGGAGCUCCCUGAAUGUCCGUUUGAGCUCAAACUUGACAGUCAUGUUCGGUUUUACUUAACUUAACAAGCUGACGAUCACUGGUUCAGUUUCGACCCCGUUUGGUCACUGAAAACUGUACCGAACUGCAAUCUUUAUCAGAUAGCUUUCGGAUUUUAUUUCUCACUCUAUGGGUGUCAGAAAAAUAUGAAACCUUAAAUCUAGCCUCAUAAAAAUAUUUCUGACAUCUCCGCCAAUUUUCAUAAUUUUCUGAGACUGUGCAUUUUCUGCUUAUUUUUCUGUCCCGUCUCCAACAGAAAAUUCUAGAUCUUCUGUUUUAAUUCCGAUUUCAGCACAAGUCACCUCUGACUUAUGUUUUACCUCUAUAAAUCUAAUAAAAAUAGUUUCUCACACUAUUUUUAUUUAUUAUUAUUUUUAUACCAAAAUCUGGUAUAUUACAGAUUCGAUCUAUGGCACCCUCGUGGAAACAAAUGGGGAAAGGGAGCCAAAUAAUGAGGGGGGUGUACAGAGAGAAUCUUAUUUAUAUGUAUAUAUCUCUUUCAUAGGAGAAUUAGUCCGAGCAGAGAAGCUGAGAAUUGCUGUAGUGCCACUUGGAUGCAAUGGACUGUGCGAGCUUAGUCGGCGGAUGGGGCUGAUGAUUGCUUCCUUUUAGGAAAGGAGGGGUCGGCAUCAGCUUCACUAAUUAAUGUUGGGACGUGGGGUCGUUAGAAGACACUGAAUUUUAGGAUGACUUGAUUUUACUUGUGAAAGUCUUCUCUUCUGUUCAAACAAUGGCCUGCUCCACCAGGUUAGCAUAGGUUAAAUUGCACCCUUUGCCACAUAUUUUUUUGGUGUAAAUUUCAUUUUAAAUUCAAAAAACUUUGAAUUUAGUAUUUAUAUUUUUAAUUUCUAGGUUGCUUUAAGUCCCUUCCCUUACUAUUUUUAAUAUAUAUAUAUAUAUAUAUAGGAACUAGGCUGGAAUACUAUCAAUAACACUAAACUAUUAGUACUAUUAGGUUUUCGGUCAUCGGAUGAAAAAAAUGUAUGGUUAGGAUGAUGUGGGCCCUCUAGAGUUGAGUGAGUUAUUACUUGAAUAAUAUAAUCUAACGGCUGAAAAUAGUCAAAGAGUAUCUAACGGAGGAAAACUCGCUAGCGCCAAGCACUUGGUGCUAUCGAUAGUAUCCCAACCGAAGCCAAGCACUUGGUGCUAUCGAUAGUAUCCCAGCCGAACUCUCUCUCUCUCUCUCUCUCUCUCUCUCAUAUAUAUAUAUAUAUAUAUGGGGAAACUUCAAAUACCCCUUUGUGGUUUCACUUUUUUUCACUUUAUUAGCACCCUGUGGUUUAAAGUGUAUCAAGUUAGUACCCUGUGGUUUUGCACUUUUUUACUUUUGUACCCUAUGGUUUAAAGUGUAUCAAGUUAGUACCAUGUGGUUUCGCACUUUAUCCCCCCAAGUUAUUACUUUAUUAUGAAAUUUAGUUUUCAAAUACUUUCAAUAGUGUAAAUCAAGUCUAAUGGAGCCGAUUGUCGAUUUGGAAGCCACAUUAUUGAAAACAACUUGGUAGCACGGAGGCCUCCGUGCUACCGAUAGUAUAUCACCACCUACCACCACCUACCACCAUCAUCUCAACCCUACAUUUCUCCAUCCAAUGGCUAAAAACUCAAAAGCACCACCCUCAUGGUGCUUUUGAGAGUAUUCUAGCUCAACUCUCUAUAUAUAUAAAAUCUACAAUGCUCUGCUUGGUUCAGGGAUAAUGUGGGGAUAACAAAGUAUAUAUAUAUAUAUAUAUAGAGAGAGAGAGAGAGAGAGAGAGAGAGAGAGAGAGAAAGAGAGAGAGAGAGAGAGUCCAGCUACUAUACUCUUAUGAGUAUAGAGCCUAUUGUACUCAUAAGUUUUUGGCCGUUAGAUCUACCCUUUAAUCAUUUUCACCCGUUAGAUUAUACUAUUCAACCAACCACCCACUCAACCCUAGGGGGCCCACUAUCAACUUAACCAUAACCACUUUCAUCCUAACCGCAAAUUUUUUCAUCCGAACGAUAUAUAUAUCAACCUGACCCGAUGAUAAUCAUCGUUUUAAGAUAACAACGAUAGUCAAAAAAUUGGAAACCUAGUUAAGAAAAGUAAUAAAGAUUGGUAACCUAAUUUAUGAUAUUGGUUCACCCCUGGUGAGUUGGGAUUAGAUGGCAAACCAAGUCCCAAUUCCUUUUUGAUCAAUAUGGUUCCUAUCCCAAGUCAAAUCCCAAUUCCACCCCAAUCUCAUAAAAACACAAACCAACCCCUAACCUCAAUCAGGUCCUAUCACUUUUUAUCAUAAACCAAUCUCAUCCACCCUAUUCUUCUUAUCACCCAAUAAUACUUAUCUUUUAUCACAAACAAACCCCAAACCAACCCAAUCCACCCCAAUCGAUUGAGCCCUAUUGGUUAAACUCCACCCCAAUCGAUUGGGGUGCCAGGGGUGGGUAAAAAUCUUCAUAAACCUUUAUUUUAUCCCCAAUCCCCAAUAAGGUGGGGGAUUGGGGAUUGGUUUGUUAUCGCUGGUGAGUUGAGAUUGGCUGAUUAUAGUAGGACUGGGGUGUGUAGGGUAGUUGGUUGCCAAUUUUUGAACUACUCGUUUUUCUCUCAGAGAUGAUUAUUAUCAUAAGGUCGUAUUGGGGUAUGUAUAUAUAUAUAUCCGACACCGAUGAUAUGAGUAUACUCAUAUCUCGGGAAACAUGAGUAUUCAAAAGCUGNNNNNNNNNNNNNNNNNNNNNNNNNNNNNNNNNNNNNNNNNNNNNNNNNNNNNNNNNNNNNNNNNNNNNNNNNNNNNNNNNNNNNNNNNNNNNNNNNNNNAAGGGUUUGGUACUAUCAAUAGUAUAGUAGCGAGACUCAUCUCAUUCUAUAUGAUAUAGGCUUAAUAAGAUGAAGAGACCCUUUAAUAACCGUUGAGGGUCUCGGACCAAUGCAAACUAACUAUAACUGCCUCAACUACCACCAGUCUCAUGCACAUGCGCUGACGUGGCAGGCCUAGUCCACUAAAUAAUAAUCAGUACGUACCAAACUAUAUUAACUACCUAAUAUAACCACCUAUAUACAUAUAUAUAGAGUACAUAGAACCAUAGUUAGUUAAUUCGGAUUCGGCAAAAAUUUAGUACGGAUAUAAUACGCAUAAAAUUCGUUUUCUAAUUUUUAAAUUCGUUGAAAAAUUCGGCUUAAAAAACGGAUUCAGUAUAAAAUAUAAAAUAUAAUAUAUAAAAUAUAAGAUAAUCUAUAUUUAAAUAUAAAAAUUAUAUAUUUUUUAUUCAUAUUUUUAAUAAUUCAUAAAUAAUUUGCGAAUUAUUCGGCUGGCCCAAAAAUUCGCGAAUAAUUCUCUAUCUUUGAAAAAAAUUCGUAAACAGACCGUUUAAUUCGGAUUUUCAAUAAUUAAUUCGCGAAUAAUUCACGAAUUUACUAACAUAUAUAGCAUAGAACAAGAAUAAGAAUAAGGUGGGGAAUAACUACCCAAAAUAAUAAGAGACACUAUUCUUUUUUUUUUUUUGAGAGAUAAGUAGCACGCUACCCGCUUCGUUUAUUUCAUUUAGAAAUAAACUUAGCUGGAAAUAUGAAUUAACUAGGAUUCGAACUUGGGUCUCGGGUACCAACCACCAAGCUCUUUGCCACUUGCUUUAGGGAUGGUCGGUAUUAUAAGAGACACUAUUCAUGACAGUGAGCAAGAGGAGACAAUUAAGGCCAUCAUGUAGAACCAACUCACUCAAAUUAACUGCGCGUAAAAUUUAAACCAAUAAGUUUUUAACAAAACUCGUAUAUUUUGAAAGAAUUAGAAUUCUAAUUUUACAUUUAAAAUGAAAUAUAAUAUCCUAGAUGCACUUUAUUUUAUAGUACAUAUGCAAGAAAAGACUGUCAAACAGAUCCUAAAGCGUGGAAGAACACGAAUAGAAGCAAAAAAACUUUGCGUACAUAUGAUUACCUUGGAUUAAUGCUAACUACUUAACUGCCAUGCAUCAACUACCAAAAUUAACAUGCAAACACACGCACGUGCGCGCACAGAGAGAGAGAGAGAGAGAGAGAGAGAGAGAGAGAGAGAGAGAGAGAACAAAAAGAGUAAUAAGGGAACAUAGCAUAUAUGAUUACCUCAAUUAAACUGAUACUAACUCCCUAAUGCUAUGAAACCUAUGAUUGUUCUUUGAUACAAUUUCUACCAAAAACAAAAAACGAGAGAGAGAGAGAGAGAGAGCCCAACAAAGGAUAAUGAGGUGCUCCUCGUUCAAGUUUUUUACUUAUUGGGAGACAUCAAGAUCCUUAUAAAAGAAGCCAUGAAACAAUCUCAAAACUCAAAGAAGCUAAAGAAGAAGAAUAAACUGAUCCCAAUACCUAGAGACAAAUGAAGAAGAUCAGCAGCGUUGGCCUCUGAUAGAAUCUUCACAAUAAUUAUCAUCGCCCCUAUCGCCAACAUCACUACCAUCUUCUUCUUCUUGAUCCUCUCCUCCUCCUCGCCUCCUCCGCCUCCUUCUGCAACCCUACUACAUGUAUAUAUACCAAAUCACACCACCGUUGUAAUUACCAAGAAAUUGAAAAGAAGAUGCAUGCAUGUAUCUGCGUAAAGUUGGUGAUAAGUAGUAAGAAAAAACAUGGGGGGGAUUGAUUAAUUACGAAGAGUUCUCGACGGAGGAAGGAGGCCACAGCGGCAGCAACAGUGGCGGCCACUGCGUCUCCUUCCCCGUGCCGUUAUCUCACCUGGUGCUGUUGCGGGCCUCUCCCACAGGUGUCAAUCUUGGUAUAGCUUGUCGGGCGGGGAGGGCCUCUCCGACCAACUUGGGAAUGAGCGCUACGCCGAGGAAGGCCAGUGCUCCAAUAAGCCCCAACGUUGGCAUCGGCGUAGUCUUCUUCUCCCGUUGCUGGUCUCUGUUGGGUGGGGAUGCCAUGGUCAAGAAUUAGCAAGAGUCCUAUAUAUUCUCUGAUCCUUGGCUAUUCCUCGAUCGACUUACUCGUGUUACUCCUAUCCUUAUAUAUAGCUAACCUGUCGACGGAGGGAGGAGGCCGCAGCAGCAGCAAUGGUGGUCUCUGCUGUUGCGGAGGUAUAGGGUUUUUUAGUGCUUAAAGUAUUACACCAAGAGACGUCAAGUUUGGAACGCUCAACAGUGUUACCUCCAGCGUAGGAAACCCUAGAUUUUUAAAUAAGCUAUUGGGCUCCAGAGAUAUGGGCCUUAAUACGCUUUCACUUAUUGGGCUUGUAUGUGAACAUAUUAUUUGGAUUAUAUUAUAACAAAAUAUCCAAUAAUAAUAAUAUAUCCAACAAUCUUCUCCUAUGUUCACCAUACAGCACAAUCCAAUACAGUGGUCAGUGUAAUGUUCAAACAAUUAUGAAUCAUCCACAUUCAGUCCAAGACAAUCAACUCGGAUUAAAAACUCAAUCAUCAAUUGUAAUUCAAAUGAGUGAAUCAUUCUUAUCAUGAAUCUGUUCUAAGAUCGACAUAUCCAAAAUGAUUCUCAAAAUCAGUUCACAACCAACAUAUGCAUAACAGUCAAAUAUAAGUAGGCCAAUCAAAAUAAUCCAAGGCCUUACAAAUAAAAGAAAAAGACAUAAUAAUGUUCACAAAUAGAGAUAGCCAAAAACAAGUCUUAAGUAAAUGGACUCCAUCAAAACAGGUAAUAGUAGGUGAACUGUCAAGUUCCCGUACACUCUAAAUGAUAUAUAUAUAUUCAUUCAUCAAAUAGAUCAUCAUGAUCUGGAUCUCACUUAUUAAGCUCUCCUCCAUCCCUGCCAUCCUCUGUAGAAUAUCAAAUAUAAAUUUCAUAUUAUCAUGAAUUUAAUCAUUUGAAUAAUCCACUAAAAAUGUCUAGUUUUACUAAAAGAACUUAGCAUCAUGACAUCAGGCAGAGAAGAAUAUAUAUUAAUGUCAUAAAGAAUCAUAAUAUCAUGUUCACAAGUAUCAAGCCAGUUUCAUAAAUUAUGAAUAAAGCCUAAAUAGUUUGAUUUAUAAAGAGCCAUCAACUUAAGUUUGUUUGUAAGAGAAUAAUCAUUGUCUAGUUUCAAAGAACAUGAACAAAACCAACAGGCUUCUUAUGCAUAUAGCUAUUUCUAUGUUUCAAUUUGGAAUGUCACAGUUACUAAUUCUUUUAAGUCAAAUAAUCUAGCAUCAAGUUUGGAAUGAGAUCAUUUAACUAAGAAAAGAAUAGUCCAGCCUAGUUGGAUUGUAUCAUCAAGUUUGGAAUGACACAAGCGUUCCAGGUAGAACUUUGAACUAGGUUAAAGUCAUUUUCAUCAAGUUUGGAAUGAAACAACUCACCUUUUUUCAAAUUAGUCCGCAACCAUGAACAUCAAUGAAACAUAUAAAUUGUGCUUGACCACCAAAGGAAGGAAGAUUCGAUAAUUCAAAACAUACAAUUAGAAAGUAAGUAAAUGGUAAUUAAGACUAAUUUACAUAGUCUUUAACCCCAUUUCCCCCACUGUUUUGAAUAAUCGAUCUUUAGUCAUACCUUUUGUGAGAGUAUCGGCCAUGUUAUCCUUCGAUCUCACAUCGAUCAAGGUGAUAACCCCUUGUUCUCUCAGAUAAUUCAACAACGCACGUCUCAGUCUCACAUGUCUUCUCUUUGAAUUAAAGAAAGCAUUUUUUACAACUUGAACAGUUGCUUGAUUAUCACAGAACAGGCUUAAAGAAUUAAUCUGUAGCCGAGUCAAAGGAAUAUCCAAAAUCAGAUUCUUUAUCCAUUCUGCUUCUUCGCCAGCGGAAGCUAAAGCAAAAAGUUCCGAUUCCAUAGACGACAAGGCAAUACAAGUCUGUCUUUUGGAUUUCCAAGUAAUAGCAGCUCCACCCAAAGUGAAUACAUAUCCACUUGUGGACUUACUAUUUCCAAUUUCUGAGCACCAUGAGGCAUCAGAAUAUCCAUCCACAGUUGGAGGAUAACCAGAAUAACAUAGAGCAUAAUCUUUCGUACCUUUAAGAUAUCUCAUCAGCCUACUAAGGGCAUCCCAAUGCUCUUUACUAGGAUUACUAGUGAAACGACUCAGCAUGCCAACUGUAAAGGCGAUGUCGGGUCUAGUGCAACUCAUAGCAUACAUGAGACUACCAAUCAGUUUUGAGUACUUUAAUUGAUCCACACUGGUCCCUUCAUUAGGACUCAGUCUUUUAUUAUAAUCACAUGGUGUCUCACUCGGUUUACAAUCACUGUAUCCCCAGGUAGAAAGUAGUUGCUCAAUAUAAUGAGUCUGGCUAAGGGAGAUGACUUGCCUUUCAAAUCUAACUUUCAUACCAAGAAUGGUAUUAGCAACACCAAGAUCUUUCACGUCAAAUUCUUUAGCUAAAGUAGCUUUCGCGUCACUCACUACAGAAUGAUUGGAGCCAAGAAUUAACAUGUCAUCAACAUAUAAGCAAAUGAUGACUAUUUUAUUUGACAUAGAACGAUGACAAAGACAUUUAUCUGAAUAGCUAGAUUGAAAGCCAUAACUCUUUACCACUUUGUCAAAUUUAAGAUGCCACAUCUUAGGUGCUUGUUUAAGACUGUACAAAGAUUUAUUCAAUUUACAAACUUUGUCCUCAAGAUCUUUCAUGACAAACCCUUCCGGUUAUUCCAUGUAGAUUUCUUCAUUUAACUCUCCAUUUAGGAAAGCUGUCUUUACAUCCAUUUGAUGCACUACAAAGUGUUCAAUAGAUGCCAAAGCAAGAAGAAUUCUCAUAGUUGAUAGAUGACACACAGGUGAAUAGACAUCAAAAUAGUCUAUUCCACUCUGCUGUUUAUUCUGUCACGCCCCGGGACCCAGCGGAAGCCCGCCCGGCGCGAGCCCAGACCCGCCAUAUGUCUAAAACAUACAAGGCGUCUAAAACAAAACGAUAAAUAAGGCAAGAAGAACGAGAACAUCUAGCUGUAUCAGAGCAAAGUGUAUUUAGAGGCUACAAUAAAAGAAAUAAACAUAAAGUCGAAAGUCCACUAAAUAAAAGCAUGAAGUAGUACAAAAAAAAUCCCAAAUACAAAUGCUAAACAUAAAAACAUGGGUGGUCUCUAUAUAUGGUAACAAAACUCUCUCUCUCACAAAAACCAAAAAGAAGAGAGUGACCACCUAGGAGCAACAGCAAGCUCCGCUAUCCAGCUACGCGACUCCCUUGCCGCGAUCCCGUGCCUCCGCUAGUGCCGAAGGCUCUGAAAUAAAACCACGAAACAGGGGUCGUGAGAACUAUUGAAUAAUAGUUCCCAGUGGGUAAUUACUGACUUUAGUGAAAUGCGCCACUAGGCCCAAAAGAUACAAAAAGGGGUCAGUGUAUAAGUAUAACAAAAGCGAUAAGUACAACUAGUAAAUAAACAUGAAUACCUGCUACCACAAGAUAUUUCUACUUAGCAUGAUUUUGCUUAAGUAAUAAAAAGGCUACACUAGCAUGAAUGUACCAAAUCAUCACUAGUAUGAUGUCCAUAAGCUAAAUAGUAAAGAUGUCCUUGUUUACUAUUAUAGUCAAUGUCCACAUGGCAUGAUGAAUGCUCAAAGUCAAAUCUGAAGAGACCCGCCCGAAGGCUGUCUGGCCCUGAGACCCACCCGUAGGCUGUUUGGCCGAUGCCGAGCCUAAUGGCCCCGUAGUAGUCAACAUCCCCACUUUAGGAAUGAGCCUUUCCCACGGCAAUCCACUUCGGCGCCCAAUCCCGCACGGCGAAUAUGUAUCGCGAUGGCCAUCUCCGGAGUGCCGGCUUGUAGGGAGCGACCCUCACAAGCAUAUGCGAAUGAGCACAAUGGCAAGUAACGUAAGAUCCGUCUCAAGUACCAAGUCCUCAUGUCUAACAACAUGGAAUGUCACAUAUCUCAAUGGCCUAUAUCUAAGUCAUCAUGUCUAAAACAUGAAAGUAAUAGAUAUCAAAGGCCUAUCACUAUGUCUCAUUAUAGCAGUUUCAUAGUUUGCUAGUCCAAGUGCCCCUUUAUGACACUUUUGGUCACUAAGUCCAAUUAUAGUGUAGUGUUUACAAUUACACAAUUAUGAGUUAACAUAAGGGACAUGAUUCCCAUUGCUAUCUCGAACACUUCUCACAUGCAUAAAAAUUACCCAGUAUGCUCUACUAUAUAGAGUGAAAUUUAUCUUACACAUAGCACAUGCAUUUUAAGUGUUCUAAAAUUCACAUAAAUCCUAUCUAGUAUGGAUUUGCAUUCAAAUUGACGUUACGACAAGUAUAGAAUACAUAGGGGCUAUUUCGCCCCGAUUUUAUGAAGUCAAACCUACCCCAACUCUUGCGCUCCUUCGUUUGCUCCAACGAAGGUGUCCACUAGUCUCCUAGCACCCUAAAGAUGUAGGAACAAGAGUUAAACGAACCUUACGAACAACCAUAAGGUUGAUCAUUAACCAUCUCAAGCUAAGGUGGAGAAAAACUCACCAAGUGUGAAGGAAGCUCUCUCGAUCUCCAAAUGGGAGUUAGAGCCCUUCCAAUCCAACCUAAACCAAGGUUCUAAACCCAUCAAUUAGGUCUCAAAGCCCUCAAAUCGGAAAUCCCCAAAAUAAACCCUAAAAUCCAAAUCUAGGGUUUCAUUUAGUAAAAAGCUCCAAAACUAGGAUCUAGAGGAGAGAAACUAGCCACAUACCUCUAGGAUGCUCCAAACCAAGCUCAAAACCCUCAAGGAUGGGAGUUUGAUCCUCCACAAAGCUCCAAGUCCAAGCUCCAAGCCUCAUAUGAGAGAAAGGGUUGAUGCUCCAAGCUCCCUCAAGCAAGCUCUUUCUCUUCUCCUUCUUCAUCUUCUUCUUCUUCUCUUUCUAGAGGUAUGAGAGAGUGAGAAGUGAGGGAAAGAUAGAGGGAAAAUGGCUCUAAAAGCCCUCUCGUGUAACAAAAUCCAUUUAGGUCCCUCAACAAUCCAAUCUGUGCAUCAGCUCGAACUGGGCAAUUUUCGCCCAGAGGGACUGGUCUCUCCCAGCUGGGACCGGUCCCUCAGGACCCUCCCGCAAAACAAGCUCUCGGGAACCGGUCUUUCCCUGCCAGGGACCGAUUGCCUCAAGAUCUGCCGCACCACUGUUCCGGGGGGACCGGUCUCUCCCUGCCAAGGACCAAUCCCCGAGAGUAAAAACUCUCAGGACUUAACCAAAAUUCAGAAUUCGAACUUUUAGGUCAGAAUACCAUCUACGACCCUCCACCAAGUGUGGAAAAGCUCGGAAUCCAAGUCAAGCACUCGAACCUCGCAAUUUGCAAUGGUCCAAUGUGUUACAUUCACCCCUCCUAAAAAGAAGUUUCGUCCACGAAACUCAAAAGCAACAACAUACCUCAAAGUUCCAUCUGAAAAAGAUAGGGAUAGCGCUCCUGCAAAACGCUCUCCAGCUCCCACGUGGCCUCCCGCUCCCCGUGGUUGCUCCAAAGAACCUUCACAUACGGAAUAUCCUGAUUCCGCAGUUUUCGCACCUCGCGAGCCAAGAUCCUCACUGGUAGCUCCUCGAAGGUCAGAUCAUCCUGCAACUCCACAAGUGUAGCAUCCAACACAUGAGUCGGGUCGAAGAUAUAUUUUCGAAGGACCGAUACAUGAAAGACGUUGUGCACGCCCGAUAGGUUCGGUAGUAGAGCAAGUUUAUACGCUACCGGACCUACACGCUCCAAAAUCUCAUACGGUCCAAUGAAACGGGGGCUCAACUUACCCCGAAUCCCGAAUCUCCUGAUCCCUCUAGCCGGCGAGACCUUCAAGAAUACAUGGUCUCCAACUUGGAACUCCAAGUCUCGCUACUGUCGAUCGGCGUAGCUCCUCUGUGUACUCUGCGCCGUCAAAAGUCGCUCCCGAGCAAUUCGAACCUUGUCUUCAGCUUCCUGGAGCACGUCAGGGCCUAAAGCCAAUCUCUCGCCUACUUCACUCCAAUGGAGUGGCGAUCUACACUUCCGUCCAUAAAGUGCUUCGAACGACGCCAUCUUGAUGCUUGCUUGAUAAUUGUUGUUAUAAGCAAACUCCGCCAUAGGUAGGUGCUGCGACCAUCCGCCCUAAAAGCCUAUCACACAUGCUUGGAGCAUAUCCUCUAAAGUCUGUAUGGUGCGCUCCGACUGCCCGUCACUCUGAGGGUGGAAAGCAGUGCUGAAGUCCAGUCGAGUGCCCAGAGCGUCUUGUAGACUCCUCCAAAAAUAAGACACAAACCAAGUGUCUCGAUCCGAUACGGUCGAUGUAGGUACUCCAUGAAGUCGCACAAUCUCAUCAAGGUACACUUGUGCGAGCUUCUUCCCGGUCCAAGUAGUAUGAAUAGGUGUGAAGUGCGCCGACUUCGUCAACCUAUCUACGAUCACCCAAAUGGUAUCAUGCCCGGCCUGAAAGCGAGGCAAUCCUGUCACAAAAUCCAUGGUGAUCUCUCCCACUUCCACACGGGAAUAGGUAAACUCUGAAGUUUUCCUGCAAGUAAUCGGUGCUUAGCAUUUACUUGUUGGCAAGUUAGACAACGAGCUACAAACUCGUCAACAUCAUUUUUCAUCCCGGACCACCAGUAGAGUAACUUUAAAUCCUUGUACAUCUUGGUGCCUCCCGGAUGUAUAGCAUACGGUGCUCGGUGCGCUUCCUGCAAAAUAUCCUCUUUAAUUCCCGGAUCCGCCGGUACACAAAUCCGUCCGCGGAAACGCAUCAAUCCUUAGUCAUCCACAAGGAAGUCACCGGUGUAACCAUCAACCAUUUUAUCCCGAAUCUUUUGCAACUCCACAUCGGAAGCUUUCUUUUCUUUAAUUCGAUCCAAAAGAGUAGGUUGCACCACCAAAGUCAUCAAUCUCAAAGGUGUAUCUGGAGUCACCACUUCCAACUCCAACCGCUUUAUCUGCUCGAUCAACUGCGGUUGAGUAACCACGUGCAUCGCUAAGUUUUCCGUCGAUUUCCUACUUAGCACAUCCGCCACCACGUUAGCUUUGCCCGGGUGGUAAAGGAUUGUAAGAUCAUAGUCCUUGAGCAGCUCCAACCAUCUGCGCUGCCUCAAGUUCAACUCCUUCUGAGUGAACACAUACUUUAAGCUCUUGUGAUCCGUAUAUACUUCGCACUGCUCGCCAUAUAAGUAGUGGCGCCAUAACUUCAAUGCGAAGACCACGGCCGCCAACUCUAAAUCAUGCGUAGGAUAGUUCUUUUCAUAUUCCUUCAGUUGGCAAGAAGCAUAAGCGAUCACCUUGCCAUCCUGCAUCAAAACGCAGCCCAAUCCAGUAAGAGAUGCAUCACUGUAAACCACAUACCCUACUCCAGCAACUGAUAGGGUUAGGAUCGGGACGGUCGUCAGUCGUUGCUUCAACUCUUGGAAGCUUCUCUCGCACGCGUCAUUCCAGAUGAACUUGACACCUUUAUGCGUGAGCCUCGUGAGGGGAGUAGAUAGCUUAGCAAACCCCUCGACAAAUCUCCGGUUAUAACCGGCCAAUCUAAGAAAACUGCGAAUCUCCGUGACGCUCGUCGGUCUCGACCAAUCCUUGAUAGCCUCAAUCUUCUUAGGAUCCACGACUAUACCCGAUCCCAAUAUUAAAUAUCCAAGGAAGGCUACCUCUCGAAGCCAAAAUUCACACUUUCUCAGCUUAGCAUAAAGCUCCUUUUUCCGAAGUAUUUGAAGUACAAGCCUCAAAUGUUCCUCAUGAUCUGCAUCACUUCGGGAAUAAACCAAAAUCUCGUCGAUAAACACCACAACGAACCUGUCCAAAUAAGGCUUGAAAACACGGUUCAUCAGAUCCAUAAAAGCUGCCGGGGCAUUAGUAAGCCCGAACGGCAUAACUGUGAACUCAUAAUGUCCAUACCGUGUUCUAAAAGCCGUCUUCGAUACAUCCUCAGGUUUGAUCUUCAACUGGUGGUAUCCCGACUGCAAGUCUAUCUUGGAAUACACACACGAUCCUUGAAGCUGAUCAAACAAGUCGUCGAUCCUCGGCAAUGAAUACUUAUUCUUGAUCGUGACUUUAUUAAGUUCACGAUAGUCCACACAUAGGAGAAGUGAUCCGUCCUUUUUCUUGACGAACAAAACUGGCGCUCCCCAUGGCGAAACACUCGGUCGAAUGAAACCCUUGUCCAGUAGAUCCUGUAGGUAUGCCCUCAGCUCUUUUAGCUCCGCCGGGACCUUGCCAUCCUAUAGGUGCCUUCGAGAUUGGAGUAGUCCCAGGGACGAGAUCUACCACAAACUCGAUCUCCCUAUCGGGAGGCAUACCAGGUAGCUCAGCUGGAAACACGUCCUGAAACUCUCGUACCAUCGGGAUAUCCUCAAUCCUAGGGGUAUCAUCCUCGCUCCUCAGCACAACACUAGCCAAAUAGGCUACACAUCCUCGGCUGAUCAGCUACCUAGCACGAGACGAGCUAAUCGACAUCACAAAAAGUGAACUCUGGCAUCCUCUAAACAUCACCUUAGUCUGCCCCGGUUCUCUAAAAGUAACCGUGCGAUUCAUUACAAUCGAUCGUGGCAUAGUACUUGGUUAGCCAAUCUAUACCCAAGACCAUAUCGAAAAUCUCCCUAACUUGCGCAAAGCUAGCAAGUCCACGGGCAUGAAUCGAAUCUCCUACCCGAACAGGGCAACUAGGGGCUAAUACUCUCUAAUAUCCAAAGAUGUGGUUGGGGACAACCAACACGUCCCGGAUGCAACAACAGAAACCAUACGGGAUGCCAUGCAACUCGGCAAACAGCCGAUCUAUAAAUGAAUGCGAUCCACCGGUAUCAAAUAAACCACGAACUCUAAUGCCAUCAAGUAAAAUGAUACCUGCAACCACAUCCUCGGCUGCUGCCGCCUCCUCGGUCUGAGCGGCAUACAUAGCGCCCACUUGGGGCCUGUCGAAAUCCCUCGCUCUGGCGCUGGACGGGUGGCCGCCCAGGCUUGGUACUGUGUCCGACAGGAGUCCCGUGGCUAGCGGCUGGUAGAGCCGGUGCCGAUGCAGUCGACGGUGCUGGUGAAAGAACCUCUCGGGCACUCAGGUCCGAACGUGGCCCUCCUGGCCACACUGGAAGCACCUGCCCGCCCGCUGUGGACACUGCGGUGGGUAGUGAGGGACCACCGCAGAUCACACACGGGAAAGGCCGGGGACCGGUCAGGAACCUCCUCGAGGUGCUGCUGAGCCGCGUCCACGCUGCUGGCUCCUAGGAAGCUUUGGCGGCCUCCUAGAGUGCGUCUGGCUCGCACCCUCAGCCGCAGGCCUCUUGGCCUUACCCUUGUCCAUAGCCUCUUGCCGCUCCUGGACAUCCGUCGCGCCGCUCUCCCCAAUGAGUGCGCGAUCCACUACCUCCCGGUAGGUUUGGAGGUUAGAGGAUUGCACGAAACCGGAAAAUAGACGGUCGCAACCCUUGCUCGAAGAUGCGGGCCUUAUCCUCGUCGUCCCGCACGACGAAAGGGCACGCAGUGUAGAAGCCGAGAAAACUCCCUCUCAUACUCGGCUACAGGUCCGGUCUCCUUGGCGCAAGUUGCGCAAGUCCUGCUCCAUCUUCCUUUUGACGCUGGUCGGAAAGUAGUGCGCCAGAAGAAGCUCCUUGAACCUCGUUCCAAGAUAUAGAUGCCAAGUCAGUGCUGGGGUGCUCCUGAAAAUCCAACCACCAGCGGUAGGCCUCGCCGUCCAAGGUGGUGAGUGGCGAGCCAAACUCUGUCCCUCUUCCUCCACGAAGGUGUCGCGAAAGAGCUUCUCCAUAUGCAUCAACCACUUCUCCACGAUCCAGUGGUCGACCUUCUCGCCAUCGAAAAAUCCGGGGACUGCACCUCCUGAACUCAUUGAGGCGCUCCAUCAGUCUGGUCUCCGCUCCGCCCCCUCCACCAAAGGUAGGGAAUGCAGCUCCAAUCGGGGGCCUCUGCACAGGUGGUGCCGCCAAAACCUCCUCCUGGGGUGCGGCCGCAGGCGCCGGCACGCGAAGAACUAGGGCGCGGGGGACGGCGCUCUCGGUGCAACGUCCACAACUGGUGCUGGCGGUGUAGGGGCCUGAGUCUCCCUAGGAAGCUGCCGCCUGCUGCAAUAGUAAGGUCCUCCAGACGCUUCAUCCGCGCCUCCUGUCGGCGCGCCGCCUCGGUCUGCUGUCGGGCCGCCUCCGCCUGCUGAGUGACCAAAUGAGUGAGGGCCGCAAGCUGGCCCCUCAACUCACGGACCUCGCUGGAAUCCGGAGGUAGCGGAGGUCUCGACCUCCUCGAAGUUUGCCGCAUUGUCCGCCCCGGCAGAUUGGGAGCGAGUAAUCGGCCAUCGUCACUACAACAUCAUAAAAGCGUAAGUUAGUAACCUCACGCUAUCGCAUCCCAACUCAAAAGACAAACCCAAAUCAUGUGAAAGUAAGGAAGUGUGCUAUCCACAACUAACUCCCGAUGUUACGUUGUCGGCCGCCAACGUAACCCUCCGCGAAGUUAGAAGUCCAAACACUCCGAUCAACUCUAACUUUUUAGAGUUAUCAUAAUACCCAAUCAUGAUACUUUCGCUCACAAGUCGAAAUAGACCUCGUCUCUCACGAGCCUAUUUCCCUAUAGUCCAACCGGCCUAAGGUUUGCUAGGUCCCCUAAGACUCAACCCUAGGCUCUGAUACCAAAUUAAUCUUGUCACGCCCCGGAACCUAGCGGAAGCCCGCCCGGCACGUGCCCAGCCCCGCCAUACGUCUAAAACGUAUAAGGCGUCUAGAAACAAAACGAUAAAUAAGGCAAUAAUAAACGAGACAUCUAGGAGUAUCAGAGCAUAAUAAAUGUCUAAAUGGCUACAACAAGGGAAAUGAACAUAAAGCUAUAAAUCCACUAGAUAAAACAUAAAGUGUACAAGAAGAAUUCCAGAAUACAAGUGCUAUAACAUAGAUAACAUAGGGUGGUCUCUAUACAUGGUAACAAAACUCUCUCUCACAAAAAUCAAAAAGAAGAGAGUGAACCACCUAGGAGCAACAGUAACCGCUCCUCGCUAGCUAGCUAAGCGACUCCCUUGCCGCGAUCCCGUGCCUCCGCCGGUGCCGAAGGCUCUGAAAAGGAAACCAUAAAACAGGGGGCGUGAGAACUAUUAAUAAUAGUUCCCAGUGGGCAAUUACUGACUUCAGUGAAUGCACCACAAGGCCCAAAGCUACAAAAGAUGGUCAGUGUAUAAGUAUAACAAAAGCGAAAGGUACAACUAGUAAAUAAACAUAAAUACCUACUACCACAUGAUAUUUCUACUUAGCAUGAUUUUGCAUUAAGUAUAAAAAGCAACUAUGCAUGAAGUACCAAAGUCUCCAACUAGUCAUAAUGUUCCACAAUGCGAAAUAGUAAAGUUCCGUUGUUUACUAUUCUAGUCAAUGUCCACAUGGUCAUGAUCUGUCCAAUGCUCAAAGUCAAAUCUGAAGAAGACCCACCUGAAGGCUGUCUAUGGCCCUGAGACCCACCCGUAGGCUGUCUGGCCGAUGCCGAGCCUAAUGGCCCCGUGGUAGUCAACAUCCCCACUCUAGGAAUGAGCCUUUCCCACGGCAAUCCACUUCGGCGCCCAAUCCCGCACGGCGAAUAUGUAUCGCGAUGGCCAUCUCCGGAAUGCCGGCUUGUAGGGAGCGACCCUCACAAGCAUGUGCGAAUGAGCACAAUGGCAAGUAACGUAAACGAUCCGUCUCAAGUACCAAGUCCUCAUGUCUAACAAUAUGGAAUAUGCCACAUAUCUCAAUGGCCUAUCUCUAAGUAAUCAUGUCUAAAACAUGGAAGUAAUAGAUAUCAAAGGCCUAUCACUAUGUCUCAUUAUAGCAGUUUCAUAGUUUGCUAGUCCAAGUGCCCCUUUAUGACACUUUUGGUCACUAAGUCCAAUUAUAGUGUAGUGUUUACAAUUACACAAUUAUGAGUUAACUUAACAUAAGGGACAUGAUUCCCAUUGCUAUCUCGAACACUUCUCACAUGCAUGAAAAUUACCCAGUAUGCUCUACUAUAUAGAGUGAAAUUUAUCUUACACAUAGCACAUGAAUUUUAAGUGUUCUAAAAUUCACAUAAAUCCUAUCUAGCAUGGAUUUGCAUUCAAAUUGACGUUACGACAAGUAUAGAAUAUAUAGGGGCCAUUUCGCCCCGAUUUCAUGAAGUCAAACCCACCACAACUUUUGCGCUCCUUCGUUUGCUCCAACGAAGGUGUCCACUAGUCUCCUAGCAACCUAAAGAUGUAGGAACAAGAGUUAAACGAACCUUACGAACAACCAUAAGGUUGAUCAUUAACCAUCUCAAGCUAAAGUGGAGAAAAACUCACCAAGUGUGAAGGAAGCUCUCUCUAUCUCCAAAUGGGAGUUAGAACCUUUCCAAUCCAACCUAAACCAAGAUUCUAAACUCAUCAAUUAGGUCUCAAAGCCCUCAAAUCGAAAAUCCCCAAAAUAAACCCUAAAAUCCAAAUCUAGGGUUUCAUCUAGUAAAAAGCUCCAAAACUAGGAUCUAGAGGAGAGAAACUAGCCACAUACCUCUAGGAUGCUCCAAACUAAGCUCAAAACCCUCAAGGAUGGGAGUUUGAUCCUCCACAAAGCUCCAAGUCCAAACUCCAAGCCUCCAAUGGUGAAGAAAGAGAUAAAGGGUUGAUGCUCCAAGCUCCCUCAAGCAAGCUCUUCCUCUUCUCCUUCUUCUUUCUCUUCUUCUUCUUCUUCUCUUUCUAGAGGUGUGAGAGAGUGAGAGAGUAAGAAGUGAAGGAAAGAGAAGGGAAAUGGCUCUAAAAGCCCUCUCAUGUAACAAAAUCUAUUUAGGUCCCUCAACAAUCCAAUCUGUGCAUCAGCCCGAACUGGGCAAUUUUCGCCUAGAGGGACCGGUCUCUCCCAGCUGGGACCGGUCCUUCAGGACCCUCCCGCAAAACACGCUCUCGGGAACUAGUCUUUCCCUGCCAGGGACCGGUUGCCUCAAGUCCCGCCGCAACACUGUUUCGGGGGGAACCGGUCUCCCCCACCAGGGACCGAUCCCCGAGAGUAAAAACUCUCAGGACUUAGCCAAAUUUCAGAAAUCGAAUUUUUAGGUAGGAAUACAGUCUACGACCUUCCACCAAGUGUGGAAAAGCUCGGAAUCCAUAUAAAGCAUUCGAACCUCGCAAUUUGCACAGGUCCAGUGUGUUACAUAGCCUUUAGCUACUAAACGUGCUUUGUAUCUAGCUAUUGAUCCAUCACUAUUCAGUUUCUUUUUCAAUACCCACUUACAGCCUAUAGCCUUAGCCCCUUUUGGCAAAUUGACUAGCUGCCAAGUAUGGUUCUGCAACAGAGAGCUCAUGUCAUCAUCUAUGGCUUCUGUCCACAGUAGGGAUUCCCUAGAUCUCAUUGCUUCUUGAUAAGAAAAUGGAUCAUCCUCUAAAUGGUAAGUAACAAAGUUCUCACCAAAACUUUUGGGAACUCUCUCUCUUGUAGAUACUCUAAUUGGAACUGAUUCAACAGCCAGCUGUGUGGGAUUAGUGUCAGAAGGGCCUGCUUCAGAUUCUAUAAGAGAUUCCGAAAUCAUAUCUAUAGAUCUAGAAACAUUCAAGCCAUGAUCUCUGAGAAACUUAUUCUCGAAGAAUUCUGCAUCUCUAGAUUCUAUCACUGUGUUAGUAGAUAGAUCUAAAAACCUAUCUGCAGCACUAUCUUCUGCACUACCUAGAUAUACACAGGUAAUGGUUCUAGGUCCCACCUUAGGUCUCUUUGGAUUUUGUAUUCUUACAUAAGCAACACAACCCCAGGUCUUAAGAAUAUCAUAUCUACAAGGACGCUUAUGCCAUAUCUUAUAAGAUGUCAUAGACAACUUAGAGUGUGGCAACCUGUUCAGGAUGUGAUUAGCAGUUAGAACUGCUUCUCCACAAUAGGAAGAAGGCAUGCCAGUUGUAAGUAACAUAGAAUUUAACAUUUCAGUUAACGUUCUAUUCUUACGCUCGGCAACACCAUUUGAUUGGGGUAAGGAGCAGUUGUUUCAAGUAUUAUGCCCUCUGAAGCACAAAACCUUGAACCCUGUCAUUGUAUAUUCUCCUCCUCUAUCACUCCUAAACCUCUUAAUUUUCAAGUUGAGUUGAUUUUCUAUUCUAGACUUGAAAAUCUUAAACUUUUCAAAAGCCUCAUCUUUCAAUUUCAACAAAUAGACACCACAAUAUCUAGAAAAAUCGUCCAUGAAUGUUAUCAGAUACUUCCGACCACCUCUAGUGACGUAAUUUCUAAAAUCACAGAGGUCAGAAUGUAUUAGCUCAAGAAGUGUGCUUUUAGAAACCGAAUUAAAAGGUUUUCUACUGAUCUUAGCUUGUGCACACACUUCACAUUUGUCAAAUCGAAUAGAAGUAUAUAAUGGAAUGUUGUGAGUUUUAGCUAGAUGUUGCAUUUUCCUGUAGUUCACAUGUCCAAGUCUAUUGUGCAACAACUUUGGAUCAAUCAGAGUAGAACUCACAUGGUUUAUGCUAUCAGUAUCUAAACUCAACCUAUACAUACCAUUAACCAUGAAUGCACAACCGAAAUAACAUGAGUGAACAGAUAAGUUUACUCUACCAUUCAUAGUUGAAAAGGACAUACCAGCUUUAUCAAGUUCAUAGAUAUCAAAUUCCUUUUAAAUAAAGAUACUACUCUAACAUGUUUCAGAGUUAGUAAUCUACCUGAAGAAAGCACCAAAUUUGCAGUUCCAGCAUGAGUCACUUCUGCCUCACCACCAUUGCAAUUUUCCACGAUGUCUUUCACUUCUGUGACCUCUGUGAGUAGGUUCUUGUUAUUUGCAGCAUGAUAAGUAGUGCCACUAUCCAACCACCACUCAGAAGAAAUACUAGCCUUUCCAAUUUUCAUCGUUCCAAUGAAGGCUUGAGGCUCAGAUUCACUAAUUAGCAUAUUAGCCUCACUUUGUGGUCUGUUAUUCUUUGGCUUCUUUGGUAGUUUACACUCUGCUACCCAGUGACCCCACUUUCCACAGUUAUGGCACUUUCCCUUCUUCUUCCUUUUGGAGAUAGUCUUUUUGGCCUCUAACUGUGAAGAAGAUUCACCUUUUGGUGACUUGGACCUUUUCUGAGGUUUAUUGAAGUGUGAAACUAAGUUGGCAACUGACUUUUGUUGUCCUACUUGUUCUAAACUCUUUCUAGUGCUGUUUUGAUCCUCAAUAUGAAUAUCUCUUUAGUUCAUCCAGUCCCAUCUGUUCUUUCAAUCUGUGCAUUUCAGUCUUGAAAGAAUUCCAUUCAGCAGGUAGCUUACUCAAUACAAGACCGACAAAGAGAUUAUCGGACAUAUCAGAUUUAUCAUCUUUCAGCUUGUUCCUCAUAUUCUCAAGUUAAAUUAACUGAGAGGUGAUGCUUGAAUUCAUAUUGAACUUAAAGUCAAAGAAUUUCUCCGCUAGAAAAGUUUUAGAGAGCCCCUCUUGUUUUUGGAACUGAACGUUCAAGUGAUCCUAUAUCUCUUUCGCUGUCUUAUACUCACUGUAAGUCAUAGCUAGACGAGGAUUUAGAGAGUUCAACAAGUAAUCUCUACAAAAGUCUUCAUCCUUGUUCCAUUGAUAUUCAUCCACAUCUUCAAUGGUAGAUGCAAAAUCACUCAAAAUAGUGUAGAAUAUUUCACAUUCUUUCAUGCCAAAUUGAACAUGUAAUUUCCAACCAUGAAAUUCAAUGACAUCAAAUGAUUGCAGCUUUAUAAUAUCAUAAGAACUACGCUUUGCCAUUUAAUCAGAGCAAAGUGUUAGAAAGAGUGCACCUUGUAGUCCUCAGAGCUCACAAAGUCGAAUAAAGCCCCUGACCUGAAUCAAACUGCUCAGUAGAGGUGGAAUUUGCCAAAAACAGACCCAAAAAUGGAUCCGUAGUGCCCAAAAACCUUAAGGGGAAGUUUGGAUUGACGAAUCUGUAGAUCCAACAUAAGUCAAGUGUAGUGGUGUUUGAGUUUCCCUGAAGUGUGAUUAUUUUUUUGUUGUUUGUUUUGACGUAACCCGUACGGUCUGAAAGUUAAAUUCAAUUACUUCUUCUGUUUGUUUUGAUGUAACUUGGUGCUGGUAAAAUUAGUUUUUUGAGUUCCGUUGUUUGUUUUGAUGUAAGUGGAUCCUAUUAUCUCCUAAAUAUAGUAGUAAAUUUACCACUAUAAAAUUUAACCUAUUAUAUAAUUAAAUUUUUUAUUAUUAUUUAAAGGUAAUCCUAAUUUAUUAUAAAUAAGGUAAUUCUAACCCAUUAUAAAGGAAGUAGAGUUUAGGUUUUACUGUUUAAUUAAUUUUUUAGAGGAGGUUGAGUGUGGUGGAAGUCGAGUUCGGCACUUUAGAGGAGGAAGUCGAGAGUAGGUAAAGUGGAGCUCUAACGUAACUUGAGUUACAUUAUAUUUUUCACUUACACCAAAACAAAUAACGGAAGUGAUGGAACUUGAGUUCCAUCACUCCACUUACAUCAAAGCAAACGGGCCCUAAGAUGAACUGCCCUCGUUGCCGGAAACUGCUGAAAACUUUCGAUUGCCGUAACUGCGUCGUCCGACCUCCGUUCGAGACGAGUGACCACUCAAAACGUUCGUAUCGACGAGUAGAACAGAACCCAAGUGGUUUCACCCUCCGAAAUUGGCUAUAAUUUUUGGGUUUUUGAAUCAAAGAUUUCGGCCGCCUGACUUUCAAACUCAGAUCCCGGCCAAUCCGACUGUCGAAAUCGAAAGUAAAUUAUACCUGUGAGUUCACAUGUUGACGAGAUCUUCAAAUAGACACCUUACUCGCUCAGAUCCGACAUGCGAUCAUAAUACUUCAAGAUUGUUGGAGGUUAUGGGUUUUUGAGAAUAGAUGGCGUUUCAGGGUGCUUGAAGUAUUACAUCAAGAGACAUCAAGUUUGGAAUGCUCAACAGUGUUACCUCCAGCUUAGGAGAACCCUAGGAUUAAUAAGUAAGCUAUUGGGCUCCAGUUGAUAUGGGCCCUAAUACGCUUUCACCUAUUGGGCUUGUAUGUGAACAUAUUAUUUGGAUUAUAUAACAAUAUAUCCAACAGGAUUUGGGCCUUAAGACUUCAAUUCAGAGUCUGGAACACCCUCUAAUGAUUGAAGACCUUUGCAUGAUUGAGAAGCAAUGUGGGAUCCUUCUUCUGGAGGAUCUCAUUUCAAAAGCAGCAUUAACGCAAGGCUGCUCGCCAUUUGGCACUUGAUGGUUGUCCCAUAAGUAGUAGAGCAGUUGCUUAUCUUUUUUCAUGUGUGUACUAUAGCAUUUGUGAGCUUUUAUUUGAGGAUUUGAUGUGAGGUACGAGUUAAGUUUCAAGAAUGAAACUUUUUGUAAGGAGGAGGAUGUAGUCUUCUAAAAAAUUUAAUUGUCGGAACAACUACAGUAUCAGUAACAGGUCGACACUUUUGUAGAAUAUUGGGACGAGUUGCAAUCGUUUGGACAUAAAAUUGACGCUACAAACGAACCCGAAAUGUGAGUAAAAUUCAGCUGGAAUAUUUUAUGUUGUGUUGUACCUAGUGUGUGACUCACCUCCCUCCAACCACCCUUAAUUGGGGAUUUUGUAGGUUAGCGAAUCAACUGAAUUAUACCUAUCUUCUUCUCCUCUCUUCUUCUAAGUCUUCUUCUUCUUUUCCUCCUCCGGUCCUCCCUCUCUCCCAGCUGAACUUCAUGCGCAUUGCUGCUAGCAGCAGCAUUGCUGCCAGCUACUGCAGCAGCAAGGAAGCUACAAAAGCAGCAGCAGCAGGGAAAUUGCAGCAGCUGCAGGGGAGUUUCAGCCAUCUUCUUAUUCUUUUGCUUCUUCUCCUACACCAUUGGUAGCUGCAGCAGGAGAAGUAGCAGCAGGAGGUGCUGCCAGCAACUGCAGCAUGUGCUGCCAGCAGUGGCAACCUCAAUGUGGGUUGAAUUUGAGUGAUUGGUGACCUCAACUUCGAAAUUGUGAUUCUUGGGGAGAAUAAGGGAGUAGGGGAGCUCAGUUUGGACUCUUUUCCUAGCUGAAGUUAGAGAGGUAUGUAUGAAUGAGACUUGAGUGAACAUGAAGUUUGAGCUGAAAUUCCAGCAUUGUUGGAUUUUCUAGGGUUCUUUUGAUCCAAUUCUUGAAUCUAAAUUGUUGGCAGCAAAAUUGGGUUCUUGGUGAUGUUCUAGGGAGGGAGAGGAUCUAGUGGAUUUCUUUCUUCAUCUAAAUUUCAGGUAUAUUAGUAGUUAAUUGCUGAAGUUAGUAUGCUGAAAUUUGAUGUCUUGUGGAAAUUGAUGGAUUUCUUUGAUUUUUCGACUUCGAUUUCUUCUAGUGAAUUAAUUGGGGGAUUCUUUCUGGUCCUUGCUUCAAUUCCAGCUGUUUUGAGGUUGCACCCAACUGAACUUUAAGGUACAGUGAUCCAAUUGUUAAGUUAAUUCAGUUCCGAAGUUGAAGUUGCAUUUCGUUAAAUUUUUCUUGACUCCAAUCUUGAUUUCAGCAUAUCCCUGGUUGGAGAGAAAAAAAAGAACCCCUUUUUUCCCCUUGUUCUUUCUCACUUGAAUUGUCAACUAGGAGCUUGGAAUUGUAAUGAAUUCCAGCAUUGGAUAAGUGAAUUCAGAAAUUGAUGAAGUUUGACCAUUGAACUAAAUUAGCUCCUUCCCGCCUGCUUGUGAGGUCUUUUCCUUUGAAUUCUUGCCGAAUUUGAAGCUGAGGAAGAUACGUUGGUGAUUGAAUCCUUGCUGUGGUUGGAUUAGCACACAAGGCGGGUUUAAUUUUCCAAAAUUGAUGGAAUUUCCAUUAUGUUUACUAAACUUUCAGCAUGAAUGCUAUUGUUUGUUCAAAGUUAUUUAUUCUAGCUUAGAAUCACUAGAAUAUCGUUUGAAAUGCUGAAAUCUGAAUAUAGAACAUGUUAACCUGCAUGUAAUGAUUUUUUAUGCUGAAAUUAGAUGGAAACAGUAGUGAAAUCUGCACUUUUUAGCGUAGAGUUGUUCAGUUCUUAUGAGGUUUUCUCUUAUAGUUUGGUUUCAAUAGUUGCUUGAUUGUAUUAUUAUUAUUAUUAUUAGAUUCGUUUUUAGGUUCACCGCUCUGCUGACUUUGGCAUGGGGCGAUGAGUUUACAUUGUGGUCAUGUUUGGUUCACUCUUUAUUAACCGUAGAAUCGGAAUAUCCAUUCCGAUUCUAGACGUUUGGUAUAGUGUAAUCCCAUUGCGAUUCCAUUUCCGCUCCAGAAUGUGAAUCCACUAAUCCGGAUAAAAACCAAUCCAGCCUCGGAUCCCGGAUUAAAGCUUGACUCCAAUAUCAUACGAUAAAAAAUUAAAAAAAUAAUAAUAAAAAACUUCGUGGCGAAAAAACCUCUGCGCUCGCCCCGGCCAUCCCUCUUAACCCUCUCGUAAGCAACUUCUCCCCGGCCAAUCUCUCUUUCUCUCUCUCUCUCUCUGUCUCCGACCGUCGUCUCUCAAAUCAUCGUCAUCUCUCUCUCUUCUUUACUAUUCUUUCUCGCUUCUCUACUAUUUUUAUUCUCAAAAGUAAAUCAAUUUCUUUCUCUAUUGUCCGAAAAUUGAAUCUUUUUCUUUGAGGUCAACAUCACAUAGAGCAUUGGUACUUUCUUGUCAAAAGAAGAAGACAAUGAACUUUGGAUUUUGAUAAUAAAAAAGAAACAAUAAUUUUAGGGCUUGUUUACUUCCCUUAUUUUAGACUCGUUGAUUCCGACAGUUGUUGUUUGUUUUAUAGGAAUAGGAUUUCGAUUCCCAUUCCACUCUGGAACAGAAAUGGCCCAAUCCGGCUUUGAAUCCUGGAAAUACCUCUCCAAAGUAAACCACUUAAAAUCUACUCUCACAGAAACCUUCCCAUCCUCUCCCCUCAUCAUUCUCCUCUCCCUUAACCAAAACCUCUCUCAAAGUACUAGAUGUCCCUAUUGUUCAUUUUGAUUUCCAUUCCAAUAAUGAAACAAAAUUUUUGGAUGAUUCGUCAUUCUAUUUCCCAUUUCAAUACAAUUCAAUUCAAUUUUCUAUUCUCAUUCCACUCAUAAACCAAACAUACCCUUUUAUUAGGGAAAAAAAACUUAUCCUAUAAUUUGGAAAAAGAAAAAAAUUGCAAGUAAUUUUAUCUGAUACCAACUUAAUCUAUCACACGCCGGGUUAUACCGGAACUUGGGUUAAGAUUCUCCCCAAUCAAAUGAAAGCUCAACUCCAAGAGAAAAAUCCAAAGAAAAUCCAUUAAAAUCUCAACUUGCUCAAAAACUGGGAACUUUUACUAAAACUUAAAAAGAAAAAAAUCCAAAAAUACUUGGAGAUUUGAUGAAGUGAAGCUUUCCACAAACUUUGAACUUUAACUAGCUGUGCAUACACCUCUCCUACAAUCUUAAACUUCGAAACAUCACCAAAAUCCAAAGAAAAGUCGAACUCCUCAAGCUGCCAAGCUGCUGCUAUUCUGGGAAUGCUCCAAUGGUGAGUAGAAGAGGAAGAAAGGCAAUGAGAGGAGGAGAAUGUGAGGAAGAAGGAAAUGAGAGUGGAAGAGAGAUGAUCUCAGCUAGCACUAUACUCUAAACUCCUAAUUAAAAGUAGUUGGAGGUGUAAGUUGAGCCUAAACCUCAACAUAACUCUUUAUAAUAUUCCAGCUAAAAUCAAUAGUACUUCGGAAUUAUUUGUUUUACCAAUUUCGCGUCCACAUCAAUUUCGACUCAUCCUAACACUUUUCGAAUGUGUCGCUUAAUCCACAGACUGUAAUCAUUACAAGAAAUAAUAUUCUAAUAUAUAUUUUUUUUCAAAACACUGCAUCUCCACUUCUACAAAAAGUUUUGUUCUUGAAACUUAAACCAUACCUCAAAGAAGAACUCUCAAACAAGUAGGGAUAGGUCUCCAACAUCAUAGCCUCCGGCUCCCAAGUCGCUUCACGCUCCUCGUGAUUACUCCACACAACUUUUACAUAGGGAAUGACUCGGUUGCACAAUUCUUUCACCUCCCAAGCAAAAAUUCAUACUGGUCUCUCCUCGUAUCUCAAAGUCUCACUCAGCUCCAGUACAGUGAAAUCAAUUAUGUGCGAGGGAUCAAAAAUAUAUUUUCUCAAAGCCGAGACAUGAAAAACAUCGUAGAUACUAGCUAACUAGGGGUGGCAAUUCAGCUUGCCAUUUGCGAGCCAGCUCGUGUUCGGCUCGAAAUGAGCUCGGGAUCAAAUCGCUCAUUUAGUAAACGAGCCGAGCGCGAGCUGAAAUUUUCAGCUAGUUUAAUAAACAAGCCGAACAUGAGCUGGGGUCAGUUCGCUCGUGUUCGGCUCGAUAGCAACUCGAAUACAUAUAUUUUAUAUUUUUCUAUAUAAAUUAAUAAUUAUAUAUGUAUAUAAUAUAAAUUUUUAUUAUUUGAUUUUCUGCCCAAUAUAAAUAUAAAGCCCAAUUCAAUUAUAAAAUGAUUCAUUUAUAUGUAAAAUUUUAAUUAUUAGAUCAAAGUAUAACAGGUAAGAUCUUAUAAAUUUAUUCCUUAUAUAUAUUCUUUCUAAUCCUUCUAAAUUCUUAUUUAUAAGCCAGCUCGCAUUCAGCUCGAUACUUUAACGAGCUAGCCCGUGCUCGGCUCGUUUAUGAAACGAGCCAAACACGAGCCGACCACAGCUCGCUCAUGUUCGGCUCGUUGAUGCCCCUAUAUAUAUAUAUAUAUAUAUAGAGAGGGAGAGAGAGAGAGAGAGAGAGAGAGAGUAGGGCUACUACACUCUUAUGAGUAUUGGGCCCUUCGUACUCAUAAGUUGUUUUCAAUGAUGGAGCUUCCGAAUCAACGAUCCACUCCGUUAAAUAUGAUCUAGAGUAUUUCAAACUUCUAGAAAAUAAAUUUCGUAAUUUUUCGAAAUCAUAAUAAUGUUGUAGUAUAUUGAACUUUAGCAAAUCGCGCAGUUCAAGUAAGGAGAAGGGUACUUGGAACCAUCCUACGUGUUUUAAAGAGCAUAAAGAUGUUUUCGGACAAGUUUGAGAGUCAUUGGACCCUUGGAAGUGAGAAAGUGCAUUGUAAUUUCGAAUUUGGCAUUUUCUGCAUUGGUGUACCGGUACAAGCAUAAUGCUGUACCGGUACAGCAAGCAGCAGCAGCAGCAGGUGCGUGGUAGCAGGGAUCUUUUGGUCUUUUGGGCUUCUUGAUCUUAUCUUUAAGAGGUAGCUCGACCCCUGCAGCUGUAGAAGGGUUGCAGGAGCCUUGAGAAAGAGGUUGAAUAGAUUUUCUUCUCCUCUCUCUAGAGUUUUUCUCUCUACCAUGGGAAAUAAUGGUUUAAGUUGAAUUUCUUUCAUUAUUCGAUUUCAGCUGAUUGGGAGUACUUUGGAGUUGCUACGGAAGGAAGGAACAGCAGCCUUGCAGAGCACUUCGCAGCUUCGAACCUAGCUGUAACUCGGUUGAAGCUUUGGAGAGGUAAACUAGUAGUUAUUCCUUAGUUUGAAGCAUAAUGAUGAAUUAGUGUAAUAUUGGGGUUUAGGUGUUACUAGCAGUGUAAAGAGAGAGAGAGAAGAACAUUCUGCAGCUUGGGAAGGAGACUUGGACUGUGGAGCUUCAAAUUGAAGCUAGAGAAAGGUACUAUUCAAUCUGCGAAGGUGUAUUAUUUAGUAAUCCCCUUAGCUGAAGGGUUUGGUGUAAAGUAAAAUAGUAUUAACACUUGACUUCGCAGCAGGUUUACUUACUCUUUGGAGCGGAGUUGAUGAGUUUUGAGACUGAAUUUGAGUACUUAUAUCUUCGGCAAAGUAGAAAUAUUCCGUGGGGAAUUUAAACAAGUAAGACUUCAGCUUAUAAUACAUGGUUUUCUAAGAAUAGCAGGACUGUUUUGAGGCUAAUUUGCAGCAGGCUUGCGACAGGGUAUUAGAUAGUUCUCGACUGAAUUUUGGGAGCUUGUGACGGUGAAUCUAGUGUCUUCACUUGAACCAAAACAGGAGAUUAGAGCUGCAGCCUGACACAAGGCUAUGUUGCACAGAUACGGAUACGGGGAUACGGAUACGACACGAUACGGAUACGGCGAUACGGCAAUUCCUAAAACUUCUAGGAUAUGAUACGCGGGAUAUACUUGAGUAAAAUAUUAUUUUAAAUAUAUUUAAAUAUAUGUUGAUUAUAUGUAAUGAUAUAUUGAGAACAAUCAGAAUAUCUGGACUAUAUUAAGGAAUAUAUUCUAAUAUGCAUUAACUUGUAUAAUUGUUUUACAUAUGUUCAUAAAAAAAGAUAAUCAAUCAUAUAAAAUAAUAAUUCAAAAAGUAUCAAACCAACUGUCAUCCAACUUGAUCAAAUGAUAACAAUAGAUAUGUAGUUGCACAAACUAGAUAAUUAGUCAUUCAAUAUACAUGUCUGUUUUGUUAGUUCUAUUAUUAAAAUAGUAAUAAAAAAAUAUGGUAGCAAUGUAAUAGAGAAGUAAAAAAAAUCAUAUUUUCUAUAGCCUUUGUUGCUUAAUGCUAGGUUGACAAAUUAGAUGAAAGAGAGUAUAUAUUGUGUGAAGAUAGAACGAGAGGGAGCGCCUUCUACCAUUCAAGAGCAAAAAGAUAGAUGAAAUGACAAAUUGAACAGAGAUUGGCGUUUUUCUCACUCUUUUCCUUCUUUCUAAUAGGUUUGGACUUGAGUUUUUUAAAAAAAUUUUAAGUUUCGAUCAUUUUAGAUCAAAAAAGAAUCUGGCCGUGUCCCCCCCGUAUCCCCCCGUAUCCUUCACGUAUCCGAGCCGUAUCCGAUAUUUUUUUAUUUUUUAAAAAUGUCCGAUACUUCAUUCCCGUAUCGGACACGUAUCGGGCACGUAUCGGGCGCGUAUCGUUAUCCGAUACAUAUCCGAUACGGGUACGGCAUGAAAUUUGAAGUAUCCGUGCUUCAUAGACACAAGGUAAAAGUUGCUGAAAGUUGACAUUCGAUACUAGUUUCAAUGUAGUUUGGUAAAGUGAUUCACAGCUGUGGUCCAGCAGGUUGAGUGAUCAUUUGAAGAUGGUUAGUAUAACCUGGAAGCUGAAGUUGUGCUGAUCUAAGGGGGGGGGCCAACUUGAAUUAAAGCAAGGUUUAGUUUAGACUAAACCUAGGUGAGAAUUUAGCCUUAACAUGGGAUUAUGUGAAGUUUUACCUUUGACAUGUAAAUUCAGCUUUUAACUGACUUUGACCCGAUAUUAGGGAGAUCGAAGACUCCAGGUUACGCAUACAAGAGUGUGUUUCACAAAUCGGCAACUAAUAGGUGGGUUUGACCUACCCAGAGCAAGUGGAAAUCCCCUAUGUUCUAUAUGAUACUAUAUGUUGAUAGUAUGUGCGAGUACUAAUGGGCAUUAGUUACAGAGUGUUGAAUACUAUAACUUACUUGCCAUUGAAUUGACUGAAUCUUCCUAAUGUAUUAGAAUCAUAAGUAAUGAACUUGAUAUUGGACUCAAUGCACAUUUAGUAUAUGACUUUAUCCUACUUUGAUGAAGUAUAGAAUAAAGAGGUUCAUUUAGUAUAUGGACAGGUCAUUCAUUUGUAUUGAUAAAUUCUCAAGAUCUUGGACUUAUGUAUUUUUUGUAAUAUUUUUCUAUAAUUGCUGAAACUAGUGAAUACUAGCAUUUCCUUUAUAUUAAGAUUCCGACCUAGAGGUCGUAAGCAAGAAUUUUACAUGUUAAGACAUGAUGACUGGGAACUGUUGAACUAUGGAUCGUGCUUGCUUGCCAUUGUGCUCAUUCGCACAUGCUUGUGAGGGUCGCUCCCCACAAGCCGGCACUCCGGAGUUGGCCUACGCGACAGAUUGCUCGCCCGUGCGGGAUUGGGUGCCGAAAUGGAUUGCCGUGGGGAGUGUUUACUACCACGGGGCCAUUAGGCGCGGCGCAAGCUGGACUACCUUGUGUAGGUUCUUAUGAAUUAAACUAAAGUUCCAAAGGAUAGUAAUCGAUGAUUACCUUAUUUAAUGUAUAGUUACACAAUCCCAGAAUUUGUCCAUGUGCAUAGUAACUACUUUAUUUGCUUUGGCUUAAUUAACAUGUCUGAUAGUAUGAUACAUAUUCAUUAUUAAUUAUCAUUGAUUUAUCUAUCAUGCAGUAAAUGUUGUUUACAUUUCUAAUAGUACAUUAUGAGCCUAGUGGUGUAAUUCGCCGAGGCUGGCGGCUUACCCACUGGGAACUAUUGUUUAAUAGUUCUCACGCCCUUUUUAUUGUUGUUUUUACAAAGCCACCUACAGGAGAGACUAGGGAUCGUGGCAAGGGAGUCUCGUCUAGCUAGAUCUAGCUUGGAGCGUGACUAGAUGAUCACCUUGCUACUCGGGCUACGGCCGAGGGUGAUGUCCCCAUGUAUAGAGAGACUACCGUUGUACUUAUAUUGUAUAUAUACUUGGGAUGUAUAUGUGGUUUUGACUAGAGUUUUCAGUUUUGAUGUUUUUCUGUGAUGUUUGAGAUUUUGGGGUAUUUACUUACUGUCUUCUGAUAAUCUUAUUAUUGACUUAUACUUUGCUCUGAUAUCAGGUUAGAAUUCUUCGAUGUUUUCCUCCUUUCAACAUGGUUUUCUUGUAGACGCCUUAUAUACUGCAGGUAUAUGGCGGGUUUGUGCAUGUAUCGGGUAUACUUCCGCUGAUACCCGGGCGUGACAAAUGUCCAUCAAGCAGGCAUAAAAUGAACGGUCAAAAUCGAACGACGUCUUAAAAAUGAAUGAUCGGAUCCUUCAAUUUAAGAUUGGAGUUAUUGAUCUUUAUCUAGGGAGUGAAUAGAAUUUUCUAUCAAAAAUUCAACCUAUUCGGAUUCUUUUGCACCGUUAAACUAGCAAGUAUUCCAUACCGGCCGUUAAAAAUUGUCAAAUUUGUGAGCUUUUGAUCGUAAGAUAAUGAUGUCGAAAAAUUAUGAAGUUUGAUUUCUAGAAGUUUUAAAUGCUCUAGAAAAUGUUUAAUGGUAUGGAUCGUCGAUUCGGAAGCUCUAUCAUCGAAAACGACUUAUGAGUACGAAGGCGAUCGUACUCAUAAGAGUAUAGUAGCCGGACUCUAUAUAUAUAUAUAUAUAUAUUUAUAUAUAUAGAGCUAGUCUCCUAUACUAUCUAUAAUACGGUGUAUAGUCUCGUUUUCGAUCUUAGAGUGUUCAAAUCAACGAUCCACACCGUUACAACUGAUCUAGGAUAUUUAAAAUUUUUAAAAAUAAAAUUUUAUAUUUUUUUGACAUAGUUUACUUUAUGAUCAAACCAUUUCAAAAUUGUCAAUUUUCAAAAGCUACUAUGGCGAGUUUGGAGUUUAACGGUGUAGAAAAAUCUAAAUUUCUUCAAAUUUUGAUAGAAAAUACUUUAAACUAUCUAGAUUAAGGUUAACAUUCUUGAUCUUGAAUUUAAAAGUCCUAUACUCAAAUUUUAAAGAUUAUUCAAUUUCCACCGUCCAUUUUGACAUAAUUUAUUUACUAAGUAAACGAUGUCGAAAAAAACUAAAAUUUUAUUCCUAAGAACUUCAUAAACCCUAGAUCAUAUUUAACGGUGUGGAUCGUUAAUUUGAGCACCCUAAGAUCGAAAACAAGACUAUAGUACCGGAGCUCCGAUACUAUAGAUAGUAUAGUAGCUAUUCAUAAAAUUAUAAUUUAUAAUAAUUUGGAACAGUACAUCCCUCCUUUAUAAAAAGUUUCGUUCUCGAAACUUAAACCAUACCUCAAGAAGACCUCUCAAAUAAGUAGGGGUAGGUCUCCAACAUCAUAGCCUCCGCUUCCUAAGUCGCCUUACGCUCCUCGUGAUUACUCCACACCACUUUUACAUAGGGAACGACCUGGUUGCACAAUUUUUUCACCUCCCGAGUAAGAAUUUGCAUCGGUCUCUCCACGUAUCUCAAAGUCUCACUUAGCUCCAGUGGGAUGAAGUCAAUCAUGUGCAAGGGAUCAAAAACAUAUUUUCUCAAAGCCAAGACAUGAAAAACGUCUUGGAUACCAGUUAACCGCGACGGUAAAGCAAUCCUGUAGGCCACCAGUCCAACCCACUCCAAUACCUCAAAGGGACCAAUAUAACACGGACUUAGCUUUCCACGAACUCUAAAUCUACGAAUCCUCCUAAACAACGAGACUUUCAAAAACACAUGGUCUCCAACCUGAAACUUCAAAUCUCGUCACCUAGUAUCAACAUAGCUCCUCUGCCGACUCUGAGCUGCUCAAGAUGUGCCGUGCAAUUCUGACCUUUUCUUCUAUCUUCAACAGAAUGUCUGGACCAAAAUCUUUCUUUCACCCACUUCAUUCCAAUAUAGGGGUGAUCGAUACUUGCGUCCAUACAACGCUUCAAACGGAACCAUCUAAAUGCUCGCUUGAUAGCUGUUGUUGUACGCAAACUCAGCCAGUCUCAAGUGCCGAUGCCACCUUUUUCCAAACUUCAAGACGCAGACUCUCAACAUAUCUUCAAGAAUCUGAAUAAUCCGCUCUGAUUGUCCAUCGGUCUGUAGGUGAAAUAUUGUACUGAAAUGAAGCUGUGUACCUAAGGCAGUCGGUAGACUCCUCCAAAAAUGCGAGUUGAAUCUCGAGUCUCAAUCUGAUACAAUCAAAAUAGGUACUCCAUGAACCUAUUCCCUCUAAAUACAACUGAGACAAGUCAGAUCUAGACCACAAGUUGAAGCAGACUUGCAGAUGUCGGCUCAGACGCAUCAAAUCACUGAGCUCCAGAUAAUCCGACGACAAAAUCCGUCGUGAUCUGGUCUCACUCCCACUCUGGAAUCGGAAGGGUCUGAAGCUUGCCAGCAGGUACACGAUACUCGGACUUCACUUGUUGAUAAGUCAAACACUGAGAUACAUAUCUCCCAAUAUCCCUUCGAGGUAUUGGAGCGGGUUGGACUGGUGGCCUACAGGAUUGCUCUACCGUCGCGGUUAACUGGUAUCCAAGACGUUUUCAAUGUCUUGGCUUUGAGAAAAUAUGUUUUUGAUCCCUUGCACAUGAUUGACUUCAUCCCACUGGAGCUAAGUGAGACUUUGAGAUACGUGGAGAGACCGAUGCAAAUUCUUACUCGGGAGGUGAAAAAAUUGUGCAACCAGGUCGUUCCCUAUGUAAAAGUGGUGUGGAGUAAUCACGAGGAGCGUAAGGCGACUUAGGAAGCGGAGGCUAUGAUGUUGGAGACCUACCCCUACUUAUUUGAGAGGUCUUCUUGAGGUAUGGUUUAAGUUUCGAGAACGAAACUUUUUAUAAAGGAGGGAUGUACUGUUCCAAAUAUAUAUAUAUAUAUAUAUAUAGUUAACUAGAGCUAGAAUAUUAUCGAUAGCAAACCGGCACUUUUGCCACCCAUUUGUUUUUUAUGAUGGAGCUUCCAAAUCGACGAUCGGCAUCGUUGAACAUGAUCUAUACCACUUGAAGUGUUUAGAAAUCAAAUUUUAAAUCUUUUUUACAUCAUUUGCCUAAUGAUCAAAGGGUUUCAAAAUUUAUAGUUUUAAUGGUCGAUAUGAGGCGUUUUUUCGUUUAACGGCGUAAAGAUAUCCAAAUCAAUUAAAUUUUUGUUAGAAAAUUCUUAAAACUAUUUAAAAUAAGAUCUAUACUCUUGAUCUUGAUUACAAGACUCCUAGCAUCAUUUUUUAAAGAAUAUUCAAUUUCAGCCGUUCAUUUUUGUGUCCACUCGAUGGAUUAGAGAACAAUAUCGAAAAUGUAUGAAAUUUGAUUUCUAAAUACUUCAAAUAGUAUAGAUCAUGUUCAAUGGUGUCGAUCAUCAAUUUGGAGGCUCUAUCAUCGAAAACAAAUGGGUGGCAAAAGUGCCGGUUUGCUACCAAUAGUAUUCUAGCUCAACUAUAUAUAUAUAUAUAAUAAUAUUAAGAAUAUUAUUUCGGAUGAUACAGUCCGUGAAUUAAGGUGCACAUCGGAAAGUAUUGGGAUGAGUCAGAAUUGUUUUGAACGCGGAAUUGGUACCACAAAUAAUUUCAAAAUACUUUUGAUUUCAACUGGAAUACUAUUAUGUGUUAAGUUGGGGUUUAGGCUCAACUUACACCUCCAAUUCCUCCUAAUUGGGGAGUUUGGGGUGCAGUGCUAGCUGAGAUUAGUUCUCUCCCACUCUCAUUUCCUUCUCCCUCACAUUCUACUCCUUUCUUUACCCUUCUUCCUGUUCUACUCACCAUUUGAGCACUCUCACAGCAGCAACAACCUGGCAGCAUGAGGAGUUCGACUUCCCCUUCGAUUUUGGUGAUGUUUGGAAGCUUGGAAUUAUAGGAGAGAUGCACGCAUAGCUAGUUCUUGAAGUUAAGAGUUUGGGGAAUGCUUCAUUUCAUCAAAUCUCCGGGUAUUUUCGGAUUAUUAAAGUUUUGGUAAAAGCUGUCAGUUUUUUUAGCAAGCUGAGAUUUUGAUGGAUUUUCUUUGGAUUUUUCUCUUGAAUCUUGGUUUUCUUUUCGUUGGGGAGAAUCUUUACUUCAUCUAGAGCAAGUGGGAACUUUGUUUGAGCUGAAUCAAAGGUUGGUUUUUAGUGAAUUUCAGUUUUCAUUGAGUCCAUCAACCAAAAAUCAGCAUUUGGUGGUGUUUUUUAUCACUUUUGCAUGGUGAUUUCGUGGUAACUAUGGGGUUCUUUUGAUGGAUUAGGGGCUUGGGAACACAUUUGGGAGUGUUGUGGUCUUCCUCAUUGCCUUGCUUCCCUCGUGGACUUGCUGGAAUAGCCGCAAGAGCUGCCGGAACUCAGCUACAGUGCAGUGGUAGCAGCAGCCUAGUGCAGGGACAGCAAUGAUGUAUUUUCAAAAUUCCUUUCGAUUGGGACUUUGUUGCUACGAUUUGAAGAUUUCUGGGUGUUCCUAAGGUUGAGAGGAACCUAGUAUUUAAGUUUGAGCCGCUGAUUUGAGGUGAGCAUAGCUGAAUUUCAGUUUUUCGUACUGUAUCGCCGUUUUGUUGGAAUUUAGCUUGAUUUAUUAUUCGGCUCAAUCCGAUAGGAAUACUUACGAUUUUUUUUGCUUUGUUUGGUGAUUUUGGAUCUGAGACACGUGCCCGCUGAGUUUCAUCCUGAUCCGUAGUUGGAUUUGCACUCUAGGUGGGUCUGAACUAAUACAUCAAAAACCGCAAACUGCACUCUACAUCUAGUGUAAUUUCAGCAUGUUGUAGUUAAGACAUAUGUUGUUUUUUCUACUUAAUUCUAGAUAUGGUUGAUAUGAAUCUUGUACUGAGUUUAUCUUAUUUCUAUACUUCCUUGCAUAUGAUUGCUUAGUCAUUUGGUUAGGAUCCACCUUAUAUACACUACCUAUAUAAUGCAUAUGAACUUAGAAUAAGAAACUCCAUUCCUAUGUUUGAUUAGUUCAUUAAUACUCAUGAUGUUGAGUAUGGGUUAGAGGUAGUGUGGUUAUCAUUGAGUUGGGGCUGGACAUUAUCGAAUUAUUGACUCGUUGAUUUCACAGUAACCGUGGGAUUUUGGACGGUUGUACUGAGUUUUCAAUUAUGCAUCGGAUUAGGACGAGAUUAUUUAUUUAGUGGUUUUGUUGAUUCACCUUGGUCAUGAGCAUUGAUUUUAACCUGUGACAUACUUGACCUAGUUACUUUAUCCUUGAGUCGGUCGCUCUCCUCAAGUGCCACUCCGGAGUUAGAUGUUUGAGUACUUUUGGGUAUGUUCCACGUUAACGAUCCGCAGAUUGUUAGUGAGAUAAGAUGUGAUGCUAGUGCAGGCGGGACUGGGCUUUCGAGCCAAUCGAUUGAUUGGGUUAUUCUCGUCGGAUUAUUAUAGUUGAUGCAUAUCAUUCCAUUUAUACUUACUCAUUCCAUACUAGUGUAGAGGCAUAGUACGUAGUUUUCCUUUCAGCAGCUAUUAUAUAUUCUUUACCACUUUGCCCUUGUCGCCUCUGGUAGACCUAGUGGGUGGGUUGUACUUGUCGAUGACGUACUAUUGAGGACUACUGGUUUUUAGUAGUUCUCGCACCCUCUGUUAAUCCUUUUUUGCAGAGACCUCUACAGCGAUAGCGGCAACUGCGGACCGAGGUAAGAGGAUCGCUAGCUAGAUAGCUCUCCUUCCUAUUUUGUGGGUUAGUUUUGGACCCGAAUAUUAUUUUUGUUAGACUAUUGUACACAAGGAUUUAAGUGCUGUGGCAAAGGAUCUUGCCGAAAAUUUGCCGGCACAAUACGACACGGUGCUUGCCGAACCGUACCGAUGUGUCCCGGUCACAAAAAAAAUGUGUGCCAACACAUAAUGAUAUGAAAUAUUUAUUUUCUUUAACAAUAAAAUUUUCUAAUUGCUUAUUAUGUAUCUUUAACAAAUCUUUUAAACUUUAUUGAGAAAAUUACUUACUAAUUUAAAGAAAAAAGGGUUUUGAGCUGUGUCAUCGUCACGGAGGCUGUAUCGUGCCUGUAUCUUGUUGGCACGAUAUGGUAUGGUAGAUACAGUCCAUACCGAUGGACACUUAAAUCCUUGGUUGUACAUUUUGAAUCUGGCUUUUGCCAACUGGCUGUAUUUAUUUUUAUAUAUGGGAGAUGGAUCUUGUAUUCGAAUGAUAUUUUUAUACAGUUCAAUCUUUAGCUAGUUUAAUACUUCAGCUCUGUUUUGCUCUUCUGUAUUGCUUUAUUAUACUUUAAGCAGGUACUAGCGCUUCGUGGGCACGGGGCUUCCCGUGUACACGGCACCACGGCGGAUCUGUUGGCUAGCCCAAAUUUCGGAAUAACCCGGAGCGUGACAAAUUAAGUUGGCACCUAUUUUUAUAACAAAAUAUAUAUUUCUCUAUUUAUAUUUUCUCUAUUUAUAUUUUGAAUAUAGUAUUCAAAAUGAUUAAAAGUAAUUAAAAUACUAUAAGAAUAAAAUUGGUAUACUUUUUUAUUCCAUUUCUAAUGUCUAAAUCAACCAAACGGUUCAUUCCGACCCGAUUCAGGUGGCGAACCAAACAAACUGAUGUAAUAAGUCAUUCGUAUUCCGAUUCCAAUUCCGACUUCGAACCAAACACGACCUGUGUAUUUUUUUUCUUAUCCCUUUAAUUGGGCUGCAAAUGGAAUCGCCCUAUGUUCUUCUACAGUCGAAAAAUGAAAAGAAAAACAAUGGAAAAGAACUCCAAGAGCAAAAGCAGAAGAUAAAUAGAUUACAGAGACACACACAGUAAAUGAGCUAAGUUGACAUUCUCAAUACCUCAUUAAAAGCAUCUUGAUUCCAAAACCAUUCAUCCUGCUCAAUCUCUUCAUCCAGCAACUUAGUCAUUCUACCAAUGCCACAAAAUUAAAGACUCAUCAAAUUAAACCACAAAUAAGCAAAUUGUACUAGCUCAGAUUACUACAUCCAAACAAACAUCACCCGAAAAUGAUGAUUAAAUCACAAAAAACACAAAACAUGAAACACAACUAUGCUUCUAUGUUGAAACCUAUAUCGGAACAAAUCGAACCACAUAGAAAAGAUCAGAGACCUGUUGGGGGGGGAGAGAGAGGUACCUCUUGCCUCUGGUGGCUCGAGCGGAGCGCUCGAGGAGAAGGAGAGGAUCCUCGUCGGGAUCCGCCAUGGAUGAGAGCUUCGUUGGAGCUCGGCGAUGGUGAGGGAGGAGGAGGAGAAGAGGGGAGAGGCGAAGUGUUCGCUUUUGCCCUCGUCGACCAGAAGGAAAAACCUUUGGUUAGGUUACUGGUGAGUUUAAUCACUUAUUAAUAAAUCGGCGGGCAUGAGAACUCGGCGCUUUUAUUUCGCAUUGCCGAAUUAUGCACUAAACUCGGUGUUUAAACAUCCCUGUUGCCGACUUACGAGUAAUCGCUGUGAACUGGGUAAAAAUUAGUGGGUGUUUGGCCUAGCUAGGGGUGGAAACGAGCCGAGCUUGAGCGAGCUUAUCUCAGCUCAAGCUUGGCUUGAAAUUAAUUUCGAGCCUAAAUUUAGGCUCAAGCUCGGCUUGAAAUUAAUUCGAGCCGAGCUCGAACGAGCCUAAUUUCGAGUCGAGCGAGCUCGAGCCCUAAACGAGCUGUUUGAAAUUCUUAACACCGUGCAAUCUAUAGUUUAAUUUUUAUAAAAUAUUAUCUAAAAUUCGAUACAAAAAUAUCUAAUAGCUCAACAUACAAAAUGAAUGCAUGAAAUACAAUAUUAUAAGAUUAAAAAAAAUAGGAAAAGCGAUUCUAUGAGGAGUGAAAAAGAGAGAGAGAGAAAUUGCUGGUUUGAUUUUGUGGGCCCAAUAAUCUAAAUUCUAUAUACAUAUAAUUAAAAUACAUAAUAUAUAUUAUUUUAUUAUAUUAUUGGGUAUUGUAUAUAUUAUAUAGCGGAGAUUGCUACUUCUGCUUUGUAGGACCUUUAUACUCAUAAGUUUUCGAUCGUUAGAUCUAUGCUUUUUACUAUUUCCAUCCGUAAAUCAUACUGUUCAACCAAUCAUCCACCCAAUCCUAAGGGACCACUAUCAUCCUAAUUGCACAUUCAACGGCCAAAAAUUUAUAAGUAUAAAAAAGUCUAUACUCAAAAGAGUAUAGUAGCCCUAGCUUAUAUAUAUAUAGAAUUAAGUACUAUACUAUUAAUAGUACCAACCGCUUGUUAUUAAGUUUUCGGCCCUUAGAUGAAAGGAUGUGUGGUCAGGAUAAUUGUAGCCCCUUAGGGUUGAGGAGGUGGGUAGUUGAAUAGUAUGAUCUAAUGGAUGAAAAUGGCUUAAGGGGUAGAUCUAACGGUAGAAAACUCGAUAGCACCAAACGCUUGGUACUAUUGAUAGUAUAGUAAUCGGACUCUACAUAUAUAGAUAGAUCUAACGGCAGAUAACUCGAUAGCACAAAACGAUUGGUACUAUAAAUUGUAUAAUAGUCGGACUAUAUACAUAUAGAGAGAGAGUCCGGCUAUUAUAUUAUCGAUAGUACCAAAUGCUUAGUACUGUCGAAUUUUGUACCGUUAGAUCUACCCCUUUGACCAUUUUCACCCGAUAGAUCAUAUUAUUCAACUAAUCACCCACUCAACUCUAGGAAAUCACUAUCAUCAUAACUGCAUAUCCCUUCAUCCAAAGGCUAAAAACCUAAUAGCAAGUGAUUAGUACUAUUAAUAGUAUAGUAGACUAAUUCUAUAUAAAUAUACAUAUAUAUAUUUCGAGCUUUUAAAGCCUAAUUCGACCGAGUCCGGUAAUACUCAAGCUUGACUUGAAAUUAAUUUCGAGCCUAAAUUUAGGCUCAAGCUCGACUUGAAAUUAAUUCGAGUCGAGCUCGAGCAAGCCGAAUAUCGAGCCGAACGCGAGUCGAACACGAGCCGGCUCGCUCAUUUGCCAGCCCUAGGCUCAUUUGCCAGCCCUAGGCCUAGCAUUUGAAAAGUGAUUUUGGGUUCAAAAGUAAAUUUUUGAUUCAAUAGAAUGUUUGGCAAUCACCUAUUUAAAAUCUGAUUUUAAUUUUUAGAUUGAAUGUUCUAAUUUUUUAGGCUCAAAAUCAGAAAUAGCAAAAACCUGCUUCUUGAAAUCUGAUUAUGCUUUUAGACUCAAAUUUUAAAUUUUAUUUUUAUUUUAGAUUCUAAUUUUAAAUUUAAAUUCAAAUUUAAAUUUUAAAUUUUAAAUUUUAAAUUUUAAAUUUUAAAUUUUAAAUUUUAAAUUUUAAAUUUUAAAUUUAAAAAUUUUAAACUUUCAAUUUAAUAUAAAAUUUACUAUUAAAUUUAAAUUUUAAAAUUUUAGAAUUUAAAAUGUAAAUUAUAGAUUUUAUUUUUCAAAUUACAAAUUUAAAUUUUAAAUUUAAAUUUUAAAUUAAAUUUUAAGUUUUAAAUUUUAAAUAUUAAAAUUUUAAUUAUAAAUUUUGAAAUUCAAAUUUAUUUUUUGAAUUUGAAAUUGAAAAUUUAAAUUUUCAUUUUUUAAAUUUAAAAUUUUUAAUUUUUAAAUUUUCAAAUUUACACAAAAAUUUUGCUUUAAAUUUUUGUGCAAAUUUAAUAUUUAAAACUUUAAUUCAAAUUUAAAUUUUUAACUAAAAUUUAAAUUUUAAAUUAUUUUAAAAUAAAAUUUAGUAAAAAAUUUAUUUUAUGAAACAUUUAAAAAAUUUUACCAAAUAGUUUUACAAAUUCACUUCAGAAAAAUACUUUCUAUAUAUUUAAAUUUAGUCAAACACACUGCAGCUUUUAAUCAAAAUCUUCAAACCAAAACCUAUUCUGCAAAAAGCAUUUUUCUAGAAUUUAGGCCAAACGAGUAAUUUCUUCAUGAGGUAGUCCUUUUCUUCACUAUAAACAUCUACUUAAAUACACAUGCAGUUAAUUGAUUUCUUCGGCUGGGUUAAGACUAAUUAUAGGUAGUUAAUCUGUGUAAUAUUAAAAUUUGGUCUCUAAACUUUUUUACUUAAACACUUAAAUUAUGAACUGUCAUAUAUAUUGCAAUUUAGUUUGAGUCUUACAGAAAAAAAAAAAGAGCUAUUUUUAAUGAAACGACCUUCUAUCACUAUUUGUAAGCUAAUAAUUAAACUGAGUUAUACGAAUAAUUUUUUUAAUAUAUAAGCCACUUUAUAGGUGAGAUUAAAGUUGUCAUUUUCUAAGAAAGAUUAGAUUAGUUUUUAAAGGUCAAGGAGUGAAUUGCAAUAAUAUACGCAGAAGUUUGGGGAUUAAAAUAUUUAUUUGAAAUGUAUAUAGCGACAAGUUGCAAUAUAGGAAUAGCAGCGAAUAUUUAAUUUCUAUCGAAGAGUAUUAUUAUUGGAGCCACCAACUUUCUUACACGUGCUGAAAUUAUACUGAAUAAGAGAAAACAAUUUUAAGGCCCUCCACAACAACCCCAAAUCCUUUCCUUGAAUUGAUUAGCUCUCACUAGAGAACACUGAUCUUCGUACACAUUUAGGACUAAUUCAACCUUCAUUACACAGUCGGCCGCCGCAUAUUUUAUUAUUUUUCGUACUCUGAUAAGGUCACCGUACUGAUAUUUAAUUACUUUUUUAGUUACACAACGACCACAUCAAAACAAGGACCGAUUAAUUCUUACUAAAGCUUUUCAAACUAGGCUUCUUUUUGUAGGAAAAAUUAAGUAUGACCUUUUCAAGGCUCUAUCAUAUGAUGAUCUUUUCGAAGCCUUAUCAUAAAACCAAGUCCCCACAUCCUCUUCUUCUAUAUGUACUCAUAACACCCCAGCCACUUUUCCAUCAUCAAAAACUAGCUACAACAUUCAAGUUUCAUUAGUUUCUUCUGCAGUGACCUACAAGCUUCAGGAAACAUAAAAUGGCAGCUAAAAUCCUCCUCUUUGCUCUUCUUUUAGUCGCCUCUCCUUCUGCAUUCGCUUCCGAUCCUAGUCCUCUCCAAGACUUUUGUGUCGCCGAUGAGAUGUCUCAUGGUAAGCAAUUUAAUACAUUGCUCUUCUCUGUCAUUUGAGUUACUAGGGUUAAGUAGUUGCAAUUGGGUCCCUAGCUACGUACAAAGCUAGUUGUACAUAUGUAGUAGUAUCACUAAUUAACUAUGUGUUUAUGUUCCUGCAGUGUUUGUUAAUGGGUUCGUGUGCAAAGAUCCAAAACUAGCGAAACCUGAGGAUUUCCUCUUCUCCGGCCUAGACAAGCCCGGAAACACAUCCAACAAGUUCGGAUCGAAAGUGACCUUAAUCGAUGCAAGUAAGAUCCCCGGUCUCAACACCCUAGGUGUCUCGAUGGCUCGUCUUGAUGUUGCACCUCAUGGUCUCAACCCACCACACAUUCACCCACGUGCGACCGAGAUCUUGACUGUGAUAGAAGGCUCCCUUUAUGUUGGAUUCGUGACGUCGAACCCUGAGAACAAGCUCUUCUCUAAGGUCCUUAACAAGGGCGAUGUGUUCGUGUUUCCCGCGGGUUUGAUUCACUUUGAAUUUAACUUUGGUCCGACCAGGGCAGUCGGCCUUGCUUCCCUGGGUAGCCAGAAUCCGGGUCUCAAUAGGAUUGGCGAAUCGGUCUUCGGAUCAAACCCUUCCAUUUCUGAUGAUAUUCUUGCUAAAGCCUUUCAGGUGGACAAGAAAACCAUAGAUUGGAUUCAGGCUCAGUUCACGUCGACCAAUCAAAACUAAGAUAUAUACUAGAUGUAAUUUACUUUUGAUGUUUUGUUUUUCCAAUUAUCGCAUGUAAUCUGCUUUUGUUAUUCAUGUCUGUGGAUUUAUUCAUUUGAUUGUAUCAAUUGGAUUGAAUAAGCAAACAAUAUGGUACUGUUUGCAUGUGAGUUAGCAAUAACAAAACUACAAAUUUAUUUAUUAAUGACUGGCACUAGUUCCACGAUUAAUUACCCGUGGCCUCCGCUUCUCUCUCGAAAAAAAAAAAAAAAGAAGAAGAGGGCAACUUUAUUUCCCUUUUAUUUAAAAAAGUUUGCAUUUAGCUUGACAUACGAGGGCAAAUUUUAGAUAUAAUUUUGCUUGACAUAUGAGGGCAAAGUUUAGUUAUAACUUUUCAAAGUAGGUUUAUAUCAUACGUUUAGAGUGUCGGAUCGUUGGCGCUAAUCAUUAAUCCUAAAUGUUCAAAUUGUUAGAAAUAUAUAAUUAAUUCACUUAAAACAUAUAGACACAGCGCCAUGAGUCUCGAUUAUGACUCAACCAUGGCCAACUAAUCUCACGCCACUUUGAACAUGACUUGUCAUUGCGCCAUUUCAAACAUGACUCGGUCCAACCUGGUUUCCUGCCACAGGGCAGGAUGCUGACUUCUGUAAGCUAACAAUUUUUCCCUCCAGUACCUGCACAAAUUCACAACAUGCAGGAAUCGAACUCGUUCCCUCUGAAUCAGAUACCUCUUGUCGGAUCGUUAGAGCUAAGUAUUAAUCCCAAAAGCUCAACCUAUUAAAAAUAGGCAACCAAUUUACUUAAAAGCCAUAGUUAGUUAAUUCGAAUUCGACAAAAAUUCGGUACGGGUAUAAUAUGCAUAAAAUUCGUUUUCUAAGUUUUAAAUUCGUUGAAAAAUUCAGCUUAAAAAAAGGAUUUGGUAUAAAAUAUAAAAUAUAAGAUAUAAAAUAUGAGAUAAUCUAUAUUUAAACAUAAAAUUAUAAGAUUUUUAUUCAGAUUUUCAAUAAUUCGGGAAUAAUUCGCGAAUUAUUCAUGAAUUACAAACACAGGAUCCACGGGUCUCGAUUGUGACUCAGCCCAACCAACUUCACGCCACUUUGAACAUGACUCAUCCAACCCAGCCUCUCGCCAUUUCAAACAUGAUUUGGCCCAACCUGAUCUCUAGACACAUGGCAGGAUGCUAGCCCAUUUAAACCAACACGGAGUCUCUUGCCUUAACGCCGAGCUACUCAAAUUUAAUUAGUCUUCGAUUAGUGUAAUAAAUUUGUUAGAAAUAAUUUUUAUUAGAUAUGCCUCGAAAUUUGGUAAUCGAGUUCGAUUUUGUACCUCUAAUUUGCCGACAGCUUCACGGUGCGACAAAUUUUAAAAGGUAAUUUAUGAAGUAAAAAAUGGAUUUUGUGGUGAGUAUGGGCUCAAGACCAUUCUGAAGAAACCCCUAACGGAACUGCUGUCAGCCGAAUUCCGUAUUCCCUGACCCGGUCAAGGAUUUCCCUAGAAUAGGGAUGCGAAACGGCUACACGUGGUGACCCUCGAAGUUUGCGCCAUUCGACAGAUCAAGCGAUUCGGCUGAUGAGGGAUCCGAUCAGCCGAGUUUGUACCCUCUAUUAUAGAAUCGGUUCGGCUGAAUGAGCCGAAUGUACGGAUUGCACAGUAUUUUCAAGUCGGCUGAAGUGCCGAAUGCUUUUAUAUAUAUUAACUUGAAGUUCGAAACAAGUACAAAAGGUGAUGCCGGUACGGUGUACAGAAAAUCUAACUUAAAACUACUCUUAAGAAAAAACAGUAAAUGUAGGGAAGCCAUAAAAGAUUACAAGUAAACUAUUCCUUGAAAGCGAGGAAAAAAAUGCGUAGAAUUGAAAGUGGUCUUCUGUUCGUAGGGAAAAGACCCCUCUUCCAAGUGUCUUCUGUUUAUUUAUACUCUGCCCGUAGUUAUUCAAUUAUCUACAUUAUUGGUCACUUCUCCCUAAUUUCGUGGGCCACUACGAGCCGAUCUCAACCACAUGAAACCGUCUGCGGUUUGCUGCAACUUGCCUUUUGUUCUCGGUGCACCAAAUGUCGUUUAUCUCCAGUUUUAAAGUCCCUGGCUGUGUUGUGCACUUAUUCACCACGUGGCACUAUUUUACUGUCACCAACAUGAACUUUCUUUCUUUUUUUUCCUACAGGCGAUACAUUAUAUUGUACUUCCACAAUAUUUGUACUCCCGUUUUUAUAGUAAAGUUCUCUCCUUCUUCAUCCAUGAUUUUUUUCGUGCAAAAGAUUUUUCACGUAAAUCUUUCUGUUUUAUUUUAUUUUACUAUUUUGUGGUUUGUCAUUCUCCAUUAACAUAUAUAUCGCUCAUCAAAUGUUUCGAUUGCCAUUUUUCGUUUUUGUUUGUGCGCUCAUCAAACAAUUUUAUUCAUAUGUUAUGAGAAUUUGGAUUUGGUAUUUUGUGCAUGCCUGCAAGAGUAUUUGAACUUUUUCUAGCUAUCCAAUAUUGAUUUUAGUUAUUGAACUUAUGACCUAUGUGCAGUUUGAAAUUAAACUAUAAAUUCAAAAAUUUUCAUCACUUAUUAUUAAGCCAAAAACUAAAAAAAAGAAACAACUUAGCCAAUUCAUAAUUAUGUAAUUUCAUAUAUAUCCAUAUAUAUCGUUGAAGUUGUUUUGACUAAUUUAAGGGGUUGUUUGGUUGCAUGCAUUUCCAACUGUACUAAGUUGGAAAUGCAUGCAUCUAUUAAAUUUGUGUUUCGUUUGGUAUAGUUAGACCAAACUGCUGUAGUUGUAUAUGCACGAGAAGGCCCAAUUGUUGCAAUUGGUAUUGCAGCUAAUUGCUGUAGUACCAAUUGCAGCAAUUGGGCCGGAGUCUGCUCACCCAUUAAAAAAAUAAAUAAAGUGUUUUUUUUUUCACACGCUUCUUUUUUAACUUUUUUUUUUUCAAGAAUACCUAUUCAUAAAAUCUGCUAGGAUUUUAAUAAUGUCUGUUAGGGUUCAAUAAAAUUUUUUAUACGCUUUUUUUUAAACUUUUUUUUUCCAAGAAUAUCUAUUCAUGAAAUCUGUUAGGUUUAAUAAUGUCUGUUAGGGUUCAAUAAUUUUUUUUUCACACGCUUCAUUUUUUGCCAGUUUGCUAAUUCAAUAAUGCCUUAAUUUUUGUUUUGACCAAAUUUAUAGUACGUUUGCAUUUAAAAUUCAUUACAUUCAGGCUAAAUUACAGAAAACCUCCAUGUCAAAAUUCGAUUUUUCACUUUUCCUCCCUGUCAUUUAAAAACUUAUACUUUGCACCCUUGUAAAAUGAAAAAUGUGCACUUCACCCCCUACCGUUAGUAAUCUGUUAGAGUUCCGUUAUAAAAUAUUUUUUUAUGCCAAAAAUACCCCUCCGCCCUCUUCCCUGUUGCUUCGCCUUCCUUCGCCUCGCCGCCGCCUUGCCACCUCGCCACCUCGCCCUCCUCUAUUGCCUCGCCCUCGCCCACAUCUCCGCCCGCGCCCAUAAACACCCCUUCGCCCUUCUCCGUCCCGUCGCCUUCACCCUCUUGUCCUUGCCCACCUCUCCAUCCAUGCCCACCUCGAUCUCCUCCCUACUGUCGCCGAAAUCGAUGGGCGGUGAGGGUGCAGAAGGAGAAGGGGAGCAGGUGGAGAAGAAAAUGGAGAGAAACCGCGGCCGAUCGAGGCGUGAAUCGCAGCCGAUCGAGGCUGUGGUUGAGGAAGAUGAGGGAGGAGACGAAAAUGGUAAGGGGCAAAAUGGUCAUUUUAUCAUCACAGUACACGCCGUACCCCCCCUGUGAACAUUUUUCAUUUUACAAGGGGGCAAAGUGUAGGUUUUUAAAUGACAGGUGGGGAAAGUGAAAAAUCAGAUUUUGAUAGGGGAGUUUUAUAUAAUUUAGCCUUAAAUUUAUACAUAAUUUUGUAAUAUAGAAAUAAUAUAUAGAUAUAAAGUCUUAAUAAAUAACUAAAAGAUCUCAUGAUUAUGCUAUGUAUGUUUACAAGAGGUAAUCUUACAUUUUUAUCUAAAAAUUGAUAGGAUUUACAAAUACAAAUCUCAACUGCAGCCUACCAAACAGAAGAAAUGUAAUCGCAGCAGUUGCAACUGCAUAAAAUCAAACAGACUAGAUAUAGUUAUGGCUGCAGCAUUUACAGCUGCAGGUACUUCCAACUACACUGUCUUUAUAACUAUAUUCAACCAAACGGCCCUUAAUUGUUGUAAUAACAAAAUUGAAAAAUGAUAGUGAUUAUAUUAAGUGUAUCUAGCAAAUUAAUUAACGGAGAUUAUUAAUUAUAGAGUGGGUGACCACAUGACAAUGUGGUAUAUACAUCUCCUUGAUUAAAAACUAUGCUAAUUAAUUCUUAAAUAUAUAUUUGUUAAACUUAUCAAAAUAUCCCGAGGAUUGUAUCAUUUUUUUCCUUUUUUUUUUGUGUGCAUGAGCAUGCAUUAAUGAAUCAAAAAAUUUGACAAGAAAAGGAUGUUAUAUAUACUGAACUCUUAAUUUCAAAAGAAAAUGCUACUAAACAAUGUUGGAAGCGUGAUUAGCUCUGAUACAAUUGUUGGAAUCGGUACUUGUUCUGAUACCAAUUAUAUAAGAUGACGACGAAGUUCGAAUUCAGAAAUUUGACAAGACCAACAAUUUUGCAUUAUGGCAAGUCAAGAUGCGUGCUAUAUUGACACAGCAAGGAUUACAGAAAGUACUGUUGGGAAAAGAAAAAUGUCCGAUUCGUUGAUACCGGAGCAGAAAGAGGAGAUUGAUGACAAAGCUCUCACGGCAAUACAAUUAUAUAUAUCCGAUCAGGUAUUGCGCGAGGUCUUAGAUGAAAAGACUGCUGCAGGGCUUUGGCUUAAAUUGGAGUCUCUCGACAUAACAAAGGCUCUCACUAACAAAUUAUAUUUAAAGCAACGUCUCUUCAAGUUGCGUAUGGCGGAAGGUACCUCUAUUAAGUUGCAUUUAGAUAAAUUUAAUUCUAUUAUUAGGAUCUCCACUCGAUAGAUGUUAAAUCGUCAAGAAGAUGAAGCCUUUUUAUUAUUAUAUUCUCUACUGCCCUCUUAUAAGAAUUUUCGUGAGAUCUUCUUGUUCGGACGAGAUACUCUAUGUCUCAAUGAUAUUAAAUCCUCUUUACUUUCAAAAGAGAGAAUUGACAUGCAGAUAAGCAACGAGACAGGUGGAGCUUCAAGACAAGGUUUGGUCGCUAGAAGGAGGUCUCGGAAGAAGGGUUUCGAUAAUAGAGGUACAUGUAGAUCAAAGUCAAAGCACAAGAAUCUGAUUUAUGGUUAUUGUAAGAAGAAGGGUCACAUAAAAGCUAAUUGUUUCAAGUUGAAAAAUAAAGAACAACGGAAGAAUAACGGUGAUAAAAAUUAAGGUCAGAAAAAUACCAAUACUGAAACAGUAGCAAGUAUUGGAGCAGGAGAAUCAGAUAAAAAUGAUAUCGUCUUCACAGCUACGGAAAAGACACGUAGACAGGAUGAAUGGCUUAUGGACUCCGCACAUGUUCCUUCUAUAUCUGUACGCAUAUAGAAUGGUUCUCGGCGUACAAGCCUAUUCAAGGUAGAGAUGUAUUGAUGGGAAAUCACUUUAAGUGUACAAUUAUUAGAAUUGGCACUGUUCGGGUACGGAUGUUUGACGGAGUAGUGAGGGCUAUAUCUGAGGUUCAGCAUGUUCCGGAUAUGAGAAAAAAUCUGAUCUCAUUGGGUAUACUUGAUACUAAAGGCUUUAAGUGUUCAGCUGAUGGAUUGAUGAAGGUCGCUAAAGGGAAUCUGAGUGAUGAAGGCAGUCCGACAUUAUAUGUUCUACAGGGUUCCACUGUGACAGUUUCAGCAGCGGUGACUUCUUCCUCUAUUUCAGAUUCAAAUAGCACCGAAUUAUGGCAUAUGCAACCGGACCAUAUGAGUGAAUAUGGUAUGAUGAAGUUGGGCGAGAGAGGUUUACUUGGUAGUCAGAGUUUAGAAAAGUUGGACUUCCGCGAGCAUUGUGUUCUUGGCAAACAAAAAAGAGUCAGCUUUAAGGCCGCAGUUCACCGGACAAAAGGUACACUGGACUAUAUUCAUUCUGAUCUUUGGGGACCCUCUCGUACUCCUACUCAUGGUGGUGCUAGAUAUAUGUGACUUUUAUUGACGACUAUUCUUGUAAAGUGUGAGCAUUUUUUCUGAAAAGUAAGAAUGAGGUGUUCAAUUAUUUCAAGCAGUGGAAGGUCAUGAUUGAAAAGCAAACUGAAAAGAAGAUUAAGAAAUUAAGGACCGACAAUAGUUCGGAAUUUUGUUCGUCAGAGUUUGAAGAAUUUUGCAAGAAUGAAUGAAUCGUCAGACAUAAAACCAUUAGGCAUACUCCACAGCAGAACGGGGUGGCCGAACGGAUGAACAAAACUCUUUUGGAGAAAGCUCGUUGUAUACUCUCUAAUGCUGGCUUAGCUAAGAGUUUCUGGGCAGAGGCGAUCUCUAUGGCAUGCUAUUUGGUAAAUCGAUCUCCACAUUCAGUACUUGAUUGCAAAACUCAGGAGGAGGUUUGGUCUGGCAGCCCUUCUGAUUAUUAUAAUUUGCAAAUAUUUGGUUGUCCUACUUAUGCUCAUGUCAAUGAAGGCAAGUUAGAACCUAGGGCUAAAAAGUGCAUUGUUAUUGGUUAUGCAUUGGGGGUUAAAGGAUAUAGAUUGUGGUGUCCUGAAUCGUCUAAAUUAAUUAUUAGUAGGGAUGUCACAUUUGAUGAAUCUGGUAUGUUAUAUCCUAACCGAAUUCUUCUAAUGAGACCCCGAGUGCUAGCAAGCAGGUAGAGGUAGAGACCAAUGGUAUAGUUCAGUCGCAGGAUUUUUCUCAGUCAGAAUAAGUUCAGUCGGCAGACACCUUAGUAACUGAAACUCCAUAAGUUGAGAGGCAGAGUAUUGCUUUAUGCAGAGCGAGGAGAUAGAUCAAACCACCGCAGAGAUACGGUUAUGAAGUUGGUUGCUUACGCUCUUUCAGUGGCACAAGAUACAGAAGAAGAAGGCGGACCUUCCACAUAUAAUUAAACUAUUUCUAGUGCCAGUUCUGCAGAGGGUUGCUGGCGAUGAAUGAGGAGAUGGAGUCUCUCCAUAUGAAUCGCACAUGAGAUUUGGUAAAGCUGCCUACAGGCAAGAAAAUUGUUGGCUGCAAGUGGGUCUUCAAGAAAAUGGACGAAAUCCCCGGCGUGGAAGAUACAAGGUAUAAAGCUCGUUUAGUUGCUAAGGGCUACAGUCAGGUAGAAGGUGUUGACUUUAAUCAUAUUUUCUCACCCGUCGUGAAGCAUACUUCUAUUCGUGUUCUUUUAUCGUUAGUAGCCAUGAAUGAUCUGUAUCUUGAGUAGCUUGAUGUUAAGACAACUUUUCUACAUGGAGAAUUUGAGGAGCAAAUUUAUAUAAAACAGCCGGAGGGAUUCAUUGUUGAAGGAAAGGACGACCAUGUUUGUCUGUUAAAGAAAUCGUUUUAUGGCUUAAAGCAGUCUCCUCGACAAUGGUAUAAGCGGUUCGACUCUUUCAUGACAGGUCGCAGAUAUUCCAGAAGCAAGUAUGACAGUUGCGUAUACUUCAGAAAGCUUAAUGAGGAAUCUUUCAUAUCUUUGUUGCUCUAUGUUGAUGAUAUUUUAAUUGCUUCCAAUGACAUAGUUGAGAUAAAUAAAUUGAAGACUUUACUUAAGAGUGAGUUUGAGAUGAAAGAUCUAGGUGCUGCUAAGAAAUUCUUAGUAUGAAAAUUAAGAGGGACAACAAAUUAGGAUUACUACAUUUGACACAAAAGAAAUAUAUAGAGAAGAUUUUUAAAGCAUUUCAGGAUGACAGACGCAAAAUCGGUGGGCACUCCUUUUGCAGCACAUUUCAGACUUUCCGCCGAGUUAUCACCACAGUCCGAUGAUGAGCAGGAGUACAUGUCACAUGUUCCUUAUUCUAGUGCUGUCAGGAGCAUCAUAUAUGCCAUGGUUUGCACACGGCUGGACAUCUCUUACGCAGUGAGCAUGGUUAAUAGAUAUAUGACCAAUCCUGAUAACGCUCAUUGGUAGGCUGUUAAGUGGAUUCUGAGAUACUUACGAGAUACCAUUAGCACUUGCUUGGAGUUUGGAAGGUGUAAAGAUGGUGUGGUUGGAUAUGUUGAUUCAAAUUUUGUAGGUGAUUUAGAUAGGAGGAGAUCAUUUUCAGGUUAUGUAUUCUCUAUUGGUGGAUGUGUAGUUAGUUGGAAAACUUCAUUGCAACCUAUUGUUGCCUUGUCUACAACGGAGGCGGAAUAUAUUGCGAUGACAGAGGGUGUGAAGGAAGUUAUGUAGCUAAGAGGCUUAUUUGGAGAAUUUACUUCUUGUUGGGAUCCGACGAUUGUUUAUUCAAACAGUCAAAGUGCUAUUCAUUUGUCUAAAGACCAGGUGUUUUAUGAGAAGACAAAACACAUCGAUGUAAAGUUUCACUUUGUUCGGGAUGUGAUUGGGAGACGCACGGUGACUGUUAAGAAAAUUGGUACUGAGGACAAUCCAACGGAUAUGCUUACUAAGUCUUUUAUUAUUGCCAAGUUCAAUCAUUGUUUGAACUUGGUGGCAGGUGGCAGCACUUGAGGCCCUAUGGGGCGUUUGGAGAUGACGAAGCACGGAGCGUUAAGGAACAUUGAGGCGAAUUAAAUUAAAGGUGGUGUUUUGUGGUGAUCUCGAUAUAGCGGUUAAAUUACAAAUUAAACAAAGGUGAAGAUUGUUAAAUUUGGUUUAGAUUUGUAGUUAUCUAAAUUGAGGUUAAAUCCUAAUCUAAUUGAGAUUAGAUAUAAUUUAGAUUUAAUCUGGCAUAUAUGAAUUAUGAGCCGGAAUGUAAUUCAAAUUGAAUUAGAUUAGACUUGCGUUUAGAAAUCCAUUUAGAUUGGAGUACCAAUUAGGCUCUAAUUUGAAGCCACAUCUUUUAUAUAUAUAUAUAUAUAUAUAUGCCGGCUAAGUUAAUGAAGCCGCUGCGCCCAAAUUAGGAAGCCAUGCACUAAUUAAGUCUAGCUUGCUGCGUGGUUCGUACGGCUAAAAGGAGGGAGGCCGAAGCUCUAAUUAAACGUUGCAUAUUAGAGAGAGCCAAGCCGCCGCAAUCCUAAUUAGACCCAUGCCAAUUCCGUACGGCCUUGGGUCUUGAGAGGAGCCCUGUGCGCUAAGUAGCCCUAUGCGCUAAUUAAGGCCAAUUUGUGGUCCAUACAUAUUGGAGAGAGAAGUCAUUUUGGAGUUGCUCGUAGGAGGGUUGCGGCAUUUUCGAUCUAAUUAAACUUUGGUAUUUUGAGAAAUCUUCUUUGUACUCCGUCUUUCGACAUUAAUAAAAUAUUUUCUCUGUCUUCGCCCGUAGACGUAGGCCGUUGGCCCAUUGGCCAAACCACAUAAAAUAUCGAUGUGCUCUUUCUUCUUUUUUUUUUCUUUUCCUGCAUUAAGUUAUUUUCUGGAUCUAUUUUUCGCUAUUAUAAUUUUAACACAUAUAAUCUAUGAGAAUAUAAUAUAAAUAAUAGACUAAUGAUUCUCGAUCAAUCAACAAAAAAAAUCUAUAUAUAUUUGCAGGCCAUAGUAUAUAUAGUUAGUCAAGGGAGCUAAUGAAGGAUACGAGUGUAACAUGCAUGCAAUAAUAGAAUAACGUUGAUAGUACAAUAUAAAUAUAUAUUAGAAGCCACAUGUAUCAUGCGAAUCAAAAACACAUAAAUUUAUUAUUGAAAUACAUAUAGACGAAUACGAAGUGUUUGCUUAUUCAAAACAAGUACAGACUACCAAUUAAUUAACUAUUAAGAUUAUGUAUAAAAUAAUGAGUGUCCUUCAAGCUAGCUAGUAUUUGUUGUUAAUUGCUCUUUAUCACUUAGAACUGAGUUUGGAGCCAAUCUACAAUCUUCUUAUCCAAUUGAAAUGCCUUGGCAAGAAUAUCAUCGGAGAUGGGAGGGUUCGACUUGAAGACUGCGUUAGCUAUAGUGAUCAGGCCAGGGUUCUGACUGCUGAGACCUGAAAUGCCAAAGCCACUUGUCUUUCCGAUAUUGAAUUGAAAGUGAAUAAGCCCUUCGGGGAACACGAACACAUCGCCCUUGUUCAAAACUUUAGAGAAGAGUUUGUUAUCGGGGUUAGAUGUAACAAAACCGACAUAGAAUGUGCCUUCCACUACCGUGAAGACCUCAGUCGCUCGCGGGUGAGUGUGAGGUGGGUUGAGACCAUAGGGUGCAAAGUCCAAUCGUGCUAAGGAAAUGCCGAGCGUGUUGAGUCCGGGAAGUGCCAUUGCGUUAACUAGAUUCGCAUUGAACCCGAGUUUAUUCAUUGUGUUACCAGGCUGGUCGAGCCCCUCGAAGAAGAAAUCUUCGGGCGUGGUAAAGUUCGGAUUCUUGCAAACAAGUCCAUUCACAAACACUGCAAGAACAAAAACAUAAUCCAACACAAAUUCACUAAAUAAUCAUGUUAAAAUGUUCUAGAGAAGAAAAAAUAUAAUAAAAUAAGAAGAGGGCGAGGACACAUGCACACCUGGAGAGUUCUUAUCGGCAACGCAAAAGUCUUGGAGAGGACUUGGAUCGGAGGCAAUGGCUUGAGAAAACACAAGGGCAAAGAGAGCAAGGAGGAGAAAGCGAGAAGCCAUUUCUAUAAUAUAUCUCUUCUUAAUUAGCUAGUAGGCACGUAGAAGAUGCAAAUGAUUGAAUGUGCUGUGGUGCUAAUGGGUUAGACGAGAUGGGUAUAUAUAGAGGAUAAGGCUACGAAAGAGUCGUUGUACGUAGCUACAUUGUUAGAGGAAUAGUUCGUAUUACAACGUUAAUUAGGUAUAGUAAUUAAUUGAACAUGUCAAUGCCAAGUAAGAUUUUCUCUUUUGUACACGUUUCUUUGGCUAAUUAUUUCUUAUUAAUUUCUUAGUUAAUUAAGAUAUAUAGUUUUUCCUUCACCGUCUCUCUCUCGCUCUCUCUCUCUUUAGACACCGAAUAAAUUUAAGAUAGUUGAAGAAUUAAAGUUAAAAAGACUACUAAUGCAUGACUCGUCCUAGGUAUGCGAAUUGCAAUUUUCUUUUUUUGUAUGAAAACUUCAAAGGCUACUUUUCUUUCCAAACAAGACUUGAUUAAUUUAACAGCUUAUCUCUAGAAGCUAUGUAUAAACACAAUCUUACAUUGAUUUCUAGUUAAUUAAUUUUGUGAUAAAUUUAGAAACUUUUUUUUCCUAGUUCUAAUCAACUGAGUCAAAAAAAGGGACACCGGGUUCAUAUUAAAAAACUCAUCUUAUAAACUAGGUAGUUUAUAAUUAAUUUAUUCAACUGCUCCCUUGAACAGGUGCUCCGAAAUUAGAUUGCUUAGCUACUCCUCAAAAUGAUGUCAUGAGUUCAAAAAAUUAAUCGCAGCAUGUUUUUUUUUUUAUCUCCGUAAUUAGAUGAUGAAAGAAGCAUAAAAGGUACCAAUAGUUCCGUCACAACUUGGUCCUUAUUUUUUAUCCUAACUUAAACAUUUUAGUUUGUAAACUUUUGUGUACACUAUAUUUAUAGUGUAGUCUCAAGCCUUGAGUUUGUUUUCAUAAUAUGUUGAUUUUACCUCUCUUUUUCUUUGCAAAAUUACUAGCUUAUGGCCAAAAAACAGCUUUAAUCUUUAGAACGUCGACUCAUCCAAUUCACCUAGGAAAGAACAGAAUUUUAAAAGAAAUUAGGUUGAAAAUAUGAAGAACUAUUUUCUAGCUUAUAGUAAUAAUAAUCAUAGAAACCUUUCUUUAACUUAGAGAGAGAGUGAGAAAAAAAAAGGAAAAAAAAAGAGCUUAUAUCCAAGAGGGCGCAUGACUUAUAUAAGUCACACGAAUCUAACAACACAUAAAUUUUAGGAUUUGGUGGACUAAUAUAUAAAAUGAUUAAUUUCAUAUAGUUUCCGGCAAAUAUAGUGAAUUGUAAAUAUAUUUAUAGAAAGUUCAACUUUCAUAUGUUGUCCAUACAAAAAUCCUGAUGUUUUCAAAUAUGUCCUUAACGUUAGAAUCUGUUCUAAAAAUUUAGUUAAUAAUAAAUAAAAUACUUUAUUCUAAUCUAUACCCUACUAUGAAUCCCUCUAAUUUUAUCCACAUGGCAGGUUUUGCUUAAUUUGUGUAUGUGGGGACCCACCUCGUCCAGUUAUAGUAUUUUGGCUUAAUUAAGUGCAUGUGGCCGACCCCACCCUGCUGUUUUAGGCGUUUAAGAAAAAUCUUAGUGGACCUCUAAUUUUAUCGACGCGGGAAAGCGUUUGCUUGUUGAACAAAUACGCUGUAUCGCGGCCCACCUGUCAGUUAUAGUAUUUUGGCUGGCCGGUUCGGUUUAGAGAAAAAUAAUUAAGUGCAUUUUUAUUAUAUGGCUGUGGGACCCAUCGCUUUCGGGUUGAUGAGGUAACUUUUUGAGCCAUCCGUCUUCCAUUGCUCUGGGUUCGCUUCGUCGCCUCGGGCCGGUUCGGUUCGUCGCUUCUGGAAGCCAUCGUUGCCUGGUUCGGCUUCGUCCGCUGUCGGCCAUCGAUGCCGCGUUCGCGUUCAUCGCUUCCGAAGCCAUCAAAUUUUCUUCCUAUGAACAGAAAAAUAGGGGCCAAAGUGCACGCGACAUCGAUUUGGCCUGGCCCUCCCUGCCAGUUCCAUUGGCGCCGCUUCAUUCCCCGUCGGAAAUGGUUCCCCUCUCGACCUCUAAAAAUGGAUCUCGAUUUCUAUUAUCGCUUCGUCUUCCAACGCCGCAUCGGCACGUUCGCCGGUCCGUUCCUUUCUUUGACGUACGCUUCGAAAACCGUCGAAUUCCUUCGCACUGUUUCCAGUAGCGCCGAAGAGUGGUCUGCCUUUUCCCAUACCUCUCAGUGCCUAUUAUAAUGGUCAUCUGCCUCCUCCUUUCCUUCGCAGUCCUGGCGACAUCUCUUCUUCUGAGAAGAACUUUUCACAUUUCUUCUCAGAGCCAAGAAUAUUAAGAAGGGUAUUGAACGUUUGAGUAAAUUUUGUCAAUUGAGUUAUUAUUAUUAUUUAUUAUUUUGCUAAUUUGGAUUGCCUUAACUGAGUAUUUAUUUAUUUGUUUUCAGGAAGCCUAACAAAAUCUGGCCUGAAAAUUGUUCAGGAUCUGCAAUCAUGUAAGUUUUCAGCUACAUCGAUUUUUUAAUUUUUUUUUUUUUUUUUGGUUAAUUUGGGAAUUGCUUUACUAUUUAAUUUUAGAAGUUUUAAAUACUAAGUAUUUAUUAAUUUGAUUCCAGGAAUCUAACAAUAUCACACCAGAAAAUUGUUCAGAUCUGAAUCUGAUAAGCUUCUCAGUUCAUCUAUUUUUUAGAUAUAUCUAUGCUUAUUGUAUACAUCGUGUCUGAUAUAAAUGUUUUAAAAAAAAAAAAUCACUAGAAACUAAUUGUGUGAGACAAUACUUAUACAUAUUAACAAUAAUAUGACAAUAAAGUUUACCUUCUUCCGAAAAAUUUGUUUAUCUAAAGAAAAAUAAUUUGGCCAUUAUAGUUUAAUUUUCAGUAUUUUCAAAAUUUUAAUUUGAUGAACAAAUAUAUUGAUUUUUCGUUUAGAGAAAUAUAAUCUUAGCAUGUGGGGACAUGCCUGACAAUUUUUUCUUUCCUCUUUAAAUAUUAUAUAUAGAGGCAUGUGGGUUGCAUAAAGAUGUGUUUUCAGAAUUGAAUGGAAAUUUACAUGUUUGUAAAAUAGACUUAUGUUGUAUGGCAAUUAAAAAUGUGAGAAGCUUUUUGUGUCUUGAUAUGAUUUAGAUUUCUUUACAUUGAAUGCAAAGUUUAUUUUAUUUUCAAUUAUCACAUAUUGCUAUUAUCUGCUUACAUAGAAGUGAAACUUUGUGAAAAAAUUUUACUAAUACUCUAUGGCAGUUGAAAUGAAAGGAUUUAUUGUGUCUUGAUUGUUACUUAAUUUUCUACACCAUGAGUGCCACAAAGUUUAUUUAUUUGUUUAAACUUGUGUUCGCAGAACUAUUUUACACAAUAUCGUUUUUUCUUUAGUUUUUCGCUAUACACAACUUAUGAAAAAAAAUGAUGUUUUAGGUGGAAUUUGUUGUGCCUCUUCACAUAUAUGGUUCUUGGAAUAGUAAUUUUUCUUUCUUGAAAUAAUUCGAAGUAUGGCAUUAUUUAUUAUGACUUGCAUGUGUAAAGAAAUUAGUAAGUGUGACCGUAAUGAACUAACUGUGAUAUUAUUUUUAGUCAUUAUAAAGCGAAAAAAAUUAGGCAUAUUAUCCUAAACAAUGUGAAUUAUAAAUUCGGCAAGGUCGGAUGUCAUAAAAUACCAUUGGAACUAGCCAUCAGUACACGAUGGCAUCCAUCUAUCUAGCUUUCGGACUCAGCUUCCGCCCGUUUUUGUUGACGUAGUGUUUGUUCAAAAUUUUUCCCCUUCCUCUUCCGAAGUAUGGAAUCACUUUAGGUUCGCUGGUGGUCAAUUAUGAUUCAUUUGUGGGAUGUGGCGGUCCCUAGAUGGUAGUCGAUUUAUGGGAGGUUAUUACCGUGUUUGGGGUUCCGCCUUCUACAGAUUCUAAUGAGACCGAGCGAGGAUGCGCUUAGGGUUGCAGUCGAAACACUACGCAAAGAGCUUGAUUUCGAAAUUUAGCGGAUGCUAAUGUAUAAACUGAGAUAUUUCAUUUAUUGACUUAAACCCUUUUGUUUGACGAAAUGUUUUUUGUGUUAAUUAUAAUUAUAGUUAUUCGUCAAAUUUCAGGAGAAACGAGUGUUAAAAACGGAGAAGUUACAGUGACCCGGAAGUUCGAUCAAGUGAAUAGCUAACUCCGGUUUUCCGGAGAGCCCGAGUAGAGUGGACUUUGACGCGCGUAUCGGACUCCGAUAUAGCUUCCAAUAGUCGUUUUCAACUGCGUCGACUAUCCUGGACCAAUGCACUGCACGGAAUUGCAAUUGGCUGCCACGAUUUCGAAGAAAAAGGGGUUAAUUGGUUUUUACAUAUGAUUAUACCUGAUAUGUGGUUUAUGGGUGGAAGAUUUGAGUCGAGGGCAGGUAUCGUCGCUGAUCGGAGACCAAAUCAGACGAAAAUAUAAAUGCUAUCAUUCGCAUGCCCAGUCGUGCUGAACACGCCUGGCGCAAUCGUCGGAAAUCCGACGGACGGAUCUUCGGCGGAAUCGUGAAAAGUCCGCUAAGAGGUCAGUAGCAAAAUCGAUUAAUCGCGAAAAGGUCAAUAUUUUAUGCGCGGUUCGUGCGCAAUUUCGAUUGUAGAGGGACUAUACGGAAUAAUCCACAUGUUGGCAGGGGGCUUGUAAAAAGGGUAUUGCGAUAGGGAGGGGUUUUCACACAUUCAGUUUAUAGUAUAAAGGUGAGGUUUUAGGGUUCAGCCAGGGAAACCCUAACCCUAAUCAUUCUCCAGGCUGCUGCCUAACCGCCCCAUAACCACCCUGCCCCAACUUGUGCGCACGCCCCGGCGCCGUGCGCUGCAACUCCGGCCGCCGGAAAAGUCACCUCGGCCACCUCUCAGCGUCUCCCCUAGCCGACUGCCACCCCCUUUUUCGAUGUUGUGCUCGGGAAAGCUUCAAAGCCGAGCUUCCCCCUCCCUUUGCCGGUUCUCCGGCCGUCCUCCCCCUCGCCCGGCCACCCGAACUGCCGCACGGAGCACCCCGGCUCCCUGCAGCCAGCCGGCUGCAGCCAGACCGAGCCGGCCUCGAGUGACUGCGUCCUCGCCUUGCUUCGCCGCGCCGCCUCAGUCGGCUUUCGGUGAGCUCCGGCCAACCCGUCGCAGCGCGCGUCCCCCGCCGUGCCGCGCUGUCGGCGUCGGCGCCGCUGAGAAAUUCCUGGGGCGCCAGGCACGUGCGGGCGGCCAGAGGUCGGGCCCGCCAGCUUCUUGGCGCUGCGCAGCCCACCGUAGAGGUGACGACCUCCCCUUCGACCACCGGCGCGACCGUCGCCCCCGCCUCCUCCGGCGCCGCCGGACGCCGCGGGAGCAUCAAACCCGCAGAUGAGAAAGUGGUGAAGGGUCGAUCAUCGGCCCGCCGCACCACCGUGCGCCCGCCGCCGGCCAGCACCUCCCCGACCUCCUGGACGACAUGCUCCCUCCUCGCCGGACGCCGCUCCCGGCGCCGGCGCCACCCUAGCUCUCCUCGGGUCCGGUAAGGGCAUUUUACGUUCCAGCACUGUUUUUUGAGGUUCCGGUCUCCUUUUCGGUGAUCCGAAAAGCCUCCUAAGCUUCGGGAAGUGAGCACGAUGAUCUACAACUCGUGCUGAACAUCGUGCUCACCUCCAAUAGCAGCAAUGAUGCCCUGGUUUGCGAGUUAGUCGCGAUCUUCGCGCUGUGCGCGCAGUUUAUCUGAUUUUCACAUCGCUCGUGCGCGCACCGCAGUGGCCGGCAGUGCUCCGAAAGGUGAGCACGGCCUCCGACAUGCUGAAACCUGUCAGCGAGUACGACGGUCGGAUUAAUCGGCCCCUGGUUUGUGCGCACGGUCCAGAAAAGUCUAGAAAUCACAUGAAAUGAUGCAAUUCAUGUAUCGGUAUCGGCUUUUAGGCUUUCUGCUUCGUUGUAGAUGCUGUGGACAGCGUGUAAAUGCUGAGGGUAACCUCUGGACUGAUCGUCCAAGGCCCCAAGCCUUUGCGGAAAUCGUAAAGUGACUUCCGGAGCGUUUUUCGGCGAAAUCCGCCGAUAGAACGCGGUUUCGGUUCGGAAUUCUUCCGAUGGUUCUUGGGGAUCAUUUGUUUCGUCGCUGAGCCUUGUUGGCUGGUCACCUGCAUCGUUUCGUGGGCUUGGAAACGACAGGUGAGCGACAGCGAAGUUCCAGUGCGGUUUUCGGGACUUCCGGUUUGUACGGUAAGCGGUUUUGGGAAACUAUUUUUGUGGGGCUAUGAGCGGGGGUUGUGAGUUAGCUUUUCAUGUCAGUGGGUUAGACCUUAACCCGUUGGACCUUUCGUAGGUUCGGUUGCACCGUCUUCACAGUCGAGAGACCUUCGUCAAAUACAUACAGGUGGGUACUUCGACCCGUAGUCGGUACAGUGGUGCACGCUCGGUGACGUUUCUUCACCCCUACUGUUUACUCUAUCUUAUAGUUAUAUUGAGCCUUGCAUCUGCAUUUAUAUCUACAUUUCUCUACUCAGUUAUUUCCAUAUUGAUAUCAUGCUUAGGAGUAGAGUUGAUUUAUCUAUUCACUAUCAGUGAUUUGGUUGGGGCGGUUCCCCCUAUUGUGAUACCUAUGACCUGUUCGGUCGAGUUGCUACAGUUCCAUCUUGACUUACGUAGCCGAUUAGUUGCUGAUGGCCUAUACGGCCGGUGUGCCCUGAGGGGCCUGGAUUGUCGGCUAGUUGCCGACGGAUGAUCUUUGAGCAUACUACAUUGAUCGCCACUACAGGUACGCAUUUCACGAACACCAGCGGUCUGAUCCACCGCAAGAGGGUGUUCUUUUUCGGAAAAGUGGUUGGAUUGCCAACCCGUGAGCCCAGGGGCUUCAUUGCGAGGGUAUAUGCUUCUGACCCAGGGGCUUCAUUGCGAGGGUCAGGUACAGGUUGCAGUGUGGCAUGAGCCUGAGGUCUUCGGACCAAUAGGGCAGCGAGAUUGGGUACUUUUGAGCUUUUCGUCAGUUGACGCAUGCAUACAGUAGCUGUAGUGUUUAUUUCCAGUACAUCCUUAUCUGUUUAUUGUAGCUACUGUUUUACUUACCUGCAUCUAUACUUGUCAGCUCCUUACUUAUCAGCAUAUUUACUUAUCAACACUUAUAUCUAUCUAGUUUUCCGUGACUAGUGAGUACCCUCGCCCUCUACGGCUUGCGGUACCCACUGGGAGGGGAGACAUGUUUACAUGUUCUCACCCCCCGCCCCCAUUACAGGUGACGUAGCAGGUCCGAGUGGGACAGCUGGUGAGGAGCGUGUCUAGCGUGCGAUAGAGCUCCUUCCCGAGUCGGUUAUCCCUUUUACCCUUCAUGCUCGAAUAAAUACUUAGACAUAUUAUGGUUCAGUUUCUAUUUUAUUAUCUGACUAUCUGAGUUUUCAAUUGGUUUUGAAAUGUACUAAAGGAUUGGAGUUAUCUUAAAAUAAAACAGUUUUCUACCCCUCGUGGUAGCUGGUUUUGAAAAAGAAUGGUUCCCGUGUAGGGAUCAGUUUUCAAAUUGAUUUCUCUGUGGAUUUAUGGAUUUAGUAUUUCAAAAUCAGUUUCCAGGUAGGAAACAUUUUUAACUGAUAGAUGUGGAAUGUUAUGCAUAUUCAAGUUUCAUAUCUGUGUGUGUGAAUGGAAUGGAUGAAUGUUAUCUAUCUUGUUGUUCAUCUGGUUGUGGUUGUGAUUAUGUGUGUACUUAUACUCUGUUGUACUUGUGCGACGCCGUGCAAAUAUAGGGGAGACUCUGUCCGUGUGAACAGUGGAACUCCUGUAUUUGUGGCGGAUCUGGCACACUCUGGGGGCAGGUUUUCAAAAAAAAAAUUUCAGACGCUUUUCCGCUACCUUUUAAACAAAAAGGGACCCCGGGGCGUGACAGAUUAAAGUGGUAUCAGAGCCAAGUUACAACCACAACUCCAUUCACAGACUGUUUUUGAAAAUAAAAAUAAACUGAACCAUUGGUUAGGUUGACCCUAGGAAGACCCACGAUGUAUAGGCACGUGAGUGCGGGGUUUGGGCUCGAGUUCUGGUUGUUAGUAGUCGAGUUGAUUUUUCGAUUGACGGUGUUUCUGUUACAGAUGGCUCGUGGCAGACCUCCUCUUCGUGGACGUGGUGGUGGACGCGCCGCAGAGGGCUCUAUCAAUAGCCCUGGAGAGCAGGCCCCGAGAGGCAGAGGCAGGGGCAGGGGCAGAGGGGAGCAGAUCAGCCCAGAUCCGCAGGGCGAUACUCGUGCCCAGCAGCUCGAGGCUGAGGUAGCAGUGAUGAGGGGUCAGAUGACAGCCCUCACUGGGUCGGUUCAGCAGCUCCAGCAGCUUUUACAGCAGCACGCUGCAGCUGCUGUUCCCCCGGUACCACCCCCGACGCCGCCGGUUCCUGAGGCAGCUGCCCCUCAGGUGGCGCCUGCACAGGCGGUCCCUCCGACCGUCCCGAGGACGACGACGACCACCACGACGGUUCCCACUGGGGGUGCUGAUGCCCCAGCAGCUGAGGGCGCCCGUAUGCGUGCGAAGCUGAUCGAGUUCAGGAAGUUCGACCCGCCGAAAUACGCGGGGAAGAAGGAAGAGAAUGGAGUUCUCGAGCGCUGGCUGACCGACAUGGAGAAACUACUCGAGGACUUAUUCAUCGAUGAGCACGAUCCCGUCCCCUUGGCCGCCCACUUGUGGACGGGACGCAAGCUCUUGGUGGCGUCGAAUCUAUCGCUCCAAGCUGGCAAUGUUUUCUCCUCUCUGGGGGGAGUCCGGUGAGACUCACUCACGAGCAAUUCUUUCGGGACAACUCAAAAUUAGAGCUGGAGGCGCGAGCUAGAACGUCCACCGGGCAGGUCCGUAGCUGAGUACGAGCCGACUUUCUCUCGCAUUGUCGGAGCCUGAUUCCCUUCGUAUCCGAGACAUCCGCCAACAAGGCCAGAGAGUCUUCGGAGGGCUUGAGACCAAAUCAGGAUGGUGCUGGGCCUUCAUAGCACGAUGACAUUAUAGUGUUGUACCGCAGCCCCUCAUCCAGAGCGAGUCUACAGUUCCUGCUGCAAAAGGAGGCUGGAGCGAUCGGGGGGACAGAAGCGUUCCCAUUCUAGACUGGGUGGCGGUCCUCUUCCAACAAGCAAGAAGCCACCAAAUGCCCUCGCACUCAGCAGUUCGCGAGGAGUGCACCCUCUGGCAUCAAGCGACGAGGCAGUCGACCCGUGUGAUUUGUGCAGGCAAGCACACCGGGUGACCGAAUGUCCGCAGAUGAGGGACCACUGCUUCCAUUGUGGCCAGCCGGGCCAUCUACAGGCUCGAUGCCCUAUGAGAAAUGGGGCCACGCAGAGCGCCGCUUCCUCCCCAGCAGCAUUCCGACAGGACCGCGGAGCUUCCAGCGCAGCUGCACCGUCUGGGCGUCCCUCUUCCUCACGUCAAAAUGAGGGGGCGCGCAAGGCAUCUGGUGGACGGGUCUUCGCCCUGACUCAGCAUGAGGGCAACACUGGUGGCGACGUCCUUGUAGGUAUUGUCACCCUCUCCAUCACUCGUGCUAAAGCUAUAUUCGAUACUGGAGCAUUGCACUCAUUCAUUUCGCAUUCAUUUGCAUGUGAGCAUGGUAUUCCCUCGCGUCCACUAGAUAUGCCGCUCCGUGUUGACACGCCCGGGGGUGAUCUAUUAGCUGAUCGAUGCAUCCCAUCAUAUCCUGUCAUCUUGGAUAAUCAUAGUUUUCUGGCGAACCUGGUGGUACUUCCAAUGAAGAAGUUUGACGUAGUGCUUGGGAUGGACUGGUUCACCAGGCACCGCGCUACUAUCGACUGCGAGCGGAGGACGGUGACUUUUAUUGGGCCCGGUGAAGAAGUAUUCGUCUAUCGAGCGUGUAAGAGCUCUUACUUCGCCGCGUCUAUCUCUUCUGCUAGAGCUAAGAGGCUUAUAAAUGCCGGAUGUGUGGCCUUUUUGGCUUCCGUGGAUGUUACCCACCGGGCUGCACCAGCCUUGGAGGAGAUUCCAGUUGUCCGGGAUUUUCCGGAAGUGUUUCCAGCCGAACUUCCGGGAAUGCCCCCGGACCGAGAAAUCGAGUUCUUCAUCGAGCUAGUUCCGGGCACAGCACCGAUUUCGAAGGCCCCCUAUCGCAUGGCCUUCGCUGAGCUGAAAGAGCUGAAGGCUCAACUCGAGGAUCUCCUGGAGAGAGGAUUUAUCCGACCCAGUGUGUCUCCCUGGGGUGCCCCUGUUCUCUUCGUCAAAAAGAAGGAUUGUAGUCUUCGACUGUGCAUCGACUACCGAGAGCUCAACAAGGUCACAGUGAAGAACAAAUAUCCACUGCCCCAAAUUGACGAUCUAUUCGAUCAGCUUCAGGGAUCGUCGGUAUUUUCAAAGAUCGACCUUCAGUCAGGGUACCAUCAGCUUAAGAUCCGGGCAGAAGACGUGCCGAAGACCGCUUUUCGAACUCGUUACGGCCACUACGAGUUCACGGUGAUGCCUUUCGGGCUUACUAAUGCCCCGGCAGCCUUCAUGGAUAUGAUGAACAUGGUCUUUCGGGCGUACUUGGAUCAGUUUGUCGUGGUAUUUAUUGACGAUAUCCUGAUCUACUCGCGGAGUGAUGAGGAGCACGAGGAUCAUCUUCGGCGAGUACUGCAGAUACUCCGAGAGCACAAGUUAUAUGCUAAGCUCAAGAAGUGCGAAUUCUGGCUUCGUGAGGUAUCUUUCUUGGGGCAUAUUGUGACUCCAUCGGGCAUUACAGUGGAUCCGAAGAAAAUAGCCUCAGUGGUCGAGUGGCCUGAGCCGACUUCAGUGACAGAAGUCAGGAGUUUCCUGGGAUUGGCGGGUUAUUAUCGGCGAUUUGUCGAGGGCUUCUCCAAGAUCACCGCACCGCUGAACAAGCUUACCAGAAAAGGAGAACGAUUUCAGUGGACUGAGCAGUGCCAGCAGGGCUUCGACGAGCUGAAGGAUCGACUGACCCGAGCACCCGUUCUGACUCUGCCGCGGCCUGGUGAGGACUUUGUGGUCUAUUGUGAUGCCUCACGGGUCGGUUUGGGGUGCGUGCUUAUGCAGCAGGAUCGGGUCAUUGCUUACGCCUCUCGUCAGCUAAAGCCGUAUGAAAAGAAUUAUCCAACUCACGAUUUGGAGCUUGCAGCAGUGGUGUUUGCCCUUAAGCUGUGGAGACACUAUCUAUAUGGGGCACACUGCGAGGUGUUCACUGAUCAUCAGAGCCUGAAGUACCUCUUCACUCAGAAGGAGUUGAACCUCAGGCAGAGGCGUUGGCUCGAGCUCUUGAAGGACUAUGAUCUCACCAUACAUUAUCAUCCGGGAAAGGCGAAUACAGUAGCGGAUGCCUUGAGCCGGAAACAGCCUUCGGGAGAGUUGACCUUCAUGAUCACGAGCCAGGAUCGUCUGGUAGAAGAGUUUCGCCGUCUUGAGAUCGAGGUUGUUUCCACAGGAGUUAUGGCCCAGUUGAUGUCUCUGGUGGUACAGCCUACCCUGACAGAGCGGAUUACACUCGGACAGCAGAGUGACCCGUACUUACAGAAAGUGCGGGCGGAGAUCGAGCAGGGCAAGGACGGGGACUUUACUAUCCACACCGAUGGAUCCUUGCGUUUCAAAGGCAGGUGGUGCGUGCUUAGUGACUCGGAGCUGAGAAGCGACAUCCUAUCCGAGGCGCAUCAAUCCCCUUACACAGUUCAUCCAGGUGGAACCAAGAUGUACCGCGACCUGAAACAGAAUUUCUGGUGGCCUGGGAUGAAGCUAGAUGUGGCUCAGCACGUGGCUCGAUGCUUGAUUUGUCAGCAGAUAAAAGCCGAGCACCAGCGACCGGCAGGGAAGCUGCAACCACUUCCGAUCCCCGUUUGGAAGUGGGAGCAGAUUACUAUGGAUUUCGUCACUGGAUUGCCUCGAUCACAGCGAGGGCAUGAUGCGAUCUGGGUUAUAGUGGAUCGGCUGACGAAAUCGGCUCACUUCCUAUCGAUGCACACGACGUGGUCCCGUGAUCGACUGGCACAGUUGUAUAUUGACGAGAUUGUCCGGCUUCAUGGUGUGCUAGUGUCGAUUGUAUCUGAUCGAGACACUCGCUUCGUUUCCCACUUUUGGAGGAGUUUACAGCAGGCUAUGCGAACGAAGCUGAACUUUAGUACUGCAUUCCAUCCCCAGAGUGACGGGCAGUCAGAACGAGUCAUCCAGACUCUUGAGGACAUGCUUCGCGCCUGUGUCCUGGAUUACGGCGAUGGAUGGUUUCGAUAUCUACCACUGGUGGAGUUCGCCUAUAAUAACAGCUAUCAGGCGAGCAUCGGGAUGGCACCGUACGAGGCUUUAUAUGGGCGUCGAUGUCGAUCUCCUAUCUGUUGGGAUGACGUCGGGGAACGCCGGUUGAUCGGGCCAGACUUAGUGGAGGAUGCGGAGGCAAAGAUCCGCAUUGCGAGAGAGCGGCUUCAAACUGCACAGAGUCGACAGAAGAGCUACGCGGAUCAGCGGAGGCGUGACCUGAAGUUUCAGGUCGGUGAGCAUGUGCUACUCAAGGUGUCGCCUUCCAGGGGGAUCAAGCGGUUUGGUUUGCGGAACAAGCUUAGUCCUCGGUUUGUGGGACCGUUUGAGAUCCUAGAGCGCGUUGGUCCAGUGGCGUACAGGUUGGCUCUUCCUCUAAGUCUUGCCCGUGUGCACAAUGUCUUUCACGUGUCCAUGCUUCGGAAGUACAUUCCAGAUCCGUCUCACGUCAUCAGUCCGACGUCUAUUCAGCUACGGGAGGAUCUGAGCUAUGUGGAGGCUCCGAUGAGGAUUUUGGCAUGUGAGGUGAAGCAACUACGGAAGAGGAGCAUUCCGUAUGUAAAGGUUCAGUGGGCAAAUCAUGAGGAGCGUGAGGCUACGUGGGAGCUUGAGUCUUCUAUGCGGGAGAGUUAUCCGCAGUUGUUUACAGGGGAUGUUUAAUUUAAGUUUCGGGGACGAAACUUUUUGUAAGGCGGGAAUAAUGUAAUAACUGAAAUUUUUGAAAAAAUAAAAUUAAACCCUUGGUUGACGAUGCUUUUGUGUGUAAUAUAAUUACUAAAGCACUCGUCAAAUUUCAGGAGAAAAUGAGCUAAAAUGGAGAAGUUACGCGACCCGAACCGAUGACUUAAGUGAAUAGUAACUCCAGUUUUCCGGAUGAACCAAUGAAUAGAGAAGGGUUCUGGUGCACGCUCGGUGACGUUCCUUCCACCCUUCCUGUUUACAUUGCUUAUCAUAUACAUUGCUUAUCAUAUUAUCCUCGUAUUACUCUACUCGGUUGUUUCCAUGCUCAGUAUCUUGUGUAGGAGUAGAGUAGAUUUCUUCAGCAUAUGAUAUCUGUGAUCUGGUUGGUUGAUUUUCCUUUGUUGUAUCUAUGACCUGGUUGGUCGAGUUUCAUACUCCAUACUUGUGACCUGGUUGGUCGAGUUUCAUACUCCGUACUUGUGACCUGGUUGGUCGAGUUUCAUACUCCCUAUUUGUGACCUGGUUGGUCGAUUCGGUUACAUGAUGACCCAUGCGGUCGAUGGGUCCUGGGGGGGGGGGGGCAGGAUUGUCGGCUAGUUGCCGAUGGUUGAUCGUUGAGCAGAUUGCAUUGAUCGCCCGAUACUCGUCGCAUUUCACGAACACUGGCAGUCUGAUCCACCGCAAGGAGUGUUCUUUUCCGGAAAAGUGGUUGAAUGGUGACAACCCGUGAGCCCUAGAGGGGUUAUAUGCACUGGAGAGUAGUAGUGGCAUUGGCUUGAGGUCUGCGGUGCUGACCAAGAGAGCAUUGGGUUCAGAUUGGGUACUUUUGGACUGAUUGUCCCGUUGAUGCAUACAUAUAGUAGCUGUAGUUGUUCAUUUAUAUACACUUCAGUAUUUGUUUAUUUUAGCUACUGUACUACGAUUAUCCAUAUAUUUGUUUAUCUCCGUGACUAGUGAGUACCCCUUGCCUUCUUCGGCUUGCGGUACCCACUAGGAGGGGAGACAUGUUUACAUGUUCUCACCCCCCGCCCCCAUUACAGGUGACGUAGCCGGUCCGAGUGGGACAGCUGGUGAGGAACGGGUCUAGCAUACGAUAGAGCUUUCCGUCCCGUGGUUUGGUUUAUCUACUCUUACUCUUCAUAAUUAAAUAAAUAACUAACUUAGACAUAUUAUGGUUCAGUUUUAUUUUACUAUUUGGAUAUCUGAGUUUUCAGUUUGUUUUGGAAUGUAAUAAAGGAAUUUGUGUUUUCUUGAAAUGGAAAUGGUUUUCUACCCCUCGUGGUAGCGUUUUGAAAAGUUAAAAGUUCCUGUGUAGGGAACAGUUUUCAAAAGAUUUUCUGUGGAUUUUGUAUCUUAGUAUUUCAAAACCUGUUUCUGUGGUUGCAAACAUUUUAACUGAUAGAUGUGGAUUUAUAUUUAAAUAGCGAAUGUAAAUUUGUGAAUCUGUGGUGAAUGGUGUAUGAAUGUAUAUCUGUGGUUGUUUGUAUAUUCAUCUGGUUGUGGUUGUUGUAUGAUUGAACUCUUGUACUUGUGCGACGCCGUGCAAAUACAGGGGAGACUCUGUCCGUGUGAACAGUGGAACUCCUAUGUUUGUGGCGGAUCUGGCACACUCUGGUGUCAGAUUUUUAAAAAAAAUUUUCAGACGCUUUUCCGCUACCCUUUUAAACUAAAAGGGACCCCGGGACGUGACAGAUGACACCCCAAUUCCCACAUCGAAUGGGAAUGGGGUUGUCAUUGGGUUUAUAUGAGACUUAGACACUAGUAAUAAUAACUGGGCUUAAGCAUUUUGGGCCAGUGGUUGGGCCCAACGAGUUAUUGUUGCUAGUGGGCUGGGUUGUUACAUUUGGUAUCAGAGCCUGUUCACCAGCUGACAUGUGUGGCGAGUCUCGGCUGAGCCAGGGUCUGGAUAACGGGCUAGCGAGACGAGUCUCACAUAGCCUGGUGAUCUUGGGCUGUGUGUGUGAGGACUGACGAGGACGUCAGGGCCUUAAUGUGGGGAGUCUGUGACACCCCAAUUCCCACAUCGGAUGGGAAUGGAGUUGUCAUUGGGUUUAUAUGAGACUUAGACACUAGUAAUAAUAACUGGGCUUAAGCAUUUUGGGCCAGUGGUUGGGCCCAACGAGUUAUUGUUACUAGUGGGCUGGGUUGUUACAAGUAUUGAGAGGACGAAUUGGAAGGUGGAUGUUAGCACUAUCCGAAUUCUCUCUCAAGUAUGUUCCGGCAAAAGCUGUUAAAGGACAAGCGAUAGCCAACUUUUUGGCUGAUCAUCCAUGUGUUGAAAUUAAAGAGCUGAAACAAAAUUUAGUCGGUUGUCAACCUUGGAUACUUUACUUUGACGGUUCAAGAAUAGCCGAGUCAGCAGGAGCUGGAAUAGUUGUACAGUCUCCUGAGGGGUAUAGCUGUCGGUUUACUUUUGAAUUAGAUUUCGGCUGUUCUAACAAUCAAGCCGAAUAUGAGGGUUUAAUAACUGGACUUGAAAUUUUACAAGAAUUAAAAGUUAAGUUACUCAAGGUCAUCAGUGAUUCACAAUUGGUGAUCAAACAAGUUAGUGGAGAAUACCGAUGCGAAAAUCAGAAUUUACAAAAUUAUUUAAGAAAAAACAGUGGAAUUGCUUUGCAGCUUCGGAGAAGUUGAAUUUGAGCAUUUGACGAGAGAGAAAAAUAAGGAAGCAAAUGAAUUACCCCAAUCGGCUUCAGGGUAUAGAGAGCCGAAACGAGGUUUAAUAGAAAUAGAAAAAAGACUACUGCCUUCGGUUCAUGUCCGAGAACCGAUUAUUGCUCCCAUAGAGGUGAAAGAUGAUUGGAGAAAAUCCAUAAUCGAAUACUUAGAAGACCCCAACAAAAAGGUCGACUAUAAUAUUCGAAGAAGAGCACUCGGCUACUGUCUAUUAGAUGGACAACUCUACAAGAGAACAGCCGAAGAAAUAUUAUUAAAAUAUUUAGGGCCUGAAGAAGCUAUAUUGGUGAUGGGAGAAACACAUGAGGGUUUAUGUGGAGCCCAUUUAGCAGGAAAAAGAUUAAGACGGACAAUUCGGCACUUAGGAUAUUAUUGGCCGACUAUGCAUCAAGAUUGUAUAGAAUAUGCUAAGGGUUGCCAAGAUUGUCAAUUUCAUAGAUUGGUACAGAGAAUUCCUGCUUCUGAGAUGUAUGCUAUAAUUAAACAUUGGCCUUUUUGAGGUUGAGCCAUGAGUUUGAUCGGAGAAAUUCAGCCGAACUCUUCGGCUGGUCAUAAAUUUUUAAUAGUGGCUGUCGACUAUUUUACUAAGUGAGUAGAAGUAAAACCCGCUCGGUUGGUCACUCAAAAAGAGAUCAUUGAUUUGUCGAAGAUUACAUAAUUCAUCGUUUCGGGAUUCCCGAGACAAUUAUAACCGAUCAAGGAACAAUGUUCGCAGGAGGACAGUUCAUUCUGUUCAUCGAGUCUCGAAAGAUAAUGUUACUUCAUCCGUCUCCUUAUUAUGCUCAAGCAAAUGGAUAGGCUGAGGCAGCAAAUAAGGUGAUUAUAAAUCUUAUGAAGCGACAUAUCGGAAAGUAUCCAAGAAAAUGAAAUGAAAAACUUUCUGAAGUAUUAUGGGCAUGCCAAACUUCAGUAAAAACAUCAACAGGAAUGACUCCAUUACAGCUAGUAUAUGGCCAUGAGGCCGUGUUACCAGCCGAAAUAACAGUUCCUUCUUUAAAAGUGGAAAAACAAAAGGAAUUGUCGGCUGAUGAAUAUAACGAUUUGAUGAAGAAAGAAAUGGAAGAAGUACAUGAAACUCGGUUAAUAGCAUUGAAUCAUUUACAAGCUUAUCAGAGCCGAGUACGCAAUGCAUACAAUACAAAAGUUGAAGCUAAAACUUUUGCAGUUGGAGACUUGGUUCUCAGGUUGAUAUUACCAAUCGGUCAAAAAGACCGAGUAUAUGGGAAAUGGUCUCCAGGAUGGGAAGGACCAUUUCAAAUUAGUAGAGUUACAAGGGGCAAUGCAUAUUAUCUAAAAAACAUAGAUGGGUCAGAAAACAAAAAACCAAUUAAUGGAAAAUAUUUGAAAAAGUAUUACCCAUCCAUGUGGGAGAAUAAUCAAAGUCAGAGUUAAAGGAUUACAAGCCGAAUCAAGAUAGCAAAUCCUUGAGUUGGUUCCAUUCGGCUAUCAAGUUAGCUUGGGCAGUCUCGGCUGCUUUUCUCCUACACUUUAUUAAAGGAUUCAUUUUGUAAAGUUGGAUAAGCUUGUCUUGAAGCUUUACCCAUUCAUCCUGCUUCGUCUUCAACUGAUCCUGUAGGAGGAGCCGACACUCAGAGGUACGAGCUAGAGUUGAUUCGGCUGCAGCUAAUUCUUUCUUGAGAGUUGAAAUUCGCUGCUGCAAAGCCAACUCCUGACCUGCUAAAGUUUGGUCUUCACGACUUACUUUAGUAAUAGGAGCCGCUACCUCAGGUAUAGUUUUCUUAGAAUGAUCAACUUGGUGAAAAUGUUGAUCAAGGGAUAAAAGCUCGGCACUUAAAGAUUGUUGCCGAGACAAAAAAGAAGAAAGUUGAGAUGAUAAGAUUUCCACAAAGCAUUUGCGAGCAGAAGAAAUAUCGGGUUAACCGGAUAAGUCAAGCAAGAGAGCGUAUAACCGAUCAAAUUGCUCUGGAUUCUGAGCCAAAGAAGGGAGACCAUUACUAUAUAAUUUGAGACACUCAUUAAAUUUAUGUUGAGUGUCUGAUGAUAUGAUAAUGGUUGAUGAAUCAUCUCCCUUAUUAGAAUUUGGGCUCGAAACAAGAAGAGAGUGGAGAGUUGCAGACAGGGGGUCUUCUGGAAUAGCCGAUGAAGCUUCAAGAGUCAAGUCCGGCUCUGUUUGUGCUCUUUCAGCGCUUUCUUCCAAAGGUGUGUUUGCAUUUUCUCCUUCUGUUGUUGGCAUUGGAAUUGAAAGAGGUGAUACUGCACCUCUUGUUGGCAACUCUUGGUUCUUUUCCUGAGUUGCCCUCUUCUUCUCUGCUUCCUGCUUCUUUUUUAGGCGAGCUUCACGGCGGAGUUGUCUAUCCAUCUGCGUCUUCAAAGAAGGCGCAAAAUGGACUCUUUCAGGAGAGGAUUGUUUUAUUAGGAGAAAAGAAUAAAUAAAUGAAGAAACAAAAGGAUUGAGUACGGAUAACUAAAUUGGUUUACCUCAAUCUCAAUCGGCUCGUUCGAAACAAAGCUUUGUUCAGCAGCCGAAGAAGAUUCUUCAGUUCUUUCUUUUGGAACAUCAGUCGAAGGUGUUUCUUCGGUUCUUCUUUCUCGAAUUGCAACCGAAGGUACAUCUUCGGCCCCUUUCUUUAAAACGUCAGCUAAAGAAGCACCUUCGGUUUGUUGGGAAUAUGAAUGUGGUCUCUUGACAACCGACUUACGCCGCUUUAGAGGCGGCGGAAGGGUGGAUUGUGUGGUUUCAAUCGACUUUUUCUCUGAAGCGGGGGCCGAUGGAGAAAUUGGAAUUGACUGCGGAUAAAGGCAAAAUAAGCAUUGGGCAUAAUGAGAAAAGAAAAGUCCAAAGAAAAGCAUAGUGUAUUACAGAAAAAUGAUGUGGGAUUUCAGAAAUUUCUUCUAGUUCUUCUUUUGGCAGAAAUGAAGCAGCGGGAUCAAUUGGGAUAGGUACUGCUGUAUCUGAGAGAUAAGUCAGCAAAGAAUUAAUAGAUUUUAAAAUGAAAGAAAAAUGACUAUGAGCAAAGAGGUGUACCAAACGGGAGAAUAGUUUGGCGGAACGCCUGUAAUACUGAUCAAUUGAAAGUACGAUCGGCAAAGUGAUGCCAGGUGACAGUAUAACGAAAACCUACCACCCCUGUGUAAUUCGGCCUGAAGCUUACUAAUUUGAAGAACCGCCGAAGGCGAUUCUCCAUAGCCGAGAUCCGAUCAGCAUCGGCUAUACUCUUAGUAGGGGGUCGGUUAACGGCAGUAUUGGCCAAGAAGAACUUGGCUGGAGCAGGGAUUGCUUGAGUGAACCCAAAUUGAUGCGCCACGAAUUAAGGAGAAUAAACCUCAGUGCUAAGCAACAGUUUCGAGCGCGAUUUCAUGCCGACAUGCAAAUCCCUUGCCGCCAAAAAUUAAUACCAAACACCUGCUACCCGCCGGCGCGAGAAGAAGCAAGUUCGCCUUGAAGAGCUUCGUAUCUUGCUAGGAACCAAGACGGGCCGGUGACACGGUCAGCAAAUGAAAACCAAUGGAUAGAGAAGUGAGGACAAGAUUCAUAAAACAUUUUAAAAUAAAAAAGAAAAUCAGAAGGGCGGCCUAAUGUUAGCGACGGAGGACAGCCAAGAGCCAGCCCGUAAGAAUCAAAAUGAGCAGCCGAAUCCUUAUCUAAAGGAGUUCGGCACAAGUUAGGGAAGUAAAUCUGUAAAAAUCUCUGCAAAAAUCAAAAAGCACCACAACCUUAACUGAUUGUUACACUAUUUCCAGAGGGUAGUAGUUUGAUAGAAUCAAAAUUUUUCUAUAAACAAAGGCAAGAAAAUAAGGCCCGAGAGCUAGCUUGUUGCCGUUAGUCAAACCAACGGCGAUUGGGACGAAGUCCCGAUUAAUUUUCUGCAAACAAGUAUAGAAGAGAUUAUGACAUAACCAAUAUAAAAGGAACGCUGUGUGUUCCUUCCUGGUAACAGGAGCAGGGGAUUCCCCUGUGAAUUUACGAAGAAACUUGGAAUAAGCAAGGUCAGAGAGGUCAAGGUGAGCCUCAAAGUCGGAUACGCCAUCAGAAUUGUAGGCCAUAGAGAGGGUAACACCAUGUGGCCUUAGACCAAGAAUGGCAGCUACGUUCAAGAGAGUCAGAGUAAGAGGUCAUCCUUUAAAAAGAAAAACAUUAGAAACAGGGGACUCGAAAAAGAGAGCAGAAGCCAAAAGAAGAUUGUUGGCUACAGGAGGUUUCCGAGAUAGCUGAAUGGUUUCAUAAAUCCCAACUUCUCGCAAGAAAUCACCAUAAGCAGCUUCCACCCGGUCUAACCAAGCCAAGUAAGCGUCCAAAACACUAGGCCAAGUUCGAAGACUUUUUCCUGUUGAAGCCGAAGGGUACCAGGAAUGGAGAUGUAUGGAUUUGGCCACUAAUAGAAGACCGUCGCUAGAAUAAGGGAAGUCAUCAGCAGGCGGGUCUUCAGUAAAGGAGGGACUCAGGAUUAAUCUAGUAGGGUCUGUCUCAAGAUACUAUUUGAGCAGGGUAUAGUCCAGUGAAGGACGAGUAGAUAAAGGCGGAAGCGGCACCAUUACUCGAAGAGAAAAGAAGCCGGGAACAAAGAUGGAGAUUAAAAGAAAUCGGAGAAGACGGAGAAGAAGUAAAGAGAAGCGAAGGAGGGGUUUCAUCGGAGAAAACAAGGAAGAAACAAAAAAGGAACAGAAAUGACAAAAGGAAUGCGAAGCUUGGUGAAGAAGAAAAGGCCGUCGAAUCGUCGCAUUGAAGCGAGUUUCAAGGUCGGCUAUAAUGAUGAAUAGACGGCGGUAAUUAAGAUGACCUAAUUAAUGCCGCAGAAGUGACAAAAAUAGAGGGCGAGAUCGGAGCCGUAGAAAAGAAAUUGAAGGCCAAGAUUGAACCGUACAGAGGAUCACGCCUCGGAUUACGUCAGUCACUCGUACAGAGAAUUUGAAUUUGAUUGGAUCGAGAACCACGCCUCGGAUUGUGCUUGUUAUUGAAGCGAUGGCAGGAUUUUCGGUAGUAGAAAAAGUGGACGGUUGAGGCGAAACCGUACCGAGAGAUUGAGGAGUGAUCGCGCCUCGAAUUACACCAGCUACCGAAGCGUUACUUCGAAAGCUGCCGAGGGGGCAAUUGUUGAGCCAAUAAGGCGCGAACAUAUAGUACACCAGUACUCCAUUUAGUUGUAUUGAUUUGUAGUACACUAGGAGCAACGGAAAAAUAUUAAACUGCACGACUUGAGAGAAGUUACAGUAACCGCAAGAAGUUGCAAGCUGUUUCGAUCGGCUGGAGGUGAUCCAAAAUAUUAGGAGAUAGUGGCCGAUCGUGUAAAAACAAUAACUGAUCAAGAGGCGAUCUAUAAAUAGGUCAAUAACGCCCUAAAAAGAGGUCUUUCCCCUGUGAACAAAAGACCACCCUUAAUUCCUCGCAAUUUUUUGUAUUCUUUAGGAGUAGUCUACUUGUAAUUUCUCUUUCCCACAUUUACUAUUCUUCCUAGGAGUAGUUUUAAGUAGAUCAACCGAGUCUGCAUGUCAUCCGGCACACUUGAACCCUGCACUUCUUAUCAGUGAAUAUAAAGGCAUUCGGCUUUUCAAGCCGAUCCAUUCCUUUGCUCUAUAGUCAUUUGGCUCCUCGGCCGACUUCAGUUCUUGCUUUGCCCGUACAUUCGGCUCAUCUAGCCGAACCGAAUUUAGUGUAGAGUUCCGAACCCGGCUGAUCGGAUCCCUCAUCAGCCGAAUCGCUUGAUCGAUUGAAGGGUGCAAACUUCGAGAGUCAGUAUCAAGAGCCGCUUCCAUCCCGACACGCUCCUUGAGAAGGACCUUUGACCUGGUCAAGGAUCGGAGAUUUUCGGCUCCAACAGGCUUUUUUCAAUAUUGAUGCUUUUAAAUGGGUAUCAAUGUAAUUCAAGAUUGCAGGAGGGCUGGGUAUGAAAAUCAAUAUAAUUCAAGAUUGCAGGAAGGCUGGGUAUGAAAUUAAUCCUACAAUAAAUUAUUAUUAUUCAGUAAAAUAAUUGGUAGUUUAAUUUUUUUCUUCCAAAGUUUUGAUGUUCAUGAUUUGGUAUAUGAUAGAUAAAUUCAUCUAUGAGAUAAUUCAUUUUAUUUUAAACAAAAGUAACUUAAAAGCCAUUUAUGGUAUUCCAUUUAGAUAUUUUACCAACCAUCUAGCUUUAGGCCAUAAUAAAAAAAAUACCAACUAUCUAGCUUCCAUCCUAGUACUCUUAAACUUUCUUAACCUUUUGUACCUAUUCAUCACCCAAAAUACUAUAAUUAGAUUAAGAAUUUUAGCCCUAUUAUCUCUUAUUCGAUAUAUUUUCAUGAUUUAUUUGAGAAAUUUAUAUAUUAUUAGAUAUUGAAAGUGAUCAAAUAUUUAGAAUUGAAAAUUGUAUCCGACCUUCAAAUUGAUCAUUUUCUGGAAUAAACAAAUUAUAUAGUUAAAAUAUAUUAUUCUACUAAAUCAUAAAUAUCGAAACCUAUCAAAAAUAUAUAUAUAUAAUUAAAUAUUUUUUUUUACUAUCAUGCUUGAAUAUUUUUUUACUGAAAUUCUGACUUUUAAAUAUGGCCUAAAGAUUUGGCUACCGUUAGUGGCUUGAAAUGAUGAAAUAUGACUCAAGAUGAUUAAUUAAUUGCCAAGAUGGAAAGUCUAAGCAGCAUACAUUAAAUUAACUUUUUGAAGUUUAGUUGGCUAUCUUUAAAAUGAGCGAAAUUUCGUGUGAUUUUGAUGUAAUUUUUAACUUAUAAAUAUAACGUAAGGCUUUUUCUCAACUCCCGACGACUUGUAUUCUAUUCUCAUGUUUAAAAAUAAAUGCAAUUUCUCGGCACUCUCCCUCCGCUUCCUCAGAGCUCGAAAGGCCCUCCGUUUCUCCUACCACUCAUCAGCUCCUUCAUCUACAAUUCCACCUCCCCCACCCCAAACCCUAGAAACCCGCUUCUUCCCCAUCUCUCUCGAUCCCCGAUCCUUCGUCUCCGCCCUCGUGCAAUGUCGCACCGUCGCACAUGUCGAACAAGUCCACGCCUUGGCGGUCUCCGCCGCCAUGAUCGAAAACCUCGGCGUCGCGAACAAAUUGGUUUACAUAUAUGCCCAGCACAAAGCUGUAUCCGAGGCCCACGCGCUCUUCUCCUGCAUGGCCGAGCGAGACAAUGUGUCGUGGAGCGUGAUGAUCGGUGGGUUUGCGAAGAUCGGAGAUCUCGGUAGCUGUUUGGGGAUUUUCAAGGAGUUUCUUCGAUCCGGCUCUCGGAUCGACAACUUCACUCUGCCCUUUGCUUUGCGGGCAUGUCGGGAUUUGAAGUCGAUUCGGUGGGGCAUGGAAAUCCACCAUCUUGUUUACAAGUCCGGGCUUCAUUCCGAUGUGUUUGUAUCUGCGGCGGUAGUCGAUAUGUAUGCGAAGUGUGGGUGCAUCGAAGAUGCUCGGAAGGUGUUUGAUAGAAUGCCGCUGAGGGACAUGGUGGCUUGGACGGUCAUGAUUGCUGGGUAUGCGGAGUGUGGGAAUCCCGAAGAGUCGUUGAUCUUGUUUGAUAAGAUGGAGGAGGAAGGAAUUGUACCCGAUAAGGUCACCAUGGUCGCAGCUGUGUUCGCAUGUGCGAAGCUGGGCGCUAUGCAUAAGGCGAGGUUAAUCCGUGAUUAUAUAUCAAGAAUGAAAUUUUCAUUGAAUGUGUUCUUGGGUACAGCGAUGAUUGAUAUGUAUGCGAAGUGCGGAAGUGUCGAUGAUGCCCGUGAAAUAUUCGAUGAAAUGCGUGAGAGAAAUGUCAUUACAUGGAGCUCAAUGAUAUCAGCGUAUGGAAUUCACGGCCGUGGCAAGGAGGCUCUUGAUCUGUUCACUAAGAUGUUGCAAUCUAGGGUUCAGCCUAACGAAAUUACCUUCGUGUCCUUAUUAUCAGCUUGCAGUCAUGCAGGGUUAGUCGAUGAGGGCCGGAAAUAUUUUCAUAUGAUGAAGAGGGAUUAUUUGAUCCAACCUGAUGUCAAACACUACACUUGCAUGCUCGAUCUUCUUGGCCGAGCUGGUAAACUUGAUGAGGCAUUGGAAUUGACCCACAAAAUGGAAGUCGAGAAAGACGAAGGAAUUUGGGGCGCAUUACUGGGUGCUUGUAGGAUCCAUGGGAAUAUAGAAUUAGCAGAAAAAGCUGCCCAAAACCUUCUUCAGCUUGGCCCAAGAAAUCCGGGGUAUUAUGUUUUGCUUUCAAAUAUAUAUGCCAAUGCAGGCAGAUGGGAAGAUGUCGCCAACGUGAGGGAGCAGAUGAAUGAUAGAACAUUGAAGAAAAUUCCAGGAUCGACGGUGAUUGAGAUCAAUAAUAAAAAUUAUAAAUUCAAAGUUGGUGAUAAAACCCACCCACAAUCGAAGGAGAUAUACGAAAUGUUAAAGACUCUUAGAGAGAAGUUAGAAUUGGCUGGAUACCUUCCUGAUACGAAUUUUGUGCUUCAUGAUGUGGAUGAGGAACUCAAAGCAGAGUUCUUAUACUCUCACAGUGAGAAGCUGGCGAUCGCAUUCGGUUUGAUUGCUACAACAGAGGGCAGUACGAUACGAAUAACUAAGAAUCUUCGAGUUUGCGGUGAUUGCCACACAUUUACUAAGAUGGUUUCGGCAAUCAUGCAUAGGGAGAUUGUUGUCCGAGAUGCAAAUAGGUUUCAUCACUUUAAAGAUGGUUCUUGCUCUUGUCGAGACUAUUGGUGACAAAUGGGAUUUGCUAAGGUCUUUUGCAGUCCUCUCCUAUCUGUGUUGCCAUAUGAAUCCAGAUGACAUUUUCGGGGUUAGUUACAGUUUUAAUCGCUUAAGUUUGUCCUUAGAUUCAAGUGUAUCCUCAUAGUUUCAGUCGUAACAAAUCGGUCCCUGAAGUAUGCUCAACAUUCAAGUCCUAUUAGUCAAUCAUCUGAAAAAGGUUCCACGUUAGCACAUCACCAAACUUUGCUUUUUUGAAGGUGAAAUUUUAUGGCAAAACUGAAAUCUGGGUAAUACUUCAUGGACUAUAUUGCUAAUAUUGAAAUCUGGGUCAUACUUCAUGGACUGUAUUUGGCUUUGGAAAUUCCGAAGAUGCCAAAGUAUCUGAUUCUCUUCUUCUUGUUUGCCAAGCCUCCUAGUUGUUGCCAUUUUGGGUUAGUAAUCACUCCACAUGAAUCUAAAGAACAAGCAAACUGCUAUUGUUAUUUCCUCCAUCUGACAGCUGUAUCAAUAACAUAGCCAGACAACAAACAGGAUUGCGAGCCAUAAAAUUACCUAUAAAUACACAACAUUAUUGCAAUGCUUAGAAGAACAGGCAAAAAAACAAUCACCAACAACCCAAUCGUUCUAGAAACACUUUCUGGUGAUAGAAGAUGGGAUUUAACAUUUUCUCUCAUGCCUUGCUCAUUAUACUUCUCUCACUGUCAGCCUCUCAUGUUCUUGUCCUAGCAGGGGAUCCCGACAUCACCUCAGACUUCAUUAUCCCGCCAAACUUGAACAACUCGCUCGUGAACGGCACCUUCUUCACCUUCACUGGACUUCGUCCCUUACUCACGUUGCCCCCACCGACAAACUUCACCGUCUCCAAGGUGACAAUGGCAGAAUUUCCCGCCCUAAAUGGCCAGAGUGUCUCUUUUGCCGUCUUAAUGUACCCGCCUGGCAGCGUGAACCCACCGCACACUCACCCUCGGUCUGCGGAGCUCUUAUUCCUUGUUGAGGGUUAUCUCGAAGUCGGAUUCGUUGAUACUACAAAUAAGCUAUACACUCAGAAAAUGCAACCGGGUGAUAUGUUUGUGUUCCCGAAAGGGCUUGUUCACUUUCAGUACUGCACCGGGCCGAAGCCCGCUGUCGCAUUUUCUGCUUUCGGAAGUGCGAGCGCGGGGCUUGUUUCUGUCCCUGGAAGUGUUUUUACGAGUAAUAUUGAUGAUGGAAUCCUUGCCAAGUCCUUCAAAGCGGAUGUUGGUACAAUUCAGAAGUUGAAGGAGGGGCUUGCAGCAAACAAGUGCUGAGUGUGGGAUUAUUAGAGUGCAUAAUAUAUAGUACGAGUGUGGACUACACAUAGGAAAUCAUUACCUAUGUUUAAGUUACAAAAAUAAAAUAGCAUUAGUGUGUUGUGAUAACUACAUUUGGACGUGUAUUCAUAAAGUGCAAUUUUUUGGUUGUUACCAGAAUUGCCUCUUUCAAUAAAUUUAUCUUUUUUUUCUGUGUGAAAUUUAGGACUGUCAGAAUUAUAUCAAAGAUAAUACAUAAAAGAUAAUUUUUAGGAAUAAAUAACCUUUCUCUCAAGGUUGUGCAAUCUGCCCGCCCCUUCUUCUCCGACGAUGAUAACAAUUCGUAACAAUUCGUAAGGAGGCCUCACAGCCUCUUCUUUCUUCUUCAUCGCUGGCGACAACGACGACUCCAAGACUACUCCCCCAUCAUGACUACUCCGCCAUCAUGAGGACAACAGAUUGGUGUAUCGGAGCAACCAGCAUAGUAGCGAUUCUCUUGUCGGUUUGAUCACAUGACCGUCUUCCUGACAUGCUCGACUAGUAGAAUCAGGCAUUGGAUUGUUACUAUAUCGUGCGCGUGUAUUCACUACGCGUCAGUCUCUCUAAUCUCACUUCCGUUGCCGUGACUACGAUAGAUCAACGCGGGCACGUGAACGGCGCGACAAUAGUUAUCUAACUUGUUUGAUUGUGCGGUCAUCUUCGCGAUAGGUUCAACACGGUCAAAUACUCAUUUAAAUAAAUAAAAUUAAAAUAAUUAAAUAAUAAAUAAAUAAAAUAAAAUGGAAUAAUAAUUAUUUGUCACGAAUCGUCAUCUUUAUAAUAGGCUUGAUCUGAUUCAGCUUAAAUCAAAUUGUCGUUUUCUUGAUAUGCUUGAUUUGGAUUUGCUUUCACCGAAUCGCUGAUUUUAUAAUAGGCUUGAUCCGACUUAAAUCAAAUUGCUGUUUUCGUGAUAGACUCAAUUUGGGUUUGGUUAAACCAAAUCGUCAUACUUGUAAUAAGGUAGACUUGGGUUUGCUUUCAUCGAAUCGUCGUCUACGUGUUCGUGAUAGGAUUGAUCCAGUACAGUUAAAUCAAAUUGCCAUCUUCGUGAUAGGCUUGAUUUGACAAAAGUCUUGCAUGCCGGCCUAUCAAUCCAUCUGUUCAUACUAAGGGCUUAGAGGAAGAGGAAGAUGUCUCUCUAGAAAUUAAAGAAACGUCUGAUAAAAUCAAUCAAGAGAUGACUACAGUUAUGUAUUGAAUUCAUUCAUGAAAUCGGAGCAUCUAAUGAUCCUCCUACGUAGAUCUAAUUAGAAUCCUCCAUCCCAAAGUUUAAACAGCUCCUUUUGAGAUUUUAGUAUUAAAAAAUGAAAGAAUAGUGUGCUGAAUGUCCUUCUAUUGGAUUGCAAUUUCAUUUAUGUCUCUUCAAAUUUUUUUAAAAAAUCACCAAUAUCCUCGUUAACAUCAGCAAUUCCCUCAGAAACCCUUUAUUAGUCGAAAUUAACGUAAAUUGAAUAGAUUAUUCAUAAAAUUCUGUUUUACCCCCUAAUAAGCUAAAACAUUAUUAAACUUGUCAUCUGAAAAGUAACAUAGACUUAACAAACAAAAGUGAUAAAUCUCCUACUUAAUAAGAAAUUAAAAAAUCAUACUAUAAUCUAUAAAUAUAUAUAUAUAUAUAUAUAUAUAUAGUUGAGCUAGAAUACUGUCGAUAGCAAACGAGCUCCGUUGUCACCCAUUUAUUUUCGAUGAUGGAGCAUCCAAAUCGACGAUUGGCAUCAUUGAACAUGAUCUAUACCACUUGAAGUGUUUAGAAAUCAAAUUUCAUACAUUUUCGAUAUUGUUCUCUUAUCCAUUGAGUAGACACAAAAAUGAACGGUUGAAAAUGAAUAUUCUUUAAAAACUGAUGAUAGGAGUCUUGUAAUCAAGAUCAAGAGUAUAGAUCUUGUUUUAAAUAGUUUAAAGAAUUUUCUAACAAAAAUUCAAUUAAUUUGGAUAUCUUUACGCUGUUAAACGGAAAAACGUAUCAUAUCGACCAUUAAAAUUACAAAUUUUGAAAUAUUUUGAUCAUUAGGCAAAUGAUGUCGAAAAGAUUUGAAAUUUGAUUUCUAAAUACUUCAAGUGGUAUAGAUCAUGUUCAACGGUGUUCUAGCUCAACUCUAUAUAUGUAUAUAUAUCUUAAAUAAAAAAUAGAAAACAACAUGAAUUAUUAUUUUAUCCUAUGAAUAUUAGUUGAAAAUAACUGUUAUUUCAAUUAACUACUGUUUAACUCUAUUUUAACUUGGAUUGUGGAUUCAUAAUAAACUACUAUAGUAGCCCGCACGUUAAGCGAAUAGAUAUUUAUAAAGUGAGAAUUCAACAUAAUAUACUACAAUACUAUAAAAAAGAGAAGGGAUUAGAGACAUAUCCUCUUCAAAUUUAUUUAGUUGAUAUAGUGUAGUGACAGAAAUUUUAUAGUGAGUAGGUGUUAUUGUAAAACUAAAGAUAAGUCAUCUACUAAACAAAUAGAAAAUAAAAUAAAAAAAUAAUAUUCUUACUUGAUGCAUAAAUUCGAUCAAUAUUCUGAUCUCUACUGUUUGGAAAUUUACAAUAUUAAAUUACAGAGAAGGAAGGAAGGGUGAAAGAAAUGGCAAAAACAACAAUGCAUCGGGCAAUAGCAAACAUUCAUGGAAGAAAUGGCGGAAAUGAUAAUGCAUCGGGCAACAUUCAUGGCGAUGAUGGUCCAUCUUCAGUCAACAGGAAAGAAUAUAGAGAAAAAAAAAUCCAACAAAAAAAAAAUAAUAAAAAAAAUCGGCAAGGAAUAUUAUUUUCAUAUGUCGUUGAUGAAAUGAUAUACCUUGUCUAUUAUGAAUAAAGUAAAUUACAUAUUAUGAUCAAUAUAAAAGUUUUCAAAGUAUUUUGUUUUUUCUAAAAACUCAAGCUACUAUAAUGAAUUUCUCAUACCAUUUUUUUUUUACUCUUUUCAUAAAAAAAAAACUCAAACCACUAUAAUAACAUAUUUUAUAAUUUUUAAAAUAAUUAAAUAAAGAGAGAAAAAAUAAAAUUAUGUGUAGAUGGGUAGAGGAUGACAGGCAUUGUUGGUAGGAAGAGCUCAAGACUUGAUAGUAAUGAUCCAACUGCGCCAAAAAAAAGAGAGCUCACCAUUUGUUGUGGCGCUUCAACCGGAAAUGCUCCUCCCUAACAUUGCCCUUCGCAAAAUAUCGGCUGAUACACCAAAAGAAACCCAUCAAAAUCAAAACUUUCUGAAUCAAAUCAUCAAAUUGAAUCAUCCCGACUUCCAAACACCAUAAAACUUAAAAACUUUUCGAAUCAAAUCACCUCAAUUUCAAAUCUUACUCGCAGUGGACGCAAUUGAACUGCCCCAUCCCUGGAAGGUCCUCAUCCUGCGGCAGCAGCUUUGGCUCCUCCCCCUCCGCCAACUUCAGUAUCUCGCUAUACAUUGCAUCAUUGACAGAUCGAUCACCCCAAAUCAAUUUGAGUUAAAGAAGAAACAAAAAUAGGAGAUAUAGAUGGAUCAAUCAAUCGAAAUAAAAAAGGAGAUUAGAGCCAAAAAAAAGAAGAUAUCUUUGUGGAGGAAUUUGAUCAUCAAGCGCUCUCGUGGGAAAAUCUCCGCUUCUUCACCAAAAUUGCUGCGGACAUAGGUGAGAUGAGGGGAGAGGGAGAGAUGCCUGUUGUCUGUUUGGGAGAUAGAGGGAAGUUAAAGAGAUGGGAGAAAGAAAGAAAGCGGAGAGAAAGAAAGCUGAAGGAAUUAGAGGUGAGAGAAGAAGAAAGGAAUAGAGCGAAAGAUAUAGUAAAAAAAUAGAGAGAGAUGAAAUUUUUAUUUCAUGGCGAUGAUAGUCCAUCUUCAGUCAAUAAAAAAAAAAGUAAAUAAAGAAAAAAAAAAAAACACCCAACCAAUUUGAAAAAAAUAAUUAAAAAAUUGGUGGGGCCCACAUUCCCAAACUAAGAAGAUGAUGGUUCACCUUCUCAGUGGGGCCCACACCCCCAAAUUAAAAAGACUAGUGAAGACCCGCGCUUCUUGGCGGUAAAUUUUCGCAAUUUUUAAAAUAUUUUGAAUAAACUAUUCAAUAUUAUUUACCAAAGUUGGGGUAAAAGCAUAUAAGAAUAUAUUUCUAUGUUUCCGUUGUUAUCAUUUAAAUUUUUAAAUUUAAAUUUAAAUUUUUUAAUUUUCAAAUCUAAUUUUAAAUUUUAAACUUCAACAUUUUUGAAUUUUAAUUUUAAUUUUUCAUAAAUUUUAUUAGCACUUUUUUAAUUCUCUUUUUAUUGUGGUCCAAAGAUGACGUGGUGAACCUGGUUCAUCGAAAUCGCAACUCGCCACGUGAUCACGAGGGCUGCACACCUGUGACACACGCAUCUAUUACACCGAGAGAAAUCCCCUUCCUCUUCUCGUCUCGCGCAUCGUCUCCCUCCUCCCACCGCUCGGAGCUCACAUCCAUGGUGUCGCCGCCGACGCCACUGAGAAGAAAAAAAGAAUGAAAAAGAGAGAAAGGAGUGGGUUGCCCGCCCGCACCCGCUCGCGCCUUCUUCAAACGAAUUAGCGUUUAAGCGAGAGUAAAUAAUAAACCCAAAUUUUCAUUAGUUAUAGAAGAAACACUCAAUUAAUUGCUAAUUAUACCAUACAUAAUUAUAAAAAAACCAACUGAUUUACCCUGCAAAAAAGAAAUCUAAGAUUCACGCACAUUGAUCACCACAAAUUCUCACUAAACUAUCAUGAGAAAUAAAAGAAACCUUCAAUUAACAGCUAAUUUUACUCGUAAUAAAAGUACCAAAAACAACUAAAGUGUUAAGCACAUGAACAAUAGCCACUAUUCACAUUUUUCGUUACUUAUCAUCAUCGCCUCAAAGAAGAGCUAGAAAGAAGGGAGUAGUCAUGAAACUUAGUAAAUUAAACUUAAGAAUAAUUAUAUUUGACAAAUCUAACUACAUGUUCAAAGAAACAGACAUGCAAAAAGCAGUAUUUGAGACCUUAGUAAUUAAACUUAGUAAUUUGGCUGUUGCUGCUGUGACAACAUGGGUGCAUUCUCAAAGAAAAAUAUUGUUCUCUUGUCAAAAUAACUUAGUAAGUUGACGUAGUUUUUUAAUCUCAUCACACAUCCCUUCUUGCUUCAGGUUUCUACCAAUCUCUGCGAUGCUAUUGUACUGAUACAGGGUUCAGGAUCUGUGUAUGAGUUUAAACAAUUAAAUAUCAUUUACAAUUUAUGGAUCUAAAAUAAUUAAAUUUAGCUGAUGAUUGAUUUGAAAUUUCUAUACAGUUACAAGAUACAAAUCAAAAGCUAGAACAAUAUCAUGCGCAAUGCCACAAAUAAGACUCAUAGACAUCUUACUAUGAAAAUUUAUUUUUUUUAAAUAAGAUAAAAGAAAUAGAGCACACACUAACCCACCUCUUGAAAACUCUCACUCAAGAUGCCGAGUAUAAAUCUUCAUAUAGAUAUGGCCGAAUUUGACCCCCUUCCUUUCCGUCUUCCUUCCAAGCGACAUAAAACAAGCACAUAAAAACCGAUGCCCUGAGCGCCUCGCGAUCAGCUCAGGCAUUUGUCGAACAGGGACUGGCGGAAUGAAGAGAGUGCGGGGCUUGCAAGGGCGCGACGAUGGAGGGGGAGAGGAGAAGAAGAUCCUCGCCAGAUCCCCACCGCGAAAUCCGCGCCGCCCAGAUUCCCCGACGGAGAGACGAGAGAGUAUUUGAAUAAGAUCGAAGGAGAAAGGCGGAAAAGUAAAAGAGAGAACAGGGGAAUCGAAAUCCUCCACUGCGAAGAUCGUGCCGGGAUCCCCGGCGGGAGGCUUCGGAGAGAGCACGCGGACCGGCGGCCGAGAGAUCUGCACACAUUUUGGAGGGAGAGACGAGAAGGUAACGUCGAAAAGUGAGGCCGUACCCGGUGAAGAUCGCCGGCGCGAUCUCGGCGGAUCCGCGUGGAAUCCGGGAAAGAGAAGACUCGUGAGAAUCGGGAAGAGAAGAGAGAGAGAGAGAGAGAGAGAGGAAGAGAGAGAGAGAGAAGUCCAACAAAGCCAAGGGGGGGAAGGAGAGAAAAGAGGGGAGAGAGAGGGGGGGCAUGUCACACCCAGGACUCGUUCCCUGGGCACGCUAACAGACCCGCCGUAUACAUAGAAAUUUUUUCUGUAUACGAAGCGAAAGCUGUACCUGUACCUGUAAUCAUACAAAAUUACAACCAGUAGUAUAGAGCUGCUAAAUAAAAUAUAUAUAAUAACAAGAGUCCACAAUACAUACAUAGUAUCCAGGUAUAACAAAAACACUCGCUCUAGCGAGCUACAAUAUCGAUCAGUAUGUAUAAGAACUCCAAAAACUGAUACUACCUGUAGUGGGUAAAUCUCUAGCUCAGCAGCAACCCGGGAAAAGAUCUAACUCGCGACUCCCUUUCCACGGUCAGUCUCAGCAGUAGCAGUAGCAGCAGCCGCAACAGUAGGCUCUGCAAAAGUCACCAACUGAGUGUGAGAACUACUGCAAAAAGAAGUAGUCCAUAGUGUGUACCACUACCGACCUCAAUGGCUCACCCACUAAGUCUACAAAAUGAAUGCUCAAUGAUAGUAAAUAACUAGAAACAAUCUACAGCUAUAUGUCAGUAUACUAUCAUGCUUCAAUACUAACUAUUUAUAGAAUAAUGCAAACUCUGACCCAAUCUCACCUAGGGACUGUGAAUAACCCAUCCCGCCUGUCAAAUCUACACUAACUGCCACCAUGCUAGGUCAUCAGCGGAGAGCAAGUCUAACCAGGACAAACCGACAUCAACGCAAAAGCACUAAGCCCGACUCCGGAGUGGCACUCAUGGGCGCUACCCAACUGAGUAUGCAAGCGUGUCUCUGUCGAGCUCAAUCAGGCUCUCACAGGCUAUAGUCAAGUAAACAGGGUCUAACAAUCCAACUCACUGCCCUCGGCACAAUCUGAUGCAAAAGUGGCAAUCUGGGUCCACCGUCAACUCCAACGGCACGACAAUCCGAAACAGCCUAGACACUGCUGUAAAAAUAAGCUCAGCAUCAUCCGAGCACGAGCGUAAAUGCAUUCUACACUAUUCUGGGUAUCCACCGCCUACAAACUGCGGCGAUACAAACAAACUACGGCUCUUAGAGCUAAAUCUGGUAAUUUCAGAAUAUGACGGUGUAGAAUCGAUAGUUUUCUCAUAAUUCAAUUCCAAGUCCAACAUGUAUAAUUUAGCUAAAAUACUAACAUUGCUCUAAAUUCAGAUUUCAAGAAAUCUAUGCAAAUCAAUGAAUUCGAGCUAAUUAACAGGAUAAACAAGACCAAGAUACAUGUCGACAAUAACUAGGCUUAGGAGGUUAAUCCGCAAAUUCCGGCAAGCAUCAUUAACCCACCUCUAGCGCUAAUCCACGGCAACCCGAGGUCACGAAGUCGCUGGAAACUCUGCCGAGACCAAUCGAAAUCCCCCAGAACCAGCAACCAAACCACUCCAAUGAUCUAAACAUCGAAAACACAAAAACUUGCAUUAUAACUCCCAAAUUUCAGCACUUAAGCUUAAACCUUCAAUUCCAAUGUCAAAACUCACCUAUCAAUCCCCAAAUCCACAAUUCUGGUGAAGAAUACUCUCAAAACCAGUAAGGAAAGGUGGAGCAACUUCCUCUGGUCGAAAAUCCAGUUCUCUCUAAGAAUUGGUCCAAAAACAAUCAAAGAAAACUCACUUUCAGGACCAAAACACCAGCAGCUCAGUAAAAUACGAAAUUGACUAUACAAACCUCAAUCAAUUUUUGUCAAACAGAGUUCCACGAAAUUUUCAGGAAGUCAACUAACCACCAAAACCAAGUUUCACAGCAAUCCGACUUUCCUACGUCGCACACGAGCCAAAACGCCAAAGGUCGCUGCUGGAAUCUGCUAAAACUGCACCUCUCAAGCUUCAAAUUGUGAAAUUUGGAGUAAUUUAAGGAGUUUAGAGGGGUUGGAAUGCAAAAUAUGGGUUCACUGUGAAGAGAGGUGAAAAGAGCUCACUGGGGUCGAACACUACCUAUUUAUAAGGAGGUGGAAGAGUCAGAUAAGCCCCAAGAACAAAUGACACUAGCCUGCUGUCCCAGCAGAAACAGCCACUUUUAGGCGCCCAGAACCCCUUUCUGGGCUUCCGAAACCUCCACGCUACACAAUUGCUCCUCUUCGGUUCCUCCACCAGCAUUGUGCUGCGCCCAUAUCCUGGUCCGGCAGACCUCACCUACCACCAGCCACGUGCCAGCGCAAACAAUAUUCACGAAAUAAACUUUUGGACCCUCUUCUGGGCGCUCGAAACUAAGAUCCGAAUUGGCUUCCAGUUCAGCACUCGAGUUCUGGGCGGCCCAAACCCUGUUCUGGGCGCCCGAAACUGACAAAACUUCAGUUUUGCUCUUUUGAGUGCGCCAAGUCCAUUUCUGCAUCCAUUUCGUGCAAAAACGACUCCGAUUCAGCCCGACACUCUCCAGAUGUGUCGACCAGUCACUAAUACUGUAGCCAAUCCUAUCCAAACCUCUGGAACACUACAGGAUGAAAAUGAUUAAUUUGUAUGAUCUAACGCGAGUGAAACAAAAUUCUCGUAAGCACUAACUUCCUUCAAAGCGCCACCAUCAGACAGACGUUCUCUCUUUCUCUAUAUAGUAUAUGAAUAGGCUGGAAUACUAUCAAUAGCAUGGCUAUUGGGUUAUUAGUUUUUUAUUUCUUGGAUAGAAAUGUGCGGUAUGAUGAUGUGGCCCCUAGGGUUGGUGGGUGUGUGGUCUGGUUGAAUAGUAUAAUCUAACACAUAAAAUAUAUCAAAGGAGUUAAAUCUAACGGCGGAAAACUCGAUAGCCGAAGAAUAGAUAUCCUCAGCCGCGACUUCCUCUCUCUUUCUCUCUCUUGCUUCUCUCUCCUCUCCUCUCUCUCCUUCUCUCUCUCUCUCUCUCUAUAUUUAUAUAUACUAUAUAUACUAUAUAUAAAUAUAUAAUAUAUAUAGUAUUAUAUCCUAUAUAUAUAUAUAUAUAUGGCCAUGGCUACUAUACUAUUAUGAGUAUUGGAGCCCUCGUACUCAUAAGUUGUUUCCAAUGAUGGAGCUUCCGAAUCGACGAUCCACUCCAUUAAAUGUGAUCUAGAGUAUUUGAAACUUCUAGAAAAUAAAUUUCUUAAUUUUUCGAAAUCAUAAUAAAGUCCAUCAAGCAGGCAUAAAAUGAACGGUCAAAAUCGAACAACAUCCUAAAAAUGGAUGAUCGGAUCCUACAAUUUAAAAUUGGAGUUAUUAAUCUUUACCUAGGUAGUGAAUAGAAUUUUCUAUCAAAAAUUCAACCGAUUCUGAUUCUUUUACACCGUUAAACUAGCAAGUGUCCCAUACCGGCCGUUAAAAUUGUCAAUUUUGCGAAAUUUCGAUCGUAAGGUAAAUGAUGUCAAAAAAUUAUAAAAUUUGAUUUCUAGAAGUUUUAAAUGCUCUAAAUAACGUUUAACGGUAUGGAUCGUCGAUUCGGAAGUUCUAUCAUCGAAAACAACUUAUGAGUACGAGGGCGAUCGUACUCAUAAGAGUAUAGUAGCUGGACUCUCUCUCUCUCUCUCUCUCUCUCUUUCUCUCUUUCUAUAUAUAUAUAUAUAUAAAACUAGGUUAGAAUACUAUUAAUAGCAUCAAGCUAUUGGUGCUAUUAGUAUUUUAGCCCUUGGAUUGAAAAAGGUGUGGUUAGGAUGAUGUGGGCCCCCUAGGGUUGAGUGAGUGGCGGGUUGAAUAAUAUAAUCUAACGGUAAAAAUAAUCACAGAAUUAAAUCUAACGGUAGAAAACUAGAUAGCACCAAAAACACCUUGUGGCUAUGCAGAUAGUAUCACAGUCUCUUCUCUCUCUCUCUCUCUCUCUCUCUCUCUCUCUAUAAUAUAUAUUUAAUAAUUAUAUAUAUCCCAACUGUUCAAACUAAAACUUAAAAUGUGAUGUGAUCCAAUUGUUCUCAUUUGGUCUGUUGCUUCAACGUAUUAUUUCUCAUACCUAAUCGCUCAAUCGCCUGCAUCGUUCUGCUCACCAUAAUCUUCUUCUUCUUCUUCCUCUUCUUCUUUAAAUUUUUCAUCUGUCAAUAUUCCUCUUCUUCUUCUGUAUCCUCAAAGUCAACCAUUCUGCUCUUCAUCAAUGGAUAAAGACAGUCGAGAUGACGAACAAACUUAUCCUUUUUCUUUUUUAUUAAUCCCUUUCUUUUUUCUAUUUUCUUUCGCUUUUCAUUUCUUUUUCAUUUUCAAGUGCCUUUCAUUAUAGUGUAAACCGUGUAUGAUAGGCCAGGCUCAUUAAACCCUUAGCUAGCCUCUAACACAUUACACCCAUAGUCAAAAUAUCCUCUUCACCAACAAGUCAUUUCUUAUUAUCCUCUCCAUCCAGCUAUCCAUCUCACUCAAAGUCAACCAUUAAUUACUAUCAAUUCAAUAUUAUUAGUAAUAAUGGAUUUAAUGUAUCCAUUGCAAAUUGUAACUAACGAGUUAGUGCUCUAUUAUAUCUUAUCUGUCACGCCCCGAGCCCGCCUCUUUGGUCGGAUUCGGGCACGCCAACAGACCGCCGAACGGACAGGGUUUCCUCUGCACGCGGACAGAGUCUCCCCUGUACGUUCAAGGCGUCGCAAUCAAUACAAGUACAAGGGGUUCCAAACAGGAAUAAUUUUCAACAACGAUUUCAUAAGGAAGGUAUCAAACAACAUAACACAUCCUAUGUUAUUACAAUCAUUCAUCACAUCAUUUUACAUCGCAUUUUUCAUUACAUUGAUCCUCAACUUCCAAAUAUACAAUCGAUUUCUAAACAUAUUAUUACAACAUCGAUUCUUUUCUUUUCUUUUCUUUUCUUAUACCCCUAAGAAGCCGACUCAGGGUGCUGCUAUCUGGUCUCUGUGGUAGGGCGCUAACUACGGAGCUACGCCCUUUCCUCGCGCCGCCGCGCCGCUCGCGUGUGAACCUGUACCCCCAAAAACAACAACACGGGGGUGAGACUAUUGUCCAUAGUCGUCAGUGGGUACAGCCACCCAAGUGAAAAGCUCAACCCACCAGGUCCAAAGGAGGCACUGCAACAUGUUAGUCCAACAGAUAUAUAUACAUAUAACAUCAUGCAAUACAUGUUCAUGCCUCACAAAUAUACAAAUUAUGCAACUCUUAGUCAUUCUUUGCCAUUAGCCUUUCUUUAGAAUAUGCAAUUCUCUAUCAUUAGUCAUUCUUUAUUCUUUAUGCUUUAUUCUUUAUGCUUUAUUCUUUGUUCUUUAUCCUUUACUAAGGGCACUCGCACCUUAGGCGCAUUAUACACUUUUGCCAUUCUUUAUAACAUUAACAAGUCUUUCUCAAUUAUCACUCUUUCCUAAGGUUACCUUAGCCAACUAUGCCACUCGACUCGGUCUUGAGUCAAUCAACUGCGGAUAGUCCGCGCUCUGUCCGGCUCGAGGUGAAGGAACUCUCACAUACACCUCAGCCUUCAAUCACAAACCACAUCGCCCAACGGGUCGCCCAGAGCUGCGUACACCCGUGGUCAGGGAUCCCCCGGUGGGAGAGGAACAUGCCGCAUACACCCGCAGCCGAGAUCCCCGAUAGGGAGAGGAACAUGCCACAUGCACCCUAGCGCUCAUUAUUCUUGCUCAUUAACAAGCCUCGAAGUUCUUCCGGUGGGAGAGGAACACGCCACAUGCACCCGCGGCCAAGAACUAUCGAGCUCCACAAAUCUGGGAUUCCGAAAAAAUUAAAAAAAUUCUACUUUAGCAUAGCUCAAGGCUGUCAACAUAUCACCUGGUAAUUCGGACCUAUUAGUCCAAGCUAACACCUGCCUUUGCAAAUUGCGGGGUUCGAGUGUUCGAUUGGUAUUCCGAACUUUUCCACACUUGGUGGAGGGCCGUCGAUGGUAUACCGGCCUAAAAGUUCGAUCUCGAGAGUUUUGGCUGAGUCCUGAGAGUUUUUACUCUCGGGGACCGGUCCCUGAUAGGAGAGACCGGUCCCUCCAGUGAACAGUGCUGCGUAGCCGGCGAGGCAACCGGUCCCUGGCAGUUGAGACCGGUCCCCGAGCGCGUCUGCGCGGGGAGAGACCGGUCCCGUGCAGGGAGAGACCGGUUCCCGAACGUUGGAUUUUCGGGGACAGGCUGAGAGACCGGUCCCAGGUCGGGGAGACCGGUCCCUCUGGGCGAAAACUGCCCAGUCCGGGCUAAUGUAAAUUUGAGUUUUUGAGGGGCCUAUGUGGAUUUUGUUACUUUAGAGGCUAUAAGCAGCCUCUCCUCCCCUCUCACUCUCAUUUUCUCUCCCUCACACUCUUCCUACACUUCUAGAGAGAGAAAGGGAAGGAGAAGAAGGAGUGGGAGAGGAGAAGAGCUUGCUUGGAGGCCUUGGAGCACCAUCUUCUUCCUCAUUUCCCACCUUUGAGGCUUGGAGCUUGCGGUUGGAGCUUUGUGGAGGAUCAAACUUCAACCCUACUUGGUUUUGAGCUUGGAUUGGGGCUUAUCCUUGAGGUUGGUAGCUUGUAAUCCCCAUUUGUUACAUGCUUUCCUUGGUUUUCCUAGAUGAAACCCUAGAUUUGGGAUUUAGGGUUUAUUUUGGGGGUUUUUGAAUUUGGGGGCUUUGGAACCAAAUUGAUGGGUUUAGAACCUUUGUUUAGGUUAGAUUGGAAGGACUCUAACUCCCAUUUGGAGAUCGUGAGAGCCUUCUUCGCAAUCGGUAAGUUUUCUCCAACCCUAGCUUGAGGAGCUUAAUGAUUGAGCUAUUCACUCUUCGUUUCGUUUGGGUGACCCUAUUUUUUAUGUUUCUAGGGUACUAGGGAGCUUGUGGAUAUCUUCGUUCGGCGAAACGAAGAAGUCGAUUCUUUUGGUGGGUUUGACUUCAUGAAAAUGGGGCAAAAUCGGCCCCUAUGCCUUCUAAACUUUUGUAAAGUAUUUUUGAAUGCAAAUUCAUGCUAAACAUGAUUUAUAUGAAUUUUAGAACACUUAACAUGCAUGCAUCAUGUAUCGUAAAAUUUGUACUCCAUAUAGUAGAGCUAUAUGUGUAGAUUGCAUGCAUUGUGGAUAGUGCUUGGUUUUGCAAGUUGAGAACAUGUCUCCAUGCUAGAAUUGAGUGAACUAUGCAUCAUGAACAUAUUAAUGCCAUGCUUGGGACUCGUUGAACAAAAGUGUCAUAAAGAGGCACUUGGAAUUAGUAAACUAUAAAAUGCAACUUAGAGACAUGAUGACAUAGGGAUAGGCCUUUGGGACUAUUCGAUACAUUCCAUGUUAUUAGACAUGAGGACUUGGUACUUGCGACAGAUCGUUUGUCUACUUGCCAUUGUGCUCAUUCGCACAUGCUUGUGAGGGUCGCUCCCUACAAGCCGGCACUCCGGAGAUAGCCAUCGCGAUACAUAUUCGCCGUGCGGGAUUGGGCGCCGAAGUGGAUUGUCGUGGGACAGGCUCAUUCCUAGGGUGGGGAUGAUGACUAGCACGGGGCCAUUAGGCUCGGCACCGGCCAGACAGCCUUCGGGUGGGUCUCAGGGCCAUAGACAGCCUUCUGGGUGGGUCUCUUCAGAUUUGACUUGAGUAUUCGUUAUGACAUGUGGACAGAUGAUGACUUAGAGUAUUACUUGGACAUUAACUAGAAUAGUAAACAACGGAACUUUACUAUUUCGCAUUGUGAACAUUAUGAUAGUUGGAGACUUUUACUUCAUGCAUAAUUGCUUCAUACUUAUGCUAAUUACGCUAAGUAGAGAUAUCAUGUGGUAGUAGGUUACAUUAUUUUUACUUACCUUUCGCUUUUCUAUUGUUACUCUCACUGACAUCUUUUGUAGCUUUGGGCCUUGUAGUGCAUUCACUGAAGUCAGUAAUUGCCUACUGGGAACUAUUUUUAAUAGUUCUCACUCCCCUGUUUUAUGGUUUCCUUUUCAGAGCCUUCGGCACCGGCGGAGGCACGGGAUCGCGGUAAGGGGAUUGCUUAGCUAGCUAGCGAGGAGCGGUUCUUUGCCUAGGUGGUUUACUCCUUCUUUUUGUAGUUGAGAGUGUGAGAGGUUUUGUAUCCAUGUAUAGAGACCACCUAUGUAUCUACCUAUAGCACUUGUAUCUGAGAUUUCCUUAUAACACUUUAUGUUUUAUGUAGUGGAUUUAUAGCUUUAUCCUUAUCCCUUGUUGUAGCAUUUAGACAUUUAUUAUGCUCUGAUACUCCUAGAUGUCUUUUAUUAUUGCUUUUAUUAUUGUUGUUUCUAGACGCCUUAUACGUUUUAGACGUAUGGCGGGGCUGGGCACGUGCCGGGCGGGCUUCCGCUAGGUUCCGGGGCGUGACAGAUUAAUUUGGUAUCAGAGCCUAGGGUUGAGUCUUAGGGGACCUAGCAAACCUUAGGCCGGUUGGACUAUAGGAAAUAGGCUCGUGAGAGACGAGGUCUAUUCGACUUGUGAGCGAAAGUAUCAUGAUUGGGUAUUAUGAUAACUCUAAAAAGUUAGAGUUGAUCGGAGUGUUUGACUUCUAACUUCGCGGAGGGUUACGUUGGCGGCCGACAACGUAACAUCGGGAGUUAGUUGUGGAUAACACUUCCUUACUUUCACAUGAUUUGGGUUUGUCUUUUGAGUUGGGAUGCGAUAGCGUGAGUAUUUCUAACUUACGCUUUUAUGAUGUUGUAGUGACGAUGCCGAUUACUCGCUCCCAAUCUGCCGGGGCGGACAAUGCGGCAAACUUCGAGGAGGUCGAGACCUCCGCUACCUCCGGAUCCAGCGAGGUCCGUGAGUUGAGGGGCCAGCUUGCGGCCCUCACUCAUUUGGUCACUCAGCAGGCGGAGGCGGCCCGACAGCAGACCGAGGCGGCGCGCCGACAGGAGGCGCGGAUGAAGCGUCUGGAGGACCUACUAUUGCAGCAGGCGGCAGCUUCUAGGGAGACUCAGGCCCCUACACCGCCAGCACCAGUUGUGGACGUUGCACCGAGAGCGCCGUCCCCCGCGCCUAGUUCUUCGCGUGCGGCGCCUGCGGCCGCACCCCAGGAGGAGGUUUUGGCGGCACCACCUGUGCAGAGGCCCCCGAUUGGAGCUGCAUUCCCUACUUUGGUGGAGGGGGCGGAGCGAGACAGACUGAUGGAGCGCCUCAAUGAGUUCAGGAGGUGCAGUCCCCGAGUCUUCGAUGGCGAGAAGGUCGACCACUGGAUCGUGGAGAAGUGGUUGAUGCAUAUGGAGAAGCUCUUUCGCGACACCUUCGUGGAGAAGAGGGACAGAGUUUGGCUCGCCACUCACCACUUGGACGGCGAGGCCUACCGCUGGUGGUUGGAUUUUCAGGAGCACCCCAGCACUGACUUGGCAUCUAUUACUUGGACGAGGUUCAAGGAGCUUUUUCUGGCGCACUACUUCCCAACCAGUGUCAAGAGGAAGAUGGAGCAGGAUUUGCGCAGCUUGCGCCAAGGCGACCGGACCGUGGCCGAGUAUAAGAGGGAGUUUUCUCGGCUUCUGCAUUGCGUGCCCUUCGUCGUGCGGGACGACGAGGACAAGGCCCGCAUCUUCGAGCGAGGGUUGCGACCGUCGAUCUUCCGGUUUGUGCAAUCCUCUAACCUCCAAACCUACCGGGAGGUGGUGGAUCGCGCGCUCAUCGUGGAGAGCGGCGCGACAGAGGUCCAGGAGCAGCGUGAGGCUAGGGACAAGGGUAAGGCCAAGAGGCCUGCGGCUGAGGGUGCGAGUCAGACGCACUCUAGGAGGCCGCCGAAGCAUCCGAGAAGCCAGCAGCGUGGACGCGGCUCAGCAGCACCUCGAGGAGGAUCCGAUCGGCGCCGGCCUUCCCCGUGUGUGAUCUGCGGUGGUCCCCAUUACCCACCGCAGUGUCCACAGCGGGCGGGCAGGUGCUUCCAGUGUGGCCAGGAGGGCCACGUGCGUACCGAGUGCCCGAGAGGUUCUUUACCGGCACCGUCAACUGCAUCGGCACCGGCUCUACCAGCCGUCAGCCACGGGACUCCAUCGGCACAGUACCAACCUGGGCGGCCACCCGUCCAGCGCCAGAGCGAGGGAUCUCGACAGGCCCCGAGUGGGCGCAUGUACGCCGCUCAGACCGAGGAGGCGGCAGCAGCCGAGGAUGUGGUUGCAGGUAUCAUUUUACUUGAUGGCAUUAGAGUUCGUGCUUUAUUUGAUACCGGUGCAUCGCAUUCAUUUAUAGAUCGGCUGUUUGCCGAGUUGCAUGGCAUCCCGUUGGUUUCUUUGUUGCAUACGGGACAUGUUGUUGUACCCGACCAUAUUUUGGAUAUUAGAGAGUAUAGCCCCAGUUGCCCUAUCCGGGUAGGAGAUUGGAUUAUACCUAUAGAUUUGCUAGCUUUGCGCAAGCUGGGAGAUUUUGAUGUGGUCUUGGGCAUGGAUUGGUUGACCAAGUAUUAUGCCACGAUAGAUUGCAAGAAUCGCACGGUUACUUUUAGAGAACCGGGGCAAACUGAGGUGAUAUUUAGUGGAUGCCGGAGUUCGCUGUUUGCGAUGACGAUUAGCUCGUCUCGAGCUAGGUAGCUGAUCUGCAGAGGUUGUGUAGCCUAUUUGGCUAGUGUUGUGCUGAGGGGCGAGGAUGACACCCCUAGGAUCGAGGAUAUUCCGGUGGUGCGGGAGUUCCAGGAUGUGUUUCCAGCUGAGCUACCGGGCAUGCCUCCUGAUAGGGAGAUUGAGUUUGUGGUAGAUCUCGUCCCUGGGACUACCCCAAUCUCAAAGGCGCCCUAUAGGAUGGCACUGGCAGAGCUGGGGGAGCUGAGGGCACAGCUGCAAGAUUUGUUGGACAAAGGCUUCAUUCGACCGAGCGUGUCACCUUGGGGAGCACCAGUUUUGUUCGUCAAGAAGAAGGACGGAUCACUUCGCCUUUGCGUGGAUUAUCGUGAACUUAAUAAAGUCACGAUCAAGAACAAGUAUCCGUUGCCGAGGAUCGACGACUUGUUUGAUCAGCUUCAGGGAUUGUGUGUGUAUUCCAAGAUAGACUUACAGUCGGGAUACCACCAGUUGAAGAUCAAGCCCGAGGAUGUAUCGAAGACGGCUUUUAGAACACGGUAUGGACAUUACGAGUUCACAGUUAUGCCGUUUGGGCUUACUAAUGCCCCGGCAGCUUUUAUGGAUCUGAUCCGUGUUUUCAAGCCUUAUCUAGACAGGUUCAUCGUGGUGUUCAUCGACGAUAUUUUGGUCUACUCUCGAAGUGCACUAGUUCAAUGCCAUUACACAAUACUUAUCAUCCUAUUAUUCCACUUAGGAUUAUAAAUUACAUGCCACUCAAUUACUCAUUUUUCAUGUUAUCCAUAUACCUAGAUUAAAUUUUACAUGUCCUUGCUUUCCAAUGUCAAUUCUCUAUCACACUAGAGUUAGUCGCCCAAGUUACCCUCAUAUGAACUAGCAAUUCUCACAUUAUCCACACUACAUGUGUUACUUUAGCAUUCAUGCAGCACUGCAUCAUGUCUAUCAAACGUAGCAAUAUACAUUAGCCCACAAACUCAUAGCAUUCUACUGACAUAUUACCCUCAUCACUUAUAGCAUUUAACUCAUUGCAUUCAAUUUAGGCACCAUACAUUUUAGCAUUACAAUAGCAUCCUCAUCCCCCUUUCCCAAUCAUGAUCUUUUAGCAUAUAUACUCACUAUUCUUUAAGCAUCAUCUCACUAGCUAUUUCUUAGCAUCUAGAUCAUACAUUCGCUAUAGCAUAUAGCUUUAUGCAAUUCUUUAUAGCAUUUUCAAUCAUGAUCAUAUCUAAGUCAUCGACAUAUAUAACGUCUAGCUCAUGCAAUUAAAUUCAUUUAUAUUAGCAUACCUUCUCAUGCAUUUAUUAGCAAUAUCUACACAUUCAUUUAGCAUAACACUUAUGCAUUAUACAUUAAAUCAUAACUCAUUCAUUCACUUUAGCAUUUAACUAUCUUACAUCAUUAAUUAAUGAAACACACUUCAGCUUAGACCCGUUUGUUUUGGUAAGUGGAGUGAUGGAACUCAAGUUCCAUCACUUCCGUUAUUUGUUUUGAUGUAAGUGAACAAUAUAAUGUAACUCAAGUUACGUUAGAGCUCCACUUCACCUACUCUCGACUUCCUCCUCUAAAGUGCCGAACUCGACUUUCACUACACUCAACCUCCUCUAAAAAAUUUAUUAAACAGUAAAACCUAAACUCUACUUCCUUUAUAAUGGGUUAGAAUUACCUUAUUUAUAAUAAAUUAGGAUUAUCUUUAAAUAAUAAUAAAAAAAUUAAUUAUAUAAUAGAUUAAAUUUUAUAGUGGUAAAUUUACUACUAUAUUUAGGAGAUAAUAAGAUCCACUUACUUAUAUCAAAACAAACAACGGAACUCAAAAAACUAAUUUUACCAGCACCAAGUUACAUCAAAACAAACAACAAAAGUGAUUGAAUUUAACAUUCAGCGGUACAAGUUACGUCAAAACAAACAACAAAAAAAUAAUCACACUUCAGGAAAACUCAAAACAGCCACUACCUCUGAUUUCAAUUCUACAAAAUCUUAUCCGAUUCCAAAUCCCCUUAGCAUGGAAGCGACCUAAUCAGCUUUCGUAGAGCACCAACCUUACCUAAUAUUCUCUCGAUGCUUGUAUCACUUGCAAUCGGGCUACCGGCGGCACCACCAUAAUCUGUCAGCUCGUACUGCGCAAACGAUCACCGAACACUUUCUCGAGCCUCAACUUAGAGUCACCAAGGGUCCUUCUCUAACCUCCAAUUAGAGAAAUAUGGGGUUAAAAUAGAUCAAAACCCCAACAAACCCAAAACCCCCAUUCCAAGCCCUAGCUUGCUCUUAUACUCCAAGUAUUCAUGGAGAAAACAUGCUAGAGACACUUUAGAGGCUAUUAGAACACUAAGCAUUAAGGAUUAAACCAAAUCCCAAACACUUACCAAAAUGCGAACGUCGAGUCGGAAGCACGCCGCUCAACAGGGCGCACGAAGGCUCGAUCCGUCGCUCACACGCGUUCCCAAGCCCGCUCUUCGCCAAGCCUCUGAAUUUGGAAGAGGGAGAUAAAGAGCGUAGGGAGAUAUCUAGAGAGAGAAAUGGAGGGUUUCUUUCUCACCCUUACCAUACGUGUGUGUGUGGGGUGUGUGUGUUCGGCUGAGGAGGAAGAAGGAAAGGGAAAGAAGCCCCUUUUUAUAGUCAACACCCCUCAACAUUAACAUAAUUUUCUUCUCCUUUUAUAGUCAACACCCCUCAACAUUAACAUAAUUUUAGUUUAGCAGUUCAGAAACUGAAGUUUUUCCCCAGAGCCCUUCUGAAUGUCUGUUUGCACUCAAAUUUGACAGUCAGGCUCGGUUUAAACUAAUAAGAAGAAAGAUAUCUUAACUUUUCAGUUUGGACCAUUUUUUGUCACCGUCUACCGACUAGAAUCUCUAGCAGAUAGCAGUUAGAUUUUAUUUUUCACUUUCCGGGUGUCAAAAUGACAUGAAAUUUUAAAUCUAGCCUCAUAAAAAUAAUUCCAACAUAUUCCCAAGUUUUCAUAAUUUUCUGACACUGUGAAUUUUCUGCUAAAAGAUCAGCCCCACUUCUUACAGAAAAUUAUAAAUCUUCUGUUUCUAUUCUAAUUUCACCACAAAUAAUCUCCAAAUUAUCUUCUACUUUUUCUACAUCAAUAAAAAUAGUAUCUCACGCUAUUUUUAUUUAUACUUGAUUUUACUAAAACAUCUUUCAAAAUCUGCAUUUUAUAGAACUACGUACCAAUACUCGGACAGUUCCGAUACCCCGAAUCUAGUUUCCACCAAAACUUCAUAACCGUAAAAGUUCGGUAUAUUACAUAACAUAUACCAAAUCAUUCAAACAUUGUUGCUCAAGUCUGUUUCUUUUUUUCUAUGAAGCUGUAAAAAAAUGAAAUCAAUGAAUAAGCAUAUUAUUUUUAAAUUUAUAUUGCAGUCAUAAGAAAAUAAAUCAUUUGAACUUAGCGCCCUAUGCAUUGAUUUUACAACUUACAUGUUCAAACACACUCCAAUUUCAUUCGUACCCAGAUGCACUAAAAGUGAGACUAAGAAUUCGAACAGCAAAUUUUUGCAAGUUCGGUAUAGAAGAUCUGUACAAUCUCCACCACUCAGCUGUUAAUAUAGAAUAUAACAAUAAAUUAAUAGUCAAAUUAUGCUUUCCAUAAUUCUAUUAGAAUUUAGAAAUUUAGAAUUAAGAAAAGGCUAAAUUACAGAAAACCCCCCUGUAAUAAUCCGUUUUUUCACUCCCCCCCCCCCUGGCAUUUAAAAACCUACACUUUGCCCCCGUGUAAAAUGAAAAAUGUUCACAGGGGGGUUACGGUGUGUAAAAUGACCAUUUUGCCCCUCGCCAUUGUCGUCUUCUUCCCCAUCUUCCUCAGCAACCCCUUCGUUCGGCCGCGAUUCCCACCUCAAUCGGCCGCGAUUUCUCUCAAUUUCCUUCUCCACCUGCUCUCCUUCUCCUCCUACACCCUCGCCGCCCUCAAUUUCGGCGACAGUAGGAGAAAAUCGAGGUGGGCAACAGUAGGAGAAGGGCAAAGAAGGCGAAGGCGAAGGCGAGGCGACGGAGGAUGGCGAAAGGGGAUGUGGGUGAAGGGCGAGGCAGUAGAGGACGGCGAGGCGGCGAGGCGGCGACGGCGGCGAGGCAGCGGCGAGGUGGCGAGCGGGAGGGAGUCGAAGCAACAGGGAGAUGGCGGAGGGGUAUUUUUGGCAUAAAAAUAUAUUUUUUAACGGAACCCUGUCGGAACCCUAACGGUAGGGGGUGAAGUGCACAUUUUUUAUUUUAUAGGGGGGCAAAGUGUAGGUUUUUAAAUGUCAAGGGGGAAAGUGAAAAAGCGAGUUAUUACAAGGGGGUUUUCUGUAAUUUAGCCUUAAGAAAACUAAUAAUCUGCAAGUAAUAGUAUACCUAGUGACUUUGAAUUUCAAUGCCAUAUUGCUAAGCCAUGUCCAAAGAGGCCAAAUGCUCUACGAUAUAUGCUUAAUUGGUCACUUAUUUCGUCUUGUUUCUCAAUACUUUGAACUAUCAUUGCAGCGUCUUGUAUAGCCCCGACAUAACUUGGAACAAUCGUUACAGCGUCUUGUAUAGCCCCGACAUAACCUUUUCAUCUUGUUCAAUAUUUGGAUUUGAGUAAAAAUAUGCGGAAUUCAAAUAAAGCCAGCGGCAUACAAUGAGCAAUGGAGUUGACAUUCCCACCUCUUAUCAAUUAUUUUGAAAACUUCAUUAUGUUUAUCCUCCUUGUUGAAUGAUUUUGCAAUGGCUUCCUUUGCUCUAUCCAUGGUCUCAUAGAUGCAUACCAUUGAAGUUCGCUUUUGACCAACAACUAAUUUUAGAACACGAACAAGUAGACCGAAAACUUUAAGAGUAUAUGUUAUAUUGGUCCAAAAUGUGUGCAUCAUAUCUAUGCUAGUAAUUCUUUUGCUUGAUUGUUGUUUUGCCUAUUUACUCUUGGUCCAAUCUUCAAAUGUGAAUAUCUUCCUCAAGGUACUUUUCUAAUGAUGUAAGCAUUGAAGGGUGAGAAAAGCAGUGACAAAUCUUGUUAUAUGUGUCACUCCCCGCGACCACCGAUUUGGUCGGUUCAGGUACGUCUACAGACGCCGAACGGACAGAAUCUCCCCUGUUCGCCCAAGGCUCCACAACAAUAUAGCAUGUAUAAGGCAUUUGCCCAGGAAUAAUGGCAAUAUACAUGGCUUGCACGAGGGCAAACAACAGUCAAGCAAGUGAGAGUAACUAGCUAUUACAUCCAUACAUUGUAUCUUGAUCUCUUUGGGUCAAAUACAAGGCUUACAAAUUUUAUUUACAUUCAUCCACCAAAAUACAUACAUUUGGCUCAUAAUACAUAUACAUCCACAAGUAACCUCACCAAAAUACCUCAUGUCCAACAUAAAUACAUGGUACUCUAAUGCACAGGAGGCUACUAUCUAGGGCGCUAUGCCCUUACCGCGAUUCUCGACCGCUGCGCUCAUGUUAGGCCCUGCAACAAAGUGGGAUGAGAACUAACAAAAGUUCCCAAUGGGUUCGGCCGCCGACCCCCGCCGAUUUUUUCACUAGGUCUAAGCAGGCAUAAGUAGAGAUAUAAACAUAAUAAUGAAAUCUACUAACAAGUUACUAUGCCUCAACAAUAUGAUAUGAAUGAAGUAUCCACUAUGCUCAGGAUGCAUGCCAUUCAUAUGCUUGUCACUCAAUCUUCUUGGCUAACCAUAAGGUUAAGCCCCAACUCACAACCAAAUCCCAUAGGUGAGGAGACUCUUCACUGCGCACACUCGAGACCGUCUGCUGGGUAGGUACAUUAACCCAUUUUGUGACAACUCCGGAGCUCACUGCUUGGGUGGAGCGACCACCGUCAAGCUAAAACAGACUAAGUGAGUAUGAUCAAAUUCUCCGAACUCGAGAAUACCCUACCAACUAGGGAUAAUAACAAACUCGGGAAUCCAUUUAUCCCAAUAUUCAUGUUUUAAGUGUCAUCACUACACUAGUUCCAAAUGCCACACUUUUAUGUCAUUACAUUGUUCAAGUUCACCACUUGUUCUCGGCACUAUAGGAUUCCAUGUCAAGACCCAAUCCUCAUGCAUCCGCUAGAUCACGUGUCCAACUCACAAUUCCAUUUCUACCAUGGAAGCAUGCAAGGAAUUGAAUUACAUUUAACCACAUAUCCUAUAAUGCAUGAUAUCACAUAUAAAUGUAGAUGCUCAACAAUAACAACUUAGACAUAAAAGAAAAUUCGAUUGUUUCGGAUAGCACCCCCCACCUCUUGGUGAUGCCGAGAUGCGAGAACCCGAGCCUCGCAAUUUAUGAACGUCGUUUUGGCUCGACCCCACCCAAACGAACCGAAAACUGUACUUUUCUUCAACGACUCACCGCACACCCAUAGGAACUUCGAUUCGAGUUACCCACCGUGUUGGUUUUACCUUCAAUUAGGUUUGCAAUGGGUCAAUUUAGAUCAAAACCCAUCAUAACCACAAACCCUUAUAUGAAACCCUAAAAACCCAUUAUUGCAAGAAUACACAUAACACCUCAUGAUUCAUGCAAUAGUCUAGCUUAGGAUUACCUAGGGUUCCAAAACAACUCAUUUCUAAGGGAUUAUACAAAACCCUAACACAACAACCUCAAAAACCAAUGAGGCUCACCUCAACUUAAGCUUCUUCCCAAGCCCAAAGGUGAAGAAGAUGAUAGCUUUAUCACCAAGCAAGCUCUCCUCCACCAACUCCACCUUUUGGAGCAAACCCUAGGAGACAGAGGGAGAGAGAAAGAGGUUUAGAGAGAGAAAGAGAAUCUCUUAUGUUGGUUCAAGUGGAGGGGAAAUGAGACAAAUAGAGUAAAACCCAUCUAUAUACACUCUCAAUGCACAAAUGCACACAACCCCUCCCAUAAAUGACACUUUGCACAAACUUCACGUUUUUCCAUGCACGUGGUCUGGACCCUACAUGCAGGGUCCGGACCCCGAGAGCAUUCCUAAUACAAAAAUUUUCGAAAAUCUCAAAUCUUGCUCUCCAAGGUCCCUUUUAGUCCCUUAUACCCUUAUAAGUCAUUCCGAUCACUCAGAAUACUCAACGGACCUCUCUAAAGCGUCCAAUACCACACUUCGGUCAAUUUGACGAAAGUUCGGUUUUAGCGCACCGAAGACUCGGUACUCUACAAUAUGUCAGGCCUAAGCAACAUCUUUUGGCCCGUGAAACGUCUCAUCAUAUUCAUUGCACCUGUGCUAUUAUAAAUAUAGCUAUUUAAAAUCACGGCUCUUUGCAUGGGCCUAUGUACUAUCUACAUCUUUGCGAUAUUCUUGAACAUCAAGUCAAUGCAAUGGGUAGCACAUAGGUCCAAAACAAAUUUGGUCUUUUGGCUUCUAACAAUCUCCCUGAAAAAAUUGAAUGAAAAAAGAAUAUAACUAUUAGUUAUAUAAAUAUUACACACAAGGAAUUAAAAAAAAGAAGUUAAAAACUAAAAGAGAGAAAUUUUACCGGCUACUACAUUAGCCGAUUCAUUAUCAGUAACAACUUGAACAAUAUUUACUUUCCUAAUGGCCUCUAUCAUAUUGUCCAAUAAUUUAAACAUUCUUUCUCCAUUUUAACAUAAUUAGAAGCAUCAAUUGAUCCAAAAAACACUGUACCCAUCGGAGAGUUCACAAGAAAAUUUAGUAAGGGCCUCUCGCCUUUCCUUCCAUGCAUCUGACAUUAAAAAGCAACCAGUCCUCGUCCAUUCCUCUUUAUGAGACUUUAAAAUAUUUCUUGUCCUCUCAACCUCCUUCAAAAAAAGAACUUGUAACUCAUAUGCAGAUGGUGGUUUCAUGCCAUUGCCAUAUUGCUCAAUAAACUCAAUUGCUACUCGAAAACUAUCAUAAUUAAUGGCAUCAAAAGGCAUCCCAGCGUCGUACAUCCAUUAGGCAAAGUCUCUGCAAGCUUUCUCUCUCAACUCUUUUUUAUAUGCAUUAUUUAUUGUGGUUUGCUUCAUCUUUCCUUCCUUUCUUUCUUGACUACCUUCUCUACAUCACGAGUGAAAUAUACAUCUAUAGGAUCCUUUUCACUGCGUUUUUUUUUUCCUAUUGACUUGCUAACUCCAAUACUUCCACUACUUCGACAUCUUUUUCCAAGAGAUUUAAAUUCUUCAAUAUUAUCUUCAUCCUUAUCAUCACCAAAGCCCUCUACUUCAUCAAAAUCAACCUCAAAGGAUUUCUCUCCUUUGUCGCUUCUUUCUUAACCAUAAACUCCCUAAUUUCCUGGCGGACAUGAGGUAGAUAUCUUGAGCAUUCUUUUGCAUUUCGAAAGCCACCAAUAAUAUGUUGUUUGGCUCUAUAAAUGCCUUCUUUUGUUAUUUUUCAUAAAAAUUACAUAUUACAUCGUUUCUAUUGCCGAGAGUGUAACAUACCACAUCCCUCGCAAAUCGUGCCGAGUUCCGUCAAAACGAGCGGAACGCGGAGUUGAAUGAGUUUGAAUGGACCCUAAGUUCAUUAGAGUCCACAAGUGGAGCUAAAAGGGACCCGAGAGAGUAAAUCUGGAAAUCUGGCUAAGUCCCAGAUUUUGUGCUCUCAGAGACCGGUCCCUGAAGGAGAGACCGGUCCCCUUACGCGUAGCCUGCCAGGAAUCCUGAGGCAUCCGGUCCCUGGUGGUGAGACCGGUCCUCGGGAGACCGGUCCCUGAAGGGCAGACCGGUCCCUCGCUGCGCAGCAGCUGAAAAACCCAAAAAUUUGGUUAAGUCCUGGAAAACCCACGUUCGGGAACAGGUCCCUGGUCGGGGAGACCGGUCCCCGAAGGCGAAAAAUGCCCAGUCUGGGCAGAUCAAUAGGAAACAAGUGGAGGGGCUUAAGUGCAAUUAUUACAACACUAUAUAUGAUCCAUCCCCUCUCUUCCACAUCUAUUUCUCUCCUCUCCUCUCAUUUCCACUCUUUCUCUCUCUAGAAUCCUAGCUCUAGGGCUUAGAGAAGAAGAAGAAGGAGUGAAGGGAAGGAGGAUUUGGAGGCUUUGGUGGGUUCUACAAGCUCUCCUACAAGAAGGACUUGGAGGAGCUUGGGCUAAGGUGAGUUUUUGGUAGAAAUGAGUCUAGGGCUUGGUUUUGAUCCCUAAGUUUUGGAGCUUUGUGCUCCUUAGUGGCUUUAGAGGCUCUUUUGAGCCAUGAACACCAUGAAACCCAUGAGAGCUCAAGGUGCUCUCAUAGUGAAUCCUUGAAAGUGGUGUUAGGAGCUCUAGGGUUGGUUCCAAGGGUCUAGAAACCUUACUAGGAUGCUUCUUAGAUGAUCCUAAACUAUUGUUUGCUUAGGGUUGGGAUCGAUUCAUGGGGAAACCCUAAAUGACCAUGUUAGGGCUUGAAAAUUGGGGCUUUUGCCCUAGGAUUUUUCGGGGACAAAUUGACCUCGUAGAAACCUAAUUAGGGGUGUCCUCAAUACGUUGGACAACUCCGUUUAACAUUGCGAAAAUAUUAGAGUAUAGUUCAUGUACAAAGGGGCCUAAUAUGGCACUAUUUUGAUUAUAGGGCGCGGAAUCGGCUAUCGUAAAGUGCGGGAGCCUUCAUAUUCUACACCCACACGACCAAUAGAGGUGGGGGGUGCACGCCGGAAUCGUUGGAUUCCCUUUUAUGUCUGUUUCUCUAUUUCUUGAACAUAUGGUUGUAUAGUCACUCAUGCAUAUUAGGGUUAAUUUACAUGUGAAUUAUUGGUUGUUUCAUUAUGUCUUCUCUAAUGUUUUUGGAAAGUAGAAAGAUAUGGAACCAUGAAGGACAUGUUUUGUUGGACCCUAGAGAUUGCAUGAUUGAGAGGCUUGGACUUGGCAAUGGUAAAUAGCUAUGACACUGACCAUAGAGAGAUGGGUUGGCAUUGACAAGUGUUAAGCGUAGGUUUAACCAAAGUUACAUUGGGACAAAAUGGUUAGCGAGUGAUAUGAACAAAUAGGUAGAGAACCUAGCAUAAAAGUGGCAUGGUAACUAUUGGCUGAGCAUCCUCAAAUUGGGGGUUCGAUCGAUACUCAUGACACGUCUUGGCUUGAGGGUGGUAGCUCCCCCUCAAGCGGUGAGUUUCCGGAAAUAGUCACCUUGGGAGCGAGGUCCCUGAUGACGGUCCCUAGGGGUGGUUCGAGGCCCCCUGUUAUGAUGGGAUUUGGGUUAUGAGUUAUUGGGGUUAACAGAGUUAACCGGCAAGAUUGGGUAAGAGCCAAAGCUUAAUUAUGAUUGAAGCAUGCAUGCAUUUCCAUUAUCGCAUUGAAUUAUAUAUCCACUGACUCUUUCUUGCAGGCAUAGUAUUAGUUGCAUUAGUAAUGGUUACUUUCUCUCCUUUGAAAUACUUAUGCCUGGAUAGACCUAGUGGGUAAGUCGACGAGGUCGGAUGCCGAGCCCACUGGGAACUUUGUUGUAGUUUUCACACCACUAACCCUACAGGUCCUAACACGAGCGGGGCGGCGGAGGACCGAGGCAAGGGUAAAGCGCCGUAGAUAGCGGCCACCGGGACUCAUACAGUUUGUAGCCAUUUCCCUCUUGUUAUACAUGCAUCAACUUCUUUUGUUGAUUUAGAGAUGUACAGUUGUAAACAAUCGUGUAAUUUUGGUGGAUGGCUAAAUGUAAAGAGGAAAUGAUGUUUGAAUGCAAAUGUAAUAGUUUUAUUUACUUGUAUUUGGUUCAAAUGAAAUCAAGUACCAUGUAUGUUGUAUAUUAGCUUAGAGCUUUCGCUUCCGUUGUUGCUUGCCCUCGUGCAAGCCUUGUAUUAUAUAUGCAAUUCUCUUGUUGAUUGCCUAUUUAUACAUGUUGUUAGAGCCUUGGACGGACAGGGGAGGCUCUGUCCGUUCGGCGUCCGUUGACGUGACCCGAACCCGAUCACGUUGGCGGGGAUUGGGGUGUGACAGAGAGCCUUCAAACACAUAUUUUCAUACAGGAUCCUUUUUGUAUCCUUCAUGAUCCAUUCAAUCAAGCUACAAUAAAUCAACAAUCAAAUAUUUAACAAUAAAUCAACAAAUAUGCAAUGGAAACAAAAAAAAGUAGAAACAUAUGGAAAAAAAGAAAAAAAACCUCACAAAUCCAUCAAAUUCCAUAAAUAAUAACUAAAAAAUAGGUUCAAAAGAAAAACAUUGGAGUAUAGAGACAAAACUUACUUGAGAGUUGCUGUUGCUACUUGUUUUUGCCUUCUUGUUGUUGCUAUUGCUAUUCCUGCUGCUAUUAUUGCUUGAAAACUGUUGCUGCUCUUGUUUCGUUGCUACUGUUGUUGUUGCUUGCUUGUUCCUACAGCUACCGAUGGCCGAUGCUACUGUUGGAUGCCCAUAGACAGAGAGAGGAUGUGGGAACACGAGAGGGAGAGGAGAGGGCGGACGAAAGGGUUUCUCUAGGGUUUUUCUAGAUUUCUUUUAGGAAUUUUUAACUAUCUUAUUGGAUUAAAGUAUAAAAUUUAAACUCGAAACCCGAUAACCCAAAAGUUUGAAUCCAAAACCCUAUAUUAUUAAAUAAUGCAAGGCGUGUGCCUUACGCGCACCUCGCGCCUCACCUAAGUUGUGCUUCCUCAGGGCCUAGGCGCACACCUUAGCAAUAGCAUUGUGCCUCACUAUUGCUGAGGCGCUGAGGUGCGGGCCUCAUGCGCGCCUUUCACAUAGUGGAUAGGAGUAAAGAAUCUCAUUUCAUUUCACAAAUUUUAUACUUGCUUCUUAUUUGCAAGCAAGUAUGAGUUCCAUCUCGAUAAAUUGUGAUUACUGAACUGGAAAGACUUUUGAGUUUGAAAUAAGAGCAUAACAUGUUUCUUUGUAAGCUAGGAGUUUAGGCAAUUUCAUACCAUGAAUUUGCUAAAUAAUGUUGCUAUGAGCUUAGAACUCAUCUAAUUAAUGGGAUUAUAACUGUAAAUGAUUCCUUGAUAACACUUACUAUGGGUAGAAUAAAGGAUGUUGAGAGAAAGACCAUUUCGAUUCAAUAGGUAUGAGUAUAGAGUUUGUAAAUGAUGAUAAGAUUAAGCUGCAAUCAAUGUGGAUGUCCUAGUUUUUAGAAUAAUGCACCAUCUAAAAUAAAUUGGUUAAUACUAAGCUAAGGUUUCAUGUGAGGUUCAAUUCAGCUUAUAUUUUACUACCUUGAACUUGGAAAAUUGCUCUUUAUAUCUGUUAGCACUAGAAAAGUAGCGCCACGUGGUAGGCAGCUUGGUCCACACAACCCGUUGGCGUGGACAAAAUAGAAAGUGACAUGUGAUGCACCAGAAGUUAAUAAAGAAAUGCGUAAAUAUAAGCAAAAUUUGAGUAGAAAUAGUUGGAGAAGUGGAGAGAGAAUAUCGUGGCAGCAAGAAAGAAGAAGAACUUGGGUGACAAAAAACUCUACGAUGAGAAAACCCAAUAAUUGCAGGCGGGAACACAUACUACUAUAAAUAGAAGAAAACGUGCCUGUAAUCGGGGUCCUUCACACGAAAAAAAGACUACAAGACUAUCAAUUUUCUCUCAAUUCCAGCAUCUAAAGCUUUCUAGGGAUAGUUUACUGCUUUUCACUAAGAGUUUUGUUUCUUUCUUUAAGAGCUUAGUUAGCAAACUUUUUUAGUUUUCUUAGGAGUAGAUCUUACUCCCUUAUAGUUCUUGUAAUCGCACUUUUUCAAUCAAUAUAAAUAGCUCGGUUCUUUCAACCGAGCUUGCUUUUCUGUUCAUUUGAAAGUAGUUGGCAAAAAAAUCUGCUUGAGCCGAUUACCUCUUAACCGAAUCGCUUGAUUCAAUAGUGGUGCAUUCGAGGGUUGGUUCAGGAGCCGUUUAAGAUCCCAAGGGAACGCCCAACUUGGUCAACAACUUGAUCAGGUAAGCAUCGCCUCGCAUUUGGUUCAUAGCGCAAUAAUUUUUGGCAUGCACCGUUGGACACACUCAAAUAAAUCUAAACACCUACCAAAUGGUUGAUGAUUACAUGAUUAAUAACCAAGGAUAACUAUUACACCUAGGAUUAAAUAUUUGAACUACUAUCCAGCUGUAAUUAGUUGUAUUACCUACAAUUAGUUGUAACUGAUUGUAUCCUAUAUUAUAUAUAGAAAUGAACUCCUCCUCUAUAAUCAAGGAGGUUACAACUAAUUCCUCUUCACCCACUCUCUCUCGUUCUAUUAUGGUAUCAGAGCAUUAAUCUUGGGCACAUAUCUUUUAUCCAAUAUCUCUUUCAGACUAUUCUUCAAUCAUCUCUCAUGGCUGCAUCCCAAUCAACGAUUCUAUCUAGUCUACCUAACAUUCCUGUCAAACUAGACGGAAGCAACUAUUAUUACUAGAAAAGCAUCAUGAUACCUAUCCUCAAGGCAUACCGACUCCUAAGUUAUGUCGACGGUACCUUAGCAUCCCCUCCAGAAACUAUUGCAGGAGACAACCAAGUCGAAAUAUCCAUUCCUGAAUAUGAAACGUGGAUGGUUCAGGAUCAGAUUGCCCUUACUAUUCUGAUCCUGUCAGUAUCGCAAGAAGUUGGUUGUAAUCUUGUCGGCCUUACAUCCUCUCAUCAAGUAUGGGCAACAUUGGCAACCCUCUUUGACUCCCACACAAUUGCCCAAGAGGACUUCAUCGAGCAACAAUGGCGCGACAUCAAAAAAGGAGACACACCUAUGAUUGAGUAUCUCAAGAAUGUGAAGCAACUGGCGACGCAAUUUUCUCUAAUUGGGAAACCAAUUAUGCCACUACAGUUGAAUCGGAGAAUCACCACUGGUUUGGGUAAUGACUGGGAACCUCUUAUCCGAGCUCUCGCUCCAUCUCUAAGCACCAUGAGCACUAAUGAUAUGUCUGCUCUUUUGCUCAAUCAAGAGGCUCGCUGUAAAUAUGCUACAUCAAUCGAGAUGACACCUCCUCUCUCGGGCUUGCUCGGACCUACCCCAGCUACUGCAAACUUUGUUGAGGGAAAGGGUCGAUCGAAUAGCAGUCGCGGCGCCUCGGGGCAUGGAGGACAUUAUCGGGGUCAAAACAAAGGGAGAGGAAAUCCUAAUUAUGGCAGUUCCCCUCUCAACUCAACUGGAUUUUUUAACCCAAAUGGAGACGGAUUUCCUAAUCAAAUGAGUUUAUUCAAUCAGCAUAGGCCCAUUUACAAAGGAGGCCCGACGCAAGGUUCUUAUCCAAAUCAUGGCAGGUGCAACCCAAAUAACUCUGUUCGUUGCCAACUAUGCCAACGCCUUGGACAUAGUGCUAUACAUUGUUAUUCUCUUCCCCAAGGAUUUCACGCUGAGCCAUCUCAUGCCCAGACAAACACUGCUCACGGAACUCGCUCUAAUGAUCACGACUUAGACUGGUAUAUUGACUCGGGUGCCACUCAUCACGUCACAGCGGACUUAGCCAAUCUCAAUAUUCAAGCGGAUCAUCCUAGUACUGAUCAACUCCACAUUGGUGAUGGUUCAGGUUUGCCAGUUCUUACAUCUGGCUAUUCCAAUCUCAAAACACCUACCCACUCUUUCACUUUACAAAAUAUUUUGUACACUCCUAAUAUCUUAAAAAAUUUAUUAUCUGUUCAUAAAUUUGUUCAAGAUAACUCAUGCUUCUUUGAACUGCAUCCGCAUCAUUUUUCCAUUAAGGAUCUUCGCACGCGCCAGGAGCUUCUACGCGGCACACUUAAGGAUGGCCUCUACUGCUUACAACCCAGGGAUCGGCGCCUUUCCAUAGCUCAUGCCUUCCUGACCAUGUCUCAAUCAAGCAUUCUUUGGCAUCAACAAUUGGGUCACCCUGCUUUUCCAAUUAUUCAGCGUAUUUCAAAGUGUUCCUUCUAUAAAAAUCAUGUUCCUUAUGUUUGUGCUUCUUGUCAAUUAGGUAAAAUUUUCCAACUUUCCUUUCCACUAACGCAUAAUAAAACAUAUGUUCCUUUGGCUCUUAUUCAUACUGAUGUUUAGGGACCUGCGCCUAUUACAUCUCAUACAGGGCAUCUGUAAGGACUGAGAUUUUUGCGGUGUAGCUAAACUCUCAGUUGACGAUGUUUUUGUGUGUAAUUUAAUUACAAAAGCACUCGUCAAGUUUUGGGAGAAAACGAGUUAGAACGGAGAUUUUACGCGAUCUCCAAGUUUCACUUAAAGUGAAUAGUAACUCGGUUUUUCGGAGAAGCCACGAUGUGAAGUUGGCUUCUGGCUCGUACCGGACUCCGUUCAUAGCAGUCCAAUAGCUCGUUUCGAUCGGUUCAACUGUUCUGGAACUAAUGGCGCUGACGGAUUUUGAGUUUGACGCACGGAUUUUGAGGAAAUCCGAAAAUACAUGUUUUAUAUGUAUUUGUGCUUGUUUCUUUCUGUUGGAGAGAGAAAGCCGAUUUCGUUGCGAAUCCGUGAUCGAUCAAGGUGAACCGAAAUCGUAGGCUUGUUGUCUCCGUCGUGCUGAUCGCACUGGUGCGAUCCGUUCACAAAUCUGACAGACGGAUUUGCGGGGAUCGCGUGUUGAUAGAGGAGAGGUCGGUGAGGGAGAAACGGUAUUUUCGCAAAAGUUACAACAUUUUAUGCACCGUUAUUGCUGUGAAUUUGAUUGUGGAGCGUUAUUCGCAUUACUCCGCACUGUAAAGGCUUGGUUGCAAUGUAAACCAUCUCUGGAGUGACUAUUGCAUUUAGCGCAACUUGUAUAUUGGUGUGUUUUCUAGGUUUAUUUCUUGGAAGCCCUAACACUAAGUUUGAGCCCCCAGCGCCUAAGCCACACCUUGCCACCUUACCUCUGUUCCUAACUGCCCGCCGCGCACGCGCCGGUCCGCCUGCCUACAUGGCCCGCCGCACGCAAGCCAGCAGCCGCGCCACCACCCUCCUCUCCCGUCUCCACUCUCUCUCUGCCCUUUCUCUCAGGUUGAGAAGAGCCCCGAGGCUUAUGCUCCUACCCUAAUCGCCGCAGUCGUUUCCGGAGCCCAGCUCCCUCCCCGCCGACUGCGUCGCGCUUCGCAAACGCCGCCGCUGUGCUUGCUAAUAGCAUCCCCUGUAGCUAGCUAGGCGACCAACCGAGUAACUGCCAUCUCCUUUCCCCGCAUCGCGCGCCUGAGACCAUCCCGGCCACAUUUCCGAGCCUAGGCGACCACUCCGGCCGUCACCGCCGCCGCCAGACCUGCUGCCUGCCUCGCCAGCUCUCACCCCCAGUCGCCUCGGAGAGCAUACCUUUGCAUCUCCUUUUAUCGCGUUGCCGCCGCCGGGCACCCGUGCCCGCCUCUCGUCGACCUCAAGCGACCCGCCCCCCCCCCACCCCGGCCCAGCGCGUGGCCCGCAGCUGUCUAAGACCCCGAGCUUUUAGCUCGUGUGGGCUUGCCUCUUGUCGCCGCCGCCGCCGCCGCUUCCAGCCGCCGACUGAGGUGAGCACCUCACUCCUCACCUCCCCCGCAUCCAUCCCUGGCCUCCGCGCGCGCCGUCGUGCCGCCGGAAGCCGGCCGGAGCAAGCUUGCUCUGGCCAAGCCCGAAAUAGGUCUUAGUUGGGAUGGUUUACUGCUCCGAGAUUCUCGAGCCUCUCCGAUCUCUACGGAAGGGAGCAUGAUGAUCCUGGCAAGUUUCUGAUCAUCGUGCUCACCUUGGUUUCUGUCGGGAAGGCCCCGUUCCGCUGUUUUUGAGGUGUCGACCCUAUGGAGCCUUUUUGGCUGUUGUUCUGUAUUUGUGCGUGCUUUUUCGGCGAUCCGAGGCUGUUCCGAUGCCUCCGGAGGUGAGCACGGUGACCGCUGGUCAGUGCUGAUCACGGUGCUCACCUUAUUUUGGAUCAGCUGUGUCCGGUUAGUCCUGUUCGGCGCGAUCUCCCUUGACUGCGCGCUUUUCGCUGAACCUUCGGGUUGCUCCCGCGCUUCCCACAGUGAGCCGUUGUGCUCUGGACCAUGAGCACGGCCUCCGGUACGUCGAGACCAAGCUAUACGUGUCUCGGCAGACCUUGGAAGUCCUCAGUUUGCGUGAACUAGCCAUUUGAUCGCUCAAAUCACAUAAAAUGAUAGGAUUUUAUGUAAUUUGAGGGACUUUUAUGCAAUUGUGCACCUUGUGGCUACUGGGCAGUGUGUAUGUGUUUGGUGACCUCUGGACUGAUUGUCCAUGAUCCGAUAGCCUUCGCGGAAAAUCGAAAGUCGAUUUCGAUGCGUUUUUCGGCGAAAUUCGCCGAAAGAACGCGGUUUCGGUUCGGAUUUCUUCUGACAAUGUUUGGUUGCCCUGUGAAUUGUCGCUGAGCCUUGUUGGCUGGUCACCAUCAUCAUAUUGUGGGUUCGUUGAUGACGGGUGAGCGACGGUGGGUUCCGGUGUCGAAAUAGACACUUUCGGGAACCCAGAUUCGUACAUUUAUCCGGUGAUAAUUGUGUAGUGGUGUUACCUCGUGUUUGCUGCCAAGACAUCCAAAUUGGAGUGUCUUGUGGCAGCGGGUGACUCGUGACACGAGUCGGUGAGUUUCGGGACACUUAGUGGGUCCCGAUGGCGUCCCGGUGUGAUUUUUGGGACUUCCGGCGAGUUACGGUGAUCGGUUUUGGAAAAUCGAUUUUGGGGACUUGUAUGGGGGUUUGUGAGUUGUGUACUUCAGGUUAGUGGUUUGGAUACUGACUUAGUUGAUCUUCUUAGGUCCAGUAGGCUCCGUGCGCACUCAGUGUUCCGAUGCGACAGUGACAGGUGGGUGCUUCGAGCUUGUAGUCGGUGAGAUCAUUUCACCCUUCCUCUGUUCUUUCAUAUCAGCAUCAUAGUCUCUACAUGUCAGUUGAUUAUUUAUCGUUUGUUUAUCGUAUCUCAUUGAUUGCAUUUGGAUAGUUGUGGAUAGACAUGUAGAGCAGGUUGCAUAUAUAUUGUAUCUCUGUGGACCUUGGGUCUAGGCAACACAUCGACUCCUUUGUCGUGUGUUUUGUUCGGCAUUGUACGCCCUUGCACCUGGCUUUGGCCAUGGCACCGGUCUCUUUUUGCCGGUUUUCAUUUUGAGCAUAUCAGCAUGAUUUAGUCACAGCACUGUAUAUUCUAGACACCAGGUUGGUUUGGCCACUAACCAAGGGGUGUAUGUAUCCGAAUAGGUCGUCGGUGAUGCAUGAAUAAGUUGGCAGUGUCUACUCUGUGAUAGCAACUGUAAUACACCUGAACUUUGGCAAACUGCGAACAUGAGGGUGAAAUAGGUGAUUGGAACUCUUCUAUAACUUUUGAAGGAUUGUUGAGAGGCUUCAGUAAAUUACUGGAGCAAGCAGAUAACUGAAAAUGAAAAAGUGCAUCGCAAAUGCAUUAUUCUAUUGCAAUACUCUGAAAUCGGUUAAUUACGAAGUUCGAGUGUGGAGAAUGAUAAAUGGAACUACCCUACACCUUCUAAAGGGUUUAGACAAGUUUUUGGACAAGUUAGAAAAGUGAUCAAACGGCCGGAAGCAAGAAAGUGCAUUUCUGGCGAAAUUCUGCAUUGUGUAACGGUACAGCCAUCAUCGUGUACCGGUACACAGUGGCAGAUAUGUGGCAGCAAGGCUAUUUCGGUAAUUUCACAUCUAAUGCCUAUCCUUAUCUACCCAGCACGACCCCUGGAGCUCUUUGGAAGGUAUUAGAACUUAGAGAAGAGGUUUUCCACCUUCCUCACUUUUUCUCUCUAUGAUUUCUCUCUCUUUGAGUAGAAAAUCGCCGAUUUGCGCCUAUUUCUCGCCGUUCUUUGCGCUAGCUGGGUUGCGGACUUUGGAGCAGCUACGAGUGGGUGGAAAGGACUCGCAGGGGAGGUAUUUUCGCAGCUCCAACUCACAGGGAAGUUGAGUUGAAGUCUAGUGAGGUAAACUAACUAGUUUUCUCUCUAGUUUGAGAUUAGUGAUAGCUUUUGAUGUUGGUUCUUGAUUAUUGCUACCAGCUGGAUUGGGAUAGUUUAGAGCAACAUUUGAGGAGUGGUUUUGCUGUAAUUCCUCACCCCAAAGUCAGAUUUAAAGCCCUGGAGGUAAACAAUGACCUUUUUCUUUAUUUUGAUGGUGAAAACGAUGAUGUUGACGAAGUAGUGAUGCGGUUUUGGGAUGUUUGUUCAUAGCAGGUUUCCAUAUUAAUUUGAGCUGAGUUUGUGACCUUGGGAGCUGGUUUAGAAGGUGUUCCAACCAGGGCGAGGUUGCGAUUGACUUUCGGAUUAUCUCCGGCUGAUAUAUGAGAGCUUUUGGAGGCUAAACUUGAGGACACAUUCGAGCUGGUUUAAACUGAGCAUUGGGAGCCUUUACCUGAAGUGAAGUGUAAACCUGAGAAGCCCGAAUACCCGGAUCGCUUAUUAGUGUGAACUCGACGAGAGUCGUUGACUAUUGGUGGGUCUGACCUUCCCGAAAUGGGUGAAUUCCCUCUGUCUCCUUUGACAUUAUCAGUUGAAGUUAUUACAUAUUCAUGAAUAUAUGUACAGUGCAAGGAAUUGAGACAUGCGUUAAUGUGUAGAUCAUAUCGGAUGUGAUAGCAUCUCUAAACAGUAAGGAAAGACUUAUGACUUGCUUAUUUCAAUAGUCACUUAUUGGAUUAUUAUGCAUUCAUGGUAUUCCUAAUUUGCAUAAGCAAGUAAGCUUGAGUUCAUUCAAAAGGAUAUAACUGUUAAAUCAUGAAUGUACCAUUUAGCUCAGUUGAAUAGCAAAGGGAACGAUGUACUUGGGAUUACACUAUGUAAUUUUACACUAUAAGAAUGAUGGCUAUACUUGAAUAGAUUGUGCAGAUGAAUCGGCUUGAGUGUACAUUCAUAGUAUAGAAUGAACUGUAUAGAGAUUAUGUGAAAAGUAUUUCAUCGAUUAUCUUACCUACUUAUAUUAAUUAGUUGGUUUCUACCUUCACCUGAUAGAUUGGUUAGAACUUCACGUUAUAUUGUAUGAUCUAGUCAGGUAACUAGAAUUUAGUAUUAUGGCAUAACUCGAAUGUUAUACAACUGAAUGUACUCUAGUCAAUAACUAAAUUUGGAUAUGUUAACAUACUUGUAUAAUCAAGUAGAUGUAAUUGCAUAGUAUUUGUUUACUCCAAAUAGUGGAGGUUUACAUUGAACUACAGGAUAUGUGCCAUGAGUCCUUGAGUAUGACUUUAGUAAACCACUUUCCUUAUGUAUGAGUAGUUAGGGGAUUAUGAGUGAGUGUCCAGGUGUAGCCUGAUAGAAUCACUAGCAUGAUGUAAAGCUUAAACUUAUUAAGUUAUACUAGCUAUGGGUAGAAUCAUGUCAACAAGUUGUUGAUAGUGACUUACGAUUAGGCACUACAGUGUCGACCUUGGGUCGAGUUGAGAUUCCAUGUCAGAGACAUGAUGACGUUGUGAUAUUUGUGCCGUGGAUUACAGCUUGCAUGCCAUUGUGCUCUUUGGCACACGCUUGUGGGGGUCGCGCCCCCCAAGCUAGCACUCCGGAGUAGCUUAGCGACAGAUUGCUCGCUUAUGUACGAAAUGAGCGCCGAAGUGGAUUGCCGUGGGGAGUGUAUACUACCACGGGACCAUUAGGCACGGCGCGGCUAUGACUUUACCUUGUGUAAGUCUAUUGUAAAUUGGGUUAUGAUAAGUUACUUUAACCCUAGCUGGACAUAGUAGUAAAGUUACUUUAUGUCAUUGGUCAAGUGAACUUAUUGUUGAACAAGCUAGAAAGUUGACAUCUUGAUUAGUUAAUAACAUAGUAACAGUACAUUACACUUUUACUAGUGUAGGAAAUAGUAACAUGAUAUCAUCAGUUAUUCGGCAACAAUGAAUUAUCUCGCAUAUCUUUUGGCAUAUGACUAGUUAAAUUGUUAACUAACAUGAAUGGUAGAAUCUAUCAUCAUAAACUAGUACCUACACCUAUUGAUAUAUGUUUAUUUUUGAGCAAAUAGCAUGAUUGGUUUACUUUCAUACAUGUUGCAUUUAUUUGCUUAUUUAUUGCUAUUUACUCAUGCCAUAGUUGACCUAGUGGUGUACUUCGCCACUCUCGGCGGCUUACCUACUUGGAACUAUUGUUUAAUAGUUCUCACACCCUCUUUGUUGUUGUUUUUACAGAGCCUUCCACAGUGGGAAAGGCUAGGGUUCCUGGCGAGGGGUCAGCAGCUAGCUAGAGCCUUCUGGACGUUUUCUAGACAACCUUUAUCAGUUAUGUAGUUUAGUCCAGUGAUGUAUAUUAAGAUCAUGUAAAUUGUACUUUGUUCUUAUCUUUGUAAUAAGGUUUUGGGUUGUAUAAGUUAAAUUUUUAAGUUUUGCUUUGAUUACCUGGUUAGAAUCGAAUGCUUUUACUAUAUUGAUUGUAGACGCCUAGUGUAUACUUGAGUUGCGGUGUACACGGCGAGUCUGUGCACGCGACUGGUGAGCUUCUGCUGAAAUCAAGGACGUGAUAGAUUAUAGUGGUAUUAGAGCCUAGGGUUGAGUCUUAGUGGACCUAGUAAACCUUAGGCCAGUUGAACAAUCAGGACUAGGAACGUGAGAGACGGGGUCUUUUGCGACUAUUUUGGAUCUUCAGGAGAACCCCAGCACCCACUUGGCGGCCAUUUCUUGGAAGAGGUUCAAGGAGCUUCUAUUGGCGUACUACUUCCCGACCAGCGUCAAGAGGAAGAUGGAGCAGGACUUGCGCAACUUGCGCCAGGGAGACCAGACCGUGGCCGAGUACGAGAGGGAGUUUUCUAGGCUUCUACACUAUGUGCCUUUUGUAGUGCGGGACGAUGAGGAUAAGGCCCGCAUCUUCGAGCGAGGGUUGCGGCCGUCGAAUUUCCGGUUCGUGCAAUCCUCUAACCUCCAAACCUACCGAGAGGUGGUGGAUCGCGCGCUCAUAAUGGAGAGCGGCGCGGCGGAUGUUCAGGAGCGGCGAGAGGCCAUGGACAAGGGUAAGGCCAAGAGACUUGCGGCUGAGGGUAUAAGCCAGACGCACUCUAGGAGGCCGCCGAAGCACCCUAGGAGCCAGCAGCGUGGGCGCAGCUCGGCAUCGCAGCGAGGAGGUACUGAUCGUAGCCGGCCUUCCCAGUGUGUGAUCUGCAGUGGUCCUCACUACCCGCCGCAGUGUCCACAACGGGCGGGCAGGUGCUACCAGUGUGGCCAGGAGGGCCACAUCCAGAUUAAGUGCCCGAGAGGCUCGUCACCGGCACCAUCGACUGCAUCGGCACCGGCUCUACCAGCCGCCAGCCAGGGACUCCAUUGGCACAGUACCAGCCUGGGCGGUCAUCCAUCCAGCGACAGAGCGAGGGAUCUCGACAGGCCCCAAGUGGGCGCAUGUAUGCCGCUCAGACCGAGGAGGCGGCAGCAGCCGAGGAUGUGGUUGCAGCUAUUAUUUUACUUGAUGGAAUUAGAGUUCGUGCAUUAUUUGAUACCGGUGCACCGCAUUCAUUCAUAGAUCGGCUGUUUGCCGAGUUGCAUGGCAUCCCAUUGAUUUUUUUGUUGCAUCCGGGACAUGUUGUUGUACCCCACCACAUUGUGGAUAUUAGAGAGUAUUGCCCCAGUUGCCCUGUUCGGAUAGGAGACUGGAUUAUGCCUGUGGAUUUGCUAGCUUUGCGCAAGUUGGGGAAAUUUGAUGUGGUCUUAUGCAUGGAUUGGUUAACCAAGUAUUAUGCCUCGAUCGAUUGUAAGAAUCGCACGGUUACUUUUAGUGAACCGGGGCAAACUGAGGUGGUGUUUAGUGGAUGCCGGAGUUCGCUUUUCACGAUGACGAUCAGCUCGUCUCGAGCUAGGCAGCUGAUCAGCAGAGGUUGUGUAGCCUAUUUGGCUAGUGUUGUGCUGAGGGGCGAUGAUGACACCCCUAGGAUUGAGGAUAUCUCGGUGGUGCGGGAGUUUCAGGACGUGUUUCCAGCUAAGCUACCGGGUAUGCCCCCUAAUAGGGAGAUUGAGUUUGUGGUAGAUCUCGUCCCGAGGACUACACCAAUCUUGAAAGCGCCCUAUAGGAUGGCACCGGCAGAGCUGAGGGAGCUGAGGGCACAGCUGCAGGAUCUUCUGGAUAAAGGCUUCAUUCGACCGAGCGUCUCGCCUUAGGGAGCUCCAGUUUUGUUCGUCAAGAAGAAGGACGGAUCUUUGCGCCUAUGCGUGGAUUAUCGUGAACUUAAUAAAGUCACGAUCAAGAAUAAGUAUCCAUUGCCGAGGAUUGAUGACUUGUUUGAUCAACUUCAGGGAUCGUGUGUGUAUUCCAAGAUAGACUUGCAGUCGGGAUACCACCAAUUAAAGAUCAAAUCCGAGGAUGUAUCGAAGAUGGCUUUUAGAACACGGUAUGGACAUUAUGAGUUCACUGUUAUGCCGUUCAGGCUUACUAACCCCCCGGCAGCUUUUAUGGAUCUAAUGAACCGUGUUUUUAAGCCUUAUCUAGACAGAUUCGUCGUGGUGUUCAUCGACGACAUCUUGGUUUAUUCCCGAAGUGAUACGGAUCACGAGAAACAUUUGAGACUUGUACUUCAAAUACUUCGGGAAAAGGGAGCUUUAUGCCAAGUUGAAAAAGUGCGAGUUUUGGCUUCGAGAGGUAGCCUUUCUUGGACAUUUGAUUUCGGGAUCGGGUAUUGUCGUGGAUCCUAAGAAGAUUGAGGCUAUUAAGGAUUGGCCGAGACCGACAAGCGUCACGGAGAUACGGAGGUUCCUUGGACUGGCCGGUUAUUACUGGAGAUUUGUCGAGGGGUUUGCUAAGCUAUCUACUCCCCUCACGAGGCUCACGCAUAAAGGCGUCAAGUUCAUUUGGAAUUAUGCGUGUGAGAGAAGCUUCCAAGAGUUGAAGCAAAGAUUGACGACCGCCCCGAUCCUAAUCCUGCCGGUUGCUGGAGCAGGAUAUGUGGUUUAUAGUGAUGCUUCACUUAACGGAUUGGGUUGUGUUUUGAUGCAGAAUGGCAAGGUGAUUGCGUAUGCUUCUCGCCAACUGAAGGAGUAUGAACGGAACUACCCUACGCAUGAUUUGGAGUUGGCGGUCAUAGUCUUUGCAUUGAAGCUAUGGCGCCACUAUCUUUAUGGCGAGCGGUGUGAAGUAUACACGGAUCACAAGAGCUUGAAGUAUUUAUUCACUCAGAAGGAGCUGAAUUUGAGACAGCGUAGAUGGCUGGAGCUGCUUAAAGAUUGUGAUCUGACGAUUCUUUGCCACCCGGGCAAGGCUAACGUGGUGGCGGAUGCGCUAAGUAGGAAGUCAGCGGAAAACUUAGCGAUGCAUGUUGUUACUCAACCGCAGUUGAUCGAGCAGAUGAAGCGGUUGGAGUUAGAAGUGGUGACUCCAGACACACCCUUGAGGUUGAUGACCUUGGUAGUGCAACCUAUUCUUUUGGAUAGAAUUAAAGAAAAGCAAGCUUCCGAUGUGGAGUUGCACAAGAUUCGAGAGAAGAUGGUUAAAGGUUGCAUCGGCGACUUCCUUGUGGAUGACCAAGGGUUGAUGCGUUUUCGCGGACGGCUAUGUGUACCAACGUAUUCGGGAAUUAGAGAAGACAUUCUUCAAGAAGCACACCGGGCACCUUAUGCUACAUCCGGGAGACACCAAGAUGUACAAGGAUUUAAAGUUACUCUAUUGGUGGCCCGGGAUGAAAAAGGAUGUUGGUGAGUUCGUAACUCGUUGUCUAACUUGCCAACAAGUAAAGGCAAAGCAUCGAUUACCCGCGGGGAAACUUCAGAGUUUACCGAUCCCCAUGUGGAAGUGGGAGAAGAUCACCAUAGAUUUCGUGAUGGGAUUGCCCCGCUCUCAGGCCGGGCAUGAUGCCAUUUGGGUGAUCGUGGAUAGGUUGACGAAGUCGGCGCACUUCAUACCUAUUCAUACUACUUGGACUGGAGAGAAGCUCGCACAAGUGUACCUUGAUGAGAUUUUGUGACUUCACGGAGUACCUACUUUGAUUGUAUCUGAUCGAGACACUCGGUUUGUGUCUCACUUUUAGAGGAGUCUGCAGGACGCCUUAGGCACUCGAUUAGAUUUUAGCACUGCUUUCUCUCCUCAGAGUGAUGGGCAAUCGGAGCGCACUAUACAGACCUUGGAGGAUAUGCUCCGGGCAUGUGUGAUUGACUUUCAGGGAGGAUGGUCGCAGCAUCUACUGAUGGCGGAGUUUGCUUAUAACAACAGUUAUCAAGCAAGCAUCAAGAUGGCACCCUUCGAGGCACUUAUGGACGGAAGUGUAGAUCGCCACUCCAUUAGAGUGAAGUGGGCGAGAGAUUCGCUUUAGGCCCUGAUGUGCUCCAGGAAGCUGAGGACAAGGUUCGUAUUGCUCGGGAGCGACUUUUGAUGGCGCAGAGUAGACAGAGGAGCUACGCCGAUCGACGACGGCGAGAGUUGGAAUUCCAAGUUGGAGACCAUGUGUUCUUGAAGAUCUCGCCGACUAGAGGGAUCAAGAGAUUCAAGAUUCGGGGUAAGUUGAGCCCCCGUUUCAUUGGACCGUAUGAGAUUUUAGAGCGUGUAGGUCCGGUAGCGUAUCGACUUGCUCUACCACCGAACCUAUCGGGCGUGCACAACGUCUUUCAUGUAUCGGUCCUCCGGAAGUACAUCUUCGAUCCGACUCACGUGUUGGAUGCUACACCAUUAGAGUUGCGGGAUGAUCUGAGCUUCGAGGAGCUACUAGUGAGGAUCUUGGCUCGCGAGGUGCGAAAACUUCGGAAUCGGGAUAUUCCGUAUGUGAAGGUUCUUUGGAGCAACUACGAGGGAGCGGGAGGCCACAUGGGAGCUGGAGAGCGCCUUGCAGGAGCGCUAUCCCACAUCUUUUUCGGAUGGAGCUUUGAGGUAUAUUGUUGCUUUUGAGUUUCAUCGACGAAACUCAUUUUUAGGAUGGGUGAAUGUAACACACUGGACCUGUGCAAAUUGCAAGGUUCGAGUGCCUGAUUUGGGUUCCGAGCUUUUCCACACUUUGUGGAGGGUCGUAGACGAUGUUCCGACCUAUGGUUCAAAUUUUUGAAUUCUUGGCUAAGUCCUGGGAGUUUCACUCUCAGGGACCGGUCCCUCGGUAGGAGAGACCGGUCCCACGUAGCGUGGUUGCGACAGUCGGCUGAGGCAACCGGUCCUUUGGUCAGGGAGACCGGUUCCCGAAUGCGUGACUGCGGGAGGGUCCUGAGGGACCGGUCUCCUGGGAGGGAGAGACCGAUCCCUCCACCCGAAAGCUGCCCAGACCUGGCAGUGUAUAGGUUAUUUUGUUUAGGGGUUUUUUUGGAUUUUUGUUUACAUUAGAGGGCUUAUAUGGCAUUUCCUUUCCCUCACUCCCUCAUUUCUCUCCCUCAUACUUUCUCUUACACCCUAGAAAGAGAAGCAGAAGGAGAAUGAAGGAGGAGAAGGAGAAUGGGAAAGAAGGAGAGUAAGCAUUGGAGGACUUGGACAUCUCCUCUCCCUCUUUUCUCACCAUCGGAAGGCUUGGAGCUUAUUGUUCGGAGCUUUGUGGAGGAAGGACCUUCAACCCUAGAGCACUUUGAGUGUGGUUUGAAGCAUCCUAGAGGUGAAGUAGCUAGUUUCCUUCCUCUAAAUUCUAGUUUUUGAGCUUUGAACUAGAUGAAACCCUAGAAAUGAGAUCUUAGGGUUUAUUUUGGGGCUUUUUAAUUAGAAGCUUUUAGAGCUCUAUUGAAUUGGUUUAGAACCUUGGUAUAGGUUGCUUUGGAAGGGAUUUGGCUUCCAUUUGGGAUUUCUUAGAGGAUUUCUACGCUAUAGCUGAGUUUUCUUCCACCUUAACUUGAGUUAGGUUAAUGUUUGAGCCUUGGGAUGUUCGUAAGGUUCGUUUAACUCUUGUUUCUACAUCUUUAGGGUGCUAGGAGACUGGUGGGCACUUUCGUCGGAGCAAACGAAGGGUUUGGAGAAGUCUGGUGGGUUUGACUUCAUGAAAUCGGGGCAAAAAGGCCCCUAUUUGUAUUAUACUUGUCGUAACGUCAAUUUGAUUGCAUAUUCAUGCUAAAUGGGAUUUGUGUGAAUUUUAGAACACUUAAAAUGCAUGUGUCAUGUAUAAUGAAAAUUUCACUCUAUAUAGUAGACCUAUAUGUGUAGGCUGCAUGCAUGUGGAAGUGUUUAUCUUUGCGAAUUGAUUACAUGUCUCGUGUGAGGAAAGUGAUUAGAAUUAUGUAUUCAUGAACAUAAUUAUCAUGCUUUGACUUAGUGAACACAAAUGUCAUGAAGGGGCACAUGAACCAGCAAACGAAAAAACUGCAAUAUAGAGACAUAGUAAUAGGCCAUUGUGACAUCGACUAUAUUCCGUAUUUUAGACACGACGACAUAGUGAUAGGCCAUUGAGACAUAUGUUAUAUUUCUAUGUUUUAGACAUGAUGACUUGAGACUUGAAACAGACUUAUAUGUUACUGCCUUUGUGCUCAUUUGUACAUGCUUGUGAGGAUCGCUCCCUACAAGCCGGCACUCCGGAGAUAGCCAUCGCGAUACAUACUUGCCGUGCGGGAUUGGGCGCCGAAAUGGAUUGCCGUGGGCAAGGCUCAUUCCUAGAGUGGCGAUGUUGACUACCACGGGGCCAUUAGGCUCGGCACCGGCCAGACAGCCUACUGGUGGGUCUACAGGCUAGACAGCCUUUGGGCGGGUCUUCCAAAAUUUAACUUCAAGUAGUUAACAUGCCAAGUGAACAUUGACUAGAAUAGUAAACAAUGACAUUUUACUAUUACAUUGUGGGCAUUAUGAUGGUUGUACACUCGUGCAUUUCCAUGAUAGAACAGCUUUUUUUUUUACUUAUGCAAUUCCAUGCUAAGUAGAGACAUUAUGUGGUAGCAAGUAGUCAUAUUUAUUUACUUGUCGUAUAUAUCGCUUUUGCUUAUACUCGUACUUACCCCCUUUUUUGUAGCUUUUGGGCCUAGUGGCGUAUUUCACUGAAGUCAGUAAUUGCCCACUGGGAACUAUUAUUUAAUAGUUCUCACGCUCUCUGUUUGAUGUCUUUUUCAGAGCCUUCGGCACCAGCGGAGGUGAGAGAUUGCGGCAAAGGAGUCGCAUAGCUAGAUAGCGGAGCUCGCUUUUGCUCCUAGAUGGUUACUCUCUUUUUGUUUUGGUGAGAGAGAGAUUUAUGUACCAUGUAUAGAGACCACCUAUAUACUCUUUUAGCUCUAGUUUUGGGAUAUCUAUUGUAUUACUUAUGACUUUUAUUUAGUGGUUUUGGCUUCUUUCACCAUUUUCUUGUUGUAGAAAUCUAGAUGUACUUCGCUCUGAUACUCCUAGAUGUUCUUUUACUACGCUUUAUUAUCGCUUGUUGUAGACGCCUUAUAUGUUUUAGACAUAUGGCGGGUCUGGGCUCGCGCCAGGCUGGCUUCCGCUAGGUCCCGGGGCGUGACAGCAGCGCAGAUGGUUGGAGCUACUCAAGGAUUAUGAUUUGACUAUUCUUUACCACCUGGGCAAGGCUAAUAUGGUGGCGGAUGCGCUAAGUUGAAAAUCGACAGAUAACUUAGCAAUGCUUGUAGUCACUCAACCGCCGUUGAUUGAACAGAUGAAGCGGUUAGAGUUGGAAAUGGUGGCUCUGAUACACCCUUGAGAUUGAUGACUUUGGUGGUGAAACCAACAUUAUUGAAAAGGAUUAAAGAAAAACAAGUUUACGAUGUGGAGUUGCAAAAGAUUCGAGCUAAGAUGGUUGAUGGUUACACCGGUGACUUCCUUGUGGAUGACCAAGGGUUGUUGCGGUUCCGUCGGCGGAUUUGUGUACCGGCGGAUAUGGGAAUUAAAGAGGUGAUCCUUCUUAAAGCACACCGUGCACCUUAUGCUAUACAUCCGGGAGGCACCAAGAUGUACAAGGAUUUAAAGUUGCUUUAUUGGUGACCCGGGAUGAAAAAUGAUGUUGGCGAGUUUGUAGCUCGAUGUUUAACUUGUCAACAAGUGAAGGCUAAACACCGACUACCCACGGGGAAACUUCAGAGUUUAUCGAUUCCUGUUUGGAAGUGGAAAAAGAUCACCAUGGAUUUUGUUAUGGGGUUGCCUCGCUCACAGGCCGAGCCUGAUACUAUUUGGGUGAUCGUGGAUAGGUUGAUGAAAUCGGCUCAUUUUAUAUUUAUUCACACGACUUGGACAGGUGAGAAGCUCGCACAAGUGUAUCUUGAUGAGAUUGUGCGGCUUCACGGGGUACCUACUUCGAUAGUUUCUAAUCGAGACCCCAGAUUUGUAUCCCACUUUUUGGAGGAGUCUACAGAAUGCCUUGGGCACGCGUCUGGAUUUCAGCACGGCUUUUUACCCUUAGAGUGAUGGGCAAUCUGAGCGUACUAUACAGACUCUAGAGGAUAUGCUUCGAACGUGCGUGACAGACUUCCAGGGAGGAUGGUCACAGCAUUUAUUGAUGGCGGAGUUUGCUUAUAAUAAUAGUUAUCAAGCAAGCAUCAAGAUGGCACCCUUCGAAGUACUAUAUGGACGGAAAUGUAGAUCGCCACUUCAUUGAAGUGAAGUCGGCGAGAGUUUUGCUUUAGGCCCCGAUGUACUCCAGGAAGCUGAGGACAAGGUUCACAUUGCUCGGGAGCGUUUGCUGACGGCUCAGAGUAGACAAAGGAGUUAUGCAGAUAGACGUCGACGAGACUUGAAAUUCCAAGUUGGAGAUCAUGUCUUCUUGAAGGUCUCGUCGACAAAGGGAAUUAGAAGAUUUGGCAUUCGGAGAAAGUUGGGCCCCCGUUUUAUUGGACCGUAUGAGAUUUUGGAACGGUCGGCCCGGUAGUGUAUCGACUUGCUCUACCACCGAACCUAUCGGGAGUGCACAACGUCUUUCAUGUAUCGGUCCUUCGGAAGUAUAUCUAUGAUCCGGCUCAUGUCUUGGAUGUUAUACCAGUGGAGCUGAGAGAUGAAUUGAGUUUUGAGGAGCAACCUUGUAAGGAAGUGAAUUCUCGAAAUCCGAGAGUUGUACUCCGACCAGAAUCGACUAUUUGUCGAAAGGGUAUCCUUUGGAAAAGCUAAAGGUGUCCAAAACACAAAAAGUGCUUUGGAGUUGAGUCCACGAGAGCACGAAACGCGAAAAUCUGCACCUGACAGAUUUUGCUUUCGGGGACCGGUCCCUGGCAGGGAGAGACCGGUCCCCGAACUGAGGGUUGUGGUAGCGCGCGAGGCAACCGGUCCCCCGGGCUGGAGGGACCCAUUCCCGAACGCGUAAACUUAGGAACGUCCCAAGGGACCGCUCCCAGGCAGGGAGAGACUGGUCCCUCUGCGCGAAAACUGCCCAAGCAGAGCAGUUUGAGAAAAGUAAAGUGGAGGGGUUUUAAUGCAAUUGUAGCAUUAGUUAGAGGAUAUUGAGGGGCUGAGCUCUCUCUCUCUCUCUCAUUUCCCUCACUCUCCCAUAUUCUCUCCCUCUCUUUCUCUAGAAAGAAAAGAGAAGAAGGAAGAGAAGAAAGCAAGAAAAGAGAAGAAGGAAGAGAAGAAAGCAAGGAGAAGAAGAAGAAGAAGAAGGAGAGCUUGGAGGAGAUCAUCUCCAUCACCUUCUUCUCUCCCUCUUCAUCUCUUUGGUGUAGCUCAAGAGGUAAGCUACUAAACCCUAACAUGUAAAUCUAGGGUUUUUGGGUUUUUUGGCUUUUGAGAUGAGGUCAAAUGAACCUCUAGCACCAUUAGUGGUGGAUUUGAGUUAGAGGCUAGGGUUCCUUAGUGCAAAUGGCAAGAUGUGAACCUCAGGGGACCCAAAUAGGGGUUUUUGACAAAGUAUGAGAUUGAUUUUAUUUGAGGGCAUCUAAACCUAAUUGCUAGGUGUCUAAACACGGGGGCGAAGUCGGAUUUACGAUUCGUCGAGCGGGUAAAAAGCUAUCGGCAAAAUAUAGUCGAUUAAGUACCGUUUUGGACCAAGGAGGCCAAGACCUCGUCGUAACGUUCAGCGAGAAGCAUUUCUAGAACCUCUACAUCGAGAAAGGUGGGGGGUGUCAUCCCGAAGCAACCGAACUCUUUCCUAUGUCUUAGAAUAACAUAUAAUCUCAUUUCUUGCAUGUUACAUAGUAGGAUUGCAUUGUAGUACCUUUUCCUUAUGCUUCUAAAUAUUAACCUAGUGUACAUGGAAUACUUGGUGAAAUGGAUAGGUAAGGAUUGGGUCGGAACAUGGAUCCUAUAGUGCGAAAAGAAAGAGAUGAACGCGAUGGUUAUUUAGUGACAUAAAGAGUGGCAUCUAAAUGUCUAAAGAACAAAAAUGUGGCAUUAAUGUAGUGUAUUUGACACUAGAGAUUUCUGAGCUUAGGGAUAGGUGGAUUCCCUAAUAAAUGACUCGAGAACAAUGAACUUAGUAUAGCUAAGUAAUUAUGCAUGAAUGUCGGAAUAGAUGAGUUCCGAGAGAAUGUUGGCCCUAGUUCGUAGGGUAUCCUCACGUGGAGAGGAUAGAUCAAGCUCAUGGUCUAUUAUUUGGGAUGGUAGAGCCAUCCAUAUCCUCACAUGGAAAGGAUUGGUCGUCGAGUACUCCGGAGUGUCGAGCGAUAAGGACAGAGUUCAUGUCCGCAGACAGUCCCGGGUCGGGGGCACAUGGAGCCUCCUUACCCAAUGGGAUGGAUAUGUGAGUCGGAGGCAAACCCAAGGGUUUUGCCACAGAUUGGGUAAAUGAAAAGUUGUUAUUGUCAUUGAACAUGGAUCGAACUUGUUAGCAUGAUAGUACACUUUUACUAUAUGAUGCAUGCAUUCAUUAUACAUGAUUAUGGGCACAGUAGCAUAGCUUUCCUAUUAUGUCAUUUACUGUUUUAGAUAUCUAUCUAUCUAUCUAUCUGUCGUUACUUUGCCCACUUGGACCUAGUUGGGAGAUCGGUGAAGUCGGCGGCCGAGCCCACUGGAAACUAUGGAAGAUAGUUCUCACCCCACUCUAUUUCCAGGGCUAGGUACAGGUUUGCCGGGCGAGGACCGCGGCAAGGGCAUCGCGCCCGACCAAUGAGGACUAUUGGUAGAGUAGUAGCUUUCCUUUUGCAUUAGCACACCUAUGUAUUUGAGAGAGAUUCAUGUAGGUGAGGACUUUGGAGAGUUAUGUACUUGAUGAACAUGUAUUCAUUUUGGGAAUAUGUAAAUGUAAAAAGAAUGCAAAUGUGAUGUAAUAGUUAGUAAAGUACUCUCUUUAUUUCACUCGUAUAUCUUGUGGAUUUCUUGCUCUAUGUUGUGGGCACUGUUUGUGCCCUUGUGAUUGUGUAUAUAUAGAAUUUAAAUUUUUGGGUAAAUUCUUAUACUCAAUCUGUUGUUGAGCCUUGGGCGCACAGGGGAGGCCCUGUCCGUUCGGCGUCUGUUCACCGCGCCCGAACCGUGCCAAAUAGGUAGGGGUUUCGGGGCGGGGCCGUGACAAACCUGUAAGGAUUUUGGCUAGCGAGGUGAAGAAGCUUCGGAAUCGUGAUAUUCCGUAUGUGAGGGUUCUUUGGAGCAACCACGAUGAGCGGGAGGCUACGUGGGAGUUGGAGAGCACACUGCAGGAGCGCUAUCCCCAUCUUUUUCAGAUGGAGUCUUGAGGUACUUUGCUUUUUAGUUUUGCGGACGAAACUCCUUUUUAGGAGCGGUGAAUGUAACACACUGAACUUUAGCAAAUUGCAAGGUUCGAGUGUUUGAUCUGUAUUCUGAGCUUUUCCAGGUAUUCUGGAGGGUCGUAGAUGAUGUUCCGACCUAUUACUUGCAUCCCGAGGAGCAAGGUUAAAAUCUUAACACCAAACCUCUAAAGUGCAGGAAAUUGGGCUGCUCUCGGGUUUGCCUUUGCAGGGCAGAGUACCGGUACUGACUUGACCUGGUACCGGAAUUGGACCUGGUACCGGUACUGCAUCGGGGUAGUACCGGUACCCAGUGCAUUUGUUCGCCAACCCGAGGCUCGGGUUUGCACAGUCUGUAGCAAUUCUAUUUAACCCCCCAACAGCCUUUAGAGAGCUCUUUUAAGCCCUAAACCGUGGAGAGCCCAAGUAGAGCUCCUCUUCCUUGAUUUUCUCUCAUUUCUUGAGGAUUUUGCUUGGUUUGAUCUCCUCUCUUUGCUCCUUUUUGCUUCAUGUUGGAUUUCCACCAUUGGAGAAGCUUUGGAUUGGUGAUUGGAGCUUGUUAGAGGAAGGAUCUUCAACCCUAGCACCUUUCAAGUUUAGUUUGGAGCUUGUGAAGAGGUUGGUACCUUAGAUCUUCCCUUUAGAUCAAGUUUCUUGUGAAUUUUGAGAUAAAACCCUAGAAUGAAAAAACUAGAGUUUAUUUGGGAAUUUUUGAUUUGGGGCUUUUAGAGCUCAAUUGAUUGGUUUUGAACCUUCUUAGAUUAGAUUAGAAAUGCUCUAGCCUCCAUUUGGGAUUUAAGAGGGUUUUUCCAACAUUUAGGUGAGUUUUUGCCAUUUUCUUGGGUUGGUUAAAGAUGAAUACUUUGGGUGUUCAUUCGUUUCGUUUAACCCCCUUAGAAUUUUCUUUAGGGAGCUAGGAGACUUGUGGGCACCUUCGUUCGCACAAACGAAAGGGUUGCAAGGAGUUCUUGGUGGGUUUGACCUCACCGAAAUGGGUGGACUCCCCUUAUGCUUUAUUCUUUGUUGUAAAAAAAAAAUUCAUGCAUAUUUAUGCUAGAUAGGGCAUAAAUGAAUUUUAGAAUGAGUAAAAUGCAUAUGCUAUGUAUUAUGGCAUUUCCUCCCUAUGUAGUAGUGAGAUGUGUAUGUAGUACUCAUGCUAGAGUGUGGCACUUUCUUGAUAUGUUAGCAAACAUGUUAGAUGCGUUGAAAUGACAAGCUUUUACAUGUUUGAGAACAAUAGACAUAUGCUAAACAUAGAGAUUAUAUAAUGUCAUGAAGACGCAUUGGACUUGGAAAAUACAUUGCCAUAGAGAAUCGUAAUGUCAUAAAGUGGCAUUAGAUUAGUAAACGGUUGAACCUUUACAUUGUGAUAUAGAACUAGACCUUUAGAGUUGCUAGUAUUAUACCAUGUUGAGAUAUGAUGACCGAGUACUUGAGAUGAUGAUUACGCUUGUUUGCUAUUUGUGCUCAUUCGCACAUGCUUGUGAGGGUCGCUCCCCACAAGCCGGCACUCCGGAGUUGGCCUACGCGACAUAUGCUCGCCCGUGCGGGAUUGAGGGCCUACUGGGUCACCGUGGGAUAGUCACAUUCCUAGAAAAAUGCUGGACUACCCGGGGCCAUUAGGCGACACAAGCCAUACUACACUCGUGUAGGUCCUAUAUUGAAAAUGGAAAAUGACAUAGAAAUAACUAAGUGACAUUUACUACUUGAUAGUAGGUAUUGGUUGGGCAUAUUAUUACACUAGUUGGAUAUAGUGGUAUAUUGGUGAACCAUGCUUGGUGCAUAUUUAUAUUCAUGAUGGUUAUGUUUAGAGCAUACUAGUAUACCCCUUGGAUGUAUUCGAUCAUAAUAAAUUAGUAACUUUUCAAGCUUAAUAUCAUGCUAAACAUGAGGCAUAGUAACUUAGCCAAGUUAAUUGUUGUAUUUCAAUACUUGUUAUUUAGUAUUGUUCUUUUGCCUCUUUAGCCUAGUGGAGUAUUUCGCUGAGGUCAGCGGUGUGUCCACUGGGAACUAUUGAUUAAUAGUUCUCACGCCCUCUGUUUUGUUGUUUUAUUUCAGAGCCUUCCACGCCGGGAGAGGCUCGGGACUGCGGCAAGGGUGUCGCUUCGAGCUAGAUAGCGAGGAGUUCCGCUUUAGGUGGCUCACCUCUCUUUUCGUUUUAUUUUGGAGAGGAUGAGAGUUUUGUAUCUAUAUGUAGAGGCCACCAUUUUUGGAUAUUUAGUACUUGUACUUGGACUUAUGUUGUUCCACUUUAUGAUUUAUUUACUUGGUUUAGUUCUUUUUAUUCCACUUGCUGCUAGAAUUUAGUUGAAAUCUUGCUCUGAUAUCUCUAGAUGCUUAUUAUCGUUGCUUUAAUUAUCGCAUUGUUGUAGACGCCUUAUAUGUUGUAGGCAUAUGGCGGGUCUGGACACGCACCGGGCGGGCUUCGGCUGGGUCCCUGGGCGUGACAUAAGUACUUAUCCUCACUUCUUAAGACGCGAGUAAUGGGUCGGAACAUAGUCAACGACCCUCUAGAAAACUUGGAAAAGCUCAAAACACUAAUCAAACACCCGAAUCUUACAAUUUGCUAAAGUUCAGUGUGUUAUAGAAAUAGUCGAAUUUCUCUUUAUGUCUUUGUCACCAUAUUGAUCAUGUAUGCGUAUGUAUAGAAUGAUGCAUUGUAGGGUUAAAUGGCAAUAUGUUGGAACUUCUUGCAUGCUUUUAAUGUAAAAAUGUACAUGAAUUAAGAAUGGAACCUUGCACACAUGAGAACUUUAUUAUCACGCCCCAAUCCCCGCCAAUUUGGUCGAGUUCGGGUCACGUCAACAGACGCCAAACGGACAGAGCCUCCCCUGUCCGCCCAAGGCUCUAACAACAUGUAUAAAUAAGCAAUCAACAAGGGAUUUGCAUAUAUAAUACAAGGCUUGUACGAGGGCAAGCAAUAACGGAGGCGAAAGCUCUAAGCUAAAUAUACAACAUACAUGAUAUUUGAUUAAAUUUAAACCAAAUACAAGUAAGUAAAACUAUUACAUUCCAUUCAUCCAUCAUAUCUUUUUACAUUUAGCCAUCCACCAAUUACAUGAUUGUUUACAACUUUACAUCUAUAAGUCAACAAAAGAAGUUGAUACAUGUAGAUAUAGGAAUGACGACAAAAUGCAAAAUAUCUCUGGUGGCCGCUUCCUACGGCGCUAGACCCUUGCCUCGGUCCUCCGCCGCCCCGCUCGUGCUAGGACCUGUAGGGUUAGUGGUGUGAGAACUAAACAAAGUUCCCAGUGGGUUCGGCAUCUGACCCCGCCGACUUACCCACUAGGUCCAUCCAGGCAUAAGUAUUUCAAGGAAAGAAAAGUAACCAGUACUAAUGCAUCUAAUACUAUGCCUGCAGAAGAAUGUCAGUGGAUACAUAUACUCAAUGCUAUAAUAGAAAUGCAUGCAUGCUCAAAUCAUAAAUAAGCUUUGGCUCAUUACCCAAUCUUACCGGUUAACCUUGUUAACCCGAAUAACUCACAACCCAAAAUCCCUUAAUAACGGGGGACUCAAACCUCCCUAAGGGACCGUCCUCUGGGGGGACUUUACCACGCCCAGUGGUGACCAACUCCGGAGCGCACCGCCCGAGGGGGAGCGACCUUCCCUCAAGCCAAGACGUAUCGUGAGUAUCGAUCCAAUCCUCACUUGAGGAUUCAUAGCCACUAGUCACAAUGCCGGUGUCAUGAUAGGUCUUUACCUAUUCAUUUUGGCCACCUCUAGGCUAUACCUGUGAUGAUGCCAUAAUUGGUUAAACUAUGUUUAACAGUUCAUCUCUCAAUGCCAAUCUUAUUUCUAUGUCAAUGUCCUCUUUGUUUUCUAUUGUCCAAGUCCAAACCUCAUAUUCACACAACUUGAGGGUCCUACCACACAUGUUCCAUUUUUGGUUCUACCAUUCUCUAUGUUAAACUACGUUAUAAGCAUAUAAAUGAAAUCGAACCAAGUUUCACAUGUAUCUACCCUACUAUGCAUGAAUGGUUACAUAUAUAUAUGCUCAAUAAAAGGAAAAUAGACAUAGAAGGGAAUCCAACGAUUCCGGCGUGCACCCCCCACCUUGUGAGGUAUAAGAAAGCUAUUCCGAUGAUUUCCACGCUCAACCGAUCGCUACUCCGCGAUCCACAACCCUAAAAUAGAGCCAAAUUAGGCCCAUUGUAUAUAACCCAUACUCUAACAUUUUCGUUACGUCAAACGAAGUUGUCCCACGCGUUUAGAACACCUCCAAUUAGGUUUCUACGAGGUCAAUUUGUCCACGAAAAACCCUAGGGCAAAAGCCCCAAUUUCCAAACUCUAACAAUGCCAUUUAAGGUUUCCCCUUGGAUUGAUCUCAUUGCUAAGCAAAAGGUAGCUUAGAAUCAUUUAGGAAGCAUUCUAAUAAGGUUUCCAAGCUUUUGGAACCAAUCCUAGGGCUUCUAACCCAACUUCCAAGGGUUCACCACCAUGAGAGCACCUUGAGCUCUCAUAGGUUCCAUUGGAGUUCAAGGCUCUUUAAAGAGGGUUCCCAAAACCUCUAAGGAGCAACCCAAAACUCCAAAUCUUUAGGGAUCAAAACCAAACCCUAGACUCAUUUAUACCAAAAACUCACCUCUAGCCCAAGCUCCUCCAAGAUCCUUCUUGUAGGAGAGCUUGUAGAAUCCACCAAAGCCUCCAAAUCCACCUUCUCCCUGCUUCUUCUUCUUCUUCUUCUUCUCCAAGCUCUAGUGCAAGAGUUUUAGAGAGAGAAAGAGAGAAAAUGAGAGAGGGGGAGAGAAAUGGUUGUGGGAGAGAGGGGGACAACUAUAUAAAGUGUUGUGACAAUUGCACUUAAGCCCCUCCACUUGUUUCAUAGUGCACUGCCCAGACUGGGCGAUUUUCGCUGUCGGGGACUGGUCUCCCCGACCAGGGACCGGUUCCCAAACGAUGGGUUUCCAGGACUUAGCCAAAUUUUUCGGUUUUUGGCUGGCUGCGCAGCGAGGGACCGAUCUCUCCUUCAGGGACCGGUCUCCUGAGGACCGGUCUCACAGCCAGGGACCAGGAUGCCUCAGGAUUCCUGGCAGGCUACGCGUACGGGGACCGGUCUCUCCUUCAGGGACCUGGUCUCCGAGAGCACAAAAUCUGGGACUUAGCGAGAUUUUGAAUUCACUCUCUCUCGGGUCCCUUUGUACCAUAUAUAGGCUCCAAUGCACUUAGGACCUAUACCCACUCGAUCCACUCCGCGUCCCGCUCGUUUUGAAGAAACUCGGCACGAUUUACGAGGGAUGUGGUAUGUUACAUUUAUAAUGUAAUAACUAAGAUGUGAAGCAAUUGACAAUGUAGUAAACAUGAUGACAUUAUACUAAAAUAUUGAAUAGCACCUAGGAACAUUGAAUGCUACCGAGAAUCGGUAACACACGCAUGUUUAUUGCAUUAGUUGGCAUGGUACCUCAACUGUUACGAGGAUCUGAUCAUACCGCACAUGUAUUGUGAUAGUGCUUGAAGGUAGUCGCUCACCUCAGGAGCGGUGAGAGACUUUCGGAGUUGGUCAUCAACUAGGCGAAUAGCAGGAUCAAUGCUUCCCGCGCAGACGUCCCAUCGGAGAGUUGUAUGAGAAUUAGCUGCCCGAACUGAAUAAGGAUUUGUUGGGUGAAUUCAGCUAACAUGCUAUGGAGUACUAGCCAAGAGAUGGGUUAUGGCCAUCGGACAUGACAUGCAUCAUGACAUCCUGAUAUUAUGUUCCAUCGUAGUUUCUUGUUACAGCGAGGCAUAGUAUCUUUUAUAGUUAUGUACGAUUGUUUAUCUGUCUAUCUUCUUCUACUUAUGCCUGGAUUAGAUCUGAUGGGAAAGUCGGCGGAGUCCGGCGACCGCACUGCACUAGGUUAAACGUACCGGAUUUUAAUAUAAAAGUAAGUGUAAAUAAAAAAAUAGUGUAAGAUACUACUUUUAUUGGAUUUAAAGAAGUAAAAUAUAAGCCGAAAACGACUUGUGCUGAAAUCAGAACGGAAACAGAAAAUUUAGAAUUUUCUGUAAGGAACGGGGCUGUCAUUUUAGCAAAAAAUUCACAGUGUCAGAAAAUUAUGAGAACGUGGGAGUAUGUCGGAAUUAUUUUUAUGAGGCUAGAUUUAAAAUUUUAUGUCAUUCCGACACCUGAAAAAUGAAAAAUAAAAUUCGACUGCUAUCUGCUAGAGAUUUUGGGUCGGUAGAGCUUUCGAUGAUCAAAAGUGGUCGAAACUGAGAAGUUAGGAUAUCGUUCUUCUUAUUAAGUAAAAUCGAGCCUAACUGUUAAAUUUGAGCGCAAACGGACAUUUAGAAGGGCUCUGGCGAAAAGGAAUAGAUUUUGAACUAUUGAACUGAUAAUUGUAAUAGUGUUUUGGGGGCCUAUAUAUGUAAACCCACACACUCUCUCUCCCUGAUUUUAUCCAACCCGAGAGAAGCUUGGAGAGAGCUUCUCUCUCUCUCUCUUUCUCUCUUUCUCUAUAGCUCACAUCUCUCCCUUCUCCUGUAAUACCACUCGAGCGCCACACCGAAAAGAGAAUUAAUUGAGAGAAAAAUUGGAGAUUGAGCUUGAAUACUCGAAGAGGAAGCUUGGAGCUCUCUAAUGGUGGACUUUAGCUGGAGAGCUAUGUGGUCAAGGUGAGGUUUGUGAUUUGGAGUUAGGGUUUGUAUUAAACCUAUAACAAUAGUGUAUUUGGGGUUUCUGAGAUACAUUCUAAACAAGAUUGAGUAGAGGUUUACAUAGAAAAUUUUUUUAGUAUUCUUGGGAGAUUAGGGAAACUAGGCUGGAUAUUUAGGGCUAUUUGUCUAUAAGGGAUUGAAACCAAUUGACCUGUAGAGAAGAUCUUAAUUCGAAGGAUAAUGUCGAUGCGAGGACAAACUCGUUUUGAAUAUACGUUGAGGGUUACUGGCGUCCGAUUGAGAGAUUUGCGCGAAAUUUGUUCCUAAGGGCUUUGGUCGGACGAAUCGUCAUCGGAAAAUUGAAUUGGCUGAUUGGAAAUCCUAGCAUGGUAGAAGACAUGUGCGGUGGUGCUCUCCGGAAUGGUUGAAUUUCCCCUAAUGUUUGAUUCCCUUGUUUUAAGCAUAUAUAUAGUAGUAUAAGAUAUAUUAUAUAUAUAAUAACAUGAGAUAUAUAUUAUAUAACAGUACAUAUAUAAUUAUACAUACAUAUAUAUAUAUAUACAUACAUAUAUAUAUAUAUACAAGAUUGUGUAGGCGUCAUUGACUUCUUGCAAGAAGUAGGUCCAUCUAGAGGUAAUGGUGUUGGGUGGAUUUAUUGUUAUGGUGUUGGGUGGAUUUAUUCUAUCAAAAGGUAAUUUACAAUUCGACAGUUAUUGGCACUUUUAUCUCAAUAUUUGAUUUAAUCAUCUCUUUCUCUAUUUUUUCGUUCUUUUUCCAAUAGAGGAAGUGAAGAAGCGGUGGAAGGUGGAGAAGGAAGAAGAAGAGAAAGAGAAAUGCAACUCUUUCUAUGUUUUUUUCGUUAUUUUUUCGAUAGAGGAAGUGAAGAAGUGGUGGAAGUAGGAGGAGAAAGAAGAAUAGUAAAAAAAUAGUGUAAAUUUUAUCCAAAAAGUGCAACUUUUGUCUAAAGAGUGUAACUCUCAUCCCAAAAAGUGUAAUUUCUGUCUCAAACCGUGCAAUUUUUAUUUAAAAUAAUGUAAAUUUUUUUUAAAACAGUAUAACUUUAUUUUAACAGUGCAAUUUCAUUUUCUUUUUCAUUCUUCGAUGAUUUUUGGUACUUUCUAUAGGAAUUUUUUAUUAUUUAUUAUUAUUCUUUUUUUUUCUCUAUAAUUUUGUUUUGUCACUACCUCUCCUUGGCCCUCUAUCGUAGCUACCGCUCUCGUCGGAAUGUAUCUAUUUUUCUUCCCCUCCCUCGCCGGCUUGCUUCUUGGCCCCGAGAUGCACUUCCUCUUCGUCGCCUGCGGCGGCGGUGGGGAUGGUGGGUUUGUUUGGCGAGUAAAAAAUCUGCUGCAGUAGAGGUGGAGAGCGAAGGAGGAGGAAGAGGACGCGGUACUGUCCUCGUUAUCGUUGCGGAGGGCUACGGAGGUGGUGGAGGAGGGUCGGCCUUAGCGGGAUCGGAGGCGAGGAGGGCGGGGUGCGCGGGCGAGGGUAAAGGCGUGAGGGGCAGAGGCUAGGCAGGCCGUUUCCGCUUCCGCCUCCGCCUCCGCCUCCGCCGCCUUCUUCAGAGAGAAAAGAAAAGAACGCUAGAAAAAAAAGGAGAGAGAAAAAGGUAUAAGGGUAUUUUAGACAGUUCGCUGAAAAUUCGGACCGAAUUUGUAAAAUCUAAAAAUGCGGUUCAGUUUUACAAAAGGUCAAAACUUGUAAAUUUUUUGUGCAAAUUGGCCAAAACAAAAUAAGAUUCAAGAGUUUAUUUAUUAAGAAAAAUGCAAUGGUAAAGGGUCUGCAUACAUUUUCUAAAAUUACUCUUUUUAGGUAAACCGCUGCUUAUGGCGCGUCCGGCUUAUUUUGCUAACGAACACUUCGCGUCCGGAAUGGGAAGCAUACGAUGAGUACCACGAGCACAUUCCUCGCGAUGCCCUUGUAAGAUGACUUCAAUACCCCUUUCAUUGUGUCGAACCUCACCGCCAAAAAUCCGACGCCGUGAAUAGCGGUUCAUGGUCAGCAAAGUAAUUUCACUCCCUCGGCCAUCUGACGUCCACCGGGCUGAAGCCCACUUUCCCAACACAAAGAAACCCCUAGACUUGAAGAAAAUAUCGAAUGAGCCAUCCAACACCGCAAAACUUAUAUCCGGCUGAAUAAGGGUGCUUUCGAUAUUUUUCCAUCCCCGAGGGUACUUUUCCCUGCUGUCUACCCCCCGACGCUUUCGGCGUCAUUUAGCCGGAAGGGGCGCAACGUUCUCGCAAUCCAUGAAACCCUUCUUCUCGGCGUCGUUCUCCAACAAGAGACCGAUCUGUCCAAUUCGGAAGUUAAAAGAGAAAAUUGAUUGACAAAAACACCUAGAGAGAAAACGGGGGAAAAAAGCCCUCGAAUCGCAUGAUCUCAACCCUAAUCCCUCCGAUCCCUUCUUAGAUAUCCAGAUCGGCUUCAACCCCCUAAAACCCUAGCCCUUAUUACUCUCGCGACCGGGGCGGCGGGAUGGGCCGCGGUGGAGGAGGAGCGGCGGCGUCGGCGUCGGCGGCGGCGGGGCCGAACCCGAGCCUGAACGGGAACGCUCCGCCGCCGUUCCUGAGCAAGACGUACGACAUGGUGGACGACCCGGCGACGGACGCGAUCGUGUCGUGGGGCCGCGAAAACAACAGCUUCGUGGUGUGGAACACCCCCGAGUUCGCCCGGGACCUCCUUCCCAAGUACUUCAAGCACAAUAACUUCUCCAGCUUCGUUCGACAGCUCAACACCUACGUACGCGCUCACGCCCCCUCUUACCGAAUCCCUUCCCGCUGUUUCUCUUACCCGUGUUAGGUUGUUUCAGAAUAUUUUUAGCUUAUUUGAUGGUUUUUAUCUGGUUCCGUUGUUUGCAAUUUAGAACAAGGUUGAUGAUUUGAAUAUCGAUUGUGCGCUGGUUUGUAUUAUGGACUGAACGGUGAAUUAAGGGCUAUUACUUAGAUUGUGUUGGUGUGGUCUUUUUUUCUUUUUAUUUUUUUUUGGCGGUAAUAUUAACUGCAUGUAUAAGUAUGCCAAUUGGAAAAGAAGUUAUAGCUAAAUGAACUGGGCAACAGAUAUGUGAAGCUAGAAAGACUGAAAACGCGCUUUUCAUGACCUCUACCUCAUAUGCAUAUUCCGGUCGCAAUACAAGGAUGGAACCCGAUAGCAAUUUGGAGUGACUAUUGUUUGACCUUUGAACUCCUGCUUUUGUGCUUCUUGUUAUUUGAAUUGUUGGACAGACGUUGAUGUGAAUGGUUGGUAAGGAAAUGGGAACUGAAAUUUCUAAUUUGCGGUAUAAGCCAGAAGUCAGAAUUAUCUUACUGUGAGUAGAUGAGGUUUCUUAUUUAUUUUCAAGCCAUCUUGUCAUUGGGGAAAGGGUGCUAUACUAUUCAGUUUAAAUGAUAAUUAAAACUUUAGACCAUUGGCGUGUAACUGACUGCAAAUUUAUGUCUUCAGUUAAGUUUCCUUUGAAGUUUAUUUAUUUUUCUUGAAGUUCUAUUGAAAGUGAUGUUUGAUUUCUUCAUGGGCCUCUCGAACAAGUUAGAUCAGUAACUAGGAAGUAUGUCAUGGUUAAUAGAGGGCUAGGGGCGGAAGGAUUGGAAUUUUGGCGGUGUGAGGGGUGCUUUAUAGGCCUGAAAUACCAACUCCCCACAACCUAACUUUAUUCUAGCGCUAAGAGUGAUUCGCUGUAUGAAUGCUUUAGGAAACCAAGUGGGUCUAUCAAAUAAAUUUUUGUUAAUCAUCUAAUUUAUCAUGUUUUAUCUGCUCUCCUUGAUCUUUUGCUGGUAAGUCUUUCGUAUUCACACCCUUCUAUGUCAUUUAGUCUUUUUCUUAUCCUCUUUGAAAAUUCUCAUUCCCGUCUUUGCAAAUGCUUGUUUCCUUAUUUCUACUUUUCUAGGUCUAAUGGUCUUCAUAGGCAUAGGAAGAAGCCCCAUCCAAUGGAUAUGGCAUUUUAUGUUUUGUAUUUAGUAUCAUAGACCAUUGUAGGUCAUACAACCAUCAUAUAGAAUUUAUCAUUGAAUUUUGGAGAGAUGCUUCCAGCUCAUAGUGUUCUGAUCACGCCUUCAUAUAACCAUAUUCUGAUAUUCUAUAUUCUCGGCGAUCUACCUGUCUUUCUAACUGAUUUAAGAUGCUGAAGCAUGUUUUGGAAAAUUCUUGCUUAUCAUUCUUUUUGAAUUUUCAUACCUUUUUAGGUCUUACUAGAACAUGCUCUCUUUGUAUUUAAUUUUACUUUUAUAUAUCCUGUAAUCUCGCGAUUUAAGGUUUUUUCUCCAUGUCCUAACUUUUUUUUCGUUUGUAUUGUGUUUUCACUUAAACAAAUGCUAUAUAGAAAUGAAACAUUCUCCGAAGUUUCUCUCUAGUUUUAUAACUCUUUAAUAUGCCUUCUCUACCCCGUAACUCGUUAUGUAGUCUGGAUAUCUCUCAUGUUCCUUGCAACAUCUUUGUAGUUGUCAACAAGCCAUAACACUGUUUAACUUCUCUAUAGUGGCUCUGCCAGGCUUCAAAUCAUUACUUUCUAAUAACUAGAUUAUUAAUAUGCUUAAUUACCAUUUCUAGUGUUGCAUUAUAGGCUACUAGGUACUAUUUUUAAUUAUUGUAGAUCAUUGAAGUUCUUGAAAGUUAGUGAUUCAGUCCUAACCAAGGUUUAAAGUGCCGCCUCAUGCCGUACGACACGGGGCAGAAGGUGGCACGGUACGGGGGGGUCUCGGAACCCUCUCUGUACCGUAGCACGCAGCACCAUGCCGCACACGAGACAGAGCAGCAUAGUGUAGCGUGCCAUGGCACAGUGUCGUGCCGGCACUGCUAUUUUGUUUUUGUUUUUUUUCCUUUUGUUUUUUUUUUCUUUUUGUUUUGUUCUUUGGGAUAUCCAAAGCAUUCUGAGCACUCCACGCCCCUCCAAAAACAUUGUAAAUUGAAAAUUUACUUAUUAGGUAAGUCAAAAAAAUUAUAAUUUAAUUUUCUUUGUUUAUCAAUAUACGGACAAAAGAUUUGUCCAAGUCCUCCGCUUCCACCAUAGAUAUCUAUUUUUUUUUCAUAAAUUAUUUUAUCAAAAUUUGUCGCAUCAUGAAAUUUUUGACGAAUUAAGGGAACAAAAUUGAACUCAAUAAACAAAUUUUGAGCCACAUUAAACAUAAAAUUUUAUUUUUGCGCUAGAAGAUUGAAAAUAUUGAUAAAAUUAAAAACUAAAUUAAAUCAAUUGAUCUUAAAUUUAUUUAAUUUAUUUGUCAUAUAAUUUAUUGCUUAAUUUUUUUAAUAGAUCUACUAAUUUUUUUGAAAAAAAAAUUUAAAAAAUAAUUUUUGUCAAAUACUUUUUAAAAUAAUUUUUUCAAAUGCUUUUUAAAAUUAUUUUUUUGUAUUUUAUAAAAGAAAUAUUGUAAUAUGAUCAAAAGAAAAAAAGAAAAAAAGAUGUCUUUGCAUUUUAAAAAUUCUAACCUGUAAAACUUUCUAUUCUGCAUCAGGUAUAAUUGUAUUUUACAUACAAAAAAUCUUACAAAUAUGUUAAUUGAUGAGUAUAGUAAGCUAUACAUGGCAAAUAUUCAUAAUUAUUAGAUUAAAUCUUUCAAAAUAACAUUAUAAGAGUUUAUUGGAGCCAAAAAAAUUGAAAUAAGUCCAUGCCAAACCGUGCAAAUAGGAGAUCGUGCGUAUUUAUCGGCACGCAAGCGUACCAUGUGUCGGCACGCAAGCGUGCCGAUGCCGUACCGUGCCAGGUAGACAGCGGCACGCCCCUGUGCUACGGCACUUUAAACCUUGGUCCUAACUUCAUCUACAGUAAACACUUUGAUGAACUUCCUUACACAAAUUAGUUUUGUCACGCCCCGAGCCCGAUCCUUUUGGCCGGUUCGAGCGCGUCGAACAGACGUCGAACGGACAGAGCCUCCCCUGUCCGCCCAAGGCUCAACAACAAGUAUCAAUAGAGUAAAAAUUGUAUAAGUGGAAGCAUAUACAACGGCUUGCACGAGGGCAAGCAAUGGCCAAUGUGAAAGUACUAAACUAACAACAACAAGUAAUAUGAUUAAUUUUAAAUCACAUACAUGUAUACUACUUAUCAAGUUCUAUUACAGCUCUUUCAUCAUUUCUUUUUACAUCUCAUAUCUUCAAAAUAUAACAUUGAUAUUAAAUAAAUUCUUUUACAUCAUUCAUGUCCUUUCAUUUAACAACUAUAAUCAUCGAAAUAUAAAAGAUGAUAUAUCAAAAGGGUAUGCAACUAUGAAAUAAAAUAUCUCGGGCGGUCUCUACCUAGGGCGCGAUGCCCUUACCGCGGUCGUCUGCCGGCUCGCUCGGUCCCGGCUCUGUGGAAAUAGGGGGUGUGAGAACUACAACAAAGUUUCCAGUGGGUUCGGCAACCAACCACGCCGACUAUCCCACUAGGUCUAAUCAGGCAUAAUAGAAUAGAGGAAAGAAAGUAACCAACUAACAAAUACAACUAAUAUGCCUGAACAAUAUAAAAUGCGAUGCUCGAUAUAAUGCUCAUGAUGAAUGCAGGAUCACAAUUUCUUUACCCAAUCUCUUGGCUAACCCGUAGGUUUCGCCCUCAACAAACUCACCAAUCCAAAAUCCUAAUAACCGGGGAGAUACCAGCUACAACCCGCUAGGACCGUCCUCUGGGGAGAUACCCGCUACAACCCAGUGAUGUCAACUCCAGAGCACAUCGCCCGAGGGGAAGCUACCACCCUCGAGCAAGGACUAAAGGUGAGUACGAUCAAUCCUACAUUGAGGAUUCCAUGUUUAAUCCAUUCCUUAAAUUUAAGGAAGACCAUGCUCAAAUGACCCUUAAUUCUAAGGUUGAAAUGUUAUAAUAUCUCAAUCAUUCUUUUCUUUGGAUUCUUUACCAUCACUUGUGUCAUAUACACUACUAUAUUUUUGGACUCAUGCCACACUUGUUUUCUAAGUGCUAUGUUCUUGUUCUCAUGCCAAAUGCCACACUUGUUUUCUAAGUGUUCUAGACUCAUCAAUGCCACUUGUUAGAUCUAUGUCAUGGUGUCACUUUUGUUCACUAACCCUUCUAGGUUCUUGUCACUUGUCAUGCAUAAAUAGGGUUUGCAAUUUUUACUUUCUUACAAGUACUUCAUACGAAAUUAAAUUCACAAUCAUGCCAUAAAAGCUCACAAUUAACCCUACUAUGCAAUAUGCUCAAUAUAUACAUAUAUGCUCAAACAUGACACUUAGACAUAAAGGGAUUUCCGAAAUCCUUGGAAUGCACCACCCACCUUAGAAAGUUGAGAGGUUGCUACGGUGAAUUUUUUGAAAUUUUUGAAGCUUUACUUUUUCGCCUGCGGCAAAACAAAGCCGAAUUAGGCUUCUUAUCAAUAAAUCCAUCUAAACCUUUUUGUAACGUUAAACGGAGUUGUCCCACGCGUCGGAAAUACCCCUAAUUAGGUUUCUACAAGGUCAAUUUGUUUUAGAAACACUCGGAGGCAAGAACCCCAAAUUUGGUGCCCUAACCAAACCCAUUGCUAAACCCUAGGUUUUGAUCUCUAGAACAAGCAAAAGAGAGCUUGUCUAACCUCUAGAAGCUCAUUUAGAACCAUCCCAACCAUCUCUAGGGCUUAAAAUGCAAACGCUAGAAAUCCCCCAUUAGAGCACCAUGAAGAAAACUAGGGUUUCAUGGUGUUCAUGGCUCUAACAUGCUUCUAAAACCUUUAAGAAGCUCAAAAUUCCAAAACUUAGGGUUUAAAUCCUAACCCUAGAAGAUACCUUGCAAAAACUUACCUCUAGUCCCAAGCUCUACCAAGGCCUUCUUGUUGGAGAGCUUCUAGACCCACCAAAUCCACCAAAAAUCCCUUCUCAAGCUCAUUCUUCUUCUUCUCCAAGCUCUAGAGUUAGCUCUCUAGAGAGAGAGGAGAGAAAGUGAGAGAGAGAGGUGUGAAUGGCUGUAAAGGGAGAGGAGGUUGGGUGUAUAAUGUGUUGUAACAAUUACAACAAGGUCCCUCCACUUUAUUUCCAGUGCACUGCCUAGACUGGGCAUUUUUCGCAGUCAGGGACCGGCCUCCCUGACCUGGGACCGGUCCCCGAGAGCUUCUCCCGCGGACUGCGCAGGCUGCGUGCGAUGCGACCGGUCUCCCUCAAUGGAACCGGUCUCUGGGGACCGGUCUCUCUUCGCAGGGACCGGUUCCCGAGAGCUUGUUUCCCAGGACUUAGCCUAUUUCUCAGCCCCCCCCCCCCGGCUGCCUACGCGUUCGGGGACCGGUCUCUCCCACCAGGAACCGGUUCUCAAGAGCACAAAACCUGCGGUUUGCAGAUUUUGAUUUCCAAAAGCUCUCGAAGAUCCCCAGUAAUGCAUUUUUGCAUUGUUUGACGCCUUCGGCCUCUCCGAAGUGUACCAACCUCGCACUUUGGUCAAUUUGACCAAGGUUCGAAUUUAAUUACCGAGGUUUCGGUAUGUUACAAGUUUGUUUCUAUAUGUCUAAUUUCUGUAGGCAUUGGCAUAUCUUACAUGGAGUACGCACAGUUUGCUGUUUCUUAUUUUAUCUUAAGUGAUAGGCUACUUGCUUUAAGCUUCUGAUAUGCUUAACAAACCUUUCAUGUUUUCUUCUGACAUAAUAUGGAGUUCUUAAAGCUCCAUGCAUAACUGAAAUCUAAUUUUUCUUAUUCUCCUUUGAUCAAAUUUUGAUGUAAUUUGCCUUGAUAUACUUAACAUAUCUCUAACUAUUAUUAGUAUUCUCAUCUCUGAUCAAAUCUGGAUAUAAUCAUCCUUCAAAUAUCUAACAUAGUUCAGGUACAUUCUCUUCGUCCCAUGUUCUUGCUUAAUGAAGUCUUUUGCAUCCUCCAUGUUUUUAAGUUCACAUAUUCCUUAAUAAUCUGGUUCUUUAUUUCAUCUUGAUUUGCUAAGAGUUACUAAUAGGUGAAUCAUUUUAUUCGUCUUGGCCCCCAGGAUCUCAAUAAUCAAACUGUAUAUGCAUAACUUGCUUACCUCUUUCAUCUCUCUACGUUGCCAUUGUAUCACCUCUUUUUCUUUAGUGUUUUGAAGGUACACUGUACACCUAUGUUGUGUUGUGUGCAUCGCUUGGCAUUCCUUGCAGACACAUCUAAUCCUGCCUUGAAGCAUGAAAUAACUCAAUUUAACUCGGCAGUAAUUAAAUUGUUGGUCUCUGAACCUUAUCCUAAGUUUCACUUUAGUCCCCAACCUUUUGAUUAAAAUAUUCCAUUCCUCAAACAUUGUGUAAAUGUGUCAUUAUAGUCCUCGUAAACUCCUGGUAAUGCGGCAAGAAGAAAACCCAUUCUUCCUGAUAUAUAUGUAGUUUUAUGUCAUUUUGUUGUUUAGGUAGUGUUACAUCAUAUUUGAAGUUCAGGUUGGUCUGGGCUGUAUAGAUAAUAGUUUAAUAGUUGGGGCAUCUAUUAUUCUCACAGUGGAAUAUGGAUGCAGUAUAAGUUCAAGUUCCUGCUCCAUCUUCAAAUCUUUUGGUAAAAAUAUGUACUUAGUGUUUGUUGAAAACACAAAGAAAUCCUAGAAUAUUUAAUUCAAAUGCUCUAAAUGUCUUUGGGGAAAAUUACAAACUUAUUUUUAGGAAGGAAAUAAUUCUAUCGUCCUAUUCAAUUAGCAUCAGUGUGAUGGUCGUAUUGUUUUAUUGAAUAGCAGUUGUAAGAUAGCUGAAGUUACUUAAGAGCUUGUUUGGUAAUUCUUUUUAAUUCUUUAUUUUUUAUCAUUUGGAGUAUAAGUUAUUAGUUCAGGCUAAAGGGACAUCAGAUAAUAUUAUCUAGGGUAAUUAUUCUCUUGCAGUACUCAACCCUGUUUGGUUAUGGAUAUGCAUAGUCUCAUGUGAAAUAAUUGUUGGUUUGGUAUUUUCACAAGCUGCUUAUAAGUUACGUGCAAUUUAUAGAGGCAUCAAAUGGUAAAAAUAAAUAAAUAAAUAAAUAAAAUCAGUUAUUCCUUUGCGAAGCUCUCUCAACCCCGUUUGGUUAUGGACAGCGUAGUUUGAUAUGAAAUAAUUAUAGUUUUGUAUCUUCAUGUGCUGCUUAUAACUUAUAUGUUCCCACGAAGGUAUCAAAUGUUAAAAAUAUAUGUAAUAAAAUCAUCAAAUGUUAAAAAUAAAUAAAUAUAAUAAAAUAAAGAAGAAGAAGGAGGCAUCAAAUAUUAAAAUAAAUAAAUAACUUUAAUAAAAUGGUGCUUAAAAAAGUGCGCCUUAAGUGCGCGCCUUAGCGCUAGGCUUAUUGGCCAGUGCCUAAGCAGCCCCUUGGCGGGCGAUGUUGCCUAGGCGUGCGCCUAGGCAGCCUAGCCGCACACCUAGAGCUAGGUGCAAGGUGCGCUCAAGGCGUGCCUUCUUCAUAUUUGUCAUAAUGGGUUUGGAUUUAGAUCUAUAUGCUCUAAUGGGCUUGGAUCCAUAUUUUUUUUGUCUAAUGGGUUAAAACACCUAAAAAUAAAUCCGAAAUCCUAAACUAACAUAAUCUAAACCCUAAACAAUCAUCAAAUGACAAAUUUGACGAAGGGAGGAGUAUUUUUCAUCAAGUGAUGAAAUGAUGAUUGAUGAUUGAUGAUUGAGAAAUGAGGACUAAUUAACAUUUCUAGUGUGAUGUAUUUUGGCUUGGAGUCUUGAAUACUUAGCUUUCAUAUGAUGCCCUUUUAAUAAUCUUUGGCUUGAAACUUUAAACUUUUAUGCAUGUUACUUUUUUAUUGAUCUUGUGCUUAUAAUUAUAUGUUUUUCGCAUCAAAGUUUUCUAUAUGUUUGUGAAUUACUAGUUAUCUUUAUGCUGACCUUUAUUUGGAGAUAAAGGUAAUUUGUUCUUUACUUUUAUCUGUGUAAUUAUGUUUUUCUAAAAAAAUAUCAUAAUGUUGCUUGGCUUCUUUUCUUUUCUUCAUUUUUUUCUUUCGAAAACGUGGUUAUUUGGUUAGCUAUAGAAUAUUUAUUAUGAUAAUAUGAUUUACAGAGUAUUUAGUGCUACUUAAUAAUUAUUGGAAAGUAUAAUGAAGAAUAUGUUGGUUAUUUUAAAAUUCUAUGAAAGUGUGUGCCCUACCUCUCUCAGGCACGCGCCUGUGCCUUGCUCCUUGCUCCUUGCUCCUAAGCUCUAACAGCCCUUUGUGCCUACGUGCGCCUUGGGCCUUUAAAUACCGUAAUAAAAUAAACAAGAAUAAGACAAACAAGGCUGUUGAUCGAUUGGUUUCAUCAAACAAGGCAAACAAAGCUGUUGAUCGACCAAUUUCAUCAAACAAGGCUGUUGAUUGACCAGUUUCAUCAGAUAAGAAACAAACAAGGUUGUUGAUCUACCAUUUUCGUCAAACAAGGCAAACAAUCCUACCAGUUUCAUCAAACAACCAAACAAGGCAGUUGACCGGCCAGUUUCAUUAGAAACAAAUAAGGGUGUUAAUCGACUAGUUUCAUGAAACAAGGUUAUUGCUGUUGAUCGAGUAGUUUCAUCAAGGGAGAAGAAGAAGAAACAAACAAGGCUGUUGAUCAGUUACUGUUGUCGAUCAGUUAGUGUUGUCGGAUAGGAUAAGUUAAGGAGAAAGUCAUCGAAGUGUUGGGAUGUUAUUGGAGAGGAGGGUCACUGGUGAAGAAUGUUGUCUAAUUGAUUCUUGCUAGCAAAAUGCUGUUGAGGUGGAUUGUAGAGAUACAAUAGCCACUGGUGCUAUCAAUGAUAGAUCAUGAUGGUAGACGCCUGACAUUCCCUCUUCUUUGGCAUCAACAUAGUUUUCUCUAGGUUAACAAUUAGAUCCACAUUGAUGGUUACAUGUUAACCGAUUUAAUGUUUGGCUGAUGACUUAAACAACAUAAAAAGGCGAAAUGUUAACCGGGUGACUUUGUACCCCCUCUAAAUGCCAUAACAAACUUGCUUGAAGGUCCUUAAGCAGAAGAAACACGAACUUUGAAAUUUGUGCUUGUAGUUUGAGGAAAAAUAGAAGAACAACAAACCUCCACUCUAGAUUCUCUUUGUUGGUUUCUUGAGAAUUGCCUUUUCUUUGAAAAGGCAUUGUUCCAUUUUUAUCUAUGACUAACUUCGUAAGUACACUAUCAGGCAGUUGAGCUAUUAUUAGGUGUUCAUCGCUGAUUUUCCAUAUGAAUGGAACAUCCUCUAGCUUAUCAAAGUGCAUUUGUCUGGAUUCUAGUAUGAAAGUUCUGAUGUUCUCCGAAAUUUUCCUUCUUUUUGUUGGUUCUGGUGACUUCAAUAACUCAUAUAGGCCAUUCUUGAUAUCUGAGAUUUUCAUAUUUCUGCGAUGGUGGAGACAUUUGAAAUUGCAACUAAUUGAUGAUCAUUUGUGCUACAUGAUAGUAAAAAAAAAAUUAGUACUUCACAACUAGAAUUUUUCAAGCUAUUUUGGUUAUUUUCAACCGUAACCCUCUUUUUUUAAGUAAAAAAAUACUUGAAAGAGUUUAAAAUCUGAGUUUUGAGUAAUAUGCUCCUGAACAACAUGCUAUGAUACAUCCUUCUACUUCUACCUGGACAGCAACCAGAUUUAAUUAAAAACGUACAAAACUUACCUGAGCUAUAGACCAUUUUGAGUUGGUUGCCCAACCUUUCAAAAUUUUGAUUUUAGUACCCAGCCUUUCAUUUUUUUUGAUUUGAGUCAGUAAACGCUAUUUUGACUUCAAAAUUUGAAUAUAUCAUUUAUCUUGACAGGUUUAGUUAGUAUACUUCAUAGAAUUCUCGCAACUAUAUAUUUAUUAAUGUACGUAAUUAACUUAAAUUUGAAGUCAAAGUACUGUUGACUGACUCAAAUGGUCCAUCAAAUGAAUUAAAAGGUUCGGUAGUAAAAUCAAAAUUUUGAAAGGUUGACCUGUUGAUUCAAAUGGUCCAUCAUUCGGGUGAGUUUUUUACGUUUUUUACCUUCUUUUUUGUCCUUUAUUCAAAUACAAUCUGGAAAUCUUUUCUUGAUUCGUAUUAACUCGUUUAUUUCGAUGCUUAUUUAUAUAUUUACGUUGCUGAUCUUUUGCUUCAGGGAUUUAGGAAAGUCGAUCCCGAUAGAUGGGAAUUUGCAAACGAGAGCUUCUUAAGAGGCCAAAAGCAUCUUCUGAAAACCAUCAAUCGGCGAAAAUCAUCCCAUCCACACAAUGAAACCCCUCAGCCCAAAUCUCAGACUGCUGCCUGUGUUGAGGUGGGGAAAUUCGGCCUCGAGGAAGAGAUCGAAAGGCUCAAGAGGGACAAAAACAUCCUCAUGCAAGAGCUUGUUAGACUCAGACAGCAACAACAAGCCACUGAUCAGCAGUUACACACCCUCGGAAACCGACUACAAGGGAUGGAACAGCGGCAGCAACAAAUGAUGUCCUUCCUAGCCAAGGCCAUGCAGAGCCCUGGUUUCUUAGCCCAGUUCAUGCAACAAAACGAUAGUAAUAAACGGAUUGCCGCUGCCAGCAAGAAACGGAGGUUGCCUAAGCAAGAAGCCGGUUUGGAUGCCGGAAGCAAUUCUCCUGAUGGCCAGAUUGUUAAAUACCAGCCAAUGAUCAAUGAAGCGGCGAAGGCAAUGCUGAGGCAGAUACUUAAGCUGGACGGGUCUUCUCCGCCUAGAUUGGAACAGUUGAGCAACUCUGACAAUUUCUCACUGGAGAAUUUCAUGCCUCCGUCUGAGGCAACUACUUUUGAUAGCACUUCUUCGAAUAGAAAUUCCGGAGUAACCCUUGCAGAGGUCCCUUCUGGAUUGAGUGUACCGUACGUAACAGCAAGCACUGGAUUUUCUGCAAUCUGCUCGUCUUCGGCUGCUUCAGAAAUUCAAUCUCCCAUUGGUUUAUCUGAUAAUAAGAAUUCAUCAGAAGAGCUCAGAGAUAUGGAUGUUCUAUCAUCAGUUCCCGAAACCAUCCCUUCUCCUAGCCCUACUGAUAUGAGUGUUCCAGAAUUUUCUGAAUUACAGGAUAUAGUUUCGGAGGACAGUGUUGUAAAUAUUCCAGGGGAGAGCUUCGUCGGUGCGUACAUAAACCCUAUUGCAGAAGUUGAGGCCGAUAAUGCUGUACCAAUUGAGACAGAUGAUAUUUUGUAUGGCGAUGAUGAGCAGAAGCUUCCGGGAAUUAUUGACACUUUCUGGGAGCAGUUUCUUGCGAGUAGUCCAAUUUCGAGUGAGGCGGUGGAGGAGGUUGAGUUGAGCGGGCAGGAAGGAAAGGCGGUGAUGCAGCAGAGACCUCAGAAUAGUAAUAAUGGGUGGGACAGUGCGCGGAACAUGGAGAAUCUCACUGAACAGAUGGGGCUUCUUUCCUCGGACCGCAAAGGUUGAUACUGUAAAACCUCUACGGUUAGAAAAUGUUUCAGUUUCUUCAAUGCGAGCCUAUGUGACAGUUGUACAUAUAAAGAGGAUUUCAUUGUUGUCUUCCUUUUUGGAGCUUAAUCAGCCUUUAAUUGAAACGAAGUGAUAUAUUGAAGGGUUAAUUAACAGAAUUUGUCCGUCAAGUUUGGUCCGGGUUCAAUUUUAUUCUCAUGGUUUCAAUUGAAGCAAUUUUGUGGUUUCAAUCGAAACAAUUUUGUCCAUGAAUUUUGACUUAAUUUCAUUUAUCAGAGUUCCAGUUUCAACCCUAAAUGUCGGUUUCAAUUUCGUCCCUACAGUUUGACCCCCAGAAUCCAGUAUUGUUCUUGGUGCUGAGUUCAACAAUGGAAAGUCUUGUCAUUGUGCUGACAUGGAACUUGAGUAAAAGGACUCGAUUUUAUGCUUAUGCGGGACAAACUUCACGGACUGGAUUGUAACAAAUCAAAGGAAAACAAAAUUGAAAUUGAUUGAACUUCAGGGACCAAAUUUGCUGUUAAACCUAUGUUACAAUAAGGUAAAUUGCAACUUUGUUCGUUAACGUUAUUUUGUUGUGCAACAGUUGCAUUAUGUUCUUCUCCGGGUCUGUCAUCUUGUCAGUUUCGUGCAAUUUAGUAGUACGUUAGCAGCAAGGUCUUUUUUGGCAAAUUUGUACUUGAAUCAUUCCUUCGAUGCCUUUGGAUUGUCUGUUUGGAAACAUACUUUCUUUGUAGUUUGAGAAUGAAGAAUCUUAUGCCUGCUAUGCCGUGGCACUUGGAAUACCUGUGGCUACGAACCUGUCUUUGAACUGGGGAUCAAUUUGUGUCUAUUUUGGUUUUUCUUUUAGAAUAGUUCUUUUAUGGCCAAUUUGCAUUAAAAUUUAUUCGUUUUGAGAUUUUACAAAAGUAGGCCACCAUUUUAAAUUUUGCGGAGUUGAUACAGAUUUUCAAAAAACUGAUCAAAAUAUUCUUAUUUCUUUUUAUCUCUUUUUUUUUUUUAUUUUUUUCUCCCGUUCAUUUCUUUUUAUUCUCUCCGAAGAGGGCGGCGGAGGCAGAAGUGGUCCACCUUGCUUCUGCCCCGUGCGGCCACACCCACGCCUGCGCCUGCGCCUGCGCAGCCCUUGACCUCCUCGCCAUUGACCCUGUCGAGGCCGUGCCAUGACCACUUGUUUUUUCUCUUCAACCCUCCUUCACCGCCUCCGCAACAAUGACGAGGACGACACCACGUCCUCUUCCUCUGCCUCCGCUCUCCAUCUCCACUGCAGCAGAUUUUUCACCCAUCAAAUCCACUUCUGGGAACCUGCUGUCCUCACCACUUCUACUGAUGACGAAGAGGAAGCGCUUCUCAGCGCCGAGAAGCUCGCCGGUGAGGGAAGGGGCACGCGGCCCACCGCCCCUACUUAGGGUCGGUGACGAGCGAGGUGGAGAUGGAGGAGUGCGCAAUGACGCUGGAGUAGAGGUGAAGUAUUUCUAAUCAAGUACUUUUGUUUACUUAAAAUAAAAAAAAAUUAACUAAAAGUCAAAAAUUAGAGAAUAAAGAAGAAUGACAAGAGAAGAAGGAAGAAGAAAAUGAAGUUGUACUGCUUUAGAAGAACUUUGCGCUAUUAUAGAUGUAAUUAAGUUGUACUCUUUGAGCUAUAAAUUGCACCCUUUAAGAUGAAAGUUACACUAAAAUAAAAAUUGUACUCUUUGGGAGAUGUACACUGUUUUUCCUCCUCCUCCUCCUCCUCCUCCUCCUCCUCCUUUCCCUCCGCUUCCUCAUGCUUCUUCUAUGCCCAACUUCUCUCCGCCCUCCAUUUUCAUCUCCAUUUCUCCUUAUGCUUCUUCUACACCCAACUUUUCUCCGCCCUCCAUUUUCACCUUCACUGUAAUAUCUCUGAUCAAAUAUUUUUGUUUACUAAAAUAAAAAAAAAAUUAAAGGCCAAAACUAGAGAAUAAGAAAGAAGAACUAGAGAAGAAAGAAGAUAAAGAUGAAAUUAUACUGUUAAGAUAAAGUUACACUAUUUUAAAAGAACGUUGCAUUGUUAUAGACGUAAGUUACAUUCUUUGAUAUAUAAACUGUACUCUUUAAGAUAAAAGUUAUACUAUUAAAACGAAAGUUGCACCAUUUGGAAGAUAAUUAUACUAUUUCUUCUCAUUCUCCUUCUCUUCCUUCAACUAUUAAAAAAAAAGAGAAUCGCAAUGCGGCCUCAGUAGGGUCGGAGGCGAGGAGGGCGGGAGGGCGAGGGCGCGCGGGUCUGAGGCGAGGUGGGCCGCCUCCGCCUCCGCCACCCUCUUCGGAGAGAAUAAAAGUAAGGACGAGAGAAAAAAAAGAAGAGAGAUAAAGAAAUAAGGGUAUUUUGAUUAGUUUUCUGAAUAUCCAGAUCGAAUCUGUAAAAUUCAAAAUAAUGAACUACUUUUGUAAAAUUUAUAAAACUAAUAAAUUUUUAAUGCAAAUUGUCCUUCUUUUAUACUACAAAAAACAACAGCCAGAAUUUUAGUCAAUUAAGUCUGAUGUUUCUUGAUGUGUUUGGAUUUGUCCGUCCCUGUUAUUGCAGUUCGUACUUGCCUCUUUUAAGUAACCUAACAAGCAGGUUACCUGCACUAUGUAUUUUUUUGUGUGGGGGUUUGAUUCUUUAACUUUUAAAACUUUUGAUUUUCUUGACCCUUCAAUUUUUUUGGUUUAAUUUGUUUAAUGGUAAUGUCUCUUCUAUUUUCAAAUUGUGUGCAUCAUCAUUUGCUUGUAAGGGAGUGUUUGGUUCGUACUAUGUUAUUUGAUUUUUUUUAAUUCAGUAAAUAUUACAGGAUAUGGAUAAUCUCUUUCAGUAAUUUGAUCAAAACCUUUUCAAAGGAAGAAGAAUAAAGCCUGUUCAAAGUGAUGACGGGUCCUUAUCCUAUAAAACUAGAAAGCCUUCAUUGGUCAAACCAAAUUUAUUAAGUAAUGCCAUAUAGUGUAUGUGUACAUAGUUAGAUUAACACGAGUUAUAGUCCAAACAAAUUUCAUGAUUUAUUACAUUUUAUAUUGCAUAAUAUUUUGGACAGUAUGCAUUAAACAAUAACAACUCUACAAUCUUAUAUACUAGUGAACAGCUUGCGCAAUUCUACGAAUACAAAAUAUUUUAAUAAUACAUUUUAAUUAAUAUCUUAUAUUUUAUAUUAUUUAUAUAGAAUCAGAAGUGAUGUAUAUUAUUUAAGAAUUGAAGCCGAUUCGCUUUAUAAAAUAUCAAUGAACUUAUGUGAAAUGAUUUUACGGAAUUUAGUCAAUUGUCUCGAUAAGGGGAUAUCAUUCAGAAAUAAAUCCAGCUCAGCUCAAUAAAAAUUCACAGCCCCAUGAAUAUGACAGAACUAAUUGAGAAAUAAAUCUAGCUCGGCCCAACAAAAAUUCACAGCCCCAUGAAUAUGAUAGAACUAAUUUGUCUUCCAUAAACAAAAAUGCCUAAUCCUUCUUAGAAAUAAAGAGAGAGUUUUUUUUUUUUCCCCUUUAUCCGUAUUUUUCUUUUUUUGAUCUUAGUUUUUUCUAUGAUUACGCUUUAUACAGUUCCUACUUGCCUUUAUAAAUCUCUGAAGUCGAAGUCAGGGUUACGUCAAGUCAGAAAGAAGCUUUUUUGAAACAAAAAGUAAGACUUGAGGACAUUUCAAGACUGCAACUGAAAAUUGAAAGAGACCAUAAAUAUGGCCUUAUUUUGAUUGCCCAAAACUCUACUUUGAAGGUGUGGGAUUCUUUGAUUGCAAGAAAAUAGAAACCGGUAGUAAGCUAAGGUGCAACUGCUUUUACGGUACCCUAAUUAUCAAUUAAAUAAAUUUAAAUAAAAAUAAUUUAGGCCAAUUUGUAUAAAAAAUUCACUAGUUUUGAGCUUUUGCAAAAGUAUGCCACAUUUUUGGAUUUUACAGAUUCGGACCGAACUGUUAAAAAACUGACAAAAAUAUCCUUGUUUCUUUUUCUCUCUCAUCUUCUUUUUCUCUCGUUCUUUUUUUUCUCUCCUCCCAGAGGACGGCGGAGGUGGAGGCGGCAUGCCACGCCUCUAUCCGGCGCGACGUCCCAUAUUGUGACAUCCGCCUUCCUCGCCUCCGACCUCGCCGAUGCCGCGCCAUGACCCUCUUUUAUUUUUUCUCCUCUCCGACCCUCCUCCAUUGCCUUUCUGGCUCUCGACGAUAGUAAAGAGAGUAAAGCCGCAUCCUCUUCCUCUCCUUUUUUUUUGCUUAUUUUUUUUUUUCUUUGCGACCCUCCUCCACCGUCUCCACGAUUCUCCACAACGGCAAUGAAGAUACCGCUGCGUCCCCUUACUCCGCCUUCGCCGGUGGAGGCCCCAACAUCGGCACAAGAGAAGAAGGAUUUAGAGCGAGCGCGGGUGAGAGCGGAACCAAGGAAAAAUACAUAGAAAAUAAAUAAAAUAAAAAAAGAAUAAAAUAUAAAAAUACUUUUUUUUACAAUAAAAAUAAAGAAUUAAAGAGUAAAGAAGAAGACGAUGAAGAUGCACUAUUUCAGAGUAACGUUGCACUGUUUUUCUAAAAAAAUUACACUUUUCCAAAUGAAGUUGCACUUUUAAAAUAAAACUUGCAUUGUUUGGGCAAAAAUUAAACUAUUUCUUCUCAUCCACACGAAAACAAAGGAUGAGGAAGAGAAGCGAAUAAAUAGUAUAAGUUUUUUUUCAAAGAGUGCAACUUUUAUUCAAAAAAAUUUAAGUUUUCUCUUAAAUAGUGUAAGUUUUUUUUUUUUUAAACAGUUCAACUCCUCUAAAAUAGUAUAAUUUCAUCAUCUCUUUUUUUUUAUUUGAUUCUUUAUUAUUCUUGUAACUUCUUUUCUCCUUCUUCGACCCUCAUCGUCUCUUCCACCGUCUCGGCGGCCCUCGGCAAUGGUAACGAUGGUGGUGCCACGUUCUCUUCCUCCAUCUUCUCCUCCCCCAAGGCCGGCGGCCCUCGGCGACGGUAACAAGGGCAGCACCGCCUCCUCCACCUUCGCCUCUACCGGCGCCGGAUAAGGAAAAGGAGAACUUGAAGCAGACCCAAAUGAGAAGGACCAUUAUAUAUCAUUACUGCUACUGAAACAUAAUAUAUAAUUGUCAUUUAAAGAUAAAAAAAUUUUCUUUAUAUUUUUUUACUUUAUAUUUUUGUUUUUUUUAUACCAUCUACAACUUUGUUCGCUACUUAGAGAUGGGCGCGUCUUUUUUUCCUCACCCUCACGGACCGCAAGCACCUCCUCGACAAUGACCUCAUCGCCUCCGUCCCUCAUCCGGGUCCAUUUCGUGUUCUCCUUCUCCUUCUCCAGUGUUGGUGGAGGCAGAAGCGGAGGUAGCGGCGCCGCCCUCGUUACCAUCACCAAGGGCCGCCGGUGUCGGUAAAGGAGGAAAUGGAGGAAGAGGAUGUGGCGUCGCUCUCUUUAUCGUCGCCGAGGGCCGCCGAGGUGGUGGAGGAGACGAUGAAGGUCGAAGAGGGUGAAAAGAAGUUACACGAAAAAUAAAGAAUCAAAUAGAAAAGAAAAAGAUAAUGAAAUUACACUAUUUUAGAGGAACGUUUCACUAUUUUAAAGAAAACUUAUAUUAUUUGAGAGAAAAAUUAAACUUUUCUGAAUAAAAAUUGCACUAUUUGAAAGAAAGUUGCACUCUUUGGAUGAAAAUUAUACUAUUUCUCCUCUUCCUCCUUUUAUUUUCGUGUGGAUGAGGAGAAAUAGUAUAAUUUUCACCCAAAGAGUAUAAAUUUCGUUCAAAGAGUGCAACUUUCAUUCAGAAAAGUGUAUUUUUUCUUUAAAAGAAUGCAAUGUUUUUCUGAAACAGUGCAUCUUCAUUAUCUUUUUUUUUUUCUCUCUAAUUCUUUAGUUUUCUUGUAGAAUUUUUUUUUUUUUUAUAUUUUAUUCUUUAUUCUUUUUAUUUAUUUAUUAUCUAUAUUUUUUUUCUUAGUUUCUCUCUCACCCACGCUCGCUCCGAGUCCUUCUUCUCCGGUGCCGGUGUCGGUACCUGCAUCGGCGAAGGCGAAGUAAGAGAAUGCGGUGCUAUUUUCGUUACCAUCGUGGAGGGUCGCGGAGGCGGUGGAGGGGGGUCGAAGAGAAAGAAAAAGAACGAGCGAAAGAAAAGAGAGGAAGAGGACAUGGCAUUACCUUUUUACUGUCGUAACGAGCCGGGGAGGUGAUGGAGAAGGAUCGGAGAGAAAAAAAAAAGGGGGUCACGACAAGGUCUCGAUGGCGUCGGAGGUGAGGAAGGUGGGAGGUGAGUGGGCGAGGGUAAGCGCCAGACAGAGGUGAGGCAGGCCACCUCCGUCUCCGCCUGACCUCCGCCACCCUCUAGGGAGAGAAAGAAAAAAAAAAUGAGAGAAACAAAGAGGAGAGAGAAAAGAAAAUAAGGAUAUUUUGGUCAGUUUUCUGAAAAUCCGAUUUGAAUCUGCAAAAUCCAAAAAGGCGACCUACUUUUGCAAAAGCCCAAAAUUAAUGAUUUUUUUAUGCAAAUUGGCCAAUAAUUUAAUAAAUAAUUUUAAAAAAAUAGUUUAAAUUGGUUUAUGUGUGACAUAAUUUUUUGUAAGAACUUAUUGGUAAUUAAAUUAAUUUAAAAAGGCAAAUGUGGAAAAAAAAGGAAAAACUACUAAAAUAAUUUUUAAACAUUUUAUAUAAAUUAAAAACUUAGUAAAUUUUAUAGAUGUAUUAACUAUUAGUUAUUAGUUAUAUAAUUUUAUUUCAUAAAAAAGAAUAAUAAUGAUUGAAUUUGGUCAAAUUUUGUAUAAAGUUUAAUAAAAAUUUUGUUUAAAUAACUAAAAUUAAUCAUAAAAAAUAAAAAAUAUAAAAAUCAGUUAAAAAAUAAAUUUGAGGGUUGUAUUUCAAAGCACACUAAUAGUUGAGGGGGUCUUCACUCAUUUUUUACCACAAUUUUUUCUUGAAAAUUAUUUUAAAAAGGCAUAUGUGAAAAAAAAAUAAGGUAAAACUAUUAAAACAUUUUUUAAAAUUUAUAUAAAUAAAAAGCUAUUGGUGCCACAAAAGUUGUGCCAUGUGGUGAAACAGGAUGGCUCCUGAAAGCAAUAAGUGACAUGUAGUGCACCAGGAGCAGAGAAAAGUGCACCUAAAAUUGAAAAGCAGUUAAAACUUAUGUGGUUAGGAUUGGCCGAUAGUGACCUACAAAAUCAGAGAUGUGGUCGAUCAUGGGGGCUAACUGAAUAAGAAUGGGCAGAAUUAUAAAUAGAUAAGAAAUACCUAACAUGUCAAGGACUGGUCCCUCAAGUCCAAGGACCGGUCCCUGAGCCCGAAAAUGCCCAGUUUGGACUGUUGCGAGGAAAGCAUUGUGGAGGGGCUUAAGUGCAAAAUGGCACUUAUGAGAGUGUAUAGAGAGGAUCCUUUCUCUUUUUCUCUCAUUUCUCUCACUCUCCCACACCAAAACCUCUCCCUCUCUCUCUCUAGAACGAAAAGAAGGAGAAGAAGAGGGGAAAGAAAGGGAAGAAGAAGAUGGAGGAGAAGAGGCCAAGAAGAUGGAGCUUCAUCUUCAUCUCCUUCCUUGAGCCAUGGGAGCAAGCUUAGAGAGGUAAGCCUUAUGCUCUCUAAUGGUAGACUUCUAGAACUUGGUUUAUAUGUUCCAGAAUUGGAUUUUAUGUACUCCUAGCAUGUCAAAUAGAUGAUAAAUGCUUCGGAUCAUGAGAUGAAAUGGUAGGAUUUUGCAAUAGUUGCAUAUUAGGGCUCCAAAAGAAGGGUUUUUAUAAAUAGUUGGGUUUGAUCUCAAUUGACCCUCUGUAAACAUAAUUGGGGACCAAACGAACGCGAUGGAACACUCGGUUCAACGAUUCGACGAGUGUACGCAAAGUUGUUGACGAAACAAUCUGUUUUGGUACAGAUAGCCGCAGCACGCGGGAUAAGCCUCCAAAAAUCAUGAAAAUGGAUCGGGAGCAUCGUGGUGUCGGGAAAUAAACUCCCGAACAAACGGAUUGCGGAAUUGGUGGCCGUUCGGGUGGUCGCGCAAGAGUUCGGGCCAAACCGGGUCACGGGUGCCGCGGGAGGCCGAUUGCAAGUGACUAACAAGCAAUCGGAACGCGUUAAAAGGUGGGUUGUUACUCACCGAAGCGAACUAGGUCGCUUUCCGUGCCAAAGUGUAGUAUGUUUCACUAUUGAUGCAUGAUAAGAAUGUUAAGUAAGAAUGCAUAAUAAGAAUGCUAAGUAAGAAUGUAUCAUAAUGAUGCUAAUAAAUGCAUAUAAUGACAUGAGCUAGAUGCUAAGUAAAUGUAUGUGAAGUAUGCUAAUGAAUGCAAGAGCUAAACGCUAAAGGAGUAUGUAAGGCAUAUGCUAGGUAAAUGCAUGAGUUAAAUGCCAAGUAACAUGAACUAGAUGCAUGUUUUAAAAACGGAUGCAUGGUUGAAAUGCUAAUAAAGAAUGCAUGAUAAAGAUGCUAAUAAAUGAAUAUAAGUGAUAGAUGCUAAGAAAUGCAUGUGAUAUGUGCCAAGUAAUGAUCAUAUAAAAUGUAUGCUAAGGAAUGCAUGUUGUCAUGAUAGGAAAUGUUAAAAGAAUGCAUAUUGACGUAAUGUAAAAACACUAAACCAAUGCAUGAUGAUAUGUUAUAGAAAUGUUAAAUGAAGCAUGAGUUAAAUGCUAAAGACAUGUAUGAGAUGUAUGUUGAAUAAACAUAGUAGCCGGAUGAUAUACAAGUGCAUGAUUGAAAUGUUAGUAAAGAAUGUAUGCAUGAUUCCUAAUAUGAGAAUAUGCUAGUAUGACAUGAAGGUUGAACUUGAGUCAAUGAACGCUAAGUGAAGUAAAGAACUUGACAAGUGUCAUAUGUAAAGAAUCCUAAGUAUAAAAAACCAGGAUGACGAGUGGCAUUGAACCUAGUGUCAUUGAACAUAGGUUAUUCACGAGUGGCAUGUCAAGUAUGGUUCCUAGGUGUGGACAACUAAGAUAACAAGAACAUGAGUGGCAUUAAACCUAGAGUUGAAUUAACCUAGGUGAUAAAGAAUGUUGGACCUAGUGUUAAUGAACCUAGGCUAUGAAAAUAUUGACAUUGAACCUAAUGUAUAAACAUAGGUUGAGUAAAGGCUUGGACCUAAAUAGGUCGAUGUUAUAGGCUGAGACCAACCCUUGAGUUAUGUAAAGUGGAUUCCGGAAUCCCUGCUGCUAGUGCAGCGGCUGCUAAUGCAGCAUACAAGCUCGAUAGUUCUUGGCCACGGGUGCAUGUGGCGUGUUCCUCUCCCACCGGAAGAACUUCGAGGCUUGUCAAUGAGCAAGAACAAUGAGCGCUAGGGUGCAUGUGGAAUGUUCCUCUCCCUAUCGGCGAUCUCGGUUGCGGGUGUAUGCGGCAUGUUCCUCUCCCACCGGGGGAUCUCUGACCACGGGUGUAAGCAGCUCUAGGCGACCCGUUGGGCGAUGUGGUUUGUGAUUGAAGGCUGAGGUGCAUGUGAGAGUUCCUUCACCUCGAGCCGGACAGAGCGCGGACUAUUCGCAGUGAUUGACUCAAGACCGAGUCGGAUGGCAUAGUUGGCUAAGGUAAAGUAACCUUAGGAAAGAAAGGCUAAUGUGUAUAAUAUCACUAAGGUGUGAGUACCCUUAGUAAAGAGUAAAGAAUAAAGAAUGGCUAAUAUUAAAGAAUACAUGAGAAUAAAGAAUAACGAACGGCUAAUGUUAAAGAGUAGAAAACUCUAAAGAAUAGCUAAUAAUGUAAAGAAUGUUUAGCGAUAAAGAAUGACUAACGAGUAAAGAAUGACUAAGAAUAAAGAGUAGAAUCAAUUAAUCUACCUAUAUGAGUUGCAUGAUUUGCAUAUUGCAUGUUGUGAGGCAAAAGCAUGGAAAUGUUAGCUGUAUGAUUUCAUAUCUAUCUAUUGGACUAACAUGUUGUCUGCCUCCUUUGGACCUGAUGGUCGAGCUCUUCCCUUGGGUGGCCGUACCCAUUGGGAACUAUGGAGUUGGUUCUCACCCCACGUUGUUUUGGGGUGUUACAGGUUCACACGUGAGCGGCGCGGCGGCGCGUGGCAAAGGGCGUAGCUUCCGUAGUUAGCGCCCUACCACUUGAGACCAGAUAGCAGCACCCUGAGUCGGCUACUUAGGGAUAUGAAAAAUGCAAAGAACCAAGAUGUAUCAUAACUUGUAAGUAACAAUGUUGUAAUAACUAUGUUAAAACUAGAUUGUAUUUGGAAGUAGAGAAUCAAAGGAAUCAAAUGUGAUAUAAUCUAAGAAUGUAAUUUGUAAUGUAAAAUAUAAUAUGUGAGAUGAAUGCUUGUAAUAGCAAGUAGAUUUAUGUUUUUGAUACUUCCUUAUGCAAUCCUUUGGUUGAAAUGUGUUCCUGGUUGGAACUUCAUACAUUGUAUUGAUUGCGACGCCUUGAAUGUAUAGGGGAGACUCUGUCCGCAGGUACAGGAAAAAUCCCUAUCUGUUCGGCGGUCUGUUGGCGUGCCCGAAACCGACCAAAUAGGCGUGCUCGGGGCGUGACGGGGCGUGACACUGUGAGAGCCUGAUUGAGCUCGACAGAGAUACGCUUGCAUACUCGGUUGGGUCGCGCCCACGAGUGCCGCUCCGGAGUCUUGCUUUGUGCUUUCGUGUUGAUGUCGCUGAUUAAUUUUGCUAUCCACGGACUGUUUAGCGUGAAGGUAGCGUGGCUUAGACAGGCGGGACAGGUGCGUUCAUAGUCCCUAGUGAGAUUGGGUCAGAGUUGACAGUUGCUACAGUUGGAUAAUAUAGAGUAUGAUAGUGUAGUGGCAUAUAGGUGUAGAUUUCUUUUCAGCUUUACCUACUAGCUUUGUUUCCUUCUGUAGACUUAGUGGGUGGACCGAUGAUGUUGAGGGCAGUACCCACUGAGGACUACUUGUUUUACAGUAGUUCUCACGCCCAGUUGUUACCCUGUAUUUUGCAGAGCCUGCUGUUCCGACUGCUGCGUCUUUAGAGGCUGAUCGAGGUAAGGGCGUCGCGAGCUAGAGCCCUACCCGACGAAUCGCCGUGCUAGAGGUCACCAGCUGUAGGUAGUAGUGUUUUUAUUUUGAGCUUACGUACAUACUGAUACUAGAACUCGUUGGAGCGAGUGUUUUUGUACUUGUUAGUUUGUAUGUAUAUGAGAUUGUUCAUUCUACCUGCUUAGUUCUUUUCAGCUCUCACUACUGUUUGUAGUAUUGUAUAUUUUAUAGAUACAACUAUCGCUUCGUAUACAGGAAAAAUUUCUUUGUGUACGGCGGAUUUGUCGGCGUGCCCAAAAAAAGUGUAAUCCGGAGCGUGACAGAUUAAGUUGGUAUCAGAGCUUAGCAUUAGGUCGUUGGGACCUAGAAAUUCUAAGUUUGACAAACCUUAGGAAGACAAGACGUGAGAGGCGUGAUUUACUGCGAAAGUCAAUGAUUAAUUAUUGUAACUCAUCCUGAGGGGAGUGAGUGACUGGAGGAGUGCCUGUUUUGGCCUGCAAAAUUAUGUUGGCUGUAGACGACAUAAUUUCGAGGAAAGAUAGGUGCCGCCUUCUGAACUUUCGUUAAUUGGGUCGAGAGUGCCUGUAUUUAUUUGACCUUGCUUUUCUUUUUGCAGUUAUGUAUCGUCAUCGAGGCCAACCGUCGACACGGGAUCGAGCACAGUUGUCACAGGAUCGUGUGGGACCUUCUGAGAUGCCUAAGCAGGCGGAGCCGAAUGCCUGGCAGGAGCAGAGUGUUCGACCAGAGGCGAGUGCAUCCCCGGACUUGACUGCACAGUUAGCAGCCCUGACAGAGGUGGCGAGGCGGCAGGGGGAGUUGUUGGAGAGGUUGUGUGAGAGGAUAGCCCCACCACAGAGUACAGUACCGGGAGUACCAGAGUAGACGAUUCUACCUCCCACGACUCCAGCCGCAGCACCAGCCGCAGCUGUACCCCCACCAGCGGCAGUUCCAGUAGCGCCAGUUGCACCUCUUAGAGGACCGGUCCAGAUGACCGAGGCUGAGCAGGAGCGGAUGACAGAGAGGCUCGCUCGUUUUCGCCGUUUCGAUUCGCCGACCUUUGAUGGCCGAUGUUCAGAGGAGUGGGUCGCCGAGGGCUGGGUUAGUGCGAUGAAGAAGUUGUUUGAGGAUUUAUAUGUUCCGGAGAAAGAGCAGGUAUCUUAUGGAGUUCACUAUUUGGCUGGCGACUCUCACGCCUGGUAGAAGAGGGUGAGGCGAGACUACGAAUUGGUAGCUUUGCAGAUGAGAUGGGACGAGUUCUGUGGAAUGCUGUAUGGGAUGUAUUUUCCCAACAGUGUGAAAUAGAAGCUCGUGGAGGAUUUGAAGAGGAUCCAGCAGGGGGAGCGGUCGGUACAGGAGUACAUUCGGGAGUUCACUCGACUCCUGAACUAUAUGCCUUUGGUGGCUAGAGACGAGGCACACAGGGUGUACCUCUUUGAGCAGGGUUUGCGAUAGGAGAUUUUUAGGCUCGUGCAGGCGCAGAGGUUGAGGACCCUGGAUGCGUCCAUGGAGCAGGCACUUUGGGUUGAACGGGGUGAUGUAUCCAUUCGGGAGAGGACUCAGGCAGCGGGGCAGAGUCAGGAGAGGAAGCGUCCAGCUCCAGACGAUGGCGGACAGUCUAGUAGCCGGCGUCCACCGAGACCUCCACGAUCGCGUUCUCAGGGUCGUGGGUCAUCGGGGCGUCAGCGUUCUGGGAGAUUCCGACAAUAGAGGCAAUCACAGGGGUUACCACCGUGUGUGAUUUGUGGGGGACCACACUGGGCCCGGCAGUGCGAGUAGCGUAGGGGUCGAUGUUUUGGAUGUGGACAAACAGGGCACAUGAGGUCAGCUUGUCCCCGAGCAGUAUCACCAGCGCCAUCGACUGCUUCAGCAUCAUCAGCACCUCAGCAGUCUUUUGGAGCAACGCAGAGCUACCGCCAGAAGGACAAGGCAUCUGCGCCGCGUCAGGGUGAGCGGCGACAGCAGGCUCCGAGUAGCAGGGUCUAUGCAGCCCAGGUGGAGGACUCUACAGCGGCCGACCGAGUGGUGGCAGGUAUCACUUUGAUUUUUGGCAUUAGAGUUUGUACUCUCUUUGAUACCGGUGCAUCUCAUUCGUUUGUUAGCCGAGCAUUUGUAUUAUUGUAUGGUCUUGAGUUAGGAGCCUUGUCUCAGGCACGAGAGGUGCAGAUCCUAGACCAUGUUUUACAGGUUGUGGAGUGUUGUUGGUCGUGUCCGGUGCAGUUGGAUUUGUGGAUCAUGCCCGCAGACUUGUUGGUUUUAGGGCAGCUGCAGGACUUCGACGUUGUGCUCAGUAUGGAUUGGUUGGCCCGGUACUUUGCUACGAUUGAUUGUGGAGCGAGGACAGUGACGUUCCGUGAGCCAGGCCCGGAGGAGUUUACUUUUAGGAGCUGCAGGAGCACGUUGUUUGCUACUUGGAUUUCUUCGGCGAGGGCUCGACAGCUGAUGAGCAGAGAAUGCGUCGCGUUUCUGGCGAUGGUAGUAGAGGUACCUACGGCGGAGCCGGGACUCGAGGAUAUUCCUGUAGUUCGCGAGUUCCUGGAUGUGUUUCCCCCUGAGUUGACGAGGAUACCGUCGGAGAGGGAGAUUGAGUUCGUGAUUGAUGUAGUUCCUGGAACUGCACCAAUCUCUAAGGUACCUUAUCGGAUGGCACCGGCAGAGCUGAGAGGGCUAAAGGCGCAGCUUCAGGAUCUAAUAGACAAGGGGUAUGUGAGACCCAGUGUGUCGCCUUGCGGAGUGUCGGUGUUAUUUGUGAAGAAGAAGGAUGGUUCACUUAGGUUAUGUGUGGAUUACCGGGAGCUGAAUAAAGUGACCAUCAAGAAUAAGUAUCCACUGCUGCGCAUUGAUGAUUUGUUUGAUCAGUUGCAGGGAUCCUUCGUCUUCUCGAAGAUUGAUCUUCAGUCCGGUUACCACCAGUUGAGGGUGAGGGCCGAGGAUGUUUCCAAGACGGUUUUUCGGACUCGGUACGGGCAUUAUGAGUUCACCGUGAUGCCUUUUGGAUUGACGAAUGCCCCUGCCACAUUUAUGAAUUUGAUGAGCAGAGUGUUCAAGCCGUUCUUGGAUAGAUUUGUGGUAGUCUUCAUCGAUGAUAUUCUGAUUUACUCCCGUAGUGAUGCUGAGCAUGAGGAGCACCUGAGGAUUGUGCUACAGCUUCUGCGAGAGAAGAAGCUGUAUGCCAAGUUAAAAAAAUGCGAGUUUUGGUUGCGGGAAGUUGCUUUCUUGGGCCACGUGAUUUCUGCAGAGGGAGUGGCAGUAGACCCGAAGAAGAUUGAUGCUAGGGAUGCAAACGGAUCCAGGUUGGUGGAGCUCCCGCCCCUAUCCAUCCCGACGGGAGCAGUAAAUGGGAGAAAAUAAACCGAUUCGGGGCAGGAAACGGGGUAAGUUUUACGAUCCGAGACGGAUUCGGGGCAGGAAACGAGAAAAAUUUUUUCACCCGCCCCGAAUCCGCCCCGAAUCCGCCGCCAUGAUCCGCCGAAUCCGCCCGAAUACCGCCCCGAAAUAUCAUUUGUUUUUUUAAAAAUAUUUCCCAAAAAAUUAAUAUAUUUAUAAAAAAAAGUAUUAAAAUACAAAUAAUUAUUAUUCCAUUUCUACAUGUAUUUUGAAAUAUUGAAUUUUGUUUUGAAUUCGUGAUUGAUAUUUUUUAAUUUUUACAUUAAAUAUUGUUAAAUUAUAUAUAUAAUAUUAUUAAAAUUACUUAAUUUAUAUUUUACAAAAUAUUUAAUAAUAUUAUAAUUUUAUAAAAAAUAUUAGUUGGCGGGGCAGAUUCGGGGGCGGCGUGAGCGGGGUUAUGAGGCGGGGCGGAUUAUGAUGUAUUUUUUAACCCGUCACGGAUUCGGGCGGGAGCGGGCAUGGGAUUUUUGCUAGUCGGGGCGGGCAGGCGGGGCGCGUCUUCUCGCCCAAUCCGCCCGUUUGCAUCCCUAAUUGAUUGCUAUUCGCGAUUGGCCCAGACCAACGACGGUGACUGAGUUGCGGAGUUUUCUGAGACUAGCAGGAUAUUACUGUCGGUUUGUGGAGGGCUUUGCGAAGCUUUCCACACCCCUUACCAGGUUAACACGAAAGGGGAUUCGGUUUGUUUGGAGUGAGUACUGCCAGAGGAGCUUCGAUGAGUUGAGACAGAGAUUGAUGACAGCUCCUAUCCUUGCCCUUCCUGUGGUGGGGGAAGGAUUUGUGAUCUAUAGUGAUGCAUCGCACAACGGACUGGGUUGUGUGCUGAUGCAGCAUGGUAGGGUGAUUGCUUAUACUUCACGGCAGUUAAAGGAUUAUGAGAAGAAUUACCCUACGCAUGAUUUGGAGCUUGCAGUAGUAAUCUUUGCUUUGAAGUUGUGGCGGCAUUAUUUGUACGGCGAGCACUGCGAGAUUUUCACCGAUCAUAAAAGUCUGAAGUAUCUGUUCACUCAAAAGAAAUUGAAUCUGAGGCAGCGCCGGUGGCUAGAGCUACUGAAGGACUAUGACAUUAGUAUACAGUAUCAUCCCGGCAGGGCGAAUGUAGUGGUAGAUGCGUUGAGUAGGUGGGCAGCGCAGAGCUUGAGCUUGUUGAUCACUCAGCAGAGACCGCUACUUGAGGAGUUACAGCGGCUGAGACUUGAGGUGGUGUCCCCUGGAUCUACUGCAAGACUGAUGUCUAUGGUUUUACAGCCCAUUCUGUUGGACAGGAUCCGGGAGAAACAGAGUGGAGAUCCGCAUUUGUCGAGGAUUCGAGAGCAGCUAGAUAGGGGACAGGCUGAGGGUUUUACUGUGGACAGUUCAGGAGUACUGUAGUAUAGGGACCGGCUGUGUUUGCUAGUGGAUUCAGAGAUCCGAGAGGAUAUUUUGAGGGAGGCUCAUUGUACACCUUAUACGGUUCACACUGGGGGAAUCAAGAUGUAUAAGGAUUUGAAGGCACAGUUUUGGUGGAAUGGGAUGAAGAGGGACAUUUGCAGAUUUAUAGCUCAGUAUCUGACUUUUCAACAUGUAAAGGGCGAGCAUCAGGUAUCUGCUAGCAAGCUUUAGAGUCUGUCAGUGUCCGAGUGGAAAUGGGAGCAGAUCACGAUGGACUUUGUCGUCGGAUUGCCGAGAGCACAGGGUGGUUUGAUGCGAUUUGGGUGAUAGUGGACAGACUGACCAAGUCUGCUCACUUCCUACCAGUGCAGACCACUUGGUCCAGAGAAAGACUCGCUCAGUUGUACUUGGAUGAGAUAGUGAGGUUGCAUGGUGUGCCCACUUCGAUAGUAUCCGAUCGGGACCCGAGGUUCGUAUCGCACUUCUGGAGGAGUCUUCAGACAGCCUUGGGUACACAGUUGCAUUUCAGCACGGCGUUUCACCCACAGACAGAUGGUCAGUCAGAGCGGACCAUUAAGACUCUAGAGGACAUGCUGAGGGCAUGUGUCUUGGACUUUGGAGGAGGGUGGUAUCGGCAUUUGAGACUGGUUGAGUUUGCGUACAACAACAGUUAUCAAGCGAGCAUCCGGAUGGCUCCGUUUGAGGCGUUGUAUGGACGCAGAUGCCGAUCCCCUUUGUUUUGGAGUGAUGUGGGUGAGAGGAGGACACUUGGGCCUGAGUUGUUGCUAGAGGCUGAGGAGAAGGUGAGAGUUGUUCGACGACACCUUCUGACAGCCCAGAGGAGCUACGCCGAUACCAGGAGACGAGACUUGGAGUUUCAGGUUGGAGAUCAUGUUUUUCUCAAAGUCUCGCCGUCCAGAGGGAUUCGCCGAUUUGGUGUUCGUGGAAAGCUUAGUCCACGGUUUGUUGGCCCUUUCGAGGUAUUAGAGCGUGUUGGACCGGUUGCAUACAGGAUAGCUUUACCCCCGCGACUUGCUGGCAUCCAUGAUGUAUUCCAUGUCUCGGCGCUGAGGAGAUAUAUAUUCGAUCCAUCUCACGUGAUUGACUUCACUCCACUAGAGAUUGGUGAGGAUCUGAGAUACGAGGAGCGACCGGUGCGGAUUCUUGCUCGUGAGACGAAAGAAUUGCGCAACCGGGUCAUUCCGUAUGUGAAGGUGCAGUGGAGCAACCACGAGGAGCGAGAGGCGACUUGGGAGCCCGAGACUGUGAUGAGGGAGUCCUACCCGGACCUGUUCGUUUCUCCGUGUUGAGGUAUGUUUUAGUUUCGAGGACGAAACUUUUGUAGUGGGGGAGAAUGUAGUAUCCUUAUUUCUUUAUCUUUUCUUUUCCUUUUUCUUUUUAUUUCUUUUGAGUUGGUAAGCUAGCUGGGGAUAAGGAUGCCACGUGCACCUUACCCCCAAGCAUGCUUAUCACUUUAAUACCUGUGCAUUGCUUUAAUUUUCUUUUCUAUAUAGUUCUUGAGCCGUACGUGGAGAAAGCUUCGGGUGGUGUGGAUCGUCGUCGAUGUCGCGCCACGAAGCCGUUUGAGCGUGUCUUCGUCAUCGUAGCAUCACGAGGAGGCCGGGCGAGGGUGCAUUUCCGUCGUUCUCGAUGUCACGCUGGGUUGGAUUUAGCGUUUGAGGUGGGUUUAUCAUCGGGUUCCUACUCCUAUAGCCAUAUGCGCCGACAUGUAUCGUUAAUAUUGCACGUUGUUAUUGUUUAGCUCAAAUUCAUGAGUAGCUAUGUUUUAGACAUAUUAACUGAAUUAGGAGUAUGUUAUAAGCUGUUAUUAAUCAUACAUGUGGGACUUGGAUAAAACAUAGGAGAAAACCAACGUUCGNNNNNNNNNNNNNNNNNNNNNNNNNNNNNNNNNNNNNNNNNNNNNNNNNNNNNNNNNNNNNNNNNNNNNNNNNNNNNNNNNNNNNNNNNNNNNNNNNNNNCUUUUUUUCUUAUUGUUAUCCUUCCUAUUUUUUGGAGGGAGCUUACAGGAUGUUUGGUGUACGGCGUUUAGAUUUCAGCACGUGCUUUUUCACCCCGAGUGACGGGAUUAGAGGUACUAUACAGGACUCUGCGAGGACAUGCUUCGAGCCUGCGUGAUCGACUUCCAAGAGGAGGAUAGGUCGCAGCAUCUACGGAUGCAGGUUGCUGUAUCAACAACGCUUAUCAAGCAGCAUACAGAUGGCACCGUUCGAGGCACUUCUUGGCGGAAGUGAUAGAUCGCCACUUAAUUGGAGUGUAAGUUGGUGAGAAUUGGUUUAGGCCCUUGUGCGUCCAGAACGAGAGGACAAUAUUCGCACGUUGCUCGGAGCGAUUGUUGGACAGCCCAGGUAGACAGAGAAGUUAUGCUGACGGCAUCGACGAACCUGAGGUUUCAAGUUGGAGACCAUGUGUGGCUUGAAGUUGCCGACCAAAGGAAUUCGGAAGAUUUGAAUCGGGGCCAGUUGAGCCCCGUUCAUCGACGAACGUUUGAGGUUUGAAGCGUUUGUAGGUCCGGUAGCGUUAAGGACUUGCCCUACGCCGAACCUAUCGGGUGUACACAAUGUUGUUCAUGAUCGUUCUUUCGGAAGUGACAUUCCACGAUCCGGCUAACGUUGUUGGUUCUUAACACCUUGGGCUGCCGGAUGAUUUGAGCUUUGAAUGAAGCAGACCCUUGAGGUUUUUUGGUGCGAGGAGGAAAAGAUUGCGGAACGAGGAAAUUUCCUUACGUGAAGUGCGUUUGGAGCCAACCACGACGAGCGCGAGGCCACUUGGGAAUGAGAGCGACUGCGGGAGGCGCUAUCCCAUCUUUUCAGUGGAGGCUUGACGGUACUUUGUCAUUGCGAGUUUCGCGACGAAACUCUUUUUAGGAGGGAGUGAAUGAAUGUAAGCAUUGGACCUUUGCAAAUUGCGAGGUUUCGAGUGUUUUGGAUGUAUUUCGAGCUGUUCACAAACUUGGUGGACGGCGUUGUAGAAUGUAUCCCGACCUAGAGUUAGAAACUGGAAUUCAUGGGACAAGUCCUCGGAGUUUUUCUUCGAGGGGACGCGUCCUGAAAGGAGAGAGACCGGUCCCCAAGACAGUGUGUUUUAUUUUGGAGAGCUGAGGCAAAACGCGUCCUGGCAGGCGAGAUCGCGUUCUCCAACGCGCAGCUUCGCAGUUGAUGAGGACCGGUACGCGCAGCAGGAGACUGGAGACCGGUUCCCGAACGCUGGUUUGACGGUUCGCACGAGAGACGUCCCUGCUGCGGAAAGCCGGUCCCUCUGGAGCGAACUGCCCAGUACCGGGCUGCUGCAAUAUUGCGAUUUUUGGAGGGCCCUAGCUGGAUUUUGUUAAUUGGUGGGUUAUAGCCAUUUCCUCCUCUUCCUCUAUCUAUUUCCUCUAUUCCUCACCCGCGUCCAACCUUUCGAGGGAGAGAAGAGAAUAAGGAGGAGGAGAAGAAGAGGAGGCUAGUUGAGGAGUUGGAGCUUCAAACCCCUUUCUCUCGUUUUCCACCUUUGCAGGCGUUGAGCUUGCUGUAGGGCUGGGUGGUGGCGACCAUAUCUUCAACCCUAAAGAUUUGGAGCUUGUCUUGGAGGCAUCUUGGGAGGUUGUACUUGCAUUUCACCUUGAUCCUUAUAUGGUAUGUUUUCCAUUAUUGAACCCUAUUUGGGAUUUAGGGUUGAUUUUGGGGCCUUUUGACCUAGGCUUUGAGGCUUGGAUUGAUUGGAUUUUAGAACCUUAUCCUAGGGCUUGGGAUUGGAAGGGUUCUACUUUUUUGAGAGCUUUGGAAGGUUUCUUACAUCAUUGAGUAAGUUUGACCUUUUUGACCUCUAGCAGUUAAUUUUUGAUAUUACGCGUUGGUCGUAAUCCCUGUAUUCUCUUAGCUGGAUACUUUUAGCGGUAUUGUGGAUCUGGAAAUCUUGUAUUGCCGGCAAUCAGGACCCUACGCAGACGGUCGGUGGGUUUUACCUAGCCUAUGAUAUGAGAAAUGGCUCAUAUUGGCAAUUAUUGUUUCGCUAAAUAGAAAUUCAUGCAUUCCAUGUUAAUGUAUUUAAUAUGAAUUUUAGAUGAUUAAUGGCAUAUUUAUGUUAUAUGUGAAAUUUUAGACCCCUAUUGUAGAGUGCAUGUAGUGAGAAUUAGCAUGUCUAGUUAUAUUUGGGAACAUGGAUCACCUUUAUGAAAAGGAUCUUGUUCUCUUGAUUUAACCUAUAUGCCAAUAUGGCAUUUAGGAUUUAGAAGCUUAGAGAGGAGCUGAGAAUUGGAAUAUUUGAAUUGCGGCAACUGCUCAUAAAGAGGCAUUGGGCCGGUAUAGUGUAUUGUAUUUAUGUUUUAAAUGAAACAUUAGAACUAAGAAUCUGAGUUUGAUCCAGGUGUGAUGCUUAGAGUGUCGCAAAUAGCCACUAAGCAAGUGGAGUGUAUUGCGGACGUCAACUUGGACUUUGGGACUAGAUCCUUGGUAUGCUAGUAGGCUUUGCAUUUGGUGAGGGCACGGAAAGUAGAGUACAUUGAGACUUUGAGCUUGCUUGUUGCAAUUUGUGCUAUUGACAUGCUUGUCGAGGUCGCUCCUACAAGCCGGCACUCGGAGUGGUUUAGCCUAUUCGACGACUAUGUUCGCUCUGUGCGUAUUGAGAAGCCUUACAAGGGGCAGUGGGACAGAAACAUUCAAUGGAGUGAAAUGUCGGAGCUACCACAGACUUAGGCGGGCACAAGCUGGUAUCUUUGGUAGCGUCCUUAUUGGAAAGGGAAAUCGACAUACGGUGUUUGAGUUUAUUAUGACACUACUAGUCAGAGCAGUAGUAGAUAGGAUUACCUUGGACUUUAUUCUUAGCAUAGUUGUGGACAUUUGUGGUACUCAUUACUACAUGUAGUAUGCUAGGAGAUGUUGUUUAUUGCGCUCCUGGAUAUGCAUUGUGGUCAUGACAAGUAUUCACUUUCAUAUCUAUUAAGUAAAGACCAUGAUAUUACUGGAAUUUAUUAUUCUAUUGACAAGAUCAAGUCAUCGAUUAGGAAUGCCAUGUUUAAUUGCAAGUUGGCUUAGGAUCUAUUAUUAUGCUUUUGUAUGCAUUUACUCAUACUCUUUUGUUAGACUUACCCUUGUUCUUUUGCGGGCUAGUGGUGCACUGAGCCUGAGGCAGUAUUGCCCCACUGGGAACUAUAAAUUCAUAGGUUCUCCCCCCUUUUUCUUCGAUGAUUUUUUCAGAGCUUUACUCAGGGUGAGGGGGACGCGGGAAGGGAGGUUGCUUCGAGCUAAGUUCCUUCGACUGGGACGAUUUCGUAGGUGGUUUACUCUCGGUUGCACUUUUUGGAGAGGGUUGAGAGUUUUACGGAUGUCUAGAGACCAGCACUUUUGUAUUAGGGCUAUACUGUAUAACUUAUGUUUAGCUUUUUAUUUUAGUUGUUCUUAUUUACUUUAGUCAUAGAUGUUAGAACUAUACUCGCUCAAUGCUUGAUUAUCAUUAGUUGUUGAUGUAUUUCAUUCUCUUCUUUGUUCCAUGCUUUGCUUUUACUUCCGCUUUUUCUUGUGAACGCCGUAUGAUGUGUAUGACAUUAUGCGGUGGGCACGCCACCGGAGGCGCCUCCGCCGGGUCCGGGGGUGACACUGAAACUCCAAGUCUCGUCGAGCCCGAUCGCAUACUCCUCUACCUACUUUGGGCUGUUCAACAGUCGCUCCGGCAUACAACCUUAUGUCUUCUGCUUCUUUGGAGCAAUCAUGGGUUAUAAACAUCUCUCUGCCAAUUCACUCAAUGAAGUGGCGAUCUACCUUUCCGUCCAUAGAGUGCCUCAAACUGUCCAUCUUGAUGCUUGCUGAUAACUAUUGUUAUAAGCAAACUCUGCCAUCGUAAUUCUGCGAACCAUUCGCCUGGAAAGUUAAUACGCGCAGCCUCGACAAUGUCUCGAGAGUCUGUAUAAGUGAUGCCCACCCUCCACCCCCCGCUGCCCGUCAAUCGGGGUGGAAAUAGUGCUGAAUCAAGCGAGUACCCAAAGUGUCCUGUAAGUCCUCAAAAGUGAUGAUACUGAAAACGGUGGUCUCGAUUGAAACGAUAGAAAGUAGCGGUACCCCGGUGCAAUCGCCAUUCAUCCAAGUUAACCUGUACGAGUUCUCUCACCAAUCCAAGUAGUGAUGUAGUAGUAUGAAAUGUGCCGAUUUCGGUCAACCUAGUCACGCUCCAAAAAUAAAAGCAAUAUAUGUCGGGCCUGGAGGCGUUGCAAUCCUAUCACAAAUCCAUUGGUGAUUUUUUCACUUCCACACUGAAAUCGUAGGCUCUGAACUUCCUUGCAGAGAACUCGGUGUAGCCUUCACUUAUGUUGGGCGCAAGUUUAAACAUUAGCCAAGAAAGUCACAAAUCCUUUUUUCAUCCGCGGCACUAUAGAAGUAAUUUCAAUCCUUGUACAUCUUGGGUGCUCCCGGAUGUAUAGGCAUACGGUCGUCUGGUGCUUCUGAGAAUAUUCUCUUUAUGCAAGUGCGAUAACAAAGUAUGUUCGCGGAAAACGCAUCAAUCCGAUGCACCGUCAUGCUUGAGUCACCGGUGUGCAACCUCAAACCAGUGUUAGCUCGAUUCUUUUAACUCGAGUCGGUAAGCUUGCUUGUUAAUCCUUUCCAUAAGUGUAGCUCUGCACACCAAGUCAUCAACCUCAAAGGUGUAUAAGGAUGCCGACCACCUCAACUCCAACGUCUUCAUUGCUCGAUCAACGGCGGUGAGUUACCAUAAGACAAAAAUAAAGACAAAACGAAGUUUUCCGCUCGUGCCACUUUCCUACUUGUAUUUAAGCGCAUUCCGCACCCGUUGCUGGCAUCGGUAUAAAAGAAUGGUCAAUCAUAAUCCUGAGCAGCUCCAAACAUCCUGCGCUGCCUCAAGUUUCAACUCUUUUGAGGUGAAUAGUACUUUAAGCUUUGUGAUCGGAUUACACUUCACAACGCUCGACGUCGAGUAGUGCGCAUAGCUUCAAAGCCAAAGACUUACAGCCCGCAACUCAAGUCAUGGUAUGGAUAGUUUUAUUUCACUUGGCUAGAAAGAUCAUACGCGAUACACUUUCCUGUCUGCAUAAAACACAACCCAAUUCAUAUAAAGGGAAGCAUCACAUAAAUCACAUACCUAGCUCACAAGCCAGUCGGCAAGGAAGGAUCGGGGCGAGCGGUCGUCACCUCUGCUUCAACUCUUGAGAAGCUCUUUCAACGCGUCAUUCAAUGAACUAGAAAUUCAUUUAUGCAGUUGGCCUCGUUGAGUGCGGAAUAGAUAACUUUGAGCAAAUCCCUCAACGAACCGUCGGUAGUAGCCGGCCAAACCAAUGAAGCUCCGUAUCUCGGUCACACUCGUCGGCCUCGGCCAAUCCUUGAUAGCUUCCAUUUUCCUUGGAUCCACAGCUAUCCCUGAUCCAGAAAUCAAAUGGCCAAAAAACGCCACCUCUCUAAGCCAAAACUCACACUUUUUCAACUUGGCAUAGAGCUCCUUUUCCCGAAGCACUUGAAGUACAAGCCUUAAAUGCUCCUCGUGAUCCGUAUCACUCCGGGAAUACACUAAGAUGUCGUCGAUGAACACCACGACAAACCUGUCUAAAUAAGGCUUGAAAACACGGUUCAUUAGAUCCAUAAAAGCUGCCGGAGCAUUAGUAAGCCCAAACGGCAUAACGGUAAACUCAUAAUGUCCAUACCGUAUUCUAAAAGCCGUCUUUGACACAUCCUCAGGCCUGAUCCUCAACUGGUGAUAUCCCGACUGCAAGUCAAUCUUGGAAUACACACAAGAUCCCUGGAGCUGAUCAAAUAGAUCAUCAAUCCUCGGCAAUGGAUACUUAUUAUUAAUCGUGACUUUAUUAAGUUCACGAUAGUCCACGCAUAAGCGAAGCGAUCCAUCAUUCUUCUUCACAAAUAGGACCGGUGCUCCCCAAGGUGACACACUCGGGCGCACAAAACCUUUGUCCAGAAGAUCCUGUAACUGUGCCUUUAGCUCUCUCAAUUCCGUUGGCACCAUCCUAUAGGGUGCCUUUGAGAUUGGAGUAGUCCCGGGAACAAGAUCUACCACAAACUCAAUCUCCCUAUCAGGUGGCAUGCCUCGAAGCUCUGCUGGGAAAACAUCUCCAAACUCCCGUACCACGGGGAUAUCCUCAAUCCUAGGGGCGUCAUCCUCACCCCGCAACACAACAGUAGCCAAGUAGGCUACGCAGCCUCUACUAAUCAACUGCCGAGCUCGAGAAGAGCUAAUCGUCAUCGCAAAAAGCGAACUCUGACAUCCUCGGUACACAACCUCCGCCUGCCCCGGCUCUCUAAAUGUCACAGUUCGAUCCUUACAAUCGAUAGUGGCGUAGUACUUAGUAAACGAAUUCAUGCCCAACACAACAUCAAACUCCCCGAGUUUAUGCAAGGCUAGUGUCACGCCCCGAGCCCCACCUAUUUGGUCAGGUUCGGCACGCCGACAGACCGCCGAACGGACAGAGUUUCCCCUGUACGUCCUAGGCGUCGCAAUCAAUACAAUUACAAUAGGUUCCAACCAGGAACAGUAUUCAACAUACAACGAUUGCAUAAGGAAGGUAUCAAACAACAUAAACACAUCCUAAGUUAUUACAUUCAUUCAUUCAUCUCACUUGAUAUUAUUUAUAUUUCUUUUCCUUUCAAAUACAUUUAAACUUCCAAAUACAAUCAAUCAUCACAAGAUUAUUACAAGUUUGAUCCUUUUGCUUUCCUUUUCUACAACCCCUAGCUUGGCUAAUUUAGGUACCGCUAUCUCUGGUCACGGUGGUAGGGCGCUAUCUACGAAGCUACGCCAUCGCCUCGCGCCGCCGUGCCGCUCACGUGUGAACCUGUAACACCCCAAAAGCAACGUGGGGUGAGAACUAACUCCAUAGUUCCCAGUGGGUACGGCCACCCAAGGGAAAAGCUCGACCAACAGGUCCGAAGGAGGCAACUGCAGGUUAGUUCAAUAAACAGAUAGAUAUGAUAAUAAGAUUAUGCAACUAACAAUACCAUGCAUUGCCUCGCGAUAUGCAAUAUGAAGAUCAUGCAAUAAUGCAACUAUACAACCAACUAGUAAUUCAAUCGAUUACUACUUUCAUCCAAUUGGCCUUUAAGGUUUUCUGUCUUUUACCGUUUUUGUCAUAAAGUUUCAUCUACCUUUACAAAGCUAACCGUCCGACUCGGUCUUGAGUCAAUCAUCUGCGGAGUACCGCACAAGCCAGGCUCGAGGCGAAGAACGUCUCACUUGCACCUCAGCCUAAUGUCCACUCUACUAGGACUCGACUACCGCUCAUGCCUAAUUUGCAUAAUUCUCGUGAGUACAUUUCGCCAAAUUACUACUAGCCAUCUUGAUUCGUAGGGAAGCCGUCAUCGGGACCCACAUAGGCAUCCUCGUGACUCAAACUAUCAAUCCGAGACCGUCUGCGGGACCCCACAUAGGCUAUCCCUCGGGAUCCCAAAUAGGCUAUCCCUAUCCCACGGGCACCCAAAGCGCUAUCCCACGUGACCAACCCGGAGCGCAUACUUGUGUGGAGCGACCAUCACAAGCUGGAACAGACAAAUGAGUAUGAUCAGUUCUGUGUCCACGAGAAUAUCUGUCACUAGGACCAUCUAGCACAGGUGUUCUUUAACACUAAGUUCUAAUGCACUCGUCAAGUUGUUUACUUGGUUGCAUGCCACUCGUCAAAUGUAAUACCUCGAUCUAUUUAGUCAUAUAUCAUCAUAUUCAACAGUGCAAGAUUAAGUUAUUUAUUUAACUUAUUCUCUAAAGGUUCUAGGUCACCAUUCCUCUUAUUCUCAUUGCAUCCUGAUCAAAUAUCAACUCAUGUUGCUACACUACUAAGGCCUCAGCAAGAACAGAAAUGCCGACUAUCCAAUACCUAUCAUGUAAUAUAUAUAUCAACUAGCCUCUCAUGAUAUGUCAAUCAUCUAUAAAUAUAUGCUCAUGCAUCAUGCAUUUACAUUAUAUGCAACAUCUAGCAAUUACAUUAUAUGCCAUAUAGCAUUUAACCCAUUAUAUGCAUCAACUAAGAAAUCAUAAUGCCUAGUGUCUCAUGCAUUUAACAUUAUAUGCAACAUCUAGCAAUUACAUUAUAUGCAUCAUAUAGCAUUUAACCCAUUAUAUGACAUCAACUAGGAAAUCAUAUUUUCUUCGACAUGAAGGCGACCUAGUCGCUUCGGUAAGCACAACCAACGCUGCUAUUGCAUUCCAAUUGCUUGUCGACACUCGCAAUCGGCCUCCCGCGGCACCUGCUCGGUUCGCGCGAGACUGUGUAGUUGCGGCACACACGCGACGUCGCUUUGGCAACCUCGGGCCAAAAAGCGGUCUUCGUUUUGCUGUAAGUGCUUCAAAUCCGUUUCCAGGAUUUUACGACGUCGCCUCGGCACUCCAGGCGGAAACGAAGCCUAAACGUCCGUUUCUUUAAUAACUUCGCACCGGCUUGACGAAUCGCCAAACCGUCUUCGCCAACGCGUUUGUUUACCUAUCAAUUAGGUUUACAGAGGGUCAAUGAGAUCAAACCCUACUAGUAGAAAAAUUUACAUUUUAGAGCCCUAGGUUUCAUCCUAUGCAAGAAUUCACUAAAUUGAUCCUAGGUUCUAGCAUUUAUCCUCUAUUUAGCAUGCUAGGAUUCCAUUAAACCCAUUUCUAGAGCAUAUAAUUGAAGCUCUACAAUUCUACCAUUAAAGGGCAUCGAAGCUUACCUCUCAAAUUAGCUCCAAACCAUGGAGAAGAUGAAGAAGAUGAAGACGAUCCAUCUCCAAGCUUCAAUCUUCACCAAUUUCCUUAAUUUUGGGAGAGAUUUAGAGAGAGAAAGGGAGGCUUUCUCCUUUCCUUUCCAUGCGUGUGUUGUGUGUAUGCUUGUGUGUGUGUGUGUGUGUGUGUGUUGCAUUCGGCUGAGAAGGAAGGAGAAGAAAGGGAUUUAAUCCCUUUUUACAAGUUAGCCCCUCAACUAUUCAACCUUCCAAUUUAGUCCCUAAAUCUGACAAGUUUCGUUGGAGCCCUUCUGAAUGUCCGUUUGAGCUCAAAUUUGAUAGGCAGGCUCGAUUUAAUGUACUGAGUAAGAAUAUAUCUUAAGUUUUCAGUUUCGACCCGGUUUGGUCAUCGAAAACUAUACCGAACUGUAAUCUUUAUCAUAUGGCUGUCUGAUUUUAUUUCUCACUCUACAGGUGUCAGAAUGGUAUGAAACUUUAAAUCUAGCCUCAUAAAAAUAUUUCUGACAUAUUCUCCAGUUUUCAUAAUUUUCUGACACUGUGCAUUUUCUGCUAAUUUAUCUGCCCCGUUUCUCACAGAAAAUUCUAAAUCUUCUGUUUUCGCUCCGAUUUCAGUACAAGUCAUUUCCAAUCUAUAUUUCACUUCUCUAAACCCAAUAAAAUAGUAUCUCAUACUAUUUUUAUUUAUUUUCACCUUUAUACUUAAAAAUCCGGUAUGUUACAUUCCACCGCAACCUCACCGGAACCAUUUAAAUGUACACCGUAACUUCAUAGUUUUAGAAGUCCGGUACCUUACAGCUAGCAAGUCCACGGGCAUGAUCUAAUCUCCAACCCGAACAGGGCAAUUGGGGCAAAACUCCCGAAUAUCGAAAGAAUGAUCGGGUACAACAACUCGUCCCGAAUGCAACAAGGAUACAAGUGAGAUGCCAUGCAACUCGGCAAACAGCCGAUCUAUGAAUGAAUGCGAUGCACCAGUAUCAAACAAAGCUCUAACUCGAAUACCAUAAAGUGAUAUGAUACCUGCGACUACAUUCUCGGCUGCCGCCGCCUCCUCAGUCUGGGCCGCAUACAUGCGCCCGCUCGCGGCCUGUCGUGACCCCUCCGCCUGCCGCUGAACUGGCGGCCGUCCUGCCUGGUGAUGCGCAGAAGAUGUCCCCUGACUGGGACCUGGUGAUGUUGGUGCAGAUGCCGAAGAUGGCGCUGGCGCUGAACCUCUCGGGGAGUCCGACUGGAAGUGGCCCUCCUGGCCACACAAGAAGCACCUGCCCCGGCUGCGUGAACACUGUCGUGGGUAGUGGGGACCACCACAAAUCACGCAGCGGGGAGCUUGGCGACGAUCGGGUCCUCCUCUCUGAGUAGACGAGCCACGUCCCCGCGACUGGCUCCGACACCUGGGGUGCCUCGGCGGCCUCCGUGAGUGCGUCUGACUCACACUCUCAGCUGCGGGCCUCUUGCCCUUGCCCUUAUCUAGGGCCUCGCGUCGCUCCUGCAAAUCCGCCGCUCCUGCCUCCACUAUCAAUGCUCGAUCCACAACCUCCCGGUAGGUCUGGAGGUUGGAGGACUGUACCAACCGAAAGAUAGAAGGCCACAACCCGCGCUAAAAAAUGCGGGCCUUAUCCUCGUCAUCCCUCACAACGAACGGUACAUAGUGAAGUAGCCGAGAGAACUCCCUCUCGUACUCGGCCACUGACCGCUUAUCCUGGCGCAAGCUGUGCAAGUCCUGCUCCAUCUUCCUCUUGACGCUGGUCGGGAAGUAGUGUGCCAGAAGAAGCUCCUUGAAUCGCAUCCAAGUAAUCGCUGCCAAGUCGGUGUUGGGGUUGUCCUGGAUAUCCAACCACCAACGGUAGGCCUUGCCGUCGAGAAAGUGAGUGGCGAGCCAAACUCUGUCCCGCUCCUCCACAAAGGUGUCUCGAAAAAGCUUCUCCAUAUGCAUCAACCACUUCUCAACAAUCCAGUGGUCGACGUUCUCGCCGUCAAACAUCCUCGGGCUGCACCUCCUGAACUCACUGAGGCGUUCUAUGAGCCGAUCCCGCUCGGCUCCCUCGGCCAUCACGGGGAAAGCUACCCCAUGGCCGGUCUCUGAACUGGGGGUACCGCAGCCACCUCCUCCCGAGGUAUGGUCGCCGGUGCCGCACGGGAAGAACUGGGCGUGGGGGACUGCGCCCUCGGUGCGACGUCCACCACGGGUGCUGGCGGUGUGGGACCCUGGGUCUCCCUCGAAGCCGCCGCCUGCAGAAGUAGGAGGUCCUUAAGAUGCUUCAUCCGCGCCUCUUGCCGCUGAGCCACCUCAGCUUGUCGCUGCGCCGCUGCCGUCUGCUGCGCCAACAAAUCAGUGAGGACCGCAAGCUGGGUCCUCAAGUCACGAACCUCACUGGAUCCGGAAGUAGCGGAGGUCUCAACCUCCUCGGGGUGUGCCGCAUCAUCCGCCCCGGCAGACUGGGAGCGUGUAACCGGCAUCGUCACUACAAAACAUAAAAGCGCAAGUUAGUAACCCGCGCUAUCGCAUCCUUGCUCAAAAUAGAUAAAACCCAAAUCAUGCGAAAGUAAGGAAGAGUCCUUCGCUACUAACUCCCGAUGUUACGUUGUCGGCCGCCAACGUAACCCUCCAUGAAGUUAGAAGCCAUGCACUCCGAUCGAACUCUAACUUUUUAGAGUUAUCAAGACACCCAAUCAGGAUACUUUCGCUCACAAGUCAAUUAGACAUCGUCUCUCACGAGCCUAAUUCCUAUAGUCCAACCGGCCUAAAGUUUGCUAGGUCCACUAAGACUCAACCCUAGGCUUUGAUACCAAAUUAAUGGAAGAUAUGGAUCCCAAGGAUCUAAAAGGUAAGUAACACCUAGAGGGGGGUGAAUAGGUGUCAAAACGGCAAACUCAAAAAUCUCGAUGCAAAUAAAACAAAGUAGCGGAAAAUAAAAAUAGCACACCGAGAAUUUAACGUGGGAAAACUCCAAACGGAGUGAAAAACCGACGGGACCGAUCACGCGAAGAAAAUCCACUAAGAAAACUUGAGUACAAGUGAUUUUGACAAAAAUACACGACUCAAUUUACCGAAUUCCCGUUGAUAGUGAUCUUCGCCGGUCCUCGAUCGAUAGGAAUCCUCCAACCGAUCCUGCUGUAACUCCUUGCAACGUCAACGCCUCAACUCCUCGAAGCGUCCACCGAAUCCUCGGCUUCACGCGAGAUCCACGCGCCAAACCUCCUUCCGGAGCUUGUAGAAUCGAAGAUUUGUGGUGAUUUAAUCUUUGAAUCCCAUAAGCUAUGAGGGUUUGUCUUUUAAUCAAACAUCGACUUGAUUCUCGAAUAAGAUCUCAAGUAAAAUCGAAGAACCAAGUCGAUUGUUGAAUUUUCGAAACUUGUUAUGUGAAUGAAGCAUUGAAAUGGAAAAAACAAGUUUCUAGGGUUUAGAAUCAGUAAAUAUUCAAAGCCUUAGGUUUUUAGAUGACCCCCAUAGCUUAUUUAUAUAUUUAGAAGACUUAGAAGUAGACUAGGAUUGUAAAAAGUCCUUUUUUAAAAACCUGUGUCGUCCUCAGAGACCGGUCUGUGAGAGACCGGUCUCUCAAGUGAGGAAGCGGUCCCUCGCUGCGUGUUCAAAAACACAACGUUCGGGAACCGAUCUCUCAAGCUUGAGACCGGUCCCUCGCUGCGCGACAGAAUUACCAAGGUUCGGGAACCAGUCUCUCAUCUCAGGGGACCGGUUGCAUCAAAACUCACGCAGUGAGGACCUUAGGGGAACCGGUCUCUCCAACUCAAGGACCGGUCCCAGAACACAGAAAAGUUCAGUAAAAUAGUUUUAAAGCAAUCUAAGCCUUCUGAACUUAUUCUAAUUAAGUAUCUUCACCACAAAUGAUCUUUUCUUCAUACCUUAGGUGCCGAAUUAUACGAAUAAAUCUUUGUUCUUCAAUUUGGAUCUUUUCCUCAAAACUUCCGCGAUCAACUCUUCAAGACUCCAAUCUACUUUACAAAAUUCGCCAACCUAUAAAAUCCUUAACAAUCUCCCCCUUUGGCGAUUUCGUGACAAAAUAUACUACAAAGCUCAUACACAACUCAGAAACAAUAAAAAGAAGAUCAUCGCAAUCACCGAACGACAAUCUCCAGUAUGAUCGAUCCAAUAAACGAAAAUUACAAUUUUCAAAACCUUAUUACAAACUCUAUGACUUAGACUUGGAGUUUUGAAGUUUUGAAUAUUCCUGCAAAAACAUUCUUAAAACACAAUCAAGAUUCAAGCAUAUUUAUCAUAAAAGAUUAAACAUAAAGUCAAAGCAAUCAAAGCAACAAGUCAUAGUCAUAGUUCAUAGUUCAUAGUUAAGCACCUAAACAACCAUCAUCAAAUUUACACAAAAAUAAAUAUCAUCAUCAUCAUGAGCCAUCAUCUCAUCAUCAUCAUAAGCCAUCAUCAUAUCAUCUCCCCCUUUUUGUCAGAAAGCACCAAAAUGACAAAGGAGGAACCCCGUAACAUCUAAUCGGAAUCAUCCCCUGGAGGUAAAUUUGCUCGGCAACAUUCUAACUUGUCAAAAAUCGCCUGCAUUAACCGCUUCAUUUUGCUUACAUCCUUCCGUAUUGCAACUUGUUCCGCAGACAGUUUCUGAAGCUCCUCAGACAAACGUUGUUGCUCAUGAUACACAGAGAAAACUGAGACAUCUUCCUUGGAAAUGUCCAUAGAAGGACGUGAAGAAGUAGCAGCAGUAGGAGGUGGAGCAGCAGAAGGGGAAGAAGCACGCCGAGAUGGAGUACGAAGCUGCACCGAGGACUUCACAAAUGUCCGCUCAUUGAUCCGACCCAAGCUGUGCUCAUAAGAUGCACAACGAACAUCCACGUCAUGAAGUCGCAGAAUCCUCAUAAUAGUCAAUGGAAAUGGCAACCUUUUAUUUUGUCCUGAAGUCUUGAUAUCCUUUGCCAUUCUCCGCCAGAUCAAAAAUGGAAUAUUCAUGUUAAUAUUUUUGGUACUUACAAUAUCCGGCCUUCCCAAGAGAUACAUAUACAGGAUACGAUCCCAUCUCAGAAUCUUCGUGUUUGCAAGAGGCAAAAUGUUGUAGCAAACCACGAAGUUCAGAAACCUAUACUCCAUUUUGAAAUUUUUGGACAUAACCAUAAUUCCAUUUGACUCAGUACCCGGCAUGCAAAUAGUGUUCACGAUACGGUUCUAAUCCCGAAGUGAGUCAAACCCAGCCUGCAAAUAUUCCACUCCCUCUGUCUUUGCUUCCAUACCUAGCACAGACGCUAUCGUAUCAGGAGUGAUUGAUAACUCAACACCAUGUACGGAAGUGGUGAAUACGUACGGGCCUCCGUCGGAGUCACUCAAGUGACCUGCUCUCAUAUAGAAUUCUCUAAUCAACUCCAAACAGAACCCAGUUUGUUCCGGAAAAUCACAAAUCUGAUGAAGAUUUCCCUGUUCAAAUAAAUCCUGAAAUCCCGACACACAGCUAAUGAUACUAGCAACUCCAACAUCGCGCUCACCAAUACAAUGCUUCGACGAGUACAUUGACCGUCGAGCAGAUGGAACAUCCUGUAGACUGUGACGCGGAGGCUCAGAACUUUGUUCUCUAAUGUCAACACCUCCAGACUUGCGACGACCGGUACGUUCAGUUGGCUUUCCUUUGCCUUUAUCCACGGCUUUUCCUUUUUCCUUUCCUUUCCUUGUAUCCUUAUCCUUAGCUAACACCUCUGGAACAAAAGCCUCCCAAUCCGGCUCGUUCUCCUCAGAUUCGUCGCCUGGAGCAUAUUCGCUCUCUUCAUCUUCCGGUUGAUACUCAACCGGCCGUUUAGCUUUGGAUCGUUGUCGUUUGCUUCCGCGACCACCCCUAGCCAUAAGGACCACAAGUACAAGAAUCCACGAGUAUAUUUUGAAGAAAUGCCCUGUUAAAUAUAAUGAUUUUUACAUAUGACACAUAAGAACACUUAAUUUUUAUUUCCAAAAAUUUUCAGAAAAUUGGUAUAUAAAUGCUAGAUAGUCCCAGGGGCCUCAAGAUCAUGAGAAACACGAACAAAUCAUGCACCAAAAUCAGCCAAAAACAAAUUUUCACAGAAAUUUUGAAAAAAUAAUUUUGAUCAUGAAAAACCUAUAAAAAAUGAACCAAAAAGAUGAAGAAAUGCUAGAAAAGAUGAAAACAUCAGUUCUCUUAAAAAGUGAUAUCUUAGUUCAAUAUGUUUUGUUCGAGAAUGUAAAAUAGGGUUUUUAGAAAUAUUAAUUGCACUUGUGUUGUCACACAGAAUACUAAGAGUGGUGGAAGGGAUCCGAUAGUCGCUUAGUAAACUCUUCAUCCAGAUCAAUUGAGUAGAGCAACUUCCGGCCGCAAUGUAUUCAGCUUCUGCAGUGGAAAGUGCAAUACAAUUUUGUUUCUUACUGUACCAAGCAACCAAACAGUGUCCAAUGUAAAAACAAGCUCCACUAGUACUUUUCCGAUCAUUUGCGGAGCCUGCCCAGUUAGCAUCUGAGUAGCUGAUUAGAUCAAGAGAUGUUCCCAUAGGAUACCAGAGGCCAUACUCGGUUGUACCUUUAACGUACUGAAUGAUCCUUUUAACCGCUUUCAGAUGUACUUCCUUAGGGUUAGCUUGAUAACGAGCACAAAUUCCAACACUAAACGCAAUAUCUGGUCUGCUCGCAGUCAAGUACAAUAGGCUACCAAUCAUGCUUCUGUAUUGUUUCUCAUCCAUACUCUGACCUUCUGAAUUCAAUCUCAGUCCUUUGUUGCUUGUACCCAUCGGAGUGUCAAAAUCUUUUGCAUUGUCCAAUCCAAAUUUCUUAACCAGUUCCUUUGCAUACUUGGUUGGAGACAAAUGAAUUCCAUCUUUUGAUUGUUUAACUUGAAGUCCAAAGAAAUAAUUAAGCUCCCCCAUCAUCGACAUCUCAAACUCGCUGGUCAUCAACUUUGCAAAAUCAGCGGCAUCCUUAUCUUUAGUAGCCCCAAAAACUAUGUCAUCAACAUAGAUUUCUGCAACAAUGAAAUUAUCCUUCAAGUGUUUUACAAAGAGAGUUCUAUCCGCUCCCCCUCGGUUGUAGCCCUUUUCCAAAAGAUAUUUUGUCAAGCGUUCGUACCAUGCGCGCGGAGCUUGUUUUAGUCUAUAAAGUGCCUUUUUCAGUCGAAAAACGUGAUUUGAAAAUUUUGAGUCUAUGAAACCUUUCGGUUGUUCAACAUAAACUUCCUCUUUUAAAAAUCCGUUUAGAAAUGCACUUUUAACAUCCAUUUGAAAAAGAGUGAUUUUAAAAUGGCAGGCAAUCGCGAACAAAAUACGAAUGGAUUCAAGACGAGCAACCGGGGCGAAGGUUUCAUCAAAGUCUAUUCCCUCAAUUUGUGAGUAGCCCUGAGCAACAAGUCUUGCUUUAUUUCGAACAAUAGUACCAUCCUCAUUUUUCUUAUUCUUAAAGAUCCAUUUGGUACCUAUUAUGUGUUGUUGCUCAGGACGCGGUACUAAUUCUCAUACAUCAUUGCGAACGAAUUGACCAAGUUCUUCUUGCAUGGCAUUUAUCCAAUAUUCAUCACGAAGAGCUUCGUCGAUAUUCUUUGGCUCGAUCAAAGAAACAUAACACGCAAAUUCACAUUGUAACUGACUUCUUGUUCGCACACCAACAUUAGGAUCCCCAAUGACAUUUGAUAAAGGAUGAUCUCUUGACUCUGUCAGGGGUGUAGUCUCAGGAGAUAUGCUAGGGAUUUCAGAUGAGAUGUUUUGAGGCUCAGAUGAAUCAUUUGAUGGAAUAUUUUCGGAGGAUGCAAUGGAAUUAUCAAGUGCAGAAACAUCAUCAUUCACAGGCAAUACAAAUGGAGAAUCAUUAUUAUCAUCAUUCAUCAAGGAGUUAGAAGAACCAUUCACAGAAGAACUUACAGAAGAAGCUUCAUCUACUUUUAUAUUGAUAGAUUCUAUCACCAUUUUAGAUCGUAAAUUGUACGCACGAUAAGCACGACUUGUAGUAGAAUAACCAAGAAAAAUUCCUUCGCCACUUCGGGAGUCAAAUUUUUCAAGAUUUUCACGAUCCCGAAGGAUAAAACAUUUACUCCCGAAGACACGAAAGUAUUUAAUAUUAGGUUUCCUACCAAGCCAAAGUUCAUAUGAAGUAUUCAAAGUACCCGGGCGCACAUAAAUCCGAUUGAUAACAUAGACAGCCGUGUUCACUGCUUCGGCCCAAAAGUAUAAAGCAAUUUUCUUACUAUGAAGCAUAACGCGAGCCAUCUCCUGUACAACCCGAUUCUUGCGCUCAACCACUCCGUUUUGUUGGGGUGUAUAAGGAGCCGAGAAUUCAUGUUUAAUGCCAUUUGAAACACAAAAAUCAACAAAUUUUGAAUUUAUGAAUUCUCCCCCUUGAUCACUUCGAAUACGUAUAAUUUUAUCAUUCCGUUCAGUCAUAAGACGAAGACAGAUUUCAGAAAAAGAAUCAAAAGUAUCAGCUUUUUCUCGUAAGAAGGCACUCCAUACAAAACGAGUGAAAUCUUCAACAAUAAGCAAGAUAUAUCGUUUUCCACCCAAACUUUGAAUCCUAGAUGGUCUCAUUAAGUCCAUGUGUAGUAACUCUAAAGGCUUAGAUGUCCCUAAAUGGUUCAAAUUCUUAUGUGCGGUUUUAGUUUGUUUCCCCAAUUGACAACCCCGACACACAGUGUUCUCUUUGAAGUCUAUCUUAGGUACACCUCUAACAACCUCCUUCUUUGUUAUCUUGGAUAGCUCCUUAAAGUUUAUGUGACCUAGUCGUUCAUGCCAUAAAGUUUCAGUCUCUAAUGACGCUAGGCUACAAUGUUCAGUCGAAGAACUAGGAACUACAUAACAAUUAUUCUGAGAUCUAAUGCCCUUUAAGAAAAGAUUGUCAUUACGAGUCACAUGGCAUUCUUUAUCGAAAAAAUUUAUAGAAUACCCAUCAUCACACAGUUGGCUUAUGCUUACGAGAUUAGAUUUAAGCCCCUCAACAUAAAAGACAUCAUUCAACGUAGGGCCAUCUGAGAUAGUCACUGUUCCUUUUCCAACGAUUUUUGACGAUCGAUCGUCUCCAAAAACAACAAGUCCUCCGGAGAUUUUUUUCAAAGAGGUUAAGCAACUUUUAUCUCCGGUCAUGUGACGGGAACAACCACUAUCCAGAUACCAUGAAGCAUUAUCGUAAGCAUGAAGCGAAGUGUGAAUGACUAAGCAUGGGAAGAGUUCACCUUUGCGCACCCAAACCUUACCUGUUUUGGAUUGCAACGGUUUGCUUGCUUUUGUUGAUGUUGGCUUGUCGACGAUUUGAAUUGACUUCUUCUUCAUAUCCUCCUUCUUUGGUUUCCAUGCUUGUUUUGCCAUUGAUUUCGGCGCAUUUGGUGUCCACGUUUGUUUCUUCUUAUGAUCGACCUUCUUUGAAGUCCAAGUUGACUUCCCUUUUAAUAUAGGAUUAUUCUUCAUGGGCAAUGUUCUUUGGUUCAAGGGUGUUGUUGAGCUCUUUCCCUUUUGCUUGCAAAACUUCUGUAUGUGUCCUAAAACACCACAAAUAUGACAAGUUUUGUUAGUCAAAUUAUUUUUAGGAGGGACGAACUUACCAUAAAGUUUAGGAACUGUUUUUGACGAGUUUCCAUCAUCUUUCUUCAUUACUUGAUCAAUAUACGUCCGUUCAUAACCAAGUCCAAGUUUGUUUGUUUGACCAAGUCCAACCAUCUUGUCGAGUUUACUUGAUCCAGACGAAAAUUGGUUCAAAUCUGACUUUAGUUGAAUAAUCGUCUUGGUGAAUUCCAUAUUUGCUUCUCUAGCUUCUGAGUAUUGCUUGGUGAGAAAAGUGAUAUUCUCCACCUAAGUCUCUUUUUCCUUUUCAAGUAACGAACACUUCUCAAUUAAAGAAUUAUAGGCCUUUGUCAAACCAUCUCUCUCUUGUUCUAAAUUCUUUGUUAGUGAGGCCAAUUUUGAAUUCUCUUGUUCCAACUCAUGUAGACUUCGCCGCAGUCUCUUGUUAUGUUUAGCCACCUUCUUUGAUUCGAUAACCAAUUGUUGAUAUGCUGCGACCAUGUCAUCUUCGUCUGAUUCUUCAUCUGAUGAGUUGUCCGAAGAUGACUUCUCAUGUAUAGAUGACAUAGAGAUAGAAUCUGCAGAUGCUAAACACAUGAAAGUUGAAUCCUGUGCAAUCAGUGCCGUGGCAUUUACAUCCUCUUCACUCGAAGUGGAAUCGUCAGACGAGGUGUCGUCCCAAGUAAUAGCUUGCAUCGCUUUCUUCUUCAACAACUUUUUAUUAGGACAGUCCGAUGCAAUAUGGCCAAAGCCCUUACAUUUGUAGCAUUGAAUUUGACCUUUACUGCUUUUCUUCUCUUUUGUAGAGUCCUUUUGAAAGUUAUCCGAUUUUCUGAAUUGUGAUGAGGAAGAAGAAGACAGUCCCCCUUUAGAUUUGCUUGUCUUGGAGGAAGUAGACUUGGAAGGAAACUUCUUUCUAAAGUUCUGAUGGAACUUCUUUGUUAGAAGUACUAGUUGCUUUUCAAAGUCCUCCAGGGUUUGCUCCGACUCCGAGUCUGAUGAAGUUGAAGUGACAUCUCCUUUUGUUGAUUUUAGAGCCAUCCCUGAAGCUUUAGAAGAAGACUUGGAAGAAGACGAAUUAGAAGGAAAAGUCAUCUCAUAAGUUUGAAGAGCACCUACUAAUUCUUCUACCUUAAGUUCAUCAGGAUGUUUAACUGUUUCAAUGGCCGCAACCUUAGGACGAAAACAUUCGGGAAGGGUCCUCAAAAUUUUUUGAACAAUUUUGGAAUCGGGAAUUUUCUCGCCCAAGUUAGCACACGUGUUUACAAUGUCUUGCAAACGAGUAUAAUACUAGGUAAAAGAUUCAUGUUCUUCCAUACGAAUAGAAUCAAACCUACUGGUAAGCAUUUGCAAUUUUUGAAUCUUUACCAAGCUUGUACCCUCGUGUGUAACUCGUAAAGUGUCGCAAAUUUUCUUAGCAGUUUCACACGCCGAGACACGAGAAAAUUCAGUUUGAUUUAAAGCAUUAAAUAAGGCAUUGAUACCCUUUCCGUUGAACGAAGAUAAUUCGUUUUCCUCUUUUGUCCACUUAUUUUUAGGUUUCGGACCGGUAACAUUCUCGACAACUUCGGUAGGAUGUUUCCACCCGAAUUCAAUGGCUUGCCAUACCCGCUCGUCGAUAGCAAUAAGAAACGCCCUCAUACGGACUUUCCAAUAAGCAUAAUUAGUGCCAUCGAAGAGAGGGGGUCGAUUAAUGUUACCGCCCUCGGCCAUGAAUUACAACCUAUACCCGCUCUGAUACCACUUUGAAGAUAUGGAUCCCAAGGAUCUAAAAGGUGAGUAACAACUAGAGGGGGAUGAAUAGGUGUAAAAACGGCAAACUCGAAAAUCUGGAUGCAAAUAAAAUAAAGUAGCGGAAAAUAAAAAUAGCACACCGAGAAUUUAACGUGGGAAAACUCCAAAUGGAGUGAAACACCCACGGGACCGAUCACGCGAAGAAAAUUCACUAAGAAAACUUGAGUACAAGUGAUUUUGACAAAAAUACACGACUCAAUUUACCGAUUUCUUGUUGAUGGUGAUCUUCGCCGGUCCUCGAUCGAUAGGAAUCCACCAAUCGACCUUGCUGCAACUCCUCGCAGCGUCAACGCCUCAACUCCUCGAAGCGUCCACCGAAUCCUCGGCUUCACGCGAGAUCCACGCGCCGAACCUCCUUCCGGAGCUUGUAGAAUCGAAGAUUUGUGGUGAUUUAAUCUUUGAAUCCCAUAAGCUAUGAGGGUUUGUCUUCUAAUCAAACAUCGACUUGAUUCUCGAAUAAGAUCUCAAGUAAAAUCGAAGAACCAAGUCGAUUGUUGAUUUUUUGAAACUUGUUAUGUGAAUAGAAGCAUUGAAACGGAAAAAACAAAUUUCUAGGGUUUAGAAUCAGUAAAUAUUCAAAGCCUUAGGUUUUUAGAUGACCCCCAUAGCUUAUUUAUAUAUUUAAAAGACUUAGAAGUAGACUAGGAUUGCAAAAAGUUCUUUUUUAAAAAACCUGUGUCGUCCUCAGAGACCGGUCCUCUUGAGGAGACCGGUCUGUGAGAGACCGGUCUCUCAAGUGAGGAACCGGUCCCUCGCUGCGUGUUCAAAAACACAACGUUCAGGAACCGGUCUCUCAAGCUUGAGACCGGUCCCUCGCUACGCGACAGAAUUACCAAGGUUCAGGAACCGGUCUCUCAUCUCAGGGGACCGGUUGCAUCAAAACUUACGCAGUGAGGACCUUAGGGGAACCGGUCUUUCCAACUCAAGGACCGGUCCCAGAACACAGAAAAGUUCAGUAAAAUAGUUUUAAAGCAAUCUAAGCCUUCUAAACUUAUUCUAAUUAAGUAUCUUCACCACAAAUGAUCUUUUCUUCAUACCUUAGGUGCCGAAUUAUACGAAUGAAUCUUUGUUCUUCAAUUUGGAUCUUUUCUUCAAAACUUCCGCGAUCAACUUUUCAAGACUCCAAUCUACUCUACGAAAUUCGCCAACCUAUAAAAUCCUUAACAAUUAAUCUGUCACGCCCCGGGACCGGCAGAGGCCCUCCCGGUAGUGUGCCCAGACCCGCCAUGUGUCAACACAUAUAAGGCGUCUACAACACCAGCGGAAAUAAAAGCAAGAAAUAAUCUACAUCUAGAGAUAUCAGAGCAAGUAUGAUUCUAUCAUCUAUAACAAGAGUAAAGGAAACAUAACCAAAACAGUAAAAGUAAGAUAUAAAGUAGUACAAUAUCUGUCUCUAGUACAAAAAUGGUGGUCUCUAUAGAAAUGCGGGUACAACUCUCGAUCUCUCACAAAAUAAAUCAACGAGAGGUAGACCACUUAUCGAAUCGUCCUCGAAGGAAGCUAGCUCGAAGUAACUCCCUUCCCGCGGUCCCUAGCCUCUCCCGGCGUGGAAGGCUAUGAAAGAAAAUAUAAAACAGAGGGCGUGAGAACUAUAAUUUAUAGUUCCCAGUGGGCAAUUACUGACCUCAGCUCAAUGCACCACUGGGCCCCAAAAGAAAAAGGUAAGUAACGACAAUAAUAAUAAACAAUAAAGAGCGAGUAUAAAAACUGCUGAAAGAUGAAAGUUUUGAGAAGCCCAAGGAUCUAUCUAGAUUGUAUCUAUCACCUAGAGGGGGGUGAAUAGGUGAACGGCCAAAAACCACAAAUCUNAUCCUCCAACCGAUCUUGCUGCAACUCCUUGCAACGUCAACGCCUCGACUUCUCGAAGCGUCCACCGAAUCCUCGGCUUCACGUGAGUCCACGCGCCAAACAUCUACUUGAUUCUCGUAUGAGUCCACCGAAUCCACUAUGAGGGUUCACCUUUAAUCAAACAUCUACUUGAUUCUCGUAUGAGUUCUCGAGUAAAAACGAAGAAUCAAGCUGAUUGUUGAUUGUUAGAAACUCGUUAUGUGAAUCGAUGCAUUGAAACGGAAAAACAAGUUUCCAGGGUUUAGAAUCAGUAAAUAUUCAAAGCCUUAAACUUUUAGAUGACCCACAUAGCAUAUUUAUAUGUUUAGAAGACUUAGAAGUAAACUAGGAUUGCAAAAAGCCCUUUUUGAAAACCUGUGUCGUCCUCAGAGACCGGUCCUCUCGAGGAGACCGGUCUCCUCGAGAGGCCGGUCUGUGAGAGACCGGUCUCUCAAGUGAGGAACCGGUCCCUCGCUGCGUGACCAAAAUCACACGUUCGGGAACCGGUCUCUCAAGCUUGAGACCGGUCCCUCGCUACGCGACAGAAAUACCAAGGUUCGGGAACCGGUCUCUCAUCUCAGGGGACCGGUUGCAUCAAAGCUCACGCAGUAAGGACCUUAAAGGAACCGGUCUCUUGAACUCAGGGACCGGUCCCUAAACGCAGAAAAGUUCAGUAAAAUAUUUUUAAAGCAAUCUAAGCCUUCUGAACUUAUUCUAAUUAAAUAUCUUCACCACAAAUGAUCUUUUCUUCAUACCUUAGGUGCCGAACUUUACGAGUGAGUCUUUGUUCUUCAAUUUAGAUCUUUUCUUCAAUCUUCUGCAAUCAACUCUUCAAGACUCCAUUCAACAUUACGAAAUCCGCCAACCUAUAAAAUCCUUUAACAGAAUUCACCUAUCGGGCUUGUAGAAGCUUGCGUUUCGCUGCUAUAGUGACGGCGAUGAGGGCAAGGAAGUUGGUCAACAGCGGUUGCGUGGCCUAUUUGGCGACCGUUGUGGAAGUCGAGAAGACGACUCCUAUCUUGGAGGAGCUAUCCAUAGUUCGGGAGUUCCCAGAUGUUUUUCCCGCAGAGUUACCGGGAAUGCCGCCAAGCCGGAAGAUCGAGUUCGUGAUAUACUUGGUUGCAGGAACCGCGCCUAUCUCGAAGGCUCCGUAUCGGAUGGCGCCGGCAGAAUUGAAGGAGUUACGGGCUCAGUUGAUAGAUCUUAUUGAUAAAGGAUUCAUACGGCCAAGUGUGUCGCCGUGGGGAGCCCCGGUCCUAUUCGUGCGAAAGAAGGAUGGAUCGUUUCGACUCUGCGUAGAUUAUCGCAAGUUAAACAAGGUCACGAUCAAGAACAAGUACCCGUUACCGAGGAUUGACGAUCUGUUUGAUCAAUUGCAAGGGUCUCGGGUUUAUUCGAAGAUUGACCUACAGUCCGGUUAUCACCAGCUCAAGAUUAAGCCGGAAAACGUUCAAAAGACCGCGUUUCGCACGCGGUAUGGACACUAUGAAUUCACGGUCAUGCCGUUUGGGCUCACUAAUGCCCCGGCAGUGUUCAUGGAUUUAAUGAACCGUGUCUUCAAGGAGUACUUGGAUCGAUUCUUCGUGGUCUUUAUAGACGACAUCUUGGUCUACUCGCACAGCGAUGAGGAACAUGCUGAGCAUUUGAGAAUUGUGCUUCAAACCCUCCGGGAAGAGAAGUUAUAUGCUAAGUUUAAGAAGUGCGACUUUUGGCUCCGAGAGGUUGCAUUUCUUGGACAUGUCAUUUCCGAGGAAGGAGUAUCUGUUGACCCGAGGAAAGUGGAGGCGAUCAAGGAUUGGCCUCGCCCGACUAACGUCACGAAAGUUCAAAGCUUCGUGGGUUUAGCGGGUUAUUAUAGACAGUUCGUGGAGGGAUUCUCGAAGAUCGUGGGUCCACUUACUCGUCUGACUCGAAAAGGCACCAAAUUCAUUUAGAAUGACCAGUGCGACCGGAGUUUUCAAGAGUUGAAGGAUAGAUUAACUUCAACUCUGGUGCUCGCCUUACCGGUGCAAGAUGAAGACUUCGUGGUGUAUAGCGACGCAUCACAACCGGGCUUAGGGUGUGUUCUGAUGCAGGACGGGAAGGUGAUCGCUUACGCGUCCCGUAAGCUGAAGAGCUAUGAGAAGAAUUACCCCGUCCACGACCUAUAGUUGGCCGUUGUAGUGUUUGCUCUCAAGUUAUGGAGGCACUACUUGUAUGGCGCGCGUUGCGAAAUAUAUACAGACCACAAGAGUCUAAAGUACUUGUUUAUACAAAAGGAGCUCAAUAUGCGGCAGCGGCGGUGGUUGGAACUGCUGAAGGAUUUUGAUGUGACAAUCCUAUACCACCCCAAAAAAGCAAACGUGGUGGCCGACGCGCUUAGCAGGAAGUCAGUGGAAAAUCUUGCUAUGUUGGUCACACGUCAAGAGCCAUUGUGGAGAGAGAUGGAACGUAUGGAUCUCGAAGUGGUAGCUCCGGAAACCCCGUCUAUGCUUAUGGCUCUCGUUGUCCAACCGACCUUGUUGGAGCAGAUUAAGAGUUUGCAACCUGCGGACCCUAACCUCCAAAAGGUGCGGCGAGACAUCGAGAGUGGACACAGCGGUGAUUUCAGUAUAGACGCCGAGGGUACGCUUCGGUUUCGAAACCGAUGGUGCGUACCGGAAAACAAGGAGGUCCGGAAGUUAAUUUUACAAGAAGCACAUCAGACUCCUUAUAGCAUUCACCCGGGCGGCACCAAGAUGUACCGUGAUCUGAAGAUGCAGUACUGGUGGCCGGGCAUGAAAGCUGACAUUGGGCGCUAUGUGGCGCAGUGCUUAGUGUGCCAGCAAGUGAAGGAUGAGCGCCGAUUUCCAGCGGGAAAGCUCCAAAGUCUACCUAUCCCCGUUUGGAAAUGGGAGAAUAUUGCGAUGGAUUUCGUGGUCGGAUUGCCCCGUUCGACGGGUGGCCACGACGCGAUCUGGGUGAUUGUGGAUCGUAUGACCAAGUCGGCACACUUCCUACCGAUUCACACCACCUGGUCGGGCGACAAGUUGGCGCAAGUAUACUUGGAUGAAGUUGUGAGGUUGCAUCGGGUUCCGAAGUCGAUCGUGUCAGAUCGAGACCCCCGUUUUACGUCGCACUUUUGGAAAAGCUUGCAAGAGGCACUUGGCACACGGCUCGAUUUCAGCACCGCGUUUCAUCCUCAGACAGAUGGACAGUCAGAGAGGACUAUACAAAUUCUGGAGGAUAUGUUGCGAGCGUGUGUCAUUGACUACAAGGGUAGUUGGGCGAACCAUUUGAGGAUCGCCGAGUUCGCCUACAAUAACAGUUACCAAGCUAGCAUUGGGAUGGCACCGUUCGAAGUCCUGUAUGGGCGGAAGUGCCGAUCUCCUACAUGUUGGAGUGAUGUAGGUGAACCUGCGGCAUUGGGCCCAGACGUAUUGCGAGAGGCAGAAGAGAAGGUCCGUCUUGCUCGUGAGAGGCUACUUACGGCACAGUCGAGGCAAAAGAGCUAUUCUGACAAACGCCGCAGAGAUUUGGAAUUCGCGGUAGGAGACCGCGUUUUCUUGAAGGUUUCGCCAAUGAGGGGUGUGAAACGCUUCGGGAUGCGGGGAAAGCUGAGUCCCCGAUAUAUUGGACCAUUCGAAGUGUUGGAACGUAUUGGAGCAGUAGCAUAUAGACUAGCAUUACCGCCGAAACUCGCGGGCGUGCAUGGUGUAUUCCAUGUUUCUAACCUUCGCAAGUAUGUCCACGAUCCCGAGCACGUUAUGUAUUAUGAACCGCCGGAUCUACAAGAGGAUUUGUGCUAUGAAGAGUUCCCGGCGAUGAUCAUUGCUCGAGAAGUGCGGAAGCUGAGAAAUCGCGAGAUUCCCUAUGUGAAGAUUCAUUGGACCAAUCACGACGAUCGUGAGGCCACGUGGGAACUCGAGGAAACAAUGAAAGUGCACUAUCCUCAUCUCUUUGAGGAAAUGCAAUGAGGUAUGAGUUAAUUGAGUAUUGAAUUCGUUUCGAGGACGAAACUCCUUUUUAGGAGGGGAGGAUGUGAGGAAGUGAAUUCUCGAAAUACGAGAGUUAGACUUCAUGUAAAAUCGACCAAAGGUCGUGUUGGUAAGCUUUGGAAAAGCCAAAGAUGUUAAAAUCACCAAAGGUGCCUUGGAAAUGAGUCCACGAGGGCAAAUAGUGCAAAACUUGCACUGGAGCAAAUUGCUCUCGGGGACCGGUCCCUGGCAGGGAGGGACCGGUCUCAUCAGCUGGUGUCACGGGGUUGCUUGAGCCAACCGGUCCCUGGCAGGGAGGGACCGGUUCCCGAACGCGAUCCCAGCGAGGAAAGCCAAAAAUUGGCUAAGUCCUGAGAUUCCAGUUCUCGGGAACCGGUCUCUUAGGGAGGAACUGGUCUCCCGAGGACCGGUCUCUCUGGGAGAGACCGGUAACCGAACGCGUGACCCCAGCUGAAGCUCUCGGGGACCGGUCCCAAGUCGGGGAGACCGGUCCCUCCGCGCGCAGAACGCCUAGUGAGGGCUGUGCACAGAGUGAAAAGUGGAGGGGGCCAGCUGGAUAUUGUUACAUUAAAGGGCUUAUUAGUCCCUCUCUCCCUCUCACUCUCUCUCAGUUCACUCUCUCUCUCCCUCACACUCUCUUGCUCUCUCUCUCUCUAGAAAGAAAAGAGAAGGAAGAAGAAGAAGAAGAAAGGAGAAGGAAAUGAAGGAAGAAAAGGAAGGGGAAGAAGAAGGAAAUCAACAAAAGGAAGCUUUUGGACUUCUCCCUCAUCCUCUCUUCUCUCUUGAGGUAAGCUUCUAACCCUAGCUUGUGAAAUUUGGGGUUUUUGGGUUUUAGCUCUUUGGAUGAGAUCAAAUGGAUCCCUAGCACCAUGAAUGGUAGGAUUGAAGCUAGAACCUAGGGUUUUGAGAUGGGUUUAGCUUGAUGUUAACCCUAGGGCACCAAAAUAGGGUUUUUGGUAAAAUAUGGGAUUGAUCUCAUUUGAGGCCUUGUAAACCUAAUUGCUAGGUAACGAAACGCGGGGGCGAAGUCGGAAAUUCGAUUCGUCGAGCGGGUCAAGAGCUAUCGGCAAAAUAAGGCCGGUUGAGCAUCGCUUUGGACAAGAAGACCGAGGCUUCAUCGUAAAGGACGC